rnacentral:lncRNA from 1 species
GUCGGUGAAGGGGAGCAAGCGCGUUAAGUGGACGGAGAUGAAGCGCAACUGGGGGCAAGUGUGGCAGACCGGGGAGGACCUCACAUGCGAGUCGCUGACGUUCCGGGUGAUGACCAGCGACCACCGCAAGGCCACCUCAUGGCACGUUCUCCCUGCUGACUGGAAGUUCGGCGUCACGUACCAGGCGUCCAAGAACUUCUAAGUAGCCACUUUCCCUCCUCUUCUUCAACCUGCAUGCCCGCAAGCAGCCAUGCAGAUGAUAACAUGCAUCAUGCAUGCAUAUUCAUUCUUUCGCUCAUGCACUCCGAUACGGUGCCGGAGUUAAAAAAAUAUAAAUCAAUGUGCAAAUUCAAAUGACAUCUUAACCAGUUGUGAUCAAUCUGAACCGCUAAUGCAUGCACACACCGAAUGAAUAUACCAUCCACUAUUGGAACAAGCUGCUUUGUGGAAUACUUGGCAAAAAGCCAAAUUCUGAUAGUGAUCUCCACUAUUUAGCCCUUGUGUUGCAUCAAAUGAAGCAACUUUAAGAGUCUCUUUAUAUUCUUUCCAAUUAAUAUAAAUAUAGAUUUUUUUAAAAAAACCUCCAACAACUUAUCUAAAUGGCUACCUAAAUAUAGACAUUUUCUAUUCCGGGUUUCUCGCUAGCCAAAUAUAGAAAACGUGAAUGACUCUCUAGAGCCCAAACAAGAUAUAGAAAAUGUAUUCGAGAUUAAAAAAUAUGGAAAAUAAUUUUUUUAUGCAAAUGACUCUAAAUGAUAAUUUAGACAGUAAAAUUUAGAAAGACUUUUAGAGAUGCUCUUAGCUUUGGGUAGCUCCGGACUUCACUAUGUACGGACGAUGGCACCACUGCUCCAAGGCCAGGUCUAACGCGGGUCAUUACUUGGUACUCAGGGACAGAUCUAGCGUUGGGGCUGGUGGGGCUCAAACCCCACUACCGCUCCUGAGCAUAUGGAGCUCCACCGAAAUCCCUCCUAAAAUUUAAAAUGUAUAUAAGGGAUGCUUGAAUGCACUAGAGAUAAUAGUUAGUGGCUAAAAUUAGCUGGAGACAUCCAAACUCCCUAGCUAAUAGUUCAACUAUUAGCUAUUUUUAGUAAAUUAGCUAAUAGCUAGCUAGCUAUUUGUCAACUAACUAUUAGCUUUAGUACAUUCAAACACCCCCAUAGUAUAAUCUUAUUACGUAUUUUUAUGGUUUUAUCAUGUACCUAUGUUUUAAUAUAAUGCUACUUCAAACCAUUACAUAUGUCUAUUAUAAGUGCUUUAUCAAUAAGAUUAUGUUAGUUUAGUUUAGUUUAGUCCCUCCUAAAUUUUUCCUACUGUACCGAUCAUUGGCGUGGUGAACCAGAUGCUUGGUACCCACCGAUCGAGCUGGUCAUAGCGCCAUUCAGCUCUACCGGUUGGUUGGCUGGCUAUCAACCGACCAAUCGAAGCAUACCACCUACGUUGGAGCCUGCGCAGUCGGUACAUGUUAGGGCCGCGACUAAAACCGACCGGACAUGGUCGGUACUGUCCACAUGUUUGCACACGUGUAAGCAUAUGAUUGGCCAUUCAAUUUCAAACGUUUGAAUUUGAAACAAAAUUCCAAAAAUUUUUAAAAACAAAUCAAAGCAGCCCUUUUCCCUCCUCUCUAACCCGUAUGCCUGCAAGCAGCCAUGCAUAUGGUAACAUCAUGCAUACACAUAUUCGAUUCUUCCGCUCAUGCCCUCCGUCACGGUGCCCUGAGUUAAAAAAAUUGUUGAAAAUCAUUGUGCAAAUUCAAAUGACAAAAUAACCAUCUUAACACGUUGUGAUCAAUUUGAACUGCUAAUGCAUGCACACACCUAGGGGUGAAAAUAGAAAGGAUAAUUUUCAGAUACCGGGAAUCGUUUUUGAAGUUUUAUCUAAAUUUAGGUCUAAACAGAAACAAAAACGGUUACCGAAAAUACGAAAACAAAAUCGGUAGAAAAAAUCAGAAACAAAAAUGGUUUGGGUCUCUUCCGAUCAUUUCCGGAAAUUACCGUCUUAUUCGAUAUUUUACCGUCGAAAAUAAAUUCAGCAUUUUUCAGAAAAAUAUUAAAUCUGAACUGAUCUUUAUAAAUUCAUAAUAAAUUUAUCUUUGCUUAGAAAAAUAUGAAACUAAUUUUAUUAUUUUUCUAAAAUCAAGAUCUAUCUAAUGAUAUAUAGUUUAGAAUCAUUUGAAACUUUUAUAAAUCUUAUUUAUGUUUUCUUACCUGUUAUUACUGUUGAUACAUAUAUUUAUAAUUUGCACGAGAACUUAAAAAGGACCAAGAGGAUACUAAUUAUAUUGACUAUGCCAAGUAGUAAAAGUACAAAUACAAUAUAAGUGCCAUAUCAUUAUACACAUCUUAAUUUUACUUUAUUUCAAUACAAAAUAUAAUGAUUUUAUUAUUGUAUGACUUCUUACUUUAUAUAUUUAUUGUGACCUCCUACCUUAUAUACUAUUACUAAUUUUAUAUGAAUGUAUGACUUACGUGAUCGAAUUUUAGAUACAUGUUAAUUGAGGAUACAUGUUACAGUUUUUACUGAUCGAAUUUUAGAUUUUGAUCAUAACCAGUGUAAUUUUCGUACCGAACUUUCAUUUUCGAUGUUUCCGAAUUAUCGAUAUCAUUUUCGUUUCCGGAGUUUCCGAGGAAAAAUAUGAAAACGAAAAUGGUUUUAGUGUUUACCGAUCGUUUCUGACCGUUUUCACCCCUACACACCGAAUUAGACAAGCAAUGGUCUAUUUGUAAAUGGGGAAAUAUGUAUCGGAAACCACUUGCUGGUCGAAAACAUGAAAACUAGUUUUAAAAAGAACACUUUUGUAACCUGAAAUCUUCUAAAACUUGAUACAUAUGCAGUUCAUCCAUACAUAAACUCACAUAAAAAGUUGAGAUGCAAAGUCAUCUGAAAAUAACAAAAUUCAUGUGCACAUAUAAUAGAAGACAAAAAUAUAGAAAUUGUCUUGUAGUGCACAUACAAGUGAAAUUUGUGAUUUUUAUAUGAAUAUUUUAAAAUAGAGUUUAAAUUCUAACUUUUUUAUGUAAGUACAUAUGUAGAUGACACAUAUGUGCCAAUUUUCAAAAAAAAAAGUUAAGUUACAAUAGUAUAUUUUUAAACUAGUUUCCAUAUUUUCACAUAACAGGUGGUUUUCAAUGUAUAUUUUUAAGUUUAUUUGACCCUUCAAACUAUUGUUAAUUGUUUACCUCACCCUUACACAUGUAAAACAAGGUAUUCUAUCCCUUAAACUAUUGAAAAUCAUCUACAUAAUCCUCUAAGGAGGUUUAGAAAGUGGUUUUAUUGAUGUGACAUGUUAAAAUGUCUAAUUCCCUCAACUAUAACCCCCUGGUCUUAUAGAUCCGUUUAGUUACCAUAUUCCGCCAAACUAGACUAAGAUUCCAUGCUUGAUCCAAUGCAAGCCUAUAAAGCGCCUCACUCUCUCUACUCUUUUUGAGUUUCCACCACUCCCAAAUGAGCACCACCCUAUUUCCUUCUCCACUCAUGGCAAUCCUCUACAUCAUUGAACUCAUGCAUUGCACUUGUGCCCUUGUCAUUUGGUCCCUUCUUGUCUCCUCUUGUUUUAUUCUCACAUUGCUACGUAAAAAUUUGAAGGAUGAUCAGGUAAAAGGUAUGGGAGGGGCUGGAUGACAAGGGUACAAGCAUGCAUGGUGCUUGAGCUCAAUGUCAUCAAGUGUUGGGCGAUGGUCCAUGAGAUGAGAAGUUGCAUCCUAUUUAUUGGGCGGUGGGUUAGCAUAGAAAGAGUAAAGAGGUGCAUGCUACAAAUGGACCUAUAAGAAAAUAUGUGUACAUAGGCUAGCCUAGUAUGACACAAUGUCUAAACACCCUAGAAGACCAUGCAGGAGAUCACAUUAUUAGAUACUCUAAAAACUGUAAUAUUAGAUUUUAUAGUUGACGGGGUUAUUAUCGUUGCAGAAACCUUCUAGGGACCGCCUUUGCAGACAAGGAGUCGAGAGGUGCGCUGCUGCUGCGGUUGUCCCUCCAGAACGUGACUCUGUGUACAUGGCCGCUCUGCAGACGCACAACAAUCAGUUAAACAUUAAAGCCAGAUCAUGUGGAUCAUCCUGUGCUGGUUGUACUGAUCGGCUCCUUGAGCUGAUUUUUAUUCUUUUCUAGGUCGACUAUUAUUAUAAUAAUAAAUGUGAUCAUGCAUUGGAAGUGGUCGACAACGAAUAUAAAUCUAUCUAAAGCAUGCAUGAGCCGAUUGUUUACUCUAGAGCAAUGCAGGCUAAGUGCAUGUCCAAGAAGAGAGUGGCAUGCCAAAGAACAACCAUUAUUAACUACAUUGUUAACCAAAUCUAGGGCCAUAUGAAUAGUAAACCAUCUAUAGGAACAUCCGCUACUGAGAACUGUUGACCACACAUGUGAACAUGGAUCAUGACCUUGAAAGAAGUCUAACCAAAGUAAACAAUGAGGCUAAGCAUGUAAAAUAGGAUGACAGAUAUGUAUUGGACUUUCAAGUUGCCGCGUUCACAUGUGCAGCUUGUAAGUCGUAGAAUAUGGCAACUGGUCAAUGAAUACGCAUGCGGCAAUAUAAAAUCAAUCUAAUAGCAUGAAGCAUAAAGACAAAUAUAGAUUGAAACUACAAAUGUAACUAGCAGAUAUUUCCAACAACAAUGCUUAGUACAAUAUCUACCAGGGUAAGAUGGUGACACCAUGCCACCUUGACAUGAUCAAGACCACAUCAGGGCAACAUGGCGUUACCUUGGAAAACUCUUGGAGAAGGGGUGGUGAUGCGCCGAGAGGAUGAGAGUCACUUGCUGCUUGGUGAAUGAAAGACUUUCUAUUUAUUCACGUUUGUAUCAGUUUUAAUAUAUAGCCAUGUGGGCCUGAAGUGAUAAACACUUCCUAACUUACAUUACCAUCUAAUCUGUUACUUAUUUUCGAUAUAAUGGUAUAUUUCUAUAUCACACACUUAAUUUUUAUUGUGGCCGGAUACUUCUUUUGUGGAGCCAUUCGGUCAGAACAAUAUCCUAGACCCAGCUAGGAUUAGGUGCCAACACAUGCCCCCUAUUUUUGGUAGAAUUUUUAUGUCGGAACUAAAUCUUUGCCUUGUGGAAGAUUAACACCUCUGUUAGCGGUCAAGUCAUGUCAACUGACUCUUCAUCACACAACUCUACCUCAGGUUUCGGUCCGACACUUCCACUUCAAGUUGUUUGCCUCCUUAUACUAGUAUUAGUAUGCACAAGAACUCUCCAAAUAGCAUGAACCUGUCGUAAGCAAUGACACCCGUUCUCCCACCUAGAACAACGACUCUUCCUACUUCUCUUGGCCAUCUGAUGCUCCCAUCACCCCUAUAAGUCUCCUCUUCCUUCUCCACCCUCGCUUUAUUUAGUCGAGGAGGAUUGGGACUUCCACUAAGACAUUGACCCCUUCUCGAUCGAUUAUGCCUCAACGAUCGUCGAUGAGUCCGAUGCAUAUUCGUUGUUUGUUGCGUGAGUUGCUUGCCUCCUACAUGCCCCUUUGUACUCUCCUCCUCGGAAGAUGAUUGGGACUGUGAUGAGGCAUACAUCGACUCCACUGAGGAGGAAGUCUCCUCUGAGGAGAUCGGAGGAGUUGGUAGAGAUGUGGCUGCGUAACAGCAGCUCCACCAACGAGGAGCCUGAGGAGGACCUCGACUGAGAUUUCAGCGACGAUACUAGUGUGGAGAGCUUCCUUGACGUCGCUGCCGCCAAUGACGGUGGUGACAAGGAGGAACUAGAGCGUAAGCGUAGGAGGUUGAUCAGAUACCUCUGCCUUUUAUAGAUAAGAUUUCUUAUAUAGGGUCCCCUUGUAGUCCUGCUCCUUCUCGAUGAAAUAAAUAAAACUUUUGGUCAAUCUGUUCUAUUUGUGCUUCCCUGUGCUUGAUAUAUUUUGGCCAAUCUACCUGUGAUGUUCAUGUUCCCUGUUCUUGAUGCAUUUGAAUGACCUCCUCACCAUUCCCAUUAUUAUUAGAAUGUUUCGGUAGCGUCCUAUUAGCCCAUGAAAAACCCCCAUCUUCGUCAUCUCUCCUAUGGCGACGGUACUCUUAGCUGACUGUCAUUGGGACUCACGAACGACAUCAACAAGUUUUCCUUGAACGACGUGUUGACUUAUGAUGCCCUCCGAGCAGCUAAUGACACCUCGAUGUGUGUAUAGUCUUCUAGUCGUUCAUCGACUUUACCAUUUUUAUCAUUGUUUUUUAUCUAAAGGCGAUGGCAAUGCAUUUGACUAUUCGUCCUUUUACAUUUUUAGAUGAUAACAACAUAUCAAGUUUUGGCUAUCAACAACAUUUCUUCAAAUAUUUGCCAUUGAUAUUCCUGCUAAACUAGAUGCCUUCUAAUGUUUCCAUCCGAUAUGAGUUACUUGGGAUAGUUUCUUUGAUACGAUAUGGACACUUUCCAUAAAUUGGAUCCUUAGUCCCAACUAGCAAAAUCAAUUCCUAAAUGAGGUCGCUAGUGUGAAAUUAUUUGGGCCUAACCGUUUUGUUGUAUGCCCAAGCCGCUUUAGCUUUAUUUUCCUUGUUUUUUUUCUAAUGACCACAGUCUCAAUUCUAUUAGGUCCCUAGUAUUGAUAUUCAUCAUUAUUGCAUACUCACCAACCUAUAAACCAUUCCAAAAUGUUACCAUUCUGUUGAAUGCAAUUUUUGUGGUGCUGUUAGUGCAGGAGAUAUCCAGAGCCACCUGCCAGAAGAAAGCAGAGGAAGAAAAAAACAAAACAAAUUAUUAGCUGGUGUAUAGAUAUAUAUACAGUGGUAUACGGCCAGAAAAAGUGGAAGAAGAGCACCCGUAUAAGCAUCUACGGAUGACCAAAUUGGCAUGGCCACAAGCACUGAAGUUUAUUAGGAUUAUUAUUCAUUUAGAUCAAAUUAGUUCCUAUUUUCUAGAGUAAGUCAGUUUUAUGUUUGGUCAGGGAUAAACUAGAAAGUUAAGUUGUUUAGAUUUUUAUGGAGUCGGUUCCUAUUUUCUAGAGUGAGUCGGUUGUAGAUGGAUUAUAAAGCCUUAUUGUAAUAAUGCAGAGAGGGCAGAACCUAUAGUUAUCAUUUCAUUUAAUCUAGUAUCUAUUAUCUUCGUUCCUCUUUGGUGCUUUAUUGAGAAAAGCAUUCGAGUUUCUCUGCGAAAGUGAGAUCAACGCCUGCUGCUCAACCAAUUUUUGGUAGCAACAGACGCCUGCUGCUCAACCAAUUUCUGGUAGCAACAGAUUUGGCGACUCCGCUGGGGAGCGAUUUGCAAUCAUUAUCGCCAAUCAUAGUCAGGGCUAUGGAGGAAAAGACAGCGAAGAAGGCGACACCGGACAAAUCUGAAGUUCAUCCCUUGAACGUGAUCAAGGUCACGAUGGAGGACCUUACAGAGGCAGACCGGAUGGAGAUUGAAGAAGAAAUCGCACGAGAGAUGGAGGAGAAACGGAACGAGAGAUUGGCUUGCUUUCGAAAAACCAAGAAUGGUGUGAUCAAACAGAUUGGUGGGGCAAGCACGUCCAGCAAGAAGGUAAGUUCAUCUGUCACUUGUGAAGAACUAGCUCACAUGAUUGAUACCGCCGUAGCUAGCAAAUAUGGGACUGAUGUCACGGAAAUAACACACAUGAUUUCUGAGGGAGUGCGCAAUUCUUUUGACACAUUUUGAUCUGAGUUUAAGCAAGAUAUGAAUAAUAAUAUGCCUAGACAGAUCCGAUCUAUAGUUCAACAGAUUCAAGGAGAAUUGCAGGGUAAGCGUGUAGAAAAUCUUUCAUAUGCGCCUAGUUAUAACAGAGCAGUUGCGCAUAAUGAUGUAAACCAAACUGUUAAUGAGAGGAGUGGGGAUUCAGUAAUGAACUUUAACCUACAGCAGCCAUAUUAUCAGAGUAUGGCAUACGGGCCAUCUAUUCCACCUAUAGGGAACAAGAUCCCACAAGGAUUUGUUCCAAAUGAUUACAGGAUUGGAGAGCAGAGAGCGUUGUUAUCAGCAUCGGGAGUCACACAUACAACAGCUGAGGGUGAGAGAUCUGAGGGUGUUAGAGAACAGGUGGCAAGGACUCUCAGGGAAUUUGGUUUUGAGCCCAAAGGGCAUACUAGGUCAUAUAGGAAGCCCUAUCCUGAAUUUUUUGACACUGUGCCAUAUCCUCGAGGUUUUAGAAUCCCGGACUUUGUGAAAUUUUCUGGGGAUGAUUCAAAAACUACCUACGAGCAUGUAGGACAAUACCUAGCGCAGGUAAGUGAAAUUGGUAUAACAGAUGCCCACAAAGUGAAAUUGUUUCCUUUAUCAUUAUCUAGUACCGCUUUCAAUUGGUUUACAUCUUUAGCACCAAAUUCAGUUACUACGUGGGCAUGUUUAGAGCAGAAAUUUCAUGAUUAUUUUUAUUGUGGUGAUACUGAACUCAGGCUAUCACAUCUUACCAUGGUUAGGCAGAAAUAUAAUGAAACUGUUUCUGAAUACAUCAGAAGGUUUAGAGAAACAAGAAACAAAUGUUAUAGCUUAGCUUUAGGGGAAAAGGAUCUGGCCGAUUUAGCUUUCGCAGGGUUAUCAUCCUAUCUUAGGGAGAAACUAGAGGGGCAAGAUUUUACUGACAUAAACCAAGUCAUGCAGCGUGCUAUCACCCAUGAAAGUCGUGCUAGGGACAAUAAACAGUAUAGCCGAUUUAGAGAUACGAAUGGCAGGGAGAAAGAGAAGCAGGGGGUUAACAUGUUAGAGCCCAAUAAUGACAGUGAUGAAGAGACAGAUGUAUGUGUGGCUGAAUGGGUAGAUGCGCCAAAGGGUAGGCCCAUGACGUGUGCUUUUUUAAAGCCAAGUCUAGGGAAAAGGGAAGAGAUGAAAUAUACAUUUGAUGUGUCCAAGUGUGAUAAAUUGUUUGACAUCUUAUUACAUAAUAACAUCAUUAGAUUAAGGGAGGGGCAUGUGAUACCACCCCCUGAGCAAUUGGCUAAGAAAGAUUACUGUAAAUGGCAUAAUUCAUUUUCUCAUUCUACUAACGAGUGUAAUUAUUUUUGUCGUCAGAUACAAUCGGCCCUAGCUGAUGGACGAUUGACAUUUGGAGAAGCUAACAAAAUGAAGCUUGAUAAAGAUCCGUUCCCUAUCAAUGUAAUUGAUUUCGAGGGCAAAAGAGUGUUAGUUCGGACAGAUCAGGCCGAAACUACUAAAGGCAAGAAUGUGGUUAUCUCUGAUGAUCUCAAACUCAAGAUGAUAAAACCGAAGAGUCCGGAAGUCGGUGUGUGGAAAAUAAACGAGAGAAAAACGGUUCAGUCUGUCUUUAAACCGACUUCUGAAUUUUUGAUCAAUAAAUAUACUUCACAAUGGAAAAGAAAUGAGUUCCAGCAUCCUAGAGGUUUCAAGAGACCCAGGACUCCAGAAUGGGCACGAGGCAGUUUCUUUGGACAGAGGGGAGGGCCGUUGAACUGGAGAAGCAGGGAAGACUGUGCUCAUGCAGAAAGCCAAUAUUCGUUCUCACAACGUGAAUUCCCGAAGCGGCCAUAUUUGGAGACAGAGCGAAGGCAUGGAGGUGGAGUGUGGAGCAGGCUAGGGAGAAGUAUGGGGAGUCGGCCCUGGGCUAUUGCCAUAUCAAAAGGCCCCGAGGAGUUGCGCUCGCAGAUUCAAAAGAAAUGGGUUUCUCGCAACCCAGCAGAUGCCAGAAGGCUACAUAUGGGCAAAAAACAGAAGAAGGGGGUGUUAUUGUUGAUGGGCGAGAUGAGCCACUGAGCAAAAGAUGCUCAAAAGUCAUAGUGGGAACAGUGGAGUGCGACAUAUUAAAUGAUACAGAAGGUUCCCAGGCAGAGGUGGCAAAGCAGAAUGGUCAGGUGGUUGUCACUAAGAUUUACACAAAGAAGGGUGAGGAAAUGGCAGCUAAGCCAAGCAUAGGGCAUGGACGCGUAGCUGCUGCUAAGACAAACAAAUCACAAGGGAGCAUGCUGCGAAGUGGUGGUGAUCAAGGGGUGAGCAGCAAGCGCAUGAGGCUUGACGUAGGGGCUGCACGAGAAAUGAAUAACUUUGCUAGCUGGGAGGGUGAACGCAGGGCUGAAAUGAUUGCAAAUCAACGCAUAGUUGGUCCCGGUGUUAUGAUGGAUGGCCACUAUAGGGGGGAGCAUCACACAUUGGCCGAACAAUCAGGUUGCAGUAAUAAGCAAAGAGCAAUACCAGCAAGAAUGUCGGUCAGAGAACAGGUUGAUACAGGCGAAAAAAUAUGUUGAUUGAUGUCACCCAGAAUGUAGGUCCUACUGGUCGAGCUUCAGCUGGCAGUGUACUGGAUGUGGGGGACAAGAAAAAUCAUGGUUCAGUUGCGCCCAGUACAAAACCAGCAUCGAGAUGGUGUCCACCUGGAUUAAGCCGUACGCAAAAGCGUCGUGUCCAGCGGUUGAGGACUAUGGAAAUGACAAAAAAGAUGGAAGAGGAGGAAUGUGACAGAUGGUUUAACGAGGAUAGGCCAAUGGUUAUCCCUAAGAAAACGUGGAGGGAGAAACGAUUGGCCAGGGAGGAAAAAGAUGAUGACAACAGCAAUGGUUCCGAUAAAGAAGAAAGCACUGAAGCACAAGGGGGCAUGGAUAUAAACAUGGUGUUUGUUUUACCUACUGAGUUCGGAGCAGGAGAGGGAGAUGUGGCUGAGCUAACAUUGGGGGCUGAGCGUGCUGUGUUUGAAAAAACAAGUGAGCAGGGAUCUCAUCUAAAACCAUUAUAUGUUCGUGGUCACAUUGAUGGGAAGCCAAUGGGGGGCAUGUUGGUCGACGGGGGAGCAGGUGUGAAUGUGAUGCCGCUAUCCGUGUUUUCUAAGUUAGGAUACAAAGAGAGUGAGCUAAUUAAGACGAAUAUGAAUCUAAGUGGGUUUUCAGGGGAGCCAUCACAAGCAAAAGGAAUUAUGUCUGUUGAACUCACAGUGGGCAGCAAAACUGUCCCAACGGCCUUUUUCGUGGUGGAUGUGAAAGGGAGGUAUAAUGUUUUGCUAGGGCGAGACUGGAUACAUGCUAAUGGUUGUGUGCCAUCUACUUUGCAUCAGUUUUUGGUUCAAUGGGUAGGUGAUCAGGUGGAGGUGAUUGAAGCAGACACCGCUAUGUGUAUCGCACUCAUGGAAAACGCCAAUGGAAUGGCAGCACAGUAAUAUGCGGUGUUUGACAGGAAGAGAUUUGUCAGGAUAUGAUUUUAUCAGUGUAGAGCGAGAUAGUUUUGUGCCUAUUCAUGUAAAGCCGGCUGACAUAGCACGGCUCAAUGACUCAGCAUUAUAAAUGAAUGAACACGAUAAUUUAAAAUGGUUAAAGGAGAGGACAGAUGAAUAUCGUUUAAACAAAAACGAUAUGGGUGAGGUGGUGGAUGAUUUUGAUGACCUUGGAAAGUUAGGACAGGGGUUCUCAUCUGUUGAUGAACUAGAGGAAGUCGAUAUUGGAGACGGAAAGGUGCCAAGACCAACAUUUGUAAGUGCUAAAUUAAUAGCCGAUCAGAGGCAAAAGGUAUGUGAUUUACUUAGAGAAUUUAGAGACUGUUUUGCAUGGGAUUAUACUGAGAUGCCAGGGCUGAGUAGGGAGUUGGUUGAGCAUAGGCUACCAAUUAAGCAUGGGUUUAGGCCACAUAAGCAGCCACCUAGACGAUUUAACCACGACAUCCAUGACAGAGUUAAGGAAGAAGUUGAUCGGCUGUUGAAAGCAAAUUUCAUAAGGCCAUGCAGGUAUGCGGAAUGGAUCUCCAAUAUAGUGCCGGUUGAGAAGAAGAAUACAAGGAAGAUCAGGAUUUGUGUGGAUUUUAGGGAUCUAAACAGGGCCACCCCGAAAGAUGAAUACCCAAUGCCUAUAGCCGAUGAACUUGUUAAUCAGGCUUCAGGGAAUAAAAUCAUUAGUUUUUUGGACGGUAAUGCAGGGUAUAACCAGAUUUUUAUGGCCGAAGAGGAUGUAUCUAAGACAGCCUUUCGUUGCCCUGGUUUUGUGGGGUUGUUUGAAUGGGUUGUGAUGACAUUUGGAUUAAAGAAUGCUGGUGCAACAUAUCAACGGGCCAUGAACCUUAUUUUUCAUGAUCUUUUGGGCAUUGUGUUAGAAAUCUACAUUGAUGAUGUUGUGGUGAAAUCGGCUGCUUUCAGUGACCAUUUAGCCGAUUUACGGUUGGCAUUGGGGAGGAUGCGAAAGUAUGGUUUAAAGAUGAAUCCCCUCAAAUGCGCAUUCAGAGUGUCGGCUGGUAAGUUUUUAGGCUUUAUGGUGCAUGAGCACGGGAUUGAGAUUGAUCCAAAAAAGGUGGAAGCAAUUGAUAAAUUGGGAGAGCCGACAUGCAAAAGAGACGUUCAAAGGUUAUUAGGAAAGAUUAAUUACUUGAGGCGAUUUAUAUCAAAUUUGGCCGGCAAAAUUGAGUCAUUCGUACCUCUUAUUCGGCUUAAACAUGAAUCUGACUUUAAGUGGGGAGCUGAACAGAGGGAGGCAUUCGCUGUUAUUAAGGGAUAUUUGGCAAAGCCGCCAGUGCUUAAAGCAUCCAAGGCAGGAGUGCCUUUCAAAUUGUAUAUUGCAGCACAAGAGAAGGUAAUCGACGCUGUUUUAAUACAAGAACAUGGUGGGAAAGAGAGUGUGGUGGCCUAUUUAAGUCGUCGUCUGCUGGACAGCGAGAGCAGGUAUGUGUUCAUUGAAAAACUCUGCUUAUCCUUGUAUUUUGCAUGCACCAAGUUUCGACAUUAUUUGCUCUCAAGUACUUGUACUGUAGUAUGUCAAAUGGAUGUGGUUAAAUAUAUGUUGCAAAAGCCGAUUCUUAGUGGUCGAGUGGGAAAGUGGGCAUAUGCUUUGAUAGAGUACGAUCUAAUUUAUGAGUCUUUAUCUUCUAUGAAAGGGCAAGUUAUAGCUGAUUUUAUAACUGAUCAUAGGGUUGAUGUAGAGCAGGAAAUCUCAUAUCUUGAUAUUCGUCCUUGGCAAUUAUUUUUUGAUGGUUCUGUGUGCAAAGAAGGGCAGGGAAUCGACUAUGUUUUAGUGUCACCAAAUGGUUUAUUGCAUGAAACAUCAAUUAAGAUUGAAUAUUGUUGCACUAACAAUCAGAUUGAGUAUGAGGCUUUGUUGUUUGGGUUGAUGCAUUUAGAUGGUAUGGGAGUAAAAGAUAUAGACGUGUUUGGGGAUUCGUUGCUUGUGGUACAGCAGGUGAGAGGGGAAUUUCAAUGUUUAGAUGGAUGCUGCAUAAUUAUUUAGACAAAUGUCUAGAUAUUAUUAAAAAAAUGGAUACUUUCACUAUUGUGCAUAUAUCUAGAGAUAAGAAUGGUAGAGCUAAUUUUUUGGCACAACAAGCAUCGGGAUAUAACAUAGAGAGAGGGCAGUUCUUUAUCCAGAAAGAGCCAAUGUUUGCAGGCAUCAAUAGUAUAGAAAGGAGUAACUUAGGCCAUAAAAAAUUCGAGGUCGAGCAGCAAGAUGGGAUGGAUAAUGCUGAUUGGAGAACACCAUUAAUCGAAUGUCUGCAAAACCCCAGCAAUACCAAAGAUAGAAAUGUUCGGAGGCAAGUUUUGAAAUAUACUUUAAUGGAGGGUGAGUUGUAUAGACGGACGAUAGAUGGUUUGCUGCUGAAAUGUUUAGAUGAGGAGGAGUCAAAAGUAGCUAUGGGUGAGGUCCAUGAGGGUAUGUGUGGCACUCAUCAGUCAGCCCAUAAAAUGAGGUGGAUGCUAAAACGGGCAGGGUUUUAUUGGCCGACCAUGAUGGAGGAUUGUUUUAGAUAUUUCAAAGGGUGUGAGGCAUGUCAAAAGUUUGGGGAUAUUCAGUCAGCGCCAGCUAGCACAUUGCAUCCUAUUAUAAAACCGUGGCCAUUUAGAGGGUGGGGUUUAGAUUUUAUUGGUGAAAUUCAUCCAUGCUCAUCUAGAAGGCAUCGGUUCGUGUUGGUGGCUACUGAUUAUUUUACUAAAUGGACUGAAGUUGUGCCUUUAAAAAAUAUGACGCAUAAGGAAUUAAUUAGUUUUGUAUUAGAGCAUAUUGUAUACAGAUUUGGCAUUCCACAAACAUUAACAACAGAUCAAGGAGCUGCUUUUAUGUCUCACCAAUUUAAAGAUUUUGCCAAAUCUUUGCGGAUCAAGUUAUUGAAUUCGUCGUCGUAUUAUGCGCAAGCUAAUGGGCAGGCCGAAUCUAGCAACAAGGUGUUGAUCAGGUUGAUAAAGAAGAAGAUUACAGAACAGCCGAAGAGGUGGUAUGAAGUGUUGUCAGAGGCGUUAUGGGCUCAUCGGGUAUCUCGACAUGGAGCAACUAAAGUAACACCAUUUGAAUUGGUUUAUGGACAAGAGGCGGUGCUUCCUAUUGAGGUUAAUUUACAGGCUUGCAGAGUAGCUUGUCAGAAUUCGUUAUCGGCUGAGGUGUAUGGUGAGCUAAUGCUAGACAAAAUUGAUGGGAAUAAUGAAAGUCGAUUAACAGCUUUAAGGGAAAUAGAGAAGGAAAAGCUGAGAGUAGCGAAAGCUUAUAAUAAAAAGGUGAAGGAGAAAUCGUUUCAGAUUGGAGAAUUGGUAUGGAAAACGAUUUUACCCGUGGGAGUCAAAAAUAAUAAAUUCGGAAAAUGGUCGCCGAAUUGGGAAGGACCAUUCAAAGUUGUAGGUAUUGUGCACGAGAAUGCAUAUUUCGUUGAGGAUUUGCAAGGAAAGAAAUUACCCAAAGCACUCAACGGUAAGUAUUUGAAAAAGUACUAUCCUAGCGUGUGGCAGGGGGUGUGCUAAGAUUUGAAACUAGUAGCGGAGUUAGAGUCUCCUUAUAGUUGGAGCCGGGUAUAAUCUAAUAAUUCUUAUACUGGCUGAAGUGAGCAGGCCGUAUGAGCACAUAAUAGCACAUGUAGAAUCGAUUUGGGGAAGGAUGUACCUUUCGGUGAGUGCUCUGCGGAUGGAGGUCGAUUGCUGGCAGUGGACGACCGGUUGGAGGAGUUUCGAGCUCGAGCGCUUGGAGAUUUGAGCUGGCGGAGCGAUGUCCGAGGACGCCGCGCACAGCCGUCGUCGCGCUGGGUCGAUCUGGCCUAGUCGCGCUGGCCGCAGCACCGGAGGUAGCCACGACGCUCCUGAAAUGAAGACCAGCCCGUAGGGAAAGCCCGGUCGCCACAGCACACCAAAUUUCUUGGAACCCUAGCAGUGGCUGAUGGAUGCAAAUAUGUUGGUCAGAGGCAGCUUCGAUGCGCUGGAGAACGAUGCGCUGAACGGCUGGAGAACGAAAAAGGUAAAGGGCUGGACGUACAGGUUGUUUGGGCUGAUUUCAGUACAGGAGAUGGGCCCAAGAUUGAUAUUGGCUGAAGACAUGGCCGAUAGGUGUCAUCGUCCUAAAAGAAAAAAAGGGAAAGUAUUAUAUAUAUAUAUAUAUAUAUAUAUAUCACAUGAUUGAGAGCCGAUUUAAUAUGGAAUCGUUGCUAAGUUGUGUUUUUCGACACACUAUGUUCAUUCGAAAAACAGGGGGGCAUGUGUUGAAUGCAAUUUUUGUGGUGCUGUUAGUGCAGGAGAUAUCCAGAGCCACCUGCCAGAAGAAAGCAGAGGAAGAAAAAAACAAAACAAAUUAUUAGCCGGUGUAUGGAUAUACAGUGGUAUACGGCCAGAAAAAGUGGAAGAAGAGCACCCGUAUAAGCAUCUACGGAUGACCAAAUUGGCAUGGCCACAAGCACUGAAGGUUAUUAGGAUUAUUAUUCAUUUAGAUCAAAUUAGUUCCUAUUUUCUAGAGUAAGUCAGUUUUAUGUUUGGUCAGGGAUAAACUAGAAAGUUAAGUUGUUUAGAUUUUUAUGGAGUCGGUUCCUAUUUUCUAGAGUGAGUCGGUUGUAGAUGGAUUAUAAAGCCUUAUUGUAAUAAUGCAGAGAGGGCAGAACCUAUAGUUAUCAUUUCAUUUAAUCUAGUAUCUAUUAUCUUCGUUCCUCUUUGGUGCUUUAUCGAGAAAAGCAUUCGAGUUUCUCUGCGAAAGUGAGAUCAACGCCUACUGCUCAACCAAUUUCUGGUAGCAACAGACGCCUGCUGCUCAACCAAUUUCUGGUAGCAACACAUUCUUGAUCUGUGCUGAUUUACCAUGGAAUUAUGGCCUCCUAACCAUAAACUAGUUGGUAGGACAAGUUCUUGGUUGCCUCAUGACAAGACAUCAUGUAAGCCCAUAAUGCUUCUACCAACUUGUCAUGUCAUUGUUUCAGGUACUCAUUGAUCUUACGCUUGAUCAACUUGAUUAAGUUUUUAUUUGAUGCCUCGGUAUUUCCAUUGGCCUGAGCAUAAUAUGGUGAUGACUAACCAGGAUGACUCCUAUUUCUUUAGAAAACUUUCCAAAUUCUUCUGAUAUGAACACUAUCUAUUGAGGCCACAGACCCAUGUGCCUAAUAAGUAGAACAAGCGGUAUGCCUCAUACAUGUGGUGUGUUGGGUUUCUCAACCUAGCCUAAGUAGUGACCUCUGGGUUACUUGCCCUUGACCUAGCACUACUCACCACUGGCAUGGACCAACAGUAGCCGAAGACCCACUCGUUUCACCUUCCUUAUGGUGAGAUAAUGAUCACAAUAUAAGAUGUUGCCCUAAUCUUUUGGAUGUCUUUACAUAGACUCCAUGUCAUUAAUUGGGGUUGUGGACCUGAGAACUAGAUGGACCUAGUGGGGGAGUACUAUAGGAUUAGGCCACCUGAGGAUGCUGAGGCUGAUAGGUCCAAGUAAGUACAACAUAAAUCAAGUAUGUUCCAUUAUUAUAAAACAUUAUUUGUUCUCACGUUGUUUUUGUUCUUUCACAAGAGAACGUUAGGGGUGCCCUAUAGUCAGAUCUGUCUCCACUUAGGUAUCUAUUCACUAGGUGCUACCAAGUUGAGGUCAAGAGGCACAUUAGAGUGUGGCUCUGGCACUUUGUAGCUACUUUCUUAUUCCCCAACACUUCUGGCAACAAUAUCAAUUGGGCGAUGCUACAGAUCCUUAAUAAGGAGAGGGAGAACAUAAGUCAGUUUAGCUAGGGCACCACAGAUCUAUCUUGGAUGUAGCGACAUCUCGCAUAGCCUACCAUCGUGAUGUCGCAAACAUUAGCAUGUGUGGUUGUUCUUACCUGGUUUAGUUGUCAUGUUUGGAUCAUUGGUCCGUUAGGAGACCUAACCUUUGUGGUUUUUGAAAGUUGCCUAGAGGGGGGUGAAUAGGCGAAACCUAAAAUUUAUAAACUUAAAUGCACACUAAGGUCGAGGGUUAGCGUUAGAAUUAAAUUCAAGUCCGAAGAGAGGGAACAACAAAUCAAACAAGAAUCAAGGCGAUUGAACACGAUGAUUUGUUUUACCGAGGUUCGGUUCCAAAGAACCUAGUCCCCGUUGAGGAGGUCACAAAGACCAGGUCUAUUUCAACCCUUUCCCUCUCUCAAACGGUCACUUAGACCGAGUGAGCCUUCUCCUUAAUCAAUCGGGUCACUAAGAUCCCGCAAGGACCACCACACACUUAGGUGUCUCUUGAUUUGAUUACAAGUCACUUGAGAGCAAGAAUGAGAAAGGAAGAAAGGCAUUCCAAGAAACAAGAGCGCAAAAGAACACGAACACACACUCUCUCAAGUCACUAAAUGGUUGAGAUGAAUUCUAGACUUGGAGAGGGUUUGAUCUUUGGAAAUGUGUCUUGGAGUGGAUGCACUAGCUCUUGUAUUGAAUGUGAUCUCUGAAAAACUUGGAUGCCAAAGGUUGUGGUGGUUGGGGGUAUUUAUAGCCCCCAACCACCUUGGUAGCCGUUGGCCAAGGCUGCUGGCGAUGGGCGCACCGGACAGUCCGGUGCGCCACCGGACAGACACUGUUCCUUGUCUGGUGCGCCGCCAUGUCACUUAACCGUUAGGGUUCUGAGUUGGUCGACCAUUGGAGACUUUGUCUUCUUGCCACACCGGACAGUCCGAUGCCCUCUGACUUCGCUGCUCUGACUUCUGUCGCGGCACUGUAGCUGUGAUAUCCUGGCCCCUGGGAUGGUGAUUUCCUGGCCCAAGGCUUAAUAGAAUUAAUAGAGUAUCCAUACCAAUAAGGUGCAUCUUCUUUUUUGGAAGCCUAUAUCAAAAGAACCUCCAAUUUAAGCGUGCUUGGCUUGGAGCAAUUUGGGAUGGGUGACCGACCGGGAAGUUUUCUCGGGUGCGCAUGAGUGAGGACAAAGUGUGCACAAAAGUAUCGUGUUGGUCUAUGGGGACAAUAUAUGAUCCUAGAGAGCUGCCAGAAGUAAGUACCGCCGCUCCAGGGAUUGGACGAGAUGUUACAAGUGGUAUCAGAGCCGACCCUCGCGGUUUCACGGGCGUGUGUGGGUUAGGGGGUUCAGGUAUAUGGCGCAUGUGGGCCCAAAGUGGUCACAUGGCAUGGCAUAUGACGACACUAGACACACAGACGUGGCUAAGAGGGGAGGUUCCUGAAUUGGGGUUGACCAACGAGGACGUUGGUAUUCUAAGGGGGGGUGGAUUGUGAUAUCCUGGCCCCUGGGAUGGUGAUUUCCUGGCCCAAGGCUUAAUAGAAUUAAUAGAGUAUCCAUACCAAUAAGGUGCAUCUUCUUUUUCGGAAGCCUAUCUCGAAAGAACCUCCAAGUUAAGCGUGCUUGGCUUGGAGCAAUUUGGGAUGGGUGACCGACCGGGAUGUUUUCUCGGGUGCGCAUGAGUGAGGACAAAGUGCGCACAAAAGACUCGUGUUGGUCUGUGGGGACAAUAUAUGAUCCUAGAGAGCUGCCAGAAGUAAGUACCGUCGCUGCAGAGAUUGGACGGGGUGUUAUAUUUGUGCAAUCGCUAUCGAUUAUCUAACUUGAACCACCGGAUGCAUAAACCUACAAAACAAUUUUAGGCCUUGUUCUUAGGUACCCAAACGGUCUUGGGUUCUUACACAUUAGAAACAAGCACCUUGGGUACCCAAACACAGGUCUUAGGACUCUUGUGUUUGCCCCCAACAUAUUUGGCAACUAUUUUGCCUGAUUUGUUAGUUAAAACAUAAGAUGCAUCAAAAGUCUUAAAUGAAACAUUAUGUUCAUUUGAUGCAGCGGGAAUUUUCUUUCUAGACAUUUUAACAUGAGUGGUAUGCCUAGAGCUAGAAGCCUCAUUUUUAUACAUAAAUGCAUGGUGAGAAACAUUGUGAGGUUUUCUAGCAUGAAUCUGAGGUUUUCUAGCAUGAAUCUUCCUAAUUUUGUGUUCGAGAUAGUUUGCAGGGUAUAAAAUGUAGCCUUCACUAUCCUGAACCAUGGGAGCUUUGCCCUUAACAAAAUUAGACAGUUUCUCAGGGGCAUUAAGCUUGACAUUGCUCCCCUGUUGGAAACCAGCGCCAUCCUUAAUGCCAGGGCAUCUCCCAUUAUAGAGCAUGCUACGAGCAAAUUUAAUUUUUUCAUUUUCUAGUUCAUGCUCAGUAAUUUUAGCAGUUAAUUUAGCUAUGUGAUCAUUUUGUUGUUUAAUCAUGACAAGUUGAUCAUCAAUAGCUUCAACAUUAACAUCUCUACAUCUAAUGCAAAUGGAAACAUGCUCAACAGUAGAUGUAGAAGGUUUGCAAGUAUUUAAUUCUUCUAUCUUAGCUUUUAACAUGGCAUUUUCAUUUAUAAGACAUGAAAUAGAAUCAAUGCAAACAUUCAACUUUUCAAUCUUAGAAAUUAAACUAUCAUUCUCAGUUUUAAGACUUGAAAUUGAAUCAUGACAAAUGCUAAGCUCCUUAGAUAAGUUUUCACAUUUUUCUAUUUCCUGAGCAUAAGCAUUUUUCAAUUUAACAAAUUUUUUGUUUUCUUUAAUAAGGAAGUCCUCUUGGCUUUCCAAGAGGUCAUCCUUCUCAUUAAUGGUUUCUAUUAAUUCAUUUAAUUUUUUCUUUUGAUCCAUGCUAAGGUUAGCAAAAAGAGCAAGUAAAUCAUCUUCAUUAUCGCUAGAGCUACCAUCAUCACUAUUCACUAGAUGUUGUAUAUUUGGGGGUGGCUCUAGAGUGUACCUUCUUGUCGUCUGUAACACCCUGAUUUUGGGGUAUAAAAUUUCUUUCUAAUUAUCACCCAAAAUCAUGUGUUACUCUUCCUUUUCUCACUCUAGGCUUUCUCUCUCUCUAGAUUCUUUCUCCCUUUUUCCUUUUGAUUAGAACUAACUUAAACUAGUGGAGAUUAAUUAUUUAUUUUUGUCAAAACCUUAUGAGUCAUGACAUGUUGCAUCAUGCUGAGCUUAAAAUAUUCUUUGAAGUAUUGCACAAGUUUGAAUUUAUUUGAAUUUGAAACCUAGUUUGAAUUUGGAUUUGAAACUCUAUAGAAAAAGAAAUGGAAAAGGAAUUAGAAAAUCCAGAGAAAAAGGAAAAGAGAAAGCAGCCCAGUCGGCCCACUAAGCCCAGCCAAGCCGCGCGCCGGUGCCGCCUGACAGGCGGACCCUGCCUGUCAACGGCAGUUCUCCCUCGCGCGCGCCCUCUCUCUCUCUCUCUCGCUGCCCAGUGGGGCCGAUCUAUCGGCGCCCAAUUUUCUCCCCCGCGCGCUCCCUCUCUCUCUGUCUCGUGGGCCCGGAUCGCCAGUCGCCGAGCCGUUGCCCCGCGCACCCCUUUCUUCUCUCUCUGCACCGUGGGCCUGACCUGUCAGUUCCGCCCCCUCCGCGCUCACCGUGGACCGGCGCGUGCGCACACGUCGCCGGAUUUCUCGGCCACGACGCCCGCCCACGUGCCCAGCUCCCUUCUUAGAGCCCCGCCAAUGCCCCGCGCACAUCCCUCGCCUUAUUUUGCUCAGCUUCACCCUCUCUCGCGCUCUACCCACGCCGCCAGCCGCUGCCAGAGACCCGCUGCCGGAGACCCGCGCCCGCGUUCUUGGCCAUCCAGCUCGCCGAAGACCGUCCCAAGCCUCCCCGAGCUCCGCCCCGAGGUGAGACACCCGUCCCUGUGCCCAAUUUCCCCUAUUGCGCCCUAUGUUCGGCCAAUUUUGCCUUCGCCGGUGCUCGACCGCGACGGACCGCCGUGCUCGCGCGGUGGCCGACCAAUUUAGCCCGGUCUAGUUCCCCGGCGUUAGUCCCUAAGGUGCCUCUGCCUCUGCUGAAGCUAGCCAAGGCCUUAGCGCGCCUUAAGUCUCUUCCCCGUGGCCGGAAUGGCUCACCGGAGUUGCUCCGGCCCGACCGAGGCUUCCUCACCGCCGUUCUCCCUUCUCUGCCCGUGGAUUCAUGGCCUCUUCCCCGCCAUUGAGUUCGCCGUGGCGCCCUCUCCCUCUCUGCCCAACUCCGGCGACCCCGGAGCCACCCUAGCCCGCGCCAGCCUCAACUCCGGCGACCUCACCGCCGCGGAGAGGAGCGGCGCCGCCCACAGACAUUCAACCCCCUCGGUCUGAUCCCUUCCGUCCAAUUCAGAUCGAACGGCUCAGAUCACAGAUAACGCUUCGCGCACGCACGCCCCAGCGCCCUGGCCCGCAUGUCAGCGCCCAAACCCUCUAGCGCUAGGCCCGCUCGUUCAGUGCGCUCCCCCCCUCUGUCGCUGACACUCCCUGGGCCGCCUGUCAGCGCUCACCCGCAGAUCUAAUCUCAGCCGUUGGUUUUAGACCUGACGGUUAAAUUCACCCGAUACCCCUUUGCGCGUUAGUUUUCUUAAAGAGACCCUCGGUUUAUUGGAAAUCAACCCACCGUCCCUGGUUUUCGCCCGCAGGCCCCUGUAAUCUUGCAGAUUUAGCCCUGAACUUUUAAAUAUUCACAGAAUUAGCCCUAAUUUCAUAUUUUGAAUCCCCAAACUUGUUUAUUUCGUAACUUUUGCAUAUGAACUCCAAAUUUAGUGAUUCAAAUUGUAAAAUGUUCAUAGAAUUAUUCUCUGUUUAAAUAAAAUGGUUUCACUUACUAUCUGCACACUCUAAUUUUUAGGAUUGAAUAUGAACUAAUGUAGAUGUAUUUUUAUUUAUUUAAUAAAAUAAAUAAAAGGAGAACCUUAGAGAUUUAAACAUGUGUAAGCUUUUGAGAUUAAUAAUGUGUAUUACAUGAGUUUACCUCUGUUCUAAAUUUUAGGUCACAAUAAAAUAAGUUGAACUAUGUUUAUGUACUUGUAAGUAACACUUAGGGGAAAUAAUAAUCUAUUUUCAAAUAAAGUUAAUGUAGGUUAUAGUUUAUGUUAUACUUUGAAUUCAUUAUCCCUUAUGUAGUAUUAUGUCUUUUUAAGAUGUGUUCCAAUGUUUGUACAUGUUUGGUGUGAUGUUCAUAUGUACUUUCCAAAUGUAUUGAAUACAUGCUCGCUUUAUUUAGACAACGAGCAGUCCGAGGUUCCUGAGUGUGUUGUUGGAGACCUCCCUGAGCAACCACCUGGUGAAGGCAAGUGUCCUCUGACCUAUUAUGUCCUACAUACUUUAUGAUUCACUAUCCCGCCUUACUUUAUGGAACCUAAGGAUUGACUAGUCUGUAUUCACUUAUCCUUGUUUACCUUUUGGGUUAUCAUGGUUAGCAUGUUGCUAUUGCCUUAACUUAAUCAAUAAACAUGAUGUGAACAUUUAUGAUACGAUACUGUUAUCCUGAUUAUGUGGAUGAUCUUGUGAUACCUUAGGGGGCUCAGGCCUUUUUCCUGAGUACCUCUCCGUAAGGACCUAUUCGUGGAGUGACCACCUGGGAUAACAUUGCAACCAUGAGGGUGGAACGGGAUGCCCUUAACUGAUUAAUUAGAUGAACCUGGGGGUGAGGGCCAUCAAUGGGGGCCAGAGCGUAGUGCUCGCUCUGCCAAGGUUGGGGUACAGAGGUUCUUUCGAUUUGGUUUUGUUAGUCACCCACCUUGGGGAGGUGUACUGCGUUUGUACGACUAGUGAAACCUAAUGAGCAGCUAUGCACCAGGGGAGUCUUUGUAAAGGCUACGUAGUGUAUCCCUGGCCAUUCACCUUGGUAGUGAAGAUCGGGUCUGUACAACCCAGGCUGGAAAGGGAACACGACUUGUGGGUAAAGUGUACAACCUCUGCAGAGUGUUAAAAACUGGUAUAUCAGCCGACCUCACGGUUAAGAGCAGCCUUGGGAUCCUCUUUGAUUAGAAGAACUUUGGAUACUUUUAUGAUGAUGAUUAAUAGUGAUGUUAUAAAAUUUGAUCUCUGGUAUUUCCUCUUGGAGGGAGUGCCUCUGGGUAAUAACUGGGUUUAUUACUAAAAGUUGGCUCUACUAAUAAUAAUAAAUACUUGACUAACCUAAAAGCAACUGCUUGACCUCAACCCCAUAUACAACUAGUCCACUUUAGCCAAACGAGACAUUUGCUAAGUACGUUGUUGUGUUUGCUUUACACACUACCCCCACCCCAGGUUGUCCCCAGUGUACUCAGUGCUUAGGAGGUGAUGCUGGCAACAUGGAUGACUUCGAGGAGUUCCAGGAAUAUGACGAGUUCUAGUUGUUUCUUAGUGGCAAACCCCCAGUCAGCUGCCUGUGUAGGCUUAGCAUCUACGUUUCGUAUUUCCGCACUUUGAUAGUUAUGUUAAAGACAAUGGUUAUGUAAUAGACUCUGUGGAUGUCUUGGACAUCUUGAUGUAAUAAAGUACCUUUCCGCUAUUUAUUUCGAGCAUUGUGUGAUGAUGUCCAAUUAUGUAACCGUUGUGUACGUGAGUUUCUGAUCCUGGCACGUACAUGGUUCCCAUUCAGUUUGCCUUCCAAAACCGAGUGUGACAUAAGUGGUAUCAAAGGCUUGCUGACUGUAGGACCGCUAACCUAGACUAAAAUGGUCGAUCUAAGGACUAUAGACCCUUACUCUUACCUUGACCUUAGAGUCUUUUCAAAAGUUGGUCAUCUUGACCAACUCUAUGUUAUUUACUUAUCUCAAAAGUUUUGUCUCACUUUUCUUUCUGUUCACUUCCUGGUCUAAUAGUUCUACUCUUACUCUUGUGCUUAAGAUGUCUUCUGUAGAUGGCCCGUAUCAGGUGCACUGCACGUAAGUCUUUGAUCCCCUUUUUGCCUUCUCGCCUAGCAAAGCGUCCACUGCGUCGCACGGUGCCAGGUCAGUCUAGCCACCUAGAGAGACUGCAUCGUCGCCUGCAUGAGGAGCAGGAGCGCCGACGCCAGGAGCAGGAGCAGUAGGACUCUUCCCCCUCGCCUCAGCAGGAGGUGGAGUCUGAGAGGCCACCUUCCUCUGCACCUCAGCCAGAGAUACCCCCUGCACCACCUCAGGGCACCCCGGCUACUAGAGGAGACCCUGACAGAGAUGGAGACGACGACGCCGGUGGCAGUUUGAGCCACGGCACGGAGCUCUCGAAGGAGCCGGAGCCAGAGGGAUGGAUCGCUAGACCCAUCACUCGUGACGCCGCUCGCGGGUGUCACUUCCAUGACGCUCUCGAUGCCCUGUUGCGUCGGGCCUUCGACUGACACACAUGGUCCAUCGAGUACCGUUGUGUAGUCUACCAGCAUCGUCGCGGGCUAUACCCGGACCAGUGGGAGGCUACUUGCUUGGUGCGCCAUCCGGACAAUGAUCUCCGGGGUGCAGAACCCUUCUUAGAGCACUAUUCUAUUACUGAGAGGGAUACUGCCGAGGCAGCCAUGCAAGAUGCAGCACGACGGGCGCUUUCUCAGUAUUGCUCGUUGUUCAGCAGGGUAGCUGAUGGCCUUGACCUGAAGUACUACCCUUGUCGUUCGACCGACAGUGCUGGAGGUGUGAUUGCCUCGCCAGUUGGUGAGGGCAAUCCCAGGCUGAACAACAUGGUCAACUUGGCUGCCGUGCUCAACACAGAGUUGGACCACGCCCUUGACGAGUUGGGCAAGGUUCGGGCGGAGGUUGCAGAAUUGCGUGCUGAGUGCACAGCACGCCACUAUCUCGAUGGUGGUUCUCCCGCCCCUAUCGGGAUUCAGCACCAUUAUCGUUCACCGCCCCGUGGUCGCUUCGACUAUGGUACCCCAAACUGCAGGACCCGGAUAGAUUUGGAUCCCUAGAUCGACAGAGUCGGUGUCUGUAAUAAUGCUUAGUUCAGUAUCUUAGUCUAGUCAGUCUUAGUUAGAGUUAGUUUACUUAUUUUAUGUUGGAUGCUUGUUAUGAUGGACAUGUACUGAAGUUGGAUAUUUGUAAUGAUUAUCACCAAGGUGUGGGUAUCCCCUGUAACUUGGUGUAGUUAUUAAUAAAGUCAGUUAUUUAGUUGGGUAAUCCAAUUGUUUCCACUUUCCUCUUUAUCUGAGAAGCUAUCAGUGAAGAUGGUCAAUUGUUCAGUUCUAUGAAGAUUUUCUAUACAUCUUUUCUUAUGUUGAAAGACUGCAGAGUCAGAUUUGAUUUAUGUGUGUGAUUUCUAUAGAUGUCUGAGAAUAGGCGCAGAGGUGCGAGGCGUGCUGAGCCUGAACAGCAUGCACCCCAAGAGGAAGCAGCCUCGCAGCAGCAUUUGCCACCACCACCACCGAUGACCAUCGAGCAGAUGUUCUUGAUGCAGACUCAAGCAGUCCAGGAAAUUGGUCAGACAUGAGCAGCUAUGCAGCAGGUGCAGCAGCAGCCACCACCGCCUCAGCCUCCAGUGCAAGUCCAGAUGCCUCAAAUGCCCAGAGACAAGCGGGCAGAGUUCAUAAGGGACCAUCCCCCAGUCUUUGCCCACUCUGCUGAUCCCAUGGACGCUGAAGAUUGGCUGUGUACCGUGGAGCAUGAGUUGCACACUGCCCAGUGCAACGAUCGUGAGAAGGUGUUGUAUGGUCCCCGACAGCUGAGGGGAGCAGCACAGUCUUGGUGGGAGUCCUACCUCGCCACCCAUGCCAACCCUGAAGCCAUCACUUGGGAGGAGUUCAGGGAUAACUUCCGUCGCUACCAUGUGCCCGAGGGACUGAUGAUAGUGAGGAAGGAGGAGUUUCUCACGUCGAAGCAAGGUCCCCUGUCUGUCAGCGAGUACAGGGAUAAGUUUCUGCAGCUGUCGCGUUAUGCCCCAGAAGAUGUCAACACGGAUGCCAAGAGGCAGUACCGCUUCUUGAUAGGAUUGGUUGAUCCUCUCCACUAUCAGCUAAUGAACCACACCUUCCCUACCUUCCAGCAUCUGAUAGACAGAGCAAUCAUGACAGAAAGGAAGCGUCGGGAGAUGGAGGAUAGGAAACACAAGAUUGGUGGACCUCAGGCUGGGAGUAGCAGCCAUCCUAGCUACUCAGGCAACCCACCUCAGCCAUUCAAGCAAGGUCACCAGCACCAGCACCAGCAUCAUCGUAAGAACCAGCAGCAGCAGUACUAGAGGCAGUUUCUUCAGCAGCAGCAGUACCGUCAGAACAACCAGCAAGGAGGAAAUCAAUACCAGCAUCAGAGCAACCAGGCAGCCCGUCUUCCUGCCCCAGCAACCAAACAGAACAAUCAAGCAGCGCCAACGCAAGGAGGAAGUCGUGCAUGUUUCCACUGUGGGGAACAAGGCCAUUGGGUGAAUCAUUGCCCAAAGAAAGCAGCUCAGCAGCAGCCAGCUCCCAAUGCCCAGUCAGACAGAAUGCAAUGCAGCUAGGAGGCAACAACCGUGGGCAACCUCGUGCCCAGUAUGGAAAGGUGAACCACCUGGAAGCCGACACAGUCUAGGAGACUCUAGGAGUGGCAUUAGGUACAUUUUCAGUCGAGUACCAUUCUGCAAAUGUCUUAUUUGAUACUGGAGCAACGCAUUCUUUUGUGACUGCAUCAUGGGUAGAAUCACAUAAUAUACUAGUAGCGCCCAUGUAUCCACCUAUGAGAGUUAGUUCAGUUGGUGGAAGGACCCAAACUGAUAGAUUUUGCCCUAGUGCAAAGGUUCAAAUAAGGGGGAUAGAGUUCCCCACUGAUUUAAUAGUUAUGGGUAACCAGGAUACAACUAUAGAUGUCAUCCUAGGGAUGAAUUGGUUAACCAAGUACCAAGCCUGUCUUAGCCGUGACAAGAGAACAUUGAAGCUAGUGUCCUUAUCAGGAGAAGAAGUGUUAGUGGAGUUGGUCUUGUCAGGACCAAGGAAAGGGAGUUGUCACCAAGUCACCGCCUGUAUUGAGGAGAUUAAACCAUCAGAAGCUAUCAAUGUAGUAUCAGAAUUCCCAGGUGUGUUUCCCGAGGAGUUACCAGGUAUGCCACCUGAAAGGAAGGUUGAAUUUGCCAUAGAGCUUAUACUAGGCACCACCCCUAUUUCCAAGAGAGCCUAUCGAGUGUCCGGACCGGAAUUGGUGGAACUCAAGAAGCAGAUUGAUGAGUUGUUGGAGAAAGGUUAUAUCAGACUGAGUACCUCACCUUGGGCAGCCUCAGUGUUGUUUGUGGAGAAGAAGGAUGGCACAAAGAUGAUGUGCAUUGAUUACAGAUCCUUGAAUGAAGUUACUAUCAAGAACAAGUACCCCCUGCCCAGAAUUGAGGAUUUAUUCGAUCAGUUGAGAGGAGACAGUGUGUUCUCGAAGAUAGAUCUGAGGUCAAGCUACCAUCAGCUCAGAAUCUGACCCUCGGAUAUAUCGAAGACAUCAUUCAUCACCAAGUAUGGACUAUAUGAGUUCACGGUCAUGUCAUUCGGUUUGACGAAUGCGCCAGUUUACUUCAUGUACUUGAUGAACAACGUGUUCAUGGACUACCUCGACAAGUUCGUAGUAGAGUUCAUUGAUGACAUUCUCAUAUAUUCCCAGAAUGAGCAAGAGCAUGAGGAGCAUUUGAGGAAAGUACUUCAGAGGCUACGAGAUUGUCAGCUGUAUGCCAAGCUUAGCAAGUGCGAGUUCUGGAUCAGUGAAGUCCUAUUCUUGGGUCAUAUUAUAAACCGAGAAGGAUUGGCUGUAGAUCCGAAGAAGGUAACAGCUAUCUUGGACUGGAAAGCACCAAAAGAUGUGCGAGGAAUCAAGAGCUUCAUCGGAAUGGCCGGUUAUUAUCGGCAUUUCAUUGAAGGUUUCUCCAAGAUUGCCAGGCCAAUGACAGCCUUGUUGGCAAAGAAGGUUGAGUUCAAGUGGACCCCAGCAUGCCAGAAGUCCUUUGAGACAUUGAAGGAGAAGUUGACAACGACACCAGUACUGAUUCUGCCAGAUGUUCACAAGCCAUUCUCAGUAUAUUGUGAUGCUUCGUAUACUGGACUGGGAUGUGUGUUAAUGCAGGAAGGGAGAGUAGUGGCAUACUCGUCCUGACAGUUGAAGAUUCAUGAGAAGAAUUAUCCUACUCAUGAUCUGGAAUUAGCAGUCGUGGUUCAUGCAUUGAAGACCUAGAGACAUUAUCUUUAUGGGCAGAAGUGUGAUAUCUACACGGAUCACAAGAGUCUCAAAUACAUAUUCACUCAGUCAAAGUUAAACAUGAGGCAGCGAAGAUGGCUAGAAUUGAUCAAGGAUUAUGAGCUGGAGAUUCAUUAUCACCCAAGCAAAGCAAAUGUGGUUGCAGAUGCUCUUAUUAGAAAAAGUCAAGUUAAUAUGUUGGCCGCUCACCCGAUGCCGUAUGAGCUAGCGAAGGAGUUCGACAGAUUGAGCCUCGGAUUUCUAAACAACACCCAAGGGGUGACAAUUGAGUUGGAACCCACUCUAGAGCAAGACAUCAGGAAAGGUCAGAAGGAUGAUGAGAAGAUCAAUGAGAUCCGCUAGCUGAUCAUAAAUGGAAAAGGCAAGGAUUUCCGUGAAGAUGCGGAAGGAGUGUUAUGGUUCAAGGACAGACUGUGUGUUCCCGACAUCAAAUCGAUCCAGGAACUGAUUCUCAAGGAAGCCCAUGAGACAACAUAUUCUAUACACCCCGGUAGUGAUAAGAUGUACCAAGACCUAAAGAAAAGAUUCUGGUGGUACGGUAUGAAAAGGGAGAUAGCAGAGUAUGUGGCUGUGUGUGAUAGUUGUCAGAGGAUUAAAGUAGAACAUCAGAGACCUGCAGGUUUGUUGCAACCGUUGCAGAUUCCUCAGUGGAAAUGGGAUGAGAUCGGAAUGGAUUUCAUAGUCGGUUUGCCCCGCACUCGUACUGGUUAUGACUCCAUCUGGGUAGUAGUGGACUAUUUGACAAAUGCGGCCCAUUUCAUACCAGUCAAGACCACCUACAACAGUGCGGUGUUAGCCGAACUAUAUAUUGCUCGGAUUGUGUGCUUGCAUGGCAUUCCAAAGAAGAUAGUAUCAGAUAGACACACCCAGUUCACCUCUCAUUUUUGGCAGCAGUUGCAUGAAGCUUUGGGCACACACUUGAAGUUCAGCUCAGCUUAUCACCCACAGAUAGAUGGUCAAACAGAGAGAACAAACCAGAUUCUGGAGGACAUGUUGAGGGCUUGUGCUUUGAAAGAAAAAAUAGGUUGGGACAAGAGAUUACCAUAUGCAGAAUUCUCUUACAACAACAACUAUCAAGACAGAUUGAAGAUGUCACCAUUUGAAGCACUCCAUGGGAGGAAUUGCAGAACUCCAUUGCAUUGGGGCCAACUCGGUGAAAGACAGGUGUUCGGUCCAGGUAUUUUGCUUGAAUCCGAAGAGAACAUCAGGACGGUCCGAGAGAAUUUUGUGGCAGAACCACCCGAAUUAUUCCAGCUUAAGUGCCUAAGUCACGCCUCAGGGGCCGUAACACACUUAAAUCGGAAUAACCCGUCAGUUCCUCAAAUCUAGUCUGAUAGAGCCACUUAACCAGGAUCAAAUUCCACAACCUCACUCGAAGGUGAGUCACAGAAAUACAAUAAAACAGGAAACCUCAAAUUAAGUGCUGAAUUAUUACAUAGAUCGAAGUUUUUGAGUAGCAAAUAAAGUUCACAAAAUAAAGUGCAGCGGAUAAUCGAUGUCGUCGGUAUCGAGGAAUUGGGCAAGGCCUAGCCCACUACUCCUCGUGCUCCUCUCCUGCCGGAGCAACAUCCCACUCGACCGUCCAACCCGGUGGCAGGGUGGUAGGCCAAGUCACACCAUCAACCAUUUCCUGAAUGGUACCUGCAAAAAUUGUGCCACAAGCAAGGCUGAGUAUACUAAUACUCAGCUAGACUUAACCGGUGUGAGGAGUCUACUCCUCUACCUCUAGACUAUGCAGCUGUUUGGCUGAGGGGUUUGGUUUGCCAAAAGCACUAGCUGUUUCUAAAAUCAAUUUUUAGCUUUUCAAAUUCUAUCAUCAUCAACUUAGCUAGAUUUGCUCCUUCUAAGCAUACAUGGUGACAAGCAUUUAGUUCAAUCAACAAGUUAUCUCAUGUAACCUCAUUUCACUUCUUACUCGAUGCAGUACAAGGGGUCAAGCAGUCUCAUUAGCUGCGAGAAGCAGACGAUUCGAAUCGAGUUUUAACCUUGCAAGGUAAACCUAAACACACGACAUGUCAGGGUACUCCGUCCCCACACACGUCAACCGUACCCAUCGAUCCCCCGUUUGCGUCCAGGCCUCACCGCCUUGGCAUACAAUGCUCCACUGACCCCGGCCGCCACCGUGCAGUGACCGCACUUGUACCCACCAUAGCUAGCAUGGGAGACCCAGUCUCAGGUCGUAUGAGGGAUAAAGUUCGCGCCCGGCUUCAAUCAGGUACUAGGUUUACCAGUUACCAUUUUUCCCGGCAUGUGCUUAGUACGUUCAAAAGCUUGACUCAGGUAUCCACACAUUAAUCCUUAAUUCCUUUUCCCGUCUCAUGGACAAGGCAUCCUCCCUGGAUCCAAGUCCAUAGACUAACAUAUAUCCCGUUAUCAAGAUGAAUACAAUCAAUUCCUGACCUCACGCGAGUGCUAGAAAAAUCACUCGACUUCUACCGAGAUCCUGAUUAGCAAGCAGCUACUCGAUCUAGCAUACUAGUAUUCAUCUAAAAAAGGAAUCCUAAGUUCAUGCAACUAGAGGUUUCAAGCAACUCCUACACUUAAGUGCACAUUGCAAUCCUACAAGCAUUAAGUGUAGUAAAGUAGCAUAUAAUAAUACGGUUAUGCAUAAAACCGGGGCUUGCCUUCAAUUGUUGGGGCUGCGGGGAGAUCCUCAAUAGCAGCCUCUGAAGCCUGCUCCUGGUCCUCCUCUUGGACAGGUCCUUGCUCGGGGAUGAGCACGUACUCUCCGUCGGCAAGAUUACAAUCUAAUGAAUGCAAUGCGUAAGAUACAUGCAUGAUAUGGUGCUUUAGAAAUUACAACUUUUGACGGUGUAUGAUCUACUUGGGUUAAACAAGGUUAACUUUACUUAUGUAAGACCCUUGGGUGGUAUACUUGGUAAAUUGGGUCAAACUUAGCUAAGGUAAGUGGUAGGUUUAUUUUUGGGGUUCCAUUGAAUUCUUUUUAAGUCUUAGUGAGAGUUGAUAAGUACUCAAGUUAGACUUAUUGGGGUGAGGUUUAUUUCCUCUUCCCUUUUCUUUUACUCUCUUAAAUGUUUUGGAGUGGGUUUAAACUACAAGUUGCUUUUAUAAAACUCUAAAAAUUCUGCAAAAAUUACAGUGGCUUGGUACUGGUGUAUAUUUCUCUGUCUCAAAAUUUGGGGUCAGAAAGUGAAUAGUUUUCUCUGAACAAAAUUAUUAAAUUCUAGGGCAGAAGGGGUGCUUUGAACUACAACUAUUAUUUAACAGUGGGUAGUUCUCUAAAACUUAUUUUUGCUGACUUUUAGGUGUUAUAACAUGACUUGAUACAAAUUUCUAGUCAUUAAUACCUUUUAAUUAUUUUACUAUGGUUUUCUCAAGUUUCUAGCCAAAUGGGUGCUUUCUACUACCACUAUAUUUGAAAAAUAUCAAACAACAGAGUUCUUAUUUUUCAUAGUUAUUGUUUUGCGCAAGAGCAAUCAUUCUGAAGUUUGGCCUCUUUUUGCUUAAGGGAAGGGGUGGUAUGCAUUAUUUGAAUUAAGUGGCCUUUCCCAUAAAACACUAGCAAUAGGUAGGAGUUUGCUUCUUUUUCAUGGGUUUGCAUUUUUCUCUGGUGGUUUAUCUCAUUAUAGACUUAGCUAAUUUUUGGUUGCCCAUUAUUACAUUAUUAGGGGUUGUUCAUGAUUUAUUUGGAAAAUGCCUCAUUAGCAUUCUAUAUUUAUUUUCCUUAAAAAGUUGGGCUGAGGUGUUCUUUAUUUUUGUAGUGGGGCUCUGGUGGUUGUAAGUCCACUGGAUUUUUAUUAUUCAUUUUAGGUAUAGUUUUGUAAUUCCAAUAAUUGAUUCUUAGUUCAAAUAAGGCUAAAUAAAGCAUUUUAAUUUAAAACUGAUCUGGACUAAGGGUCUCUUUAUUUUUUCUAGGUUUUCUGUUGCAUAAGCAAACUAGGAAAAAUAAUUUUACUCACUGUUCAUCAGUUUCUAAUGCCUUUCUGGUUUUUUUAAGUUUUGGGCAAAAUAGCUUUAAAUGAUUAUCUACAUCAUAUUUUCCAAUGCUGGGGUUCCCACUAUUUUUAAACAGUGUCUAAGUGAGGUUUGAAUACCUACAAAUUUUCUUAGGUUCAGUACAGAAGAAAAACAAAUUUUCCUUAAUUAAACUAGAUUUGGUAAGUUUUUGUUUUUAAUUUUAACUCUAAAAUUUAGAACAGAAAGCAUAGGGUUUAUCAUUUUUAAAUGAUAGCUCAUAAUAUUUAGGAUCUAGCAAAAUUAGUUUGACAACUUUUGAUUAAGAAUUCAUCAAGUUAUGGAUUUUCUAAGUUCUCUGGUUAUUUAAAAAGAUUAACAGAAUUGAUUAAAUGGAAAACUACUUUGCACGGGGGUCCCUGGCGGGUAUUUUAAGUUUCCUUCGCGGAUCAGUCCUUAGGCUACUAUUCACAUGGGUCACUGACGUUACAGAAAACCCCUGGGGUUCUCCAAAUCCUAACCCGAGGUCCUUCUCCUAACUUAAACAGUAACCGCGGCGGAAGAAAGGGCGGAGGGGCUUACCGGCGGCGAGAUGGCUCCGUUGAAGUGGUCGAGGACGUAGGGGAGGUCUCGGGGAUCACAACGGUGUGCGGGUCGCCGUCGGGGAUGGCCGGGGUUGGCUGGUCCACGUGCGCAGGCGGGGAUGCUCGUCGGCGUCGAGGAGUCCGGCCUGCUCAUGGUGAGAUAGUUCAAUUGGACGGGUCAAAAAGGUUCACAGGAUGCCAGAGAAGAUAUGGGUGCAAGGAAUUGGACGGAGACUCACCGGUUAGCUCUGUCCACGCGCGGCGGCGAAAGACCGAAGUCCGGUGAGGUCGAUCUCGGACCUCCGGUGAAGUCCGUCCUGGUCCGAGGGCUUGGAAAGCUUCAUGGGCCACUAGCGGAGCUAGCCAAAGCACUGGCUCGACUUGGGGGUGGCUGGAGUGGGCUGGCCACGGUGGCCGAAGCUCUGGCGGCAAUGGCGGGCAGAAUUGAGCUCGCCGGAGCUAAGGAGAGGGGGCUGGCCGGUGAAGGUGAGCGCGGGGUGAAGUGGGGCGCGCCCAGGGAGGCUUUAUAGGCGCGGGCGAGCACGGCCGAGGGCGGGGCUCUGACAUGCGCUCAGGGCGUGCACGGCGAACACCAGUGCGCGCUCUGGCGCCUGGCACAGCAUCGAGCACGAGGCAGAAUAGAGAGAGGUCAAGUUCAAAAGCGGAUUGGGCCCAAAUCUUUGAGAUUAAGGCCACGAUCCCGUUGAAAGAUCUCUUCCUCUCAGGUCCCUUUGUCGUUUGUGUGUGGAGGCUAGCAAGUUUCGCUGACUGGAUUAAGAGAUAGAGAGGGGAGAAAUCCUGUUUGUCUCACUGCCACACACAGGGAGAAAAUCUCUGGUUUGUCGUGUCCGAGGCACGCGUCCCAAUGCCAUCUCCUGGCACAUGACAGAGGAGUUAAUUAGGCACAUUUUUGUUAAUGGGGCCAUUAGGAUUCGAGUUAGGGAUCAAGGUGAACAUCCCUGAUCUUUGGCUCAAGGUCUGAAUUUCAGAAUUCUGAAAUUCAGAAUUCCCAUUAAGUCCCCACAUGAGAAGCUUGAUUUGGGGUUUUAUUUGAGUUAAUUUGGCCAAGCUUUCUCAACCUUUCUUGUUACUUAUUUAAUAUACUUCAAUUUUUAUAAUUGGCUCAAGUCAUAAUUUUAAAUUUUUCAUACCCUUUUCCUUAUUUUCUUGAAUUUUGCUCAUGGGGCUCACUUAGGGUUUUUAUUAGGGUUACAACAUUCUUACCUUUUUGAAGGACCCAUUUGCUUUGGUCAUGAUACUUUUAAGUAUAUGCUUGGUGAAUUCUUUAUUGCUUAAAUUAAUUUGAUGCUCAUGUUUACUUUGGUUCACAUAAAAUGAUGGUUCUUGGUUUGGCAUUUUGAGAGAAACCCUAGGUGACACUGGGGUGUCACAGCCUUCCCCCCUUAAAGGAAUCUCGUCCCGAGAUUCGGGCCAGAGUCCUCCCAGGGUGAAGUGAAGGGUGAGACUUAUAGGAAUGGGUGAUUAUUGUUAUUAUUAGGGUGAAACUGCUCUUCGAAUGUCAUUCUCUUUGCAACUUCAGAAGGAAGCCCUUUUUAAGUUUUCCUUCAUAGUUACUUCAUUCUGAAUUAAGAUCAUAUUUUUAGAAAUUAGAUUCGAAGGGCAGGAGGAGGGAUUGGGUGUGAUUACGUACCAGCUUCCUUAGGUAGGCAAUCGGGGAAGUUGGAUCUCAAGAAUUCCUCAGUUUCCCAAGUAGCUUCCUCCUCUGAGUGAUUACUCCACUGAACCUUGUACAUCUUGAUCGAUUUAGCCCGAGUUGAUCUUUCUUUGCAAUCCAGAAUCUUGGAGGGGUACUCUUGGUACAAUAGAUCUGGCUCUAUCUCCAAUUCUGGCUCUGCUAUGAUCUCGGUCGGCAAUCGAACACACUUCUUCAGCUGAGAUACAUGGAAAACACUAUGAAUGGCAGACAUCUUUGAAGGUAACUUCAGCUUGUAUGCCAUAGGUCCACAUGCUUCUAUGAUCUCAUAAGGUCCAAUGUAACGAGGGGCUAGCUUGCCUUUGAUCCCAAACCUCUGCACUCCCUUGGUGGGUGAUACCUUGAGGUAUACAAAACUUCCCACCUCGAACUGGAGAGGUUUCCUUCUUCUAUCAUGGUAACUCUUCUGCCUGGCCUGAGCAGCUUCUAGAUUCUUCCUGAUUAGUUUGACCUUCCUUUCGGCUUCAAUCACUAAGUCAGGUCCAAAAACUUCUCUUUCUCCAGGUUGAGACCAAUUGAGCGGUGUCCUACACCUUCUUCCAUAGAGAGCUUCAAAAGGUGCCAUCUUUAGGCUGGAUUGAUAACUAUUGUUAUAAGCAAACUCUGCCAAGGAGAGGUGCUUAUCCCAGUUCUUGCCACAAUCGAUUGCACAAGCUCUCAGCAUAUCCUCCAGGAUUUGGUUUGCCCUUUCCGUCUGACCAUCAGUCUGUGGGUGGUAAGCUGAACUCCUGAUUAGCUUGGUUCCCAAAGACUCUUGCAAUUGUUCCCAAAACCUGGCAACAAAUUGGGCUCCUCGGUCAGAAACAAUGGUCCGAGGUAAUCCGUGCAAACACACGAUCCGGUCAAUAUACAAUUCUGCAUACUUCUGAGCCUUAUCAGUGGUGUGCACAGGAAGAAAAUGUGCCACUUUUGUCAGUCGGUCCACAAUAACCCAAAUCGAAUCAUGAUGACGAGAGGUGUUGGGCAGACCCACAAUGAAAUCCAUGCUGAUGUCAUCCCACUUCCACGAAGGUAUGGACAGGGGUUGCAAAGCUCCAGCUGAUUUCAGGUGGCUUGCCUUUAUCCUCUGACAGGUGUCACAUUCUGAUACAUACUGGGCUAUCUCCCUUUCAUUCUGGUCCACCAGUACAAAGGCUUUAGAUCAUGGUACAUCUUGGUGCUUCCCGGAUGCAUAGAGAAUUUGGAGAGAUGAGACUCAUCCAAGAUUUUCCUCUUGAGGUCCUGGUCUUUAGGAAUCACCAAUCUGCUUUUGAACCAUAACACACCCUUUUCAUCCUGGCGGAAACAAUUAUACUUCCCAACCUUCUGAUGGAGAUUCUUCUUGAUAAUUUGCACUCCCUUGUCACUGAGCUGGGCCAUGAUAAUCUGGUCUUGCAAAGCUGGCUCAACAGUAAUGUGAGACAAAGAACCAGAAGGAAUCACUUCAAUUUGCAUCUUGCUCAACUCAUCACACAAGGUGUUAAUGCGAGAAUCCAUCAGAAUACAAUUGCAUUGCAUCUUCCGACUCAAGGCAUCUGCUACCACAUUAGCUUUUCCUGGGUGAUAAUGUACCUCCAGGUCAUAAUCCUUGAUCAGCUCUAGCCAUCUUCUCUGCCUCAUGUUGAGAUCAGCCUGAGUAAAAAUGUACUUAAGGCUCUUAUGAUCAGUGAAGAUGUUGCAGUGGGUUCCCAUUAGAUAAUGCCUCCACAUCUUUAAUGCAUGAACCACUGCUGCCAACUCGAGGUCAUGAGUGGGAUAGUUUUGCUCAUGAGGCUUGAGUGCUCUUGAGGCAUAAGCAAUGACUCGGUUGUCUUGCAUCAAGACACAACCUAGCCCGGUGCCAGAGGCAUCGCAAUAUACAUCAAAAGGCUUGCUGUUGUCGGGUUGCGCCAAUACCCGUGCUGUGGUCAGAUGCUGCCUUAAUGCAUGGAAGGCAUCUUCGCACUUCUAACUCCAAACAAAUUUGACUUCUUUCUUCAGCAACUCAGUUAUAGGCUUUGCAAUUCGAGAGAAGUCCGGAAUAAAUCUUCGGUAAUAACCAGCUAAUCCCAGAAAACUCCGAAUCUGACGGACAGUUGUUGGUGGCUUCCAGUUCAUCACCUCUUGCACUUUAUCAGGAUCAAUAGCUAUUCCAGCCUGAGAGAUAGUGUGACCCAAGAAUUUGAUUUCCUUUAGCCAAAAAUCACAUUUGGAUAACUUGGCAUAAAGGUGGUGCUCUCGCAGACGUUGAAGCACUACAUGCAAAUGCCCGGCAUGUUCUUCUUCGUUCUUUGAGUACACCAAAAUAUCAUCAAUGAAAACCACUACGAACUUGUCCAAUUCCGGCAUGAGAACAGAAUUCAUCAGAUACAUGAAAUAUGCUGGUGCAUUUGUCAGCCCGAAUGACAUCACCAAGAAUUCAUAUAGCCCAUAUCUGGUUGAGAAUGCCGUCUUCGGAAUAUCACUCGCUCGUAUCUUGAUCUGAUGGUAGCCAGAGCGAAGGUCUAUCUUGGAAAAUACCUUGGCCCCGACCAACUGGUCAAAAAGAACAUCAAUACGAGGCAAAGGAUACUUGUUCUUGAUAGUUACCACAUUAAGAGGGCGGUAAUCUAUACACAGCCUCAAGCUUUCAUCCUUCUUCUUUACAAACAGUGCUGGACAUCCCCAAGGCGAAGUGCUUGGGCGAAUAAAUCCCUUAUCCAGCAGCUCUUGCAAUUGCUUCUUCAAUUCUGCCAACUCGGCGGGUGGCAUUCGGUAGGGCCUCUUGGAAAUUGGGGCCGUUCCCGGUUGCAACUCGAUGGUGAAUUCAAUAUCCCGGUCUGGUGGCAUUCCUGGCAAUUCAUCAGGAAAGACAUCUGCAUACUCACAGACCACUGGGAUCUUCUUCAGAGGUAACUCCGUCAUAGAGAAAGCACAUGACUGAGUAGAACCUUGACUAGGCAGAAUUAAGGUGAAGUUCCCGCAGAACGGAGAAUUAACUUCCACGGUACGGCUGGCUAUAUCAAGCACAACUUGGUGCAAGGUCAUCCAAUUAGCUCCCAGAAUAAUGUCCACAUUUUCCAAUCCCAACACAAGAAGAGUGGUUUUGACAAUGUGGCUUCCCAGUUGAAUAGGCACACUUUGGUUUAAUUGAUUAGUUGAAAUUUUACCCCCAGGUGUGACUAUCAUGAAUGACCCUUUUGAGUGAGAGAAUGGCAGUUUACAUUUAGCACUGAACUUUUGGCUAAUGAAACUAUGAGAUGCACCAGAAUCAAACAGAAUUAAAGCAGGUUGAUUAUAAACUGAAAAGGUACCGGUCAUGAUAGGAGCUCCUUUUGGUACUUCCUCCAGAGUAGUGAAGUUGAGCUUCCCUUGCCUGACUUGCACCUUCUGCUUUCUUCCCUUGUCUUGAUUUGGUGCUGGCAUCUGCCUCUGCUGGUUCCUAGGACAAUUCUUGGCAUAGUGGCCCACAUUGCCACAAGUGAAACACUUGUUCCCAUUGCCCUGACGGAAUUGCUGCUGCUGCGGAGGCUGAUUAUUCCUUGGGGCGGGAGCUAGAAAGCGGUUGGGUGCCGGCUGCUGCUGCUGCUGAGGUGGCCUGAUCACCCAUCUGCCUGCCUGCUGCUCAAAACCCCUGCUCUUAUUGUGAGAAACAAUCCGGAACCUCUGAGCCUGAGCGGAUGGUGCUGCCAUUGGUGCCUCUCUUCUUCUCUGCCCGGUGAGCAACAAUGCAAUCCUCCUGGGAGAUGGCCAUAUUGACCAACUCAUUGAAGCUAUCAGCCCGGACAGUGUUGAGUCGUUCCCGUAGCUUGGUAUUGAGACCCAUGCGGAAGCGAUCCCUCUUCUUUUCAUCAGAAUCAGCAUGAUACUCUGCAUACUGGCAUAAGUCGUUGAAGGCUUGCGCAUACUGCAGUACCGUGCGGGUUCCUUGAUUAAGGGCCAGAAAUUCAUUCAACUUCCGAUUAAGAAUGACAGCUGGGAUGUGGUGUCCUCUGAAGGCAGUCUUGAAUUCCUCCCAAGAUACUUCACGAUUGUUGGGGACCUUCGGCAUCCGAAGGUCCUCAAAAACAGGAUUUAACAGUAUUUCUGGAGCAUAAUGUGUGAACAGGUAUCUUCGGACUCAGGUCGGCAUCACAGCAGACCAGAAUAAUACGAAGGUCGAUACAGCGCCGAAGGUGUGAGUAGGAAAGCUUCGGCGUGACAGCAGAAAGUGGAACCGACUUAAAGAUGAAAAGGCUAUUUAGACCUCAACAGAUUACUAUAGAAUUAUUAUCAACUGUAAAGGACAUGAAUGUAAUUUUGUAUGGGUUGUGUCCCGCGCCUAUAAAUAGGUGAACAGUAUUCCCGUACUGUUCACGCUGACUUGACAUUCGCUUUCUGCGUCACUCUUGUACUAUCAUCUCCUUCCGAUUGAAGGUACACUUGUAAUUCGAUGAUAUUUCUGUUUAUACAUAAUAAUAAUAUAUAAUCGUUCGUAUGGUCUUUUAUAUUCUUUAUAUUUCAUCCUUCAUCAUUGUCUGAUGAAUUUAUGAAGGUACGUCCUUCAUAACCUUCGUCCGUAAGCAAUUAUGUCCUAAGGGAAAUAAUUCUUCGGAGGACGAAGGACUUUAAUGAUUAACGUUUUCUAUGUUGCCUUGUUCUUAACUCAAAGCACUUGAGAACAAGUCCCCAACAUUGGCGCCCACCUCCGGUGAACUCACUCCCACUCUUUGAAGUUUUUUGAACACCUUCGGCGGUCAUAGAUCUUCGUCAUGGCGCCGAAGAAAGCUUCAGCGACUGGGGCUGCAGCUCUGCAACCACUGGACCACAAUCAGGAGACAGUCUCCCUGCGGGAGGCCCGAAGCCAGAAAAGGAAGGUUGUCAGUCCGACACCACCAGAGGACGAAAUAGAUCAAGAAAUCAGAGAUAUGGAGAUGCUUCAUCAACAAGUACAGAGGAAGAAAGAAAAGAUGGCCAGGCUAGCUGAACUGCAAAGGCAGAUAGACGAAGCCUCUGAAGAAGUUCGUCAUCUUGCUCAAGAUGAGAAACACCGAAGGCCUCAGCACCAAGACCUUCAUCAGGAGGGUUUUCCCAACGAGGAUGACUGGUAUGACAAUUUCCAUCAUGGGAAUUUUGUUUUUGAUGAUGCUUCUCCUUUGUCCGCUGAGCUGCAGGCUACACCUUGGCCUCCAUCCUACAAGCCGCCUCAGCUUCCCGUAUUCGAUGGCCACUCAGACCCGAAACAGUUUCUGAUGAGCUACGAAGCAACAGUAUCUUCGUAUGGUGGCAAUGCUUCAGUCAUGGCCAAAUCUUUCGUUAUGGCUGUCAGAAGUGUUGCUCAAACCUGGUACUCCUCCCUUCGACCAGGAAUGAUCACUUCAUGGCAGAAGCUGAAGGACUUAUUGUUAACUAGUUUCCAAGGAUUUUAGACGAAGCCGGUCACUGCUCAGGCUCUGUUCCAGUGCACCCAGGAUCACGAAGAAUACCUUCAGGCGUAUGUCCGAAGGUUCUUGCGUUUGAGGGCACAGGCACCAACGGUGCCCAAUGAAAUUGUCAUUGAGGCCAUGAUCAAGGGGCUUCGGCCAGGACCGUCAGCUCAGUAUUUCGCUAGGAAGCCUCCUCAAACUUUGGAGAAGCUGCUCCAGAAGAUGGACGAGUACAUUCGGGCCGAUAAUGAUUUUCGCCAAAGAAGGGAGGAGGCUUUCAGGUUUUCUGAAAUGACCAGGGGCUUCGGAGGGAGGUUCUACCCGAGGCACGUGAGAUCGAUUCAUAACUCUACACAAAAUGAUGAUAGAGGAAGCCAACAGCAAAGGCCACAAUGUUCCUCACAGGCUUCGGGGCAACAGCAAAGCUCCUUCCGACCACCAGCUCCAAGAGGCAGAGGCGCCAGGGGCUUUGGAGGAAGAUUUGGCGAUCAACCGAGAAGGAUCUUUUGUUUAUUCUGCGGUGAGAACAAAGGCCAUACUACCAGAAUGUGCCAUGUUACUAUUCAGAAGCAAAAGGAAAUAGCUGAAGCAGCAGCACAACAAGCUCAGCCGAAGCAGGUCAUGCAUACAGCUUCGUAUCAUUCGCCCUACAUCCCAGAAUAUGUGGGCAAUCAUCCUGCAGUUUCUGUUGCUUCGGCGAGUCAGCCUCAAGCUUCCUGGCAACAGCCUCCGCCCCCACCUCCGUUGCAACAAGGCCAGCAGCUAGAAGGGAGCCAGUAUGCUUCACAUCAGAGGGAUUUCAGAGAGCAGUCCGAAGCUCGUACAGUCAAUAGCACUGUUCCAGAGUCAAAGCACAUCUAUUGACAAAUAUCCUACCUUAGUAGCAAUCUUUUUCAUUCAGUUUUAUUUUCUGUAAUAAAGGACAUUGUUUAGGUUUCAUGUAAUUAGUUUUGCUGAUUCCUACAAGGAAAAUACAUUUUCUUCACAGGCUCAUAUUGAUUAAAGUUCAAAGACUUGUGGUAACAAGGACGACCUUCGAACUAUCGAAAAUUCUUCGAAGCAACAACAAGUCGUUCUAAGGAACGCAGAGUAAGUUUUCCGAAGUCACAAAAAAGUCGUUCCAAAGGGAGCGCAGUGUAAGUUUUCUGCUCCAAAGUCGUUCCAAAGGGAAUGCAGAGCAUACAGCGAAAAGUCAACGCUGAUACCGCCUAAGUAAAAGGCGAAGCGCGAAAAGUCAACGCGAAUACCGCUGAAAGUAAAAGGCGAAGAAGCUCCUAAGGGAGGCUUACAGCGAAAAAUAAACGCUGAUCCCGCUGAAGUAAAAGGCGAAGAAGCUCCUAAGGGAGGCUUAUAAAAGAUUGUGUUUUAUUGCAGGGAUGUGUAUGUAUCUUCGGAAUAAACAUCAUCUCACACAUAACAUAACAUCAUCGCAUCAUUUCGCAUAGCAUAAGCAUCAUACAUCAUUUUUGCACAUGGCACAAGAGAUGGACACAUUAUCGAUCUACAGAAGAACGCUUUGAAAAAAGGGGGAGAAAUCAUAGUUACAAAAAGAUACAUCAUUGAACUUCGGAAGUGUAGCUUCGGAAAAUAUUUUCACGCAGCCUGGAUAUUAUUCAUCAGAACAUUGGAUAUUGUUUUGACAAAGAAGAAUCCUUCUUCACGAAGCAUGAAAAGAAGGGAAGGUGUUUUUUCGUCAAAGACUCAAAAGCGGUACGUAUAAAGUUUCAUGCAUCAUAAAGAAUUGAUUAACAAAAAUAGGUAUAUUACAUUUGAGUUACAAAAUGUUGCAGUAUAUUACAUUUCAUAAGUUUUCACAAGAAUAUUUAAUCUUCUCUCAAAACGACUUCUGCAGCCUCGUUCAGGAGCCGAUUAACGACUUCGUCCAUAAUAUCUUCAGCCAUCUUUUUAAUUUCAUCGUCUCCUUUCGGCUGAGGGCCCGAAGACGCUUUAGCAGGAUCUGAAGCAAGAUAGGAUACAGCUACAUUGCUAUUACAAAUCGCAAACAAAUCUUAAAACCCAAGAUUGCAAAACAAUAAAAACUAUUAGUUAAUACCUAAUUGACCUUCGGCCUCUGCGCUCUUUUCAGCAGCUUCAGCUACUUCUCUAGCAUCGUGAAUGCCCUUUUCACUUCUUCGAAUAAUUUCUCCGGCCAUUUCUCGGCCACCAUUAUCCCAGAUAUCGGUAAAAAAUUUCCCACCAAUUAUACUAGCUUCGGCCGAGGGAUCUCUUGCAUCUUCAAAGGACAAAGCAGCUUCGGAUUGUGCUAAGAUUUUUACAUGUUCGCAGCCCUUCUUCUCUAAGAUGGUGGCAAUCCCUCUGGCACCAGAGAAGGCACAUAUAUCUCCUCGGCUAGUUAAAAUUUCUUCGAAGGCUUCAGCUUCGUGGUCGAUCCAUUCGAUGGGACCUUCGGGAUUGCCUCUCGUAAAAUUUUCUUCGCUCGAGAAGGCGCCGACCCUGGCGAAGCUAGCUUUUAACUUCUUAACACACUCUAUAGAUUUGUUAUAGCAUCUUUUUCUGGAUGAAUGAAGCUCUUCAACAGUCAUUUCUAGGUGAUCGGCCCAUUGGUCGCUGAGUUCUCGCUUUGUUUCUUCAAGUAUGCGUUCUUCCUUGGCUCUAGCCAGUUGUUUCCGAAGAUCUUCAAUUUCGCGCUUCUGAGCUUCAGCUUGACCUUUAAAAGCAGCUUCGUCUUCUUUUAUUUUAUUUAUCAAUGAGUGUAAUAUUUUAUCUUUUUCAAGACCUUCGUUCCUCAGUUCAAUAACUUCGGAACGAAGGUUGCUCAGGGCUAUAGAACACCCUUCGUCUUCAGCAUCUUUCUGUGCCCUGAGGGCAUUGCUAAGUAUCAGGCCCUGCAAAGAGAAAUAUGUGUGUGUCAAUAGAUUUAAACAAGCGAAAGAUUUUGGACUCAACAAAAAUACAAGGAUUUCAUUUGUCGCACCUUUAAGCUAUUGUAAGCCAGGCUGUCGGCCAGAUCGUUCUUCGACAGCACCGAGAGCCCGUCUUCUAAAGUUGGGAAUCCGAAGCUCUUGCUCAUCUCCCGACAGACAGAAAUCUCCUUGCUGUCGGGGAGACAAUACAAGAAGUCUUCUUCUCCACUGCCAUUGAAUAUUAACGCCCCUUUUGGAUAUUUCAGUUUUUGGGCGUAGUGCUGGGCCUCUUGCUCUUCUUUUUCUGACAGUUUUUUCCCCGAAGCAUGACGAACAAUAUAAUCACGAAUUUUGGGGGAUGCUUCAGGGGCAAUGACACCGGUUUCUUCAACAAAAGUUGGCUUUGUUAUUUUUUCUGCCUCACUUUCCAAGGAUUUUAUCUUUGAAGGCUCUGGGGGCCCAGCUUCGGCUUCAGUCUCUUGCCCUGGAGCUUUAGAAUCAGAAAUUUCAGUUGUUAUUUCAGGAAUAACAGCAGCCUUCUUCGGAGGUGUGCUUGAAGAUUUGAUCGUUUCCAGUACAUCUAGCACAUUAGCCAUUCUCUUUCUUUUCGGAGUUACGGCUGGCACUUUUUGAUUUUUUGCUGUCUCAAUGUUUGCUGCAGGACUCAAAACUUCUGAUGUUUUGGAGCCCUCAGUUGCUUCCUUUACCUCUUCCAUUUUUUCUGUGGACGGCGCUUCGGCCGUCUCUUUCGUUUCUGAUAACAAAAUCUUUGAUUGCUCCAAUUCUAUCUUUGUUGGCACUUCGGCCGUUUCUGCGACUUCUGGCAGCAAAGUUGGCUCGGUUGGUUUUUCAGCUUCGGUGGCCGAAGGAGUUUCUCCGGUAAACUCAGGCACCGAAGCUGGUUCAAUAUAGCGCGGCCGAUGUGUGAGGACUUAUCUUCUUUCUCUUCGGUUCUGGCUCGCUAGGAGCAAUUGUAGCUUCUUCUUUUGCAGAGGUUGUGUUUUUUCUCUUUUGCCUUCGAAUGGGAUAGCAAUAGUCAGGGUAGACAAACCCGAUUGCAUCGAAUACCCGAUUCAGCCUCUUCUUCUUUCGGCCUCCGAAGGCUGCUGACAUUGCAGUGUCUUCGGCCUUCGAAUAAGCCCCAAGCAGUUCAUCACUUAAAUUUUCAAUACUUUUUAACCAGUCAUCAUCUGGCUCGACGAAUUUAUCUCCAAAUUUAAAAGUGUACUUCAACCUGAUAAGUCCACCUUCGUCGGCUUCUUUUACGGUUUCUUGUGGCAUUUCCCAUUUUUUCGCAAGUGGCCAUACCCUGAAGGCAAUAUGCUCUUGAACUAAGUCCCUUGUUCCAAUGAAAGAGCAGACUGCGCCGAAGGCCCUCUGGCAUUCUUCGGCAGCUUCAGUCAUUUCAACCUUCGGCCUCCGAAGGCCGAAGCUUUGCCAAAUAGGGCGCAUGAUUAUACCUUUGAUAUCUUCUCGUAUUGUCAGAUCAUUCUUCACAUAGAACCAUUCUGUCAUCCAGUCUCCGGGCCAUCUCUUCCGAAAGGUUGGCACGGGGCAGCUUGACCCGGACCGAGAAACGAAACUGUAGCAGCCAAAAUUAUUAUGAUACUGUUCCUUACCCCAAGGUUUUGUUUCAUAUGAUAAUUCGUGUAUAUUGCAGAAGCUUUUUGCAUCAGGCUGCAGACCUUGGCUUCUCACGGCCCACACGAAGACAUUCAGCUUUAUGAUUGCUUCGGGGGUAAGUUGGUGAAGAUAGACUUCGAAGAUUUUCAGCACCUCCACGACGAAGCUGCUCAAGGGAAAUCGCAGUCCAGCUUUCAAAAAGCUUCGGUACACUACGACUUCAUUUUCUUCAGGGUGUGGGCACGUUUUUCCCCUUCGUCAGCCCUCACAAUGGAUAAAUCCCGGAAAUACCUUCCUCUCAUGUUGACAAGAUGAUUCUCUUUGAUAGUUGAUUUACCAUAAACUGAAUGGCUUGGUCGCCAGGGACGAUCUUUGGAGUCCUCACCACCACUGUCCACAUCAUAGCUGUCACUGUCACCAGUAUCUUCAGACAAACCUUCCAGAAUCUCCUUGGUGAUUUUUUCUGUAUUGGUCUUUGACAUUGCUAUAAGAAACCCCAAGUUUUUCUCUUCGUCCAGGCUCAGCUUCAUCUCAGCAGCAGUCUUCUUAUCCUCAGACAUCUUCGGAGACACUAAAAACUAUUUUCAAAGCCGAAGCUUCAAAACUAAAGGCUUAACAAAUCUUAGUGCGCAAGAGCUAAAAAUUGAGUGAGCAGGAGCAAUUGGCCAGAGAGCGUGUCAAAUGAGUUUGCGGUAUGACUGUAUUUAUACGCCAAGAGCGUUGAAAAUUGAAAGACCCCGCUUGUCAGUGAAUGUUGCUAUUCUAGCAAAGGGAAGGUGUUUUUUCGGACCUUCGGCGUAAAGCCUUCGUCCAUAUCGCAAUCUAAAUUUAUUAUUUCAAACAAAUUAAUAUUGCGAGGGGCUACUGUUGGGGACCUUCGGCAUCCGAAGGUCCUCAAAAACAGGAUUUAACAGUAUUUCUGGAGCAUAAUGUGUGAACAGGUAUCUUCGGACUCAGGUCGGCAUCACAGCAGACCAGAAUAAUACGAAGGUCGAUACAGCGCCGAAGGUGUGAGCAGGAAAGCUUCGGCGUGACAGCAGAAAGUGGAACCGACUUAAAGAUGAAAAGGCUAUUUAGACCUCAACAGAUUACUAUAGAAUUAUUAUCAACUGUAAAGGACAUGAAUGUAAUUUUGUAUGGGUUGUGUCCCGCGCCUAUAAAUAGGUGAACAGUAUUCCCGUACUGUUCACGCUGACUUGACAUUCGCUUUCUGCGUCACUCUUGUACUAUCAUCUCCUUCCGAUUGAAGGUACACUUGUAAUUCGAUGAUAUUUCUGUUUAUACAUAAUAAUAAUAUAUAAUCGUUCGUAUGGUCUUUUAUAUUCUUUAUAUUUCAUCCUUCAUCAUUGUCUGAUGAAUUUAUGAAGGUACGUCCUUCAUAACCUUCGUCCGUAAGCAAUUAUGUCCUAAGGGAAAUAAUUCUUCGGAGGACGAAGGACUUUAAUGAUUAACGUUUUCUAUGUUGCCUUGUUCUUAACUCAAAGCACUUGAGAACAAGUCCCCAACAACGAUCAGCGGGGAGCAUAGCACGGAAGUGGUCCCACCAAGUCCGAGCAGGGCCGCGAAGCUGCUGUGCGGCGAAGCGAGCCUUGGCCUCAUCAGGGCAGUCUCCCGUGAGGAGGGGAAACUUGGACUCAACGACGCGAAGCCAUACGUCGGCACCCAACGAAUCCUCUGCCUUGGUGAACAAGGGUGGCUGCGUGCUCAGAAACUCCUGGUAAGUUGCCAUAGCCGGAGGUCGCUGAUGCUGGCCUCCACCAUGCUGCUGAGGGUGGGGCUGGCGCUGCAAGAGCUGUCACAGAAUCUCAUUCUGCUAGGCCAUCAGCUCCUGCACUGUGGGAGCUGGAGGAGGUGGCAGGGGAACCUGCUCGUUAUGCCCGCGACGCUGCCUAGCUGUCAUCUGAAAACAGAGAUUGUCGCCAUUGUUAUCCCAACUCACAGUUUCGAACGACAAGAUAUCAUCUCAUAUGGAAGGAAAAAUGCCAUAAUCAUAAUAUUAGGUUCGAAAUGAAGAUAACAUGGUGACAAAUAUCCCACAGAUUUCAAAAGUUCACAGGGUUACAUCAAUCAGGGGAAGGUACCCAUAAGCCUAGUCCAAAAUCUGACAUUAACUAAGCUCGCAUAGGUUUCUAUCCGCCUAAAAGUGUCGAAGUGACUGCUUAACCCUGAGCGGUGGAAGCGACACUAGAUACGGGUGAAGGAGGCAUCGCAGAGGUAGUCCCAUUGGCACCAUGGGCUGGUCCUAGCUCCUCGGGAGCCUCUUCUCCCUCGCUUCCUGCUUCAUUGGCCUCCAUCUCCAGGUGGUGCAUGUCCAAGUGGUCGUUUGCUUCUUCGAGUUCCCUCUGCACAUCGUGAAGAUGAUUCUCCAAGACAUCAAUAGUGUUGUCUCGGAUCUCCACCUGCUGCUCCAAGGUGGUGAUGCGCUGGCUCAGCCUCUUCACCUGCAGAUCCUUCUCUACCAACUCGGUGGAUAGAUCAACCACAAAAUCUUCUCGACUGUCGAGAGUGAGCUUGGCAGUUUGAGCGGUGUUAGCAAGGAGUGCCAUAGCAUCGCUCUGAAGGGCCUGAAGGCGGUACAACGCACUCAUGCACUGAACAGUGACCCUCCCAACCAAGUCAGGAUACAUCGCCCACACAUCCUUCACAUGGCUCACGCGGUUACACCACAUGGGAUCAUCCUUCUUCUCAGCAGGGAAGAGUCCCAAGGGGUGCAUCACCAUCUCCAGGGGAUGGUAGCCACAGAAAGUCGUCAGAGUCUUCAUGGCUGCUGCUUCAACGGUGUCGUCCAUCCUGAGUCCAAUCAUCUCAGAAUCAAGAGAACGCCAACCCGGCUGAAGGGGAUGAGCCUCCAAAGUCAGCCAGACCCGACAACGAGGUACCCGAUGCUCCUCAUACAACUGCACCGUGUACAAAGGGGGCGUAGGGUAACCGGCGGAGUUAAGCACUUCCCACAAGAUGGAAGGAAAACCAUCGCGAGAAAGGAAGUCAGAACUGAAACGAGAGUCUCCUCCACUGGCGGGGUGGGUGAAUUCAUCUGCAGAAGGGAAUCAAGGGUAACGAUUAUGGUGGAAGGAAUAAGAAAGAAAAAAAAGAGCCCGGAUGGUUUUAGAGAAAGUGGGUUAGCUCAAAAUUUUAAUUCCUCUUUAUGUUUUAUAAUGCAUGCAUGCUGGAAGUAACGUUGCCUCUCACAAGAAAAUAUGGUGCUUUUUAGGGCAUCCUUAAAAAUAUAAGUACUGGCCCACGGGGCCUAAUUAGCCACCUAUUUCUCCCUCUAUGCCUAAGGCCUUUCGUCCUAGGUCUAGCGGUCUAGUCCUGACGAUCUGUAGCAAUUUCUAGGCAAGUUUUAGAUUUUGAAGAUUGGUAUUCAUGGUUUAUUGUCCUUCUCUGUGGUGGAAUUUGCUCCGAUACCAGCUGUGGCAGAACCACCCGAAUUAUUCCAGCUUAAGUGCCUAAGUCACGCCUCAGGGGCCGUAACACACUUAAAUCGGAAUAACCCGUCAGUCCCUCAGAUCUAGUCUGAUAGAGCCACUUAACCAGGAUCAAAUUCCACAAUCUCACUCGAAGGUGAGUCACAUAAAUACAAUAAAACAGGAAACCUCAAAUUAAGUGCUGAAUUAUUACAUAGAUCUGAGUUUUUGAGUAGCAAAUAAAGUUCACAAAAUAAAGUGCAGCGGAUAAUCGAUGUCGUCGGUAUCGAGGAAUUGGGCAAGGCCUAGCCCACUACUCCUCGUGCUCCUCUCCUGCCGGAGCAACAUCCCACUCGACCGUCCAACCCGGUGGCAGGGUGGUUGGCCAAGUCACACCAUCAACCAUUUCCUGAAUGGUACCUGCAAAAAUUGUGCCACAAGCAAGGCUGAGUAUACUAAUACUCAGCUAGACUUAACCGGUGUGAGGAGUCUACUCCUCUACCUCUAGACUAUGCAGCUGUUUGGCUGAGGGGUUUGGUUUGCCAAAAGCACUAGCUGUUUCUAAAAUCAAUUUUUAGCUUUUCAAAUUCUAUCAUCAUCAACUUAGCUAGAUUUGCUCCUUCUAAGCAUACAUGGUGACGAGCAUUUAGUUCAAUCAACAAGUUAUCUCAUGUAACCUCAUUUCACUUCUUACUCGAUGGAGUACAAGGGGUCAAGCAGUCUCAUUAGCUGCGAGAAGCAGACGAUUCGAAUCGAGUUUUAACCUUGCAAGAUAAACCUAAACACAUGACAUGUCAGGGUACUCCGUCCCCACACACGUCAACCGUCCCCAUCGAUCCCCCGUUCGCAUCCAGGCCUCACCGCCUUGGCAUACAAUGCUCCACUGACCCCGGCCGCCGCCGUGCAGUGACCGCACUUGUACCCACCAUAGCUAGCAUGGGAGACCCAGUCUCAGGUCGUAUGAGGGAUAAAGUCCGCGCCCGGCUUCAAUCAGGUACUAGGUUUACCGGUUACCAUUUUUCCCGGCAUGUGCUUAGUACGUUCAUAAGCUUGACUCAGGUAUCCACACAUUAAUCCUUAAUUCCUUUUCCCGUCUCAUGGACAAGGCAUCCUCCCUGGAUCCAAGUCCAUAGACUAACAUAUAUCCUGUUAUCAAGAUGAAUACAAUCAAUUCCUGACCUCGCGCGAGUGCUAGAAAAAUCACUCGACUUCUACCGAGAUCCUGAUUAACAAGCAGCUACUCGACCUAGCAUACUAGUAUUCAUCUCAAAAAGGAAUCCUAAGUUCAUGCAACUAGAGGUUUCAAGCAACUCCUACACUUAAGUGCACAUUGCAAUCCUACAAGCAUUAAGUGUAGUAAAGUAGCAUAUAAUAAUACAGUUAUGCAUAAAACCGGGGCUUGCCUUCAAUUGCUGGGGCUGCGGGGAGAUCCUCAAUAGCAGCCUCUGAAGCCUGCUCCUGGUCCUCCUCUUGGACAUGUCCUUGCUCGGGGAUGAGCACGUACUCUCCGUCGGCAAGAUUACAAUCUAAUGAAUGCAAUGUGUAAGAUACAUGCAUGAUAUGAUAGGUGCUUUAGAAAUUACAACUUUUGACGGUGUAUGAUCUACUUGGGUUAAACAAGGUUAACUUUACUUAUGUAAGACCCUUGGGUGGUAUACUUGGUAAAUUGGGUCAAACUUAGCUAAGGUAAGUGGUAGGUUUAUUUUUGGGGUUCCACUGAAUUCUUUUUAAGUCUUAGUGAGAGUUGAUAAGUACUCAAGUUAGACUUAUUGGGGUGAGGUUUAUUUCCUCUUCCCUUUUCUUUUACUCUCUUAAAUGUUUUGGAGUGGGUUUGAACUACAAGUUGCUUUUAUAAAAUUCUAAAACUUCUGCAAAAAUUACAGUGGCUUGGUACUGGUGUAUAUUUCUCUGUCUCAAAAUUUGGGGAUCAGAAAGUGAAUAGUUUUCUCUGGACAAAAUUAUUAAAUUCUAGCGCAGAAGGGGUGCUUUGAACUACAACUAUUAUUUAACAGUGGGUAGUUCUCUAAAACUUAUUUUGCUGGCUUUUAGGUGUUAUAACAUGACUUGAUACAAAUUUCUAGUCAUUAAUACCUUUUAAUUAUUUUACUAUGGUUUUCUCAAGUUUCUUGCCAAAUGGGUGCUUUCUACUACCACUAUAUUUGAAAAAUAUCAAACAACAGAGUUCUUAUUUUUCUUAGUUAUUGUUUUGCGCAAGAGCAAUCAUUCUGAAGUUUGGCCUCUUUUUGCUUAAGGGAAGGGGUGGUAUGCAUUAUUUAAAUUAAGUGGCAUUUCCCAUAAAACACUAGCAAUAGGUAGGAGUUUGCUUCUUUUUCAUGGGUUUGCAUUUUUCUCUGGUGGUUUAUCUCAUUAUGAACUUAGCUAAUUUUUGGUUGCCCAUUAUCACAUUAUUAGGGGUUGUUCAUGAUUUAUUUGGAAAAUACCUCAUUAGCAUUCUAUAUUUAUUUUCCUUACUUAAAAAGUUGGGCUGAGGUGUUCUUUAUUUUUGUAGUGGGGCUCUGGUGGUUGUAAGUCCACUGGAUUUUUAUUAUUCAUUUUGGGUAUAGUUUUGUAAUUCCAAUAAUUGAUUCUUAGUUCAAAUAAGGCUAAAUAAAGUAUUUUAAUUUAAAACUGAUCUGGACUAAGGGUCUCUUUAUUUUUCCUAUGUUCUCUGUUGCAUAAGCAAACUAGGAAAAAUAAUUUUACUCACUGUUCAUCAAUUUCUAAUGCCUUUCUGGUUUUUUUUAAGUUUUGGGCAAAAUAGCUUUAAAUGAUUAUCUACAUCAUAUUUUCCAAUGCUAGGGUUCCCACUAUUUUAAACAGUGUCUAAGUGAGGUUUGAAUACCUACAAAUUUUCUUAUGUUCGGUACAGAAGAAAAACAAAUUUUCCUUAAUUAAACUAGGUUUGGUAAGUUUCUGUUUUUAAUUUUAACUCUAAAAUUUAGAACAGAAAGCAUAGGGUUUAUCAUUUUUAAAUGAUAGCUCAUAAUAUUUAGGAUCUAGCAAAAAUAGUUUGACAACUUUUGAUUAAGAAUUCAUCAAGUUAUGGAUUUUCUAAGUUCUCUGGUUAUUUAAAAAGAUUAACAGAAUUGAUUAAAUGGAAAACUACUUUGCACGGGGGUCCCUGGCGGGUAUUUUAAGUUUCCUUCGCAGAUCAGUCCUUAGGCUACUAUUCACAUGGGUCACUGACUUUACAGAAAACCCCUGGGGUUCUCCAAAUCCUAACCCGAGGUCCUUCUCCUAACUUAAACAGUAACCGCGGCGGAAGAAAGGGCGGAGGGGCUUACCGGCGGCGAGAUGGCUCCGGUGAAGUGGUCGAGGACGUAGGGGAGGUCUCGGGGAUCACAACGGUGUGCGGGUCGCCGUCGGGGAUGGCCGGAGUUGGCUGGUCCACGUGCGCAGGCGGGGAUGCUCGUCGGCGGCGAGGAGUCCGGCCUGCUCAUGGCGAGAUAGUUCAAUUGGACGGCUCAGAGAGGUUCACGGGAUGCCAGAGAAGAUAUGGGUGCAAGGAAUUGGACGGAGACUCACCGGUUAGCUCUGUCCACGCGCGGUGGCGAAAGACCGAAGUCCGGUGAGGUCGAUCUCGGGCCUCCGGUGAAGUCCGGCCUGGUCUGAGGGCUUGGAAAGCUUCACGGGCCACUGGCGGAGCUAGCCGAAGCACUGGCUCGACUUGGGGGUGGCUGGAGUGGGCUGGCCACGGUGGCCGAAGCUCUGGCGGCAAUGGCGGGCAGAAUUGAGCUCGCCGGAGCUAAGGAGAGGGGGCUGGCCGGUGAAGGUGAGCGCGGGGUGAAGUGGGGCGCGCCCGGGGAGGCUUUAUAGGCGCGGGCGAGCACGGCCGAGGGCGAGGCUCUGACAUGCGCUCGGGGCGUGUGCGGCGAACGCCAGUGCGCGCUCUGGCGCCUGGCACAGCGUCGAGCACGAGGCAGUGCAGAGAGAGGUCAAGUUCAAACGCGGAUUGGGCCCAAAUCUUUGAAAUUAAGGCCACGAUCCCGUUGAAAGAUCUCUUCCUCUUAGGUCCCUUUGUCGUUUGUGUGUGGAGGCUAGCAACUUUCGCUGACUGGAUUAAGAGAUAGAGAGGGGAGAAAUCCUGUUUGUCUCACUGCCACACACAGGGAAAAAUUCUCUGGUUUGACGUGUCCGAGGCACGCGUCCCAAUGCCAUCUCCUGGCACAUGACAGAGGGGUUAAUUAGGCACAUUUUUGUUAAUGGGGCCAUUAGGAUUCGAGUUAGGGAUCAAGGUGAAAAUCCCUGAUCUUUGGCUCAAGGUCUGAAUUUCAGAAUUCUGAAAUUCAGAAUUCCCAUUAAGUCCCCACAUGAGAAGCUUGAUUUGGGGUUUUAUUUGAGUUAAUUUGGCCAAGCUUUCUCAACCUUUCUUGUUACUUAUUUAAUAUACUUCAAUUUUUAUAAUUGGCUCAUGUCAUAAUUUUAAAUUUUUCAUACCCUUUUCCUUAUUUUCUUGAAUUUUGCUCAUGGGGCUCACUUAGGGUUUUUAUUAGGGUUACACCAUUCUUACCUUUUUGAAGGACCCAUUUGCUUUGGUCAUGAUACUUUUAAGUAUAUGCUUGGUGAAUUCUUUAUUGCUUAAGUUAAUUUGAUGCUCAUGCUUACUUUGGUUCACAUAAAAUGAUGGUUCUUGGUUUGGCAUUUUGAGAGAAACCCUAGGUGACACUGGGGUGUCACAAAUUUAAAGGCAGCGCAGUCUAGACAGCGAAGCUAUGCUGACACCCGAAGAAGAGAACUCAAUUUCAAAGUGGGAGACUAUGUCUACUUGAAGGUGUCACCCAUCAGAGGAACCAAAAGGUUUGGAGUCAAAGGCAAGCUAGCACCCUGAUAUAUUGGGCCGUAUCAGAUCCAAGCGAGACGCGGAGAAGUGGCUUAUCAACUCAGCUUACCAGAGAACCUGUCCGCUGUGCACGAUGUGUUCCAUGUGUCAGAAGAGCAGUUGCCAGCAGAGGAUCUUGAAGUUCAAGAAGAUCUAACAUAUAUUGAGAAGGCAACUCAAAUUCUAGAGACAGCAGACCGGGUCACUCGAAGAAGUACCAUCAGGAUGUGCAAAGUCAAAUGGGGUCACCACUUAGAAGAAGAAGCAACCUGGGAAAGAGAAGAUGAAUUGAAAGCCAAGUACCCUGAGCUCUUUUCUAGCCAGCCCAAAAUCUCGAGGGCGAGAUUCUUUUAAGGGGGAUAGGUCUGUAACACCCUGAUUUUGGGGGUAUAAAAUUUCUUUCUAAUUAUCACCCAAAAUCAUGUGUUACUCUUCCUUUUCUCACUCUAGGCUUUCUCUCUCUCUAGAUUCUUGCUCCCUUUUUCCUUUUGAUUAGAAAUAGCUUAAACUAGUGGAGAUUAAUUAUUUAUUUUUGUCAAAACCUUAUGAGUCAUGACAUGUUGCAUCAUGCUGAGCUUAAAAUAUUCUUUGAAGUGUUGCACAAGUUUGAAUUUAUUUGAAUUUGGAUUUGAAAACUCUAUAGAAAAAGAAAUGGAAAAACAAUUAGAAAAUCUAGAGAAAAAGGAAAAGGGAAAGCAGCCCAGUCGGCCCACUAAGCCCAGCCAGGCCGCGCGCCCGCGCGCCCGCGCCGCCUGACAGGCGGACCCCGCCUGUCAACGGCAGUUCUCCCUCGCGCGUGCCCUCUCUCUCUCGCUCGCUGCCCAGUGGGCCGAUCUGUUGGCGCCUGUUUUUCUCCCCUACGCGCUCCCUCUCUCUCUGUCUCGCGGGCCCGGUUCGCCAGUCGCCGAGCCAUUGCCCCGCGCACCCUUUCUUCUCUCUCUGUGCCGUGGGCCUGCCCUGUCAGUUUCGCCCCCUCCACGCUCGCCGUGGACCGGCGCGUUCGCACUCGCGCACGUCGCUGGAUUUCUCGGCCACGACGCCCGCCCACGCGCCCAGCUCCUUUCUUAGAGCCCUGCCAGUGCCCCCGCCCACAUCCCUCGCCUCAUUUCGCUUAGCUUCACCCUCUCUCGCACUCUGCCCACGCCGCCAACCACCGCCAGAGACCCGCGCCCGCGUUCCCGGCCAUCCAGCUCGCCGGAGACCGCUCCAAGCCUCCUCGAGCUCCGCCCCGAGGUGAGACACCCGUCCCCGUGCCCAAUUUCCCCUAUUGCGCCCUGUGUUCGGCCAAUUUCGCCUUCACCGAUGCUCGGCCACGGCGGACCGCCGUGCUCGCGCGGUGGCCGGCCGAUUUAGCCCGGUCUAGUUCCCCGGCGUUAGUCCCUAAGGUGCCUCUGCCUCUGCUGAAGCUAGCCAAGGCCUUAGCGCGCCUUAAGUCUCUUCCCUGUGGCCGGAAUGGCUCACCGGAGUUGCUCCGGCCCGCUCGAGGCUUCCUCACCGCCGUUCUCCCUUCUCUGCCCGUGGAUUCAUGGCCUCUUCCCCGCCAUUGAGUUUGCCGUGGCGCCCUCUCCCUCUCUGCCCAACUCCGGCCACCCGGAGCCACCCUAGACCGCGCCAGCCUCAACUCUGGUGACCUCACCACCGUGGAGAGGAGCGGCGCUGCCCGCAGCCAUUGAACCCCCUCGGUCUGAUCCCCUCCGUCCAAUUCGGAUCGAAUGGCUCAGAUCACAAAUAACGCUUCGCGCACGCACGCCGUAGCGCCCUGGCCCGCUUGUAAGCGCCAAAACCCUCUGGCGCUGAGCCCGCUCGGUCGGCGCGCUCUCCCCCUCUAUCGCUGACACUCCAUCGCCCGCCUGUCAGCGCUCGCCCGCUCUCACGCGCGCGCCCUCGGCCGCAGAUCUAAUCUCAGCCGUUGGGUUUAGACCUGUCGGUUAGAUUCACCCGAUACCCCUUCGCGCGGUAGUUUUCUUAAAGAGACCCUCGAUUUAUUGGAAAUCAACCCGCCGUCCCUGGUUUUCGCGCGCAGGCCCCUGUAAUCUUGCAGAUUUAGCCCUGGACUUUUAAAUAUUCACAGAAUUAGCCCUAAUUUCAUAUUUUGAAUUCCCAAACUUGUUUAUUUCAUAACUUUUGCAUAUGAACUCCAAAUUUAGUGAUUCAAAUUGCAAAAUGUUCAUAGAAUUAUUCUCUGUUUAAAUAAAAUGGUUUCACUUACUGUCUACACACUAUAAUUUUUAGGAUUGAAUAUGAACUAAUGUAGAUGUAUUUUUAUUUAUUUAAUAAAAUAAAUAAAAGGAGAACCUUAGAGAUUUAAACAUGUGUAAGCUUGUGAGAUUAAUAAUGUGUAUUACAUGAGUUUACCUCUGUUCUAAAUUUUAGGUCACAAUAAAAUAAGUUGAACUAUGUUUAUGUACUUGUAAGUAACACUUAGGGGAAAUAGUAAUCUAUUUUCAAAUAAAGUUAAUGUAGGUUAUAGUUUAUGUUAUACUUUGAAUUCAUUAUCCCUUAUAUAGUAUUAUGUCUUUUUAAGAUGUGUUCCAAUGUUUGUACAUGUUUGGUGUGAUGUUCAUUUGUACUUUCCAAAUGUAUUGAAUGCAUGCUCGCUUUAUUUAGACAACGAGCAGUCCGAGGUUCCUGAGUGUGUUGUUGGAGACCACCCUGAGCAACCACCUGGUGAAGGUAAGUGUGCUCUGACCUAUUAUGUCCUACAUACUUUAUGAUUCAUUGUCCCACAUUACUUUAUGAAACCUAAGGACUGACUAGUCUAUAUUCACUUAUCCUUAUUUACCUUUUGGGUUAUCAUGGUUAGCAUGUUGCUAUUGCCUUAACUUAAUAAAUGAACAUGAUGUGAACAUUUAUGAUACGAUACUGUUAUCCUGAUUAUGUGGAUGAUCUUGUGAUACCUUAGGGGGUUCAGGCCUUUUUCCUGAGUACCUCUCCGUAAGGACCUGUUUGUGGAGUGACCACCCGGGAUAACAGUGCAACCAUGAGGGUGGAAUGGGACGCCCUUAGUUGAUUAAUUAGAUGAACCUAGGGGCGUAGUUGGCUUUGCCGGAGGGCCAUCAAUGGGGGCCGGGGCGUAGUGCUCGCUCUGCCAAGGUUGGGGUGCAGAGGUUCUUUCGAUUUGGUUUUGUUAGUCACCCACCUUGGGGAGGUGUACUGCGUUUGUACGACUGGCGAAACCUAACGAGCAGCUAUGCACCAGGGGAGUCUUUGUAAAGGCUACGUAGUGUAUCCCUGGCCAUUCACCUUGGUAGUGAAGAUCGGGUCUGUAGAACCCAGGCUGGAAAAGGAUCACGACUUGUGGGUAAAGUGUACAACCUCUGCAGAGUGUUAAAAACUGGUAUAUCAGUCGAGCUCACGGUUAAGAGCAGCCUUGGGAUCCUCUUUGAUUAGAAGAAUUUUGGAUAUUUUUAUGAUGAUGAUUAAUAGUGAUGUUAUAAAAUCUGAUCUCUGGUAUUUCCUCUUGGAGGGAGUGACUCUGGGUAAUAACUGGGUUUAUUACUAAAAGUUGGCUCUACUAAUAACAAUAAAUACUUGACUAACCUAAAAGAAACUGCUUGACCUCAACCCAUAUACAGCUAAGCCACUUUAGCCAAACGGGACAUUUGCUGAGUAUGUUGAUGUGUACUCACCCUUGCUUUACACACCACCCCCACCCCAGGUUGUCCCCAGUGUACUCAGUGCUCUGGAGGUGAUGCUGGCAACAUGGAUGACUUCGUGGAGUUCCAGGAAUAUGACGAGUUCUAGUUCUUUCUUAGUGGCAAACCCCAGUCAGCUGCCUGUGUAGGCUUAGCAUCUACAUUUCGUAUUUCCGCACUUUGAUAGUUAUGUUAAAGACAAUGGUAAUGUAAUAGACUCUAUGGAUGUCUUGGACAUCUUGAUGUAAUAAAGUACCUUUCCGCUAUUUAUUUCGAGCAUUGUGUGAUGAUGUCCAAUUAUGUAAUCGCUGUAUGUGAGUUUCUAAUCCUGGCACGUACAUGGUUCACAUUUGGUUUGCCUUCCAAAACCGGGUGUGACAUCGUCCUUAGCCAUGAGACAAUUGUGGCCAACGUUUGGGAAGAGGAGGCCUUUGUUGACAGCGAUGUUGGCGGCGUCCUCGUCGGAGGAGUCGAUGGAGCUCUCGUCGGAGUCCCUUUCCCGACAUAUGUGCGCAUCGCCGCCCUUGUUUUUGUAGUAUCUCUUCUUCUCCUUAUUCUUCCCCUUCUUGUCUUCGUCCUUGUCACUUUCACUAGAGAUUGGACAUUUAGCUAUGAAAUGACCAGACUUACCACACCGGUAGCACACCCUUUUGGAACAGGACUUGUAGUCCUUCCCCCUCCUUUGCUUGAGGAUUUAGCGAAAGCUCUUGAUAAUGAGCACCAUCUCCUCGUUGUCAAGCUUGGAGGCGUCAAUUGGAAGCCUACUUGGUGUAGACUCCUUCUCUUCUUCCGUUGCUUUGAAUGCGACGAGUUGCACCUCGGGUGGAGAGGUGGCGCCUUGCUCCAAGUUGACAAUGUGUUUGGAGUCUUUGAUCAUAAGUUCAAAGCUCACAAACUUGCUAAUCACUUCCUCGAGAGACAUUAGUUUGUAUCUAGGAUCUCCACGUAUUAAUUGAACUUGAGUAGGAUUACGAAAAACAAGGGAUCUUAGAAUAACCUUGACCAUUUCAUGGUCAUCCCAUUUGGUGCUCCCGAGGUUGCGCACUUGGUUCACCAUGGUCUUGAGCUGGUUGUACAUGGCUUGCGACUCUUCUCCUUUGUUGAGGACGAAUCGAUCGAGUUCUCCCCCGAUCGUCUCCCACUUGGUGAUCUUGGUCACCUCGUCCCCUUCGUGCGCGGUUUUGAGGACGUCCCAAAUUUCUUUGGCACUAUUUAACCCUUGCACCUUAUUAUACUCUUCUCGACAUAAAGAGACUAGGAGUAUAGAAGUUGCUUGGGAGUUAAAGUGCCUAAUUUGGGCGGCCUCUUCCGAGUCGUAGUCCUUGUCCCCCACCUUAGGUACCUACGCUCUAUACUCAACAAUAUCCCAAAUACUUUCGUGGAGUGAGGUUAGAUGGUGCCUAAGUUUAUCAUUCCACAUACAAAAAUCUUCACCAUCAAAAUAUGGUGGCUUGCCUAGGGGUACAGAGAGUAAUGGGGCGUGCUUUGAAAUAUGGGGAUAGCGUAGGGACAUCUUACUAUACUUCUUGCGCUCAUGGCGCUUAGAAGUAGUGGACGACUCGGAGCUUGAUGUGGAGGGUGAUGAAGAGUCGGUCUCGUAGUAGACCACCUUCUUCAUCUUCUUCUUCUUGUCACCUCUCCGAUGCGACUUGAUGGAGGAAGAGGAUUCCUCCUUGUGUUUGUUGCCGGAUAGGUGUGGAAACGAGCCAAGCCGAGCUCGGCUCGGCUCGUUACGGCUCGCUCAUGCAACGAGCCGAGCUCGGCUCGGCUCGCCCAUCUGGCGAGCUCGGAAAAGCGGCUCGGCUCGGCUCGCUCCGGGCUCGUCGAGCCAAUGAGCCUAGCCAUAAACGUAAAUCUGCUCUCUAAAUUAUAAUAUAAAAUCUUAAAAAUAUUUUAAAUAACAUAUUUUAAAUUAAUAAAAUAGACAUAUCGCUAAUAUAAUAUAUAAAAUAGAUUAUUUUUGUAUAGUUAUCUCAAAUAACAUAAAUUAUUGUCUACUCGGUACUAACAUUAUAUACUAAUUAAGAUUUUAUGUAACAAAUUGUUGUUGGGUCGAGCCACGAGCCAGCUCGCGAGCUGCACCGAGCUGAGCCGAGCUGGCUCGCUCUUUUCACGAGCCGCAAAAACAGGCCCGACUCGGGCUCGUUAUGAACGUCGAGCCGGUCCGAGCCGAGCCGAGCUACUGCGAGCCUGAGCCAGCUCAUCGAGCUCGAGCUUUUUUUCCAGCCCUAUUGCCGGACUCCCUUGAGAGAGUCCUCCCCGAGCUUGCGUCUUUUUCACCGGUCAUGAUCUCCAUCUUGGCGUGAUCUCUAGACAUCACUUCGAGUUGGUUAGACUCGUAAUGAAGCACUGGCUCCGAUACCAAUUGAAAGUCGCCUAGAGGGGGGUGAAUAGGCGAAACCUGAAAUUUAUAAACUUAAAUGCACACUAAGGUCAGGGGUUAGCAUUAAUUAAAUUCAAGUCUAAAGAGAGGGAAAAACAAAUCAAACAAGAAUCAAGGCGAUUGAAUACGAUGAUUUGUUUUACCGAGGUUCGGUUCCAAAGAACCUAGUCCCCGUUGAGGAGGUCACAAAGACCGGGUCUAUUUCAACCCUUUCCCUCUCUCAAACAGUCACUUAGACCGAGUGAGCCUUCUCCUUAAUCAAUCGGGUCACUAAGACCCCGCAAGGACCACCACACACUUAGGUGUCUCUUGCUUUGAUUACAAGUCACUUGAGAGCAAGAAUGAGAAAGGAAGAAAGGCAAUCCAAGAAACAAAAGCGCAAAAGAACAUGAACACACACUCUCUCAAGUCACUAAAUGGUUGAGAUGAAAUCUAGACUUGGAGAGGGUUUGAUCUUUGUAAAUGUGUCUUGGAGUGAAUGCACUAGCUCUUGUAUUGAAUGUGAUCUCUGAAAAACUUGGAUGCCAAAGGUUGUGGUGGUUGGGGGGUAUUUAUAGCACCCAACCACCUUGGUAGCCAUUGGUCAAGGCUGCUGGCGAUGGGCGCAUCGGACAAUCCGGUGCGCCACCGGACAUGCACUGUUCGUUGUCCGGUGCGCCACCAUGUCACUUAACCGUUAGGGUUCUGAGUUGGUCGACCGUUGGAGACUUUGUCUUCUUGCGGUACCGGACUGUCCGGUGCCACACCGGAUAGUCCGGUGCCCUCUGACUUCGUUGCUCCGACUUCUGCCGCGGCAUUGUAGCCCACUGUAGCACUUUGCAGAGUCGACCGUUGGCGCUGGAUAUCCAUUGCCCGCUGGCUCACCAGACAGUCCGGUGGCACACCGGAUAGUCCGGUGAAUUUUAGCGGAGCGCGCCCUGGAAUUCCCGAGAGUGGCUGGUUGACAUCUGUACGGUCCUGGUGCACUGGACACUGUCCGGUGGCACACCGGACAGUCCGGUGCGCCAAUUUUCAGCACACUCAAGUCCUUUUGCUCCAAUAAAAUUGUGUCCCUGUUGAAGACUUGUUCUCAAAUGCUAUGAGUUAAGAACAAGGCAACACAAAAAAUGUUAAACGUUAAAGUCCUUCGUCCUUCGAAGCAUUAUUUCCCUUGGGGUAUAAUGAUUUUUGGACGAAGGUUAUGAAGGGCGUACCUUCAUAAGCGCAACAUAUAAUAAUGAAGAGAGAAUCAUAUGAAAUAUAAAAGAUAACAUGAACAAUUAUGUAUUAUUAUCAACUCAUUUCUAUUUUACUAUUAUGGAAAAAUAGAAAUGACAUCAAAUUACAAAUGUACCUUCGGCUUGAAAGAAGGUAAAAGUACAAGCGUGACGCAAAAGCAGAAUGACCAGUCAGCGUGAACAGUACAAGAGCACUGUUCAUCUAUUUAUAGGCACGGGACGCAACCCAUGUAAAAUUACACCCAUACCCUUUACAUUUGCUAAUGACUAUAUAGUAAUCCAUCGAGGUCUAAAUAGCCUUUUCCCUUUUAAGUCGGUUUCCUUUUCUGCUAUCAUGCCGAAGCUCGCCUGUGCAUAGCUUUGGCUCUGCGCCAACCUUCGUAUUCUUUGUGCUUUUUCACACUGUGGUUCUGAUCUGAGUCUGUAGGUACCUGUUCAUGUAUUAUACUCCAGAAACAUUGUUAAAUCAUGUUUUUGAGGACCUUCGGAAGACGAAGGCCCCCAACAGUAGCCCCUCGCAAGGUUAAUUUGUUAGAAUAACGAAUUCAUAUUGUGAUAUGGACGAAGGCCCUAUGCCGAAGGUCCGAAAAAACACCUUCCCUUUGCUAGAAUAGCAACAACUAAUGACAAGCGGGGCCCUCCAUUUUGCAAUGCACUAGAUGUAUAAAUAGGAGCACACGACGAGCUCAUUUGGCACGCUUUUUGCCGUCUGCUCUGCUUGCUCAAUUUUUAGCUCUUGCCUACCAACGCUUGGUUGGUUUUUUAGAUUUUCUAAGCUUCGGCUUUAAGAGCACAUUUUCAUCAUUUCCGAAGAGAUGUCUCAAGAUAAGAAAGCUGUUGUUGAGACGAAGCUAAGCGAGGAGGAGAAGCUCUCUGAGGAGAAGACUGCUGGCUUUAUUGAAUCAAUAGCAAAGACAAAUACAGAAAAGAUUACUAGGGAGAUUUUAGAAGGCUUAUCUAAAGACACCGGUGACAGCGACAGUUAUGAUGUGGAAAGUGGGGGCGAAGACUCCGAAGAUCGACCCUGGCGACCAAGUCAUGCAGUUUUCGGAAAAUCAACUAUUAAACAGAGUCAUCUUGAUAAUAUGAGGGGAAGAUAUUUUCGAGAUAUGUCUAUUGUGAGGGCUGACAACGGAGACAGGACUGCUCCUGUUCCCGAAGAGAAUGAAGUCGUGAUCUUCCGAAGCUUUUUCAAAGCUGGGCUUCGGUUCCCCUUAAGCAGAUUUGUGGUUGAAGUUUUAAAGAUAUACCAAAUUUUCCUUCACCAAAUUACUCCCGAAGCAAUCAUAAGAAUGGGAAUCUUCGUCUGGGCCAUGAGGAGUCAUGGCUUGGAGCCAAGUGCAAAAAGUUUCUGCAGUAUGCACGAACUUUUAUAUGAGACGAAGCCCUGGGGUAAAGAGCAGUAUCAUAACAAUUUUUGUUGCUACAGCUUCGUUGCUCGUUCUAGCUCAAGCUGCCCAGUGCCAACUUUUCGAAAGAGAUGGCCCGGGGACUGGAUGAAAGAAUGGUUCUAUGUGAAAAAUGAUUUAAAGGCACAAGAAGACAUUAAAGAGAUCAUCAUGCGCCCCAUCUGGCAGCGUUUCGGCCUCCGAAAACCGAAGGUAGAGAUUGAUGAGGCAGCCGAAGGAUGCCGAAGGGCCUUCGGCACGGUUUGCGCUUUCAUCGGGACAAGGGAUCUAAUCCAGGAGCAUAUAGCCUAAAGAGUAUGGCCACUUGUAGAGAAGUGGGAAAUGCCGAAGGAGACUGUCACUAAGACUGACGAAGGAGAGCUGGUUCGACUGAAAUACACCUUUAGAUAUGGAGAUAAAUUUGAUGAGCCAAGUGAUGACUGGCUGAAAUGUAUCGAAGCUACAAGUGAUGAACUGCUUGGGCCGUACUCCAAAGCGGAAGAUAAUGCGUUAUCUGCGGCCUUCGGGAGCCGGAAAAAGAAGAGGCUAAAUAGAGUUUUUGAUGCUAUUGGAUUUAUGUAUCCUGACUACCACUACCCGCCAAGGGGGCAGAAGAGAAAGAGUGCAACUUCUGGGAAGGAUGUUACUUCAGCUGCUCCGAGUGAGCCCGCUCCGAAGAGGAGAAAGGUGAAGGUUCUUACUCACCAACCGCGCUAUAUUGAACCGGCCACAAUGCCCGAAUUUGGUGGUGAAACCUCUUCGGCUACUGAAGCCAAAGAACCUGUGCUUACAUAGAAGAUUGAAGAGUCGGCUGCAAUGCCGAAGGCAUCCUCAGCCAAAUUAGCUGAGCCGAAGGCCGAUAAUAUUGAAGAGAUAGAGGUCGAAAGAACAAAGCUAUUAGAAGUUAUAAGCCCUUCGGCAGAAGUGACAGAGCCGACAGCACAAAAAGAUCUUACAAUGACCCCCAAGAGGAAAAGGAUGGUCAACGUACUAGAUGUGUUGGAGACGAUAAAGACUUCAAGCUCUACUCCAGGGAAAACUGGCGAAGCUUCAAAAACGCAGACUGAGACAAAACUAACCGAAGCCGAAGCUGUAAAGAACCAGGCCGAGACCGAAGCUGGGCCUUCAGAGCCCGCCAAGGAGAAAUCCUUUGAAACCGGAGAAAAGGAAACGGAAAAAGAAGCUGCAAAACAAAUUCUGCCUGAAAAAGCUAUCACUUCUACUCCCGAAGCAUCUUCUGAAGUUCUUGGUUAUAUUGUAUGACACGCUUCGGGAAAAAGAUUAUCUGAAGAAGAGAUUUUUGAAGCUAAACACUAUGCCCGAGAACUGAAGUAUCUGAAAGGGGCCUUAGUAUUCAAUGGCACAGACGAAGAAGACUUCUUAUACUGCCUCCCAGACAACAAAGAAUUAUCUGUCUGCCGAGAGAUGGCUAGAAGUAUGGGGUUCCCGAAGCUUGAAGCUAGCCUCUGCGCUAUGACGAAGGAUGAUCUUGCAGAUAGCCUCGCAUAUAACAGUCUGAAGGUACAAAAAUUGUAUAUUUGGAAAUUUAUAAAUUUUGAACUAUUCUUUUGCUCUUAUACUAAUUCUUUUCAUAUAGGGUUUAAUACUUAGCAACGCCUUGAGAGCGCAAAAGAACGCCGAAGACGAGAGCUACACUAUUGCUUUCAACAACCUUCAAAUAGAGGUUAUUAAGCUGAGGAACGAAGCUUUGGAAAAAGAUAAAAUUCUGCUUACAUUGGUGGAUAAUGUAAAGAAGGAUGAAGCUAACUUUAAAACCCAAUCUGAAGCCCAAAAAAUUGAGAUUGAAGACCUUCGGAAGCAACUGGCCGAAGCUAAAGAGAAGUGCGCAGUCGCAGAAGCUAAACGAGGAAUUAGCGAACAAUGGACAAAUCAUUUAGAGAAGAAUGUUGAAGAACUUCACAUAUCCAAGGAAAGAUGCUUUGAAAAAUCUAUGGACUGCGUGAAGAAAAUAAAAACUAGCUUCGCCAACGUCGGCGCAUAUUCAAGCGAGGACAACUUCAUAAGAGGCGAUCCUGGGGCCCAAUUGAAUGGAUCAGCAGCGAAACCGAAGCUUUUGAGGAAGUUUUGAGUGGCCAUGGGGACGUCUGCGCCUUCUCUGGCGCGAGGGGAGUUGCAGCUAUUUUGGAGAAAGCAGGGUGCGAACAUGUUAAAACUUUGGCCCAAGCCGAAGCUGCUUUCUCCAUUGAUGAUACGAAGGAUCCCUCGGCCGAGGCAAGCUUAAUAGGCGAAAAUUUUUUCACUGACGUUUGGGAGAAUGGCGGUCGAGGGAUGGCUCACGAAAUAAUAAAGAAAAGUGAAAAAGAUACUCACGACACUAGAGAAGCGACAAAAACAGCUGAAAAGGCUGCGGAGCUUGAGAGACAAAUAGGUAUUACUUAACGAUUUUUACUUUUGAUGUUUACUUUUGCGACUUCGAAAUAAUUUACGUUUUCUACCGCAGCUGAACUAUCUCCUCCCCCAGAGCCCUUCGAGCCACUGGCCAAAGCAGAGGCAAAAGAAUCAUCAGAAAUUAUUAGCAUGGCUGAAACCAUUAUGGACGAAGUCGUUACUCAACUGCUGACCGAAGCUGCAGACAAAGUUUUGAAAGAAGAAGAAUAGAUAUUGUAAAAAUAUUGCCAAAAUAUUAAUGUAACAUUUGCUGGACUAUGCUUGUAAUAUUUGGUACUCAUGAGUUCUUAAUGUAAUGUGUAAAUGGCUUUGUAAUCCAUUUCUUUGCGAUGCAUGAAAUUUUUAUUGUACAUACUGUUUCUGAGCCUUCGGCGAAAAAAUACCUUCCCUUCUUUUCAUGCUACGUAAAUAAGAGUUUUUAUGCUUCGUGAAAAAUCCUCCAAUCAUUGCAGAAACAUUAAUGCUUCGUCAGUAAUAGACUUUCUUCCUUGAUAUCAGGGUGCUUCAUAAAAAAUGCUCCAAGCGUCGCCAUAACACUGAUACUUCGUCAAUAAUAGACUUUUUCCUCCACUUCAGAGCUGAUAAAGUUGUAUCUUUUCAAAACUUAUUUUGUGCCUUAGCACAAUUUCACUUUUUCGAAGCAUUCUCCGAAGGUCAACAUUGUAUCCCCUUCUUGUGCCAUUGAUGCAAUAUGAUGUAUGAUGUUAUGUUAUGAGAAAUGCUGUGAUGAUGUUAUGCUAUGCGAAAAUGAUACUUUGUGCCGAAGACACACACUCACAUCCCCAUAUGGAAUACACAAUCUCUUUGACGUUUAUUUUUCGGCUUCACCGUUUAUUUUUCGGUGUAUCAGCGCUGAGUUUUCGCUGUAAGUUCUGCAUUCCCUUAGGAACGUCUUUUGAACUUCUUCGUCUUCUAUUUCGGCGGUAUUCGCGUUGACUUUUCGCGCUUCGCCUUAUAUUUCGGCGGUAUUUGGCUCUGCAUUCCCUUUGGAACGACUUUUGAGCAGAAAACUUACACUACGCUCCCUUAGGAAUGACUUUUUGUAGCUUCGGCAAACUUACGCUGCGUUCCAUAGAACGACUUCGGCAAACUUACGCUGCGUUCCAUAGAACGACUUUUUAUGCUUCGGUGACUUUUUGGACUCCGUAAUUCUGUGGAGAAGAUAUAUUUUCACUAUGGCAAAAAUGAAGUUAUUACAAGGAAUUGAAAACGACAAGAAAACUAGGUUUUCAAUAAUUGUUCCUAAGUAAGAAAGAAAAUGACAACGAAUGUAAAAACUGAUUCAGGGGUAGGAUAUCUCUUAGUAGAUAUGCUUCGACUCUGGCAUAGUACUGUUGACUGUGCGAGCUUCGGACUCCUCCCUGAAGUCUCUCUGCUGAUGGGUCUGUUGACUCCCAUCUGGCUGUUGGCCGCGUGAAUAUGCAGGUUGUAGUGGUGGCGGAGGUGGAGGCUGUGGCCAGGAUGCCUGUGGCUGACUAGCCGAAGCAACAGACGCUGCAGGAUGGUUACCCACAUACUCUGUAUGUAGGGUGAGUGAUAUAAAGCAGUAUGCAUGACCUGCUUCAGCUGGUUCUGCUGAGCUGCAGCUUCUGCUAUUUCCUUCUGUUUCUGAAUGGUGACAUGGCACAUCCUUGUAGUAUGGCCCUUGUCCUCACCACAGAAUAAGCAAUAAAUUUUCCUGGGUUGAUCCCCAAACCUUCCUCCAAAGCCCCUGGCGCCUCUGCCCCUUGGAGCUGGCGGCCGAAGAUAGCUUUGUUGCUACCCCGAAGCUUGCGAGGAAUAUUGUGGCCUCUGUUUUUGACUUCCUCUAUCGUCAUUCUGGGUGGAGUGGAUUGAUCUGACGUGCCUUGGGUGGAUUCUCCCUCCAAAGCCCCUGGUCAUCUCAGAGAACCUGUAGGCUUCCUCCCUUCUUUGACGAAAGUCUUUAUCAGCACGGAUGUAUUCAUCCAUCUUUUGAAGCAGCUUCUCCAAAGUCUGUGGAGGCUUUCUAGCAAAAUAUUGGGCAGUAGGUCCUGGACGAAGCCCCUUGAUCAUGGCCUCAAUGACAAUUUCAUUGGGCACUGUAGGCGCUUGUGCUCUCAGACGCAAGAACCUUCGGACGUAUGCCUGGAGAUACUCCUCGUGAUCUUGCGUGCAUUGAAACAGAGCCUGAGCUGUGAUUGGCUUCGUCUGGAAGCCCUGGAAGCUUGUCACCAACAUGUCUUUGAGCUUCUGCCAUGAAGUGAUAGUUCUUGGCCGAAGAGAAGAAUACCAUGUCUGGGCCACAUUCUUAACUGCCAUGACGAAAGAUUUGGCCAUGACAGCUGCAUUGCCGCCAUAUGAAGAUAUGGUUGCUUCAUAACUCAUCAAAAACUGCUUUGGGUCUGAAUGCCCAUCAUACAUUGGAAGCUGAGGUGGCUUGUAUGAUGGGGGCCACGGGAUGGCCUGCAGUUCUGCUGCUAGGGGAGAAGCAUCAUCAAAAGUAAAGGUAUCAUGAUUAAAAUCAUCAUACCAUCCAUCGUCAUUGAACAAGACCUCUUGAUGAAGCUCCCUGUGUUGGGGCCUUCGGUCUUGCUCGUCUUGAGCAAGGUGACGUACUUCUUCAGUGGCUUCGUCAAUCUGCCUUUGUAGGUCAGCUAGUCGAGCCAUCUUCUCCUUCUUCUUUUGCACUUGCUGAUGAAGCAUCUCCAUAUUUCUGAUUUCUUGGUCCAACUCGUCCUCUUGGGGUGUUGGACUGGUGGCCUUCCUCUUCUGGCUUCAGGCCUCUCGAAGAGAAAGGGUCUCCUGAUUUGGGUCUAGCGGCUGCAGAGCGGCAGCCCCUGUCGCUGAAGCUUUCUUCGGUGGCAUGACGAAGGUCAAUGCUUGCCAAAGGUGGUCGAAAAGGAUUCACCGGAGGUGGGCGCCAAUGUUGGAGACUUCUUCUCAAAUGCUAUGAGUUAAGAACAAGGCAACACAAAAAAUGUUAAACGUUAAAGUCCUUUGUCCUUCGAAGCAAUAUUUCCCUUGGGAUAUAAUGAUUUUCGGACGAAGGUUAUGAAGGGCGUACCUUCAUAAGCGCAACAUAUAAUAAUGAAGAGAGAAUCAUAUGAAAUAUAAAAGAUAACAUGAACAAUUAUGUAUUAUUAUCAACUCAUUUCUAUUUUACUAUUAUGGAAAAAUAGAAAUGACAUCAAAUUACAAAUGUACCUUCGGCUUGAAAGAAGGUAAAAGUACAAGCGUGACGCAAAAGCAGAAUGACCAGUCAACGUGAACAGUACAGGAGCACUGUUCAUCUAUUUAUAGGCACGGGACGCAACCCAUGUAAAAUUACACACAUACCCUUUACAUUUGCUAAUGACUCUAUAGUAAUCCAUCGAGGUCUAAAUAGCCUUUUCCCUUUUAAGUCGGUUUCCUUUUCUACUAUCAUGCCGAAGCUCCCCUGCGCAUAGCUUCGGCUCUGCGCCAACCUUCGUAUUCUUUGUGCUUCUUCACACUGUGGUUCUGAUCCGAGUCUGUAGGUACCUGUUCAUGUAUUAUACUCCAGAAACAUUGUUAAAUCAUGUUUAUGAGGACCUUCGGAAGACGAAGGCCCCCAACAGUCCCUAACUUGGUUCUUUUCUUGGUUUGUGUUGAACCUUAUGCACCUGUAAUACAUGAGUUCUAGACAAACUAGUUAGUCCAUGUGUUUGUGUUUACUAUCAACCACCAAAAUAAAUUAUAGGAAAUGGUUAACCCUGUUUCCGUUUCAGUUUUUCUAUAAGUCAUUUGCAAUGUCACUAUCUUUCAAUCACUUACAUCAUUUGGUUAUACAAACUAACAUGUGUGUGUUAAUUGCAGAUCUAUAAUCGACAAGAUGGGACUUGUUCAAUUUGCCUGUACCAUGAAAAGAGGUAAAAAAAUGGAAGACAACCUACAAAGAUGUUAUAUGUAGUAUAUGGACCUCCUCGAUGUCCCAACACAAUGCUAGGUUAGCAACUUGUGUUAUCGUCACCGUUGGCACGUUUGUUUUCUCGAGAAUCUAACAGUUAUAUGUCACUAGUAGGUUACUUGGAUGCCUUGGGCAUAGUAGGAUCUAGACUCUUAUAGUCUAAUCAUGAUAGUGACAUAUGGAGCAUAUAUGUGCCAUUUAUCUUCUUCCACGUGGUGGAGGUCUACUACCUUUGCAUGGUGUGUAGGUAGUUAAGAAGGUUUCAAUCGAACCCACCGAUGGACCACUCCAUGAGUUAGACGUGGCACAAGUAGUUAAAUAGUUCUUAAUUUGUUACAACUUGUGAAUGAAAUGUACAGACAAUUCAAAUUAUUAAUAUAGAAAUUCUAGAUUUGAUUAGAGAAAGAGGUACAAGGAGAAGGAUUGGCAUGUCACACACCAUGAUGUCGUAGAUGUGGAACCAUAGGGAGCAUAGGGACCCAUGAGCGAUCCUCCACAUGACUAUCACAUGUGGUUUGGAAGUGUAAGAAGAAGAUGACGUGGAGGUGGAAGGUGGUGUUAUGGGAAUGAGAACAUCAGAUGUGGAUGUAGAAGAUGAUGGUUCAGAUGUUGGAAUGGAAGGAAGACACAGGAAAGAAGUACAUUCUGUGGGAUAAUAUGAGGAGUGAGUAGACUGGUUGUGAAAGAAGGGGCAAUUUUCAUUGAAACUCACAUCUCUAGAAAUUCGAAUACGACGAGUAGAAGGAUCAUAACAACGAUAGCCUUUAUGUUCAGGACUGUAUCCAAGGAAUACACACUCUACAGAUUGAGCAGUCAAUUUGGUCCGCUCACAUGGUGGUAACAACUAACAAGACAUAACAUAUACAUCCAAACACACGAAGAUGAACAUAUCAUGGAGGAGUCCCAAAAAGAACUUCACUCAGGGAUUUGCCAGAAAGUUUAGAUGAUGGAUGUCUAUUAAUGAGAUACACAGUAGUGGAAACAACUUCACUCCAAAAGUGUGAAGGAACAAAAGAAGAUAUCAAACUAGUACAAGCACUCUCAAUAAUAUUGGUGUUUUGCAUUCAGCAACACCAUUUUGGGCAUGAGCACCAGGACAAGAAAGUUGAGCUAGAGUACCCUCUAAGGUCAAUAUCUCGUGGAAAUUGUUAGAUAAAAAUUCACCACCAGAAUCCGAACGAAAUAUUUUAAUAGUAGCAAAAAACUAAGUGUGAACCAUGCGAGUGAAGGACUUGUAAAUAGAAGGCAAUUCCGAGCGGCGUUUCAUGAAGUAAAUCCAAGUAUAACGAGAAUGAUAAUAAAUAAAAAUGACAUAAUAUUUAUGACCACCUUUGGAAACAAACGGAGCUGGACCCCAAACAUCAGAGUGAAUUAGAUCAAAAGGUUUAGCAGAAUGGGAAUCACUAGUAAAAUAUGGAAGUUGUAUUUGUUUUCCAAGAUGACAACCUUUACAAUGAAAACUAGACUCAACAUGUGUAGGGCCUAAACAUCCUGACUUUAUUAGAGUGAACAGACGAGAUCCACAUAAGUGACCUAGACGAUGAUGCCACUGGGCAAACGACGUCGACCCAAAGCAGCAAGCACAUGUGGUGUAGAGGUAUGGUAUGAAGGAAGACGCAAGGUGUCCAAGAUGUAGAGGCAAGGCGAAGAUUUACGGUGACGGCCAGUCCCAAUCACAUCCCCUAUGGGUUGAUCCUGUAUAAAACAAGAUGAGUCAUCAAAUCCAACAAAGCAAUUGUGAUCGGUAAUUUAGCCAACUGAUAGUAGAUCCAUGGAUAAUUCAGGUACAAAGAAAAUAUUUGGGACAAUAAAAUUAGAAUUGGAAAGAGAACCCUUGUGGGUGACAUGACAUAAUGUACCAUCAGCAGUCUGAACAGAAGUACCCUCGGUGACAGGUGUAGUAGAUGCCAGCUAUGACUGAUCAGAUGUCACAUGAAAUGAAACUCCAGAGUCAAGAACCCAAGAGGAUGACAAAGCACCAGCAGAUGAAGUAGCAGCAACACCAACUGAGCCUCUAGGAGAUGCUCCUAUACCACGACCACGAGUAGCACGACGGACACAAAAAUCAGCCAGCUUCUCUGGAAACUUAGCAAAGCAGUUCUCAGACCGAUGAGUGGUCUUUUUACAAUGCUCACAAGGCUGAAAAGAGGUGUUCCUGGACUUCUGAGAAGUGGCCAAUACACUGUGAGAACUCACACCAGUAAUAGAAGACAUAGACUUCAGACGAGUCUCUUCAGCAAGUAAUUCAGACAACGCAUGAGCCAUGGUGAGAGUAUCAGAACUGUGAAGUAACCUUGCACGAAGAGAAUCAAAUUCAGGUCGAACGCUCAUAACAAAUCUGUAGGUAAAGAACUUCUCAAUGAACUUAUGGGUUGGGCAAGGCACAGUUGUACAAGCAGGCACCAUGGAGGUCAAUGCACUCAUAAGACAAUCAAAGUCUAAAUAGUAUUCAUCAAUGGACAUAUCAUGUUGCUCAAUGACAUGAGUCUGUUGCAUAAGGGUAUGUAAAAGAGCACCGUUAUCCUGAACAAAUCGAUCCUUCAGAUGUGACUAGAUAGCCUUAGCAAUGGUGAAUUUGGACAGGCUCAUAAUCAUAGUUGGUUUAGUGCUAUUGACCAUUGCAACCAUUACCUUGCCAUCAUUGAUCUGCCAAGUCUUGAUUGCAGCAGUAUUGCUUCUAUCAGUUGCUAAAACUAGAGAAUCUUCAGUCAAAUGAAAUAGUAAACCGUGACCUCUUAAUGCAGUCUGAACACAAAAAGCUCAUUCUAGGUAAUUCUGCCCAUCAAGCACGAUAUUGACAACAAUAGUGUUGGCUGACAUAUUGAAGAGCAAUAAAACGUUAAAGGAUAACAGAUCUGAAAAAAGACUGGUUUGAUGGUACCAAAAACCCUAGCAGGUGCAGCAGAUGAAUAGUGGAUACGCCGGCUACAGCCUUAGAUGAAACCGUGCGAAGUCACAGUAGAUCAACAGAUCUGGCCAGGGCUACACUCGGCGUAGAUACACACAGACCCUAUGUUGUGCGCUGCACAGACGGACGACGCAGCGACAGAUGGGGGUGCGCGAAGAAGGCGCGCAGGAGAUGGCAGAUGGUUACAGCAGUGCCUGCGGACGGGGGCUGAUGAUGGCCGCGAUGGUAGAAGGCAGGGCCACGACACCGGGCAGGAGCAGACGGUGAGAUGGCCGCGACACCGGGCAGGAACGGAGCACCGGCGCGCGCGCAGAAGAAUUGCACGGACGACGAAGAUGGCGGGGCGGAGCACCGGCGCGCGUAGAAGAAUCGCACAGGAGAUGGCGGGGUGGAGCACCAGCGUGCGCGCAGAAGAAUCGUGCAGGAGAUGAGGGCCACGACGGCGGUUGGGUGGGGGAGGGCCGCGACGGCAGCCGACCAGGGAUGGUCGUGACAGCGGCUGGGGUGGGAGAGGGCCACGACGGCGGCUAGAAAAUUAGUGAAACCCUAAUCAUAAUCUCCUCUGUUACCAUGUUACUAACCUUGGGAUUGACAAUAGAUGAUUAGUCCCUAAGGACUAUAUGUUAUAUAUAUAGGCAGUAGGUCUGGGUCUAAUGGACCUUAACAAUGAGUACCUCAUCUGAAGGUACCAUGAUCAUACUGAUCAAGCAUUGGUUUCAGUUUAGAAUUAUUAGAUCAAGAAUUGGUUUCAGUUUGGUACUUUGGUUUUAGUUUAGAGUACCUCAUCUGAAGCUACUGCUGUUUGAGAAUUGAGACUUUGAGUCUGAUAAUUGAUACUUUGAUUACCUACUGUUGUAGUGUUGUAGUUCUAGGACGCUGUUUGAAGUAUAGUGUAUAUAACUAUAUAUAAUUAUAUAUGUCCUAAUUAGUACAUGGCGUUUAGGAUGACCAAUCACCAAUUAAUCAUCCUGGUCGACAUCCUAAUCGCGAUUACUCGCCUAAUCGGUCACCAUCAACGACCUCGCGACCAGGCGACUUGAAAUCCACGCACUUCAUCUUCUUCCUCCCUCUCAUAUUGACCAUCGAAUCCCACAUUUCAUACAUUAAGUGAAGACAUGGUGUGCUGGUGCCCACCAUACCUAUCAUUUCAUAUAUAGUAGCGAUCCUAAGAAUGUAGUUGACCUUGUCCCACCGUACAUCACUAAGUAUCCUGUCCUUCACAAGUUGGGCAGUUGGAGCAUCAUCUCUGUAGACUCUAGAUGCUGAUUGUUGGAGGGCUGUUUUUACUUCAACAAACCGUUUCAACAUACAUACAAUUGAGGCAAAUCUUGUUUCAGGAAUCGAAAGUAACUUCAAAAGGCUAAACUCAUUGAACAUUUUUUUGAAAACUGGCAAGAGAAUUGCCUGUUAUAUUAAAAAGAAGGUGAGAGCCAGCAAGGGCUAAAAUAAACAAGUACAUCACACUAGGGAAGGAGACAUUAAGUAUGGUGACACAAAUGUCCCAAAACCAACCCCCUCCCCUUCCCGAAAACCUACAGUAGCCUUGCUAAGUGUUUUGCUCCUCCUAGAAUCCACAAGCGGAUUUGCUCCUUAAUCAUCGCUAUAGUCUGUGUCACGGUCUUCUCUUUGUGCUCAAAGAUUCGCGAGUUUCUCUCACACCAAAUUGUCCAAGACACGAGGAUGAGGAGGGUUCGCAAUCCCUUCACGCUUCUGACUGUGGAUGUUGCAAGAUUCGACCACCAUUGGUGCAUCGAACCUACAAGUUGCCAAGAAGAAUGGUGGAUCUCCGUAAUUGCAGCCCACAGACUCAAAUCAGCCCAAAUAUGUCUGGUGAAGCAACAUUCAACAAAAAGAUGUAGUCCAGAUUCUGGGCAUGAGGCACAUAGGACACAGCGCGGAUUAUUAGACCAUCCCCUUCUUGCCAACAUGUCUGCUGUCCAAACUCUAUUUUGAACAGCAAGCCAACUGAAGAAUUUGCACUUUGGUGGCGCCCAAGCUCUCCAAAUUAUACUAUUAAAAUUCAUGCAUGUGGAGCCACAGAAUUGCGCUUGGUAGGCUGACUGUGUUGUGUACUGGCCACUCAUAGUAAACUUCCACUUGAUAAGGUCGGGGGUAUUGUGCACUAAGCGAAGCUGAUUUACCUUGCACCAUAAUUGAUAAUAUUCAUGUAUGUGCGCGACAGAAAAAUCAUUGUGAUUAAAAUGUAGGUCCUGAAUCCAUUGGUUGUUUGAGAGAGCCUCAUGGAUGGAUCUAUUUUUGCCAUUAGAAAUGGGGUAGGUCAAAGGGAAGGAGUCUCUAGGUGUCAUACCCCUUAGCGAGGCAUUUUCCCAGAACAAAGAAGACUUACCAUCCCCCACCCUGACUGCAAAUAGUCUCCUGUCCAACGUAUUGCAAGGUAUAUCUUUCGCCAUCCUCUGAGUAUUUAACAGUUUGGCCUCCUGCCACAACCAUCUGAGGCGUAAGGCCCGCGAGAAAAUACCAAGGUGCAGAAUGCCUAAACCACCGUAUUGUUUUGGUCUUGCUGCAUAGACCCAGUUGACUUUGCAUUUACCGUCGGUUAAUCUCUUUGAACCAGCUCAAAGAAAUUGCUUAUGUUUUGAGUCAAUGAAAUCCAACACACUUUUAGGCGGUUUUAGGGCUAGGAGCAGAUAGGUGACCUGCGAGGUUAGCACUGCAUUGACUAGUGUGAGGCGGCUAGCCGCCGAAAGGUUUUUCCCGCUCCAUGUACUCAGCUUUGCGGAGACUUUGUCAAUCCAUGGCUGGAAGUCCACCCGUUUGAGUCUGUUCAUGGACAAAGGUAGUCCAAGGUAUUUGAGGGGGAAGGAAGUCCUCGAGGCCGGCAGACCAGAUAGAACGUCAGAGAGGUUGAUGUUGUUACACUGGAUUGGUACUAUUGUGGACUUGUGGAAAUUUGUUUUUAGGCCUGUGGUUUCACCAAAAAGUUCCAGAAUCCUUGCAAGCAUAGAUACCUCACCUUUUGUGGGCGUGACAAAUAUGACUGCAUCAUCCGCAAACAUCGAUAUGCGCAGGUCGGGCGAGCGGCCACGGAGCUUGGUGAGCAUUUCGAGUUCAGUUGCUACUUCGAGCAGUCUUUGCAAGGGAUCUAUUGCAAUGACAAAAAAGAAGAGGAGAUUGGGGGUCGCCUUGCCUUAGGCCUUGCCCGUGCCAGAUAGGGGGGUUUGGUAUGCCGCUAAGGAUGACUCUUGAGGUUGAGGUGGAGAGAAUUGCCGCAAUCCAUUCCCGCCAUCUUAUAGGGAAGCCUAGGUGCUCAAGGAGGGUGAGGAUAUACUCCCAACGUAUCGAAUCAAAGGCUUUUGCUAUGUCCAAUUUGAACAAAAGUGUUGGGGUCUUGUUUGUAUGAAAACGACGCCGCCGUACGCACUGCCAAGAAGUUAUCAUGUAUGCUCCUGUUCUUGAUGAAGGCGCUUUGACAAGUGGAGAUGAUCGCGUUCAUAUGGGGCUGAAGUCGUAAUGCCAGUAUUUUGGAAAUAAGCUUUAUGAAGGAAUGGAUUAAGCUUAUCGGUCUAAAAUCACCCACUUCCUCGGCCCCUUCUUUUUUGGGAUUAGGAUUACGUUAGCGGUGUUGAUGAGUGAUAAGCUGCCACAACGUAGAGCAUGGAAAGUGUUGGCCGCCCUUAUGACAUCCCCUUUUAUUAUGCUCCAGCAUGUCUUAAAAAAUAACCCAGUGAAACCAUCAGGUCCCGAUGCCUUUUCAAUGGGCAACAGAUCAAUGGCUCUUUUGAUCUCCUCCUCUGAGAAUGGAGCAACUAAAGAAGAGAGAUCAUGGUGUCGUAAUCCAAGCGUCGCCCAGUUGAAGUCUAUUCUCGGAGCGGGUGGACGACUCAACAUAUUUUCAAAGUGGGAUUGAAUUUUCGCGGCCUUGCCUUCAUGUGUUGUUGUCGAGCCAUAAUGGUCUUUGAGGCAAUGAAUGAAAUUUUUUCGACGCCUAGAAGUGAUCCUUCGAUGAAAAAAUCUAGUGUUAGCAUCCCCAAACUUUAUCAAAUUUAGCCGGUCAGCCUGUUUUUUCCACGCACGUUCGAUGACAGUAAGGCCCAGAAUUCUUUUCUUAAGUCUGCACCUUAGGAGCUCCUCUCUAGGAGAGAGAGCUCUCAGCUCCUGUGCUAUGUCAAAUCUAUGGAUUAUCUCCAAAGCCAUAUGAAGUUGCAGCUUAGCAUCCGAGAUAGUGCUGAAGCUCCACUAUCUGAGGGCCCUUGCUGUAGCCUGCAGUUUGUGAUAGAGUUUGUGGAAAGGUUCCUGGUGUGUGCAGUGAGUGCACCAGGACCUCGACACCACCUCCAUGAAUCCUAGAAGCAUGGCCCAAAAUUCUCAAAUUUAAAAGAGCGCGGGUGUCGGGGGCCAGUUUGGUUAGAGAGAAGCAAUGAACAGUGAUCCGAGAGCGAAGAAGAUAGGCCGUGCAGCACGUGGCUAUGAAAAGCUUGGUCCCAUUCAGCAUUUGCAAAGACCCUGUCAAGCUUAAUAAGGGUUGGGUUUGUACGCUCGUUGCUCCAAGUGAAUCUUCUAUUUUGCAGGUUAAUUUCCUUCAGGUCACAACAGUCUAGCAUAUCACUGAAACGGUUCAUUAGGCUAAGGUUCAAACGCCUCUUAUUCUUGUCACUAGCUUUGUAAAUUAGAUUAAAAUCUCCCAAAAGCAGCCAUUUAAUUUCGGAUUGCGGUUUUAGAUCUUGAAUUUCUUGGAGAAAGGUUGUCUUCAUGCUAUUGCUUGUAGGCCCAUAAACCACAGUUAAUAGGAAGGCAGUAUGGGAUGCUGUUAGCUUGGCCUUUCCAGAAAUAUGGAAAUCGCCUACUGUAAAAUCAGUCAGCUCCACAUGGUUGGUAUCCCAUAGCAAUGCAAUCCAUCCCCAUGUGUCGCUGGGGCCUCCUGUCGGUUUGUAGAAGAAUUUGUCUAGGUGGUGGCCUCCAAGGUGCCGGGUUGUUGUUUGGUCGAAGGAAGACAAUUUAGUUUCUUUCAAACAAGCUAAGUGACACCUCAAUGAAGUGAUUGUCUCUUGGACCGUGUCCUUCCGAGCCUGGGAAUUGAGACCCCUCACAUUCCAACAAGAUCGAGGGUAUGCACAACAUGUGGUGUCCAAAAUAUGUUAUCAUAUUCAGCUUCUAUUACGACCCCAGCACCUUUGCAGUUUGCGGUGUUGUCUGUAAUGAUUUGUACUGUAUUGUUGACCUACUUCAAUAACACCCCCAACUUAUCAGCAAUGUAUUCUUUUGAUUUGUAUUUAUUCACCUUGACAAUUAUCAGCCGUCAAGAACAAUGGUGCCUUCUCAGAAACAACAAUAAAAUUAAUGAUUGGUCACCUCUGUGGAUCCAACCAACCACCAGUGCAGAUUGUGACUCCCUUCUCUGCCCAUAUUCUCUUUGUGCUCUCCAGUCUUUACAAUAGAAAGCAUGAGUUCCUUACACCUUUCAAUUUCCUUCCGGUUGUCACUAAGCAUUUCAUAUAAAACAUUAGGACAUUCAACUAUUCCUCUUCCUGAUGCAACACAGGUGCAGAAUAUGGUUGAUAUAUUUAUUUGUGUAGGAACUGGUGAAGGAAAGAGCUUUGCAUUGUUUAUAAAUUUUCAUAAUUUUACUUUUCACCACUUGUUGGGGACAUGUUCUCAAAUGCUAUGAGUUAAGAACAAGGCAACACAAAAUGUUAAAUGUUAAAGUCCUUCGUCCUUCGAAGCAUUAUUUCCCUUGGGAUAUAAUGAUCUUCAGACGAAGGUUAUGAAGGACAUACCUUCAUCAACACGAUAUAUGUUAAUAAAAGAAGAAGUAUAUGAAAUAUAGGAAGCAAAAUAAACAAUUACAUAACAUUAUUAAUUCAUUGUAUUAUCCUAGAAAGACAGAAACAAUAUUGAAUUACAAAUGUACCUUCGACUUGAUAGAAGACAAAAAGUACAAGCGUGACGCAAGAGCCAGUACAAGUCAGCGUGAACAGUACGGGGGUACUGUUCAUCUAUUUAUAGGCACAGGGCGCAGCCUGUGCAAAAUUGCAUUCAUGCCUUCAUGUUUACUAUUGACAUUAGGACAAUCUAUCGAGGACUAAAUAGCCUUUUCCUCUUUAAGUCGGUUCCUUUUCUGCUACUGAGCCAAAGCUUUCUUGCGCAUAGCUUUGGAACUGGUUUGACCUUCAUCCCAACCAUGCUUUUCAUAUUGUGGACAACUCCAUCUCGAUUUCGAAGGUUCUUGUACAUAUAUUACACUCGGGGAAACAUUGUUAAUCAUGUUUUUGAGGAUCUUUGAAAGACGAAGGCCCCCAACAGUAGCCCCUCGCAGUAUUAAUUUGUUAAGAUAACAAAUUUAGACUGCGACAUGGACGAAGGCCUUAAGCCGAAGGUCCAAAAAAACACCUUCCCUUUGCUAGAAUAGUAACACAGUCAAUGACAGAUGGGGCCCUUCAAUUUAGAGCGUGCCGAGCGUAUAAAUAAGAACUCGCACCAACUACAUUUGGUACGCUGGUUGUGCCAUUUGCUUUAUUUUCUCAAUUUUAUAGCUCUUGCUCACUAACGCUUGCUAGUUUCUGAAGCUUCCUGAGCUUCGGUUAGAAAGACACAUUUUCAUCAUUUCUGAAGGAAAAAAUGUCUCAAGACAAGAAGGUUGCCGUUGAGACGAAGCUAACUGAAGAGGAGAAGCUCUUUGAGGAGAAGAAGGUUGUGAAUCCUUACAUAGCUGGGUUUAUCGAAUCAAUGGCAAAAACAAAUACAGAGAAGAUUACUAAGGAAACACUAGAGGGUCUGUCUGAAGAUACUUGUGACAGUGAUGAUUAUGAUGCUGAGAGCGGGGGAGAAGAUUCUGAGGAUCGGCCGUGGAGGCCGAGUCAUACAAUUUUUGGGAAAUCAACAAUUAAACAGAGUCAUCUUGACAAUAUGAGAGGAAGGUACUUUCGGGAUAUGUCUAUUGUUAGAGCUGGUGGAGACAACAACGUUCCUGCCCCCGAGGAAGACAAAGUUGUGAUUUACCGAAGUUUCUUCAAAGCUGGGCUUCGGUUUCCAUUGAGCAGGUUUGUAGUUGAAGUGCUGAAAAUUUAUCAGAUUUACCUUCAUCAGAUAACCCCGGAAGCUAUUAUUAGAAUAGGGAUUUUGUUUGGGCUGUGAGAAGCCAGGGGCUGGAGCCAAGCGCGAAAUGCUUUUGCAGUAUGCACGAACUUGUAUAUGAGACGAAGGCCAUGGGCAAAGAACAAUAUCAUAACAAUUUUGGAUGUUAUGGAUUUAUUGCUCGCCCCAACGCAAGCCACACGGUGCCAACAUUCCGGAAAAGAUGGCCCAGAGCUUGGAUGGAGGAAUGGUUUUACGUGAAGAAUGACUUGAAGGCAAGAGAAGAUAUUAAGGAAGUGAUUAUGCGCCCCAUUUGGUCCCGCUUCGGCCUCCGAAGGCCGAAGGUUGAAAUUGAUGAUGGUGCGGAAGCUUGUCAGAAGGCAUUUGGUACAGUCUGCUUCUUCAUUGGUACACGAGAUUUAAUUCAAGAGCAUAUAGCCUUCAGAGUAUGGCCGCUUGUAGAGAACUGGGAAAUGCCGAAGGAGACUGUCACCAAGUCUAGCGAUGGUGACCUGGUCCGGCUGAAGUAUACAUUCAGAUAUGGGAUAAAUUUGAUGAACCAAACAACGACUGGCUGAAAUGUAUCGAAGCUACAAGUGAUGAUCUGCUUGGAUCAUAUUCCAAAGCAGAAGAUAAUGCAUUAUCCACAGCCUUCGGAGGCUGGGGAAAAAAGAGAUUGAACAGAGUUUUUGAUGCCAUUGGCUUUGUUUACCCCGACUACCGCUAUCCACUGCGAGGACAGGGAAAGAAGAGGAAAACUGCUACUUCGGCCACUCCAGACGAGCCUGUGCCGAAGGGAAAAAAGUUAAAGGUUCUUACCCACCGGCCGCGCUAUAUUGAACCGGCUGUGGUGCCUGAGUUUGGCGGGGAGGCUUCUUCAGCUGCUAAACCAAGAGAACCUGUUCCUCCGACGCAGAAGGCUGAAGAGCCGGCUAUAAUGUCGAAGGCACCUUCGGUUGAGUUAGUUGAAACGAAGGUUGACAAAGAUAAGGCUGAAAAGUCAAAAACUGAAGAAGUAACAAAGAUGCCAGGGAUUUUAAGUCCUUCAACAGAAACAACAGCGCUGAAGGCAGAAAAGAGUUCUGCCACAACUCCUAAGAGAAGGAGGAUGGUAAAUGUAUUAUAUAUUUUAGAAACAACCGACUCCAUAAGUCCCGCUCCCACAGGGAGGGUUGCCGAAGCUGACAAAACGCAACCCAAAACUGAUACUAAGCGAAUAGAAGUCGAGACUACAAUAACCCAGGCUGAAACCGAGGCAGUGCCCACAGUGCUUACUGAGACGAAGCUUGCCGCCAUCGAGCAGAAGGCCGAAGGAAUAACUCCAGAUAUUAAUAUAGGUUUUGAGAAGAGUGCGACCAAAGAGGCCGAAUCCCUUGCCCUUGAAGCACUCUCUGAAAAUCUUGAUUAUAUCAUUCGACAUGCUUCGGGAAAGAGAUUAUCCGAAGAAGAAAUUUUUGAAGCUAAACACUAUGCCCGAGAACUGAAGUACCCGAAGGGGGCCUUAGUGUUUAACGGUACGGAUGAAGAUGAUUUCUUGUACUGCCUCCCGGACAACAAAGAAUUAUCCAUCUGCUGGGAGAUGGCCAGAAGUAUGGGUUUUCCGAAGCUCGAAGCUGGCCUUUGUGCCAUGACGAAGGAUGAUCUCGCAGAUAAUCUUGCAUACAACAGUCUGAAGGUACAAAAGUUGUGAAUUUUGAAGCUUAUGGACUCUGUAAUGGAGUGUUUUUAUUCUUAUGUUAAUCCUUUUAUUCUGUCUUGCAGGGCUUGAUACUUAGCAACGCCCUAAGGGCGCAAAAGAAUGAUGAAGAUGAUAGUUGCACUAUAGCUCUCAAUAACCUUCGAUCAGAGGUUAUCAGGCUGAGAAACGAGGCCACGGAAAAAGACAAGAUUCUACUUUCAUUGGAGGAUAAAGUAAAGGAGGAUGAAGCUAGUUUCACAAAUAAAUCCGAGGCCCAAAAAAUUGAGAUUGAAGACCUUCGGAAACAGUUGGCCGAAGCCAAGGAAAAAUGUGGUCUCGCAAAGGCCAACCGAGAUAUUAGUGAGUAUUGGAAAAACUAUUUAGAAAAAACAGUUGAAGAACUUUGCGCAUCCAAAGAAAGAUGCUUCGAAAAAUCCCUGAGCUGCGUGGAAAAGAUAAAGGCUAGCUUCGUCAACGUGGGCACUUAUUCCAACGAAGAUAACUUUAUACAAGGCGACCCUGAGGGUGUUAUUGAAUGGAUAAGCGGAGAGGCCGAAGCUUUUGAAGAAAUCUUAAGUGACCGAGGGGAUGUAUGUGCAUUUUCUGGUGGUCGCGGGAUUUCAGCAAUCUUGGAGAAUGCGGGGUGCAAUCACAUCAAAAUCAUGGCCCAUGCCGAAGCUGCCUUCUCCGCGGACGUCACGAAGGACCCUUCAGCUGAAGCAACCUUAAUGGGCGGAAAAUUUUAUAAUGAUGUGUGGGAGAAUGGUGACCGAGAAAUGGCUCAUGAAAUUAUGAAGAAAAGUGAAAAAGACAUCCAUGAGGCCCGAGCUGAAGCAAAACGACCUGAAGAAGCUCCUGAGCAUGAAAAACGCAUAGGUAUUGUUUCGCGGCAUCUAACUUCGGUAUUUGUUUUCGUGACUUCGAACUGAUUGAUUUUUUCUACAACAGCUGAAUUAUCUCCUCCACCGGAGCCAUUCGACCCCCUGGCCGACCCAGAAACGAAGAAAGCAAUAGAAAUCAUCAAUAUAGCCGAAUAUAUUGUUGACGAAGUUGUUAACAAGUUAUUGAAUGAAAUUGCGGAAAAGGUCCUGAAAGAGGACUGAUAUUGUAAAAACAUUUUUAGACGAUCAAUGUAGCUUCGCUAUAUCAAGACUGUAAUAUUCGAUGUGCAUAUUUUUGAAUCUAAUGUGUAAAUUAUUUGUAAUUUCGUUCUUUGCGAUGCAUGAAACUUUAUAUACAUACCGUUUUUGAGCCUUCGGCGAAAAAACACCUUCCCUUCUUUUCAUGCUUCACAAAGAAGAAAAUCCGUAGUUCGUGAAAAUAUCCAUGCUUCGUAAAAACCUCCCAGCUUCGUAAACAAAGGAUCCUUCUUUUGCAAUAGAGCUGACGAAGCUGUAUUUCUCAGCUAACUUUGUGCCUUAGCACAUUUUCAUUUUUUAUAAAGCAGUCUCCGAAGGUCGACUUUGUAUUCAGUUCGUGUCAUCAGUGCAAUAUGAUGUAUGAUGUGAUGCUAUGCGGGAUGAUGUGACAGUUAUGAUGUGAAUGAUGCUAAUGCCGAAGAUACGUGUCACACCCGGUUUUAGAAGGCAAACCGAAUGCGAACCAUGUACGUGCCAGGAUCAGUUAUUCACGUACACAGCAGUUACAUAACAUGGACAUCAUCACACAGUGCUCAAAAUAGUAUUAAGAAGGGAAAUAGACGAUUACAUCAUACGUCUGAGACGUCCAUAUAGUCUUUACAAUAAAUCAAAGUGCGGAAAAGAAACGUAGAUAAACGCGGCCUUCACAGGCAGCCGACUGGGGGUUGCCGCUAACCCACACCUAGAACUCGUCGUAGUCUUGGAACUCCUGGAAGUCUCCUUCCACGGCUUCAUCUUCUCCUGAGCAGUGGUUGCAAUGCUGACAACCUGGGGAUGGGGGGGGUUUGGUGUGUAGAGCAAGGGUGAGUACACAUCAACAUACUCAGCAAGUAUCCUGUUUGGCUAUAGUGGACUAGCUUUAUGUGGGGGAUAAGUCAAGCAGUUGCUUUUAGUUGGUCAGAUUAUUAUUUACUAAUAGAAAGCCAAGUUUUAGCAUUAACCCAAGUUAUUAGCCCGAUGUACCCUUUCCAAACGGAAAGAAUACCACUUACCAGCACCAUAGUCAUAACAAAAACCAUCGAUCUCAUAACCACCUGUACCAAAGUAUCUCUGAUCAAGUACCACUAAUCACUGGAGCUCCCUUGGCCGCUCAUAACCGCGAGCACGGCUGAUAUAUCAGUUUUCAAACACUCUGCAGAGGUUGUGCACUUUACCCACAAGCCGUGAUUCCCUUUCUGCCCGGAGAUCAUGACUCUCCAUUGAUCACUACCAAGGUGACCCAGCAGGGCAUCACUACGUAGCCUUUACAAAGAUUCCCCGGGGCUGUAGCCACCCGUUAGGUUUCCUAAAUGCACCGCACUCCUCCCCAAGGGGCGAACCCAAACUUGGCAGAGCGAGCCGCAUACACCGAGCCCCAUUGACGGCAUGACGGCUAAGUGAACUACACCCCAGAUCCUCUAAUUAUUCAGCUAAGGGCAUCCCAUUCCACCCUCAUGGUUGCACUGUUUUCCCGGGCGGUCAUCCAUAGAACAGGUCCUUACGGAGAGGCACUCGAGAAACCGCUCGAGCCCCCUUGAUGACCACAAGUACAACAUUAUAAUAAGAGAAGGGAGAACAGCGUAUCAUAGAUAACCUCAUCAUGUUCAUUGAUUAGAGUUUGAGCAAUAGCAUAAAGCUAAACAAUAAUAAUCCAACCCAAAUAGGUAGACAAGGACAUGGAUAACAAAAUCUAGUCAAUCCUUAGGCAUAAAUGUGUAAUGCGGGAGGUGAAUUAAAGAAUGUAUAGGACAGAGAUAGGUCAAGGGACACUUGCCUCCACCAACCGACUGCUGCUCAGGGGCUUCUCCUGCGAGUUCCUCGGGCUCUUCGACCGGAUCGUUCUCUAUGCGAUUGCAAGCAUACAUACAUACAUCCAUUCAAAUUAGGAAACAAACAGUACACCACACAAGGGGACAAAUAAAGUAAAUAUGCAUCAAGUAUGACAUUCGAUGUCGCAUUCGUUAAGGUUAGAAAGAAACGGGGAAAGGUCUCGCAGGGGUUAAAGCUUAUGCACUAACAGAAACCUAGCCCCUUUUUAGUUGAUCGACCUUAAGCGAAAUGAACAAUUGACUAUAUAAAUUGACUAAUGUAACGGAAUUCUAAAUUAAGUUUCAUAUUUCAUUAACAUGAACGAUGAUUAGCUUGCCCAAAACAAAAUAAAAUAAAUAACAAUAAUGAAAGAAAAUAAAAUAGAAUAAAAUAAAAUAAAAAAUAAAAAAAGGGGGGCGGUUGAACCGGACAGGGGCAGGGGCGGGGGCGGCCAAGCCGGCGGCGGGCGGCCGGGCUGGGCGCGCAGGGGCGGCCGGGCAGGGGCGGCCGAACCGGCGGGGGGGCUGGGCCGGCCAAGGCGGUGGCCGAGCCGGCAGCCGAGCCGGCGGCCGAGCUGGGCGGGCGGGCGGCCGGACUAGGGCGCGGGGGCGGCCGAGCGGCGGGGCCGAGCCGGGGCAGGCGGGCGGCCGAGCGGCGGGGGCCAAGCCGGGGCAGGGGGAAGGGGAGGGGAGAUGGGGGAGGGAGGAGAGGGGGAGGGGGACCUCACCGGGGACGGGGACGGGCGGCCGAACCGGCGACGAGCAGGGGCGGCAGCUAGGGCAGGGGCGGCGGUUGGGGUGGGGAAGAGAGAGAAUGGGAGGGAGAGAGAGGGAUUUGGGGAAAAAGGGGGGGCGGCUGGGCCAGCUGGGCCCAAAGGGGGCGCGGGGGGGGUGGCUGGGCCGGCCAAGGCGGCUAGGUCGGCCGGGGCGGCCCACGGCGCGUAAGAGAGAAAAAGGGAGGAGAGAGAGAAGGAAAAAGAAAAAAAAAGAAAAAGAAAAAGAAAAAGAAAGGUUUUCUCCUUUUCGAAAUCCGUUUUUUCCUGGAUGAAUGCACUUACAUUUUUAAGCAAUCGAAAGAAUGCAUGGUUCGGCAUGAUGCAUCAAACAACAUAAAGUAUUUUAAGGUUUUGCUUAACACGGGAAUUCCAAGCCAAACCCCGCUAAAACUUUGGAAAAGGUCAAGGUUUAGCGAGAGAACGAGAAAAGAAAUGAGUAACGCCUGAAUUUGGUGAGAGAAAAGAAGAAAAAAUUCUACCCCCAAAUUCAGGGCGUUACGAACCUAUCCCCCUUAAAAGAAUCUCGCCCUCGAGAUUCAGGGUUGGCUAGCAAAGAGCUCAGGGUACUUGGCCAUCAGAUCAUCCUCACGCUCCCAGGUUGCUUCUUCCUCAGUGAUGAUUCCAUCUGACCUUGCACAUUCUGAUGGUCUUCCUUCGGGUGACUCUGUCUGCAACCUCAAGGAUCUGCACUGGCUUCUCAACGUAGGUCAAGUCCUCCUGGACUUCAAGACCUUCCACUGGCAACUGCUCUUCUGGCACACGCAAGCACUUCUUCAACUGAGACACAUGAAAGACAUCAUGCACAGCGGACAAAUUCUCUGGCAGACUGAGCUGAUAGGCCACUUCUCCACGUCUUGCAAGAAUUUGGUACGGACCAAUGUAGUGGGGUGCUAGCUUGCCUUUGACUCCGAACCUCUUGACUCCUCUGAUCGGGGACACUUUCAGAUAGACAAAGUCUCCGACUUCGAAACUCGGCUCUCUUCUUCUUGUGUCUGCAUAGCUUUGCUGUCUUGAUUGCGCUAUCUUCAGAUUCUCUCAAACCAUCUUGAUGUUCUCUUCGGCUUCAAGCAAAAUGUCUGGCCCAAACACCUGCUUUUCUCCAGGCUGAUCCCAUUGCAACGGAGUUCUACAACUCCUUCCAUAGAGCGCCUAAAAUGGUGACAUCUUCAAACUGGCCUGGUAACUGUUGUUAUAGGAAAACUCUGCAUAAGGCAAUCUCUUAUCCCAUCCAGACUGAUCUUGCAACGCACAGGCUCUCAACAUGUCUUCAAGAAUUUGAUUGGUUCUUUCGGUCUGGCCAUCUGUCUGCGGAUGAUAAGCUGAACUGAAAUUCAGAUGUGUGCCCAAAGCCUCAUGCAACUGCUGCCAGAAAUGAGAGGUAAACUGCGUUCCUCUGUCCGACACUAUCUUCUUUGGCACACCAUGAAGACAAACGAUCCGAGACAUAUACAAUUCUGCCAAUACUGCACUGCUGUAGUUGGUCUUGACAGGUAUGAAGUGGGCUGACUUGGUCAAGCGGUCCACUACUACCCAAAUGGAAUCGUAGCCGGCUCGAGUGCGAGGCAAUCCGACUAUGAAAUCCAUACCAAUUUCAUCCCAUUUCCACUCAGGGAUCUGCAACGGUUGCAACAAUCCAGCUGGUCUUUGGUGCUCUGCCUUAAUUCUUCGACAACUAUCACACAUAGCCACAUUCUCUGCGAUUUCCCUCUUCAUUUCGUACCACCAGAAUUUCUUCUUCAGAUCCUGAUACAUCUUCUCACUGCCAGGGUGAAUCGAAUAGGCUGUCUCAUGAGCUUCCUUGAGAAUCAACUCCCGAAUGGACUGGACAUUGGGAACACACAAGCGGUCUUUGAACCAUAUCACGCCUUCUGCAUCUUCUCGAAAGUCUUUGCCUCUGCCAUCUAGAAUCAGUCGCCGGAUCUCACUGAUCUUCUCAUCAUUCUUCUGCGCUUCUUUGAUUUCGCGCUCUAAGGUAGGUUCCAACUCAACUGUGACUCCUCGCGAAUUGUUCAAAAAUCCGAGACUCAACCUGUCGAACUCUUUGGCCAACUCAUAAGGCAUCGGACGAGCGACCAUCAGAUUGACUUGACUCUUUCUGCUCAAAGCAUCUGCCACUAUGUUUGCUUUGCCUGGAUGGUAAUGAAUCUCCAACUCAUAAUCUUUGAUCAACUCUAACCAUCUUCGUUGCCUCAUGUUCAACUCUGACUGAGUGAAUAUGUACUUCAGACUCUUGUGGUCUAUGUAAACAUCGCAUUUCUGUCCAUACAAAUAGUUCCUCCAUGUCUUCAGUGCGUGAACCACUGCUGCCAACUCUAGAUCAUGGAUUGGGUAAUUCUUCUCAUGAACCUUCAGCUGUCAGGACGAGUAAGCCACAACUCUUCCCUCUUGCAUCAACACACAUCCCAAACCUGUGUAACAAGCAUCGCAAUACACCGAGAAGGGCUUGUGCACAUCAGGCAAGACUAGGACAGGUGCUGUAGUCAACUUCUCUUUCAGCGCUUCAAAGGCCUCUUGACAUUUCUGGGUCCACUUGAACUCAACUUUGUUGCCUAGCAACGCUGUCAUUGGUUUCGCAAUCUUCGAAAACCCUUCAAUGAAUCGCCGAUAGUAUCCGGCCAUUCCAAUGAAACUCUUGAUUCCUCGAGCAUCUGUUGGCGACUUCCAGUUCAGAAUGUCUGCCACUUUCUUCGGAUCCACAGCCAACCCUUCUUUGUUGAUUAUGUGACCCAAGAACAGGACUUCAUUGAUCCAAAAUUCACAUUUGCUCAACUUUGCAUACAACUGGUGCUCUCGCAACCUCUGCAAUACCAUCCUCAAAUGAUCUGCGUGCUCUUCUUCGCUUUGAGAAUAAACCAGAAUGUCAUCAAUGAAUACCACCACAAACUUAUCAAGGUAAUCCAUGAAUACACUGUUCAUCAAGUUCAUGAAGAACGCUGGCGCAUUGGUCAAACCAAAAGACAUCACUGUGAACUCAUACAACCCAUACUUGGUAAUAAAUGCCGUCUUCGGAAUGUCCGAAGGUCGGAUCCUGAGCUGAUGAUAACCUGACCUCAGAUCAACCUUGGAGAACACACUGGCUCCUCUCAACUGGUCGAAUAGAUCUUCUAUUCUGGGCAAGGGAUACUUGUUCUUGAUCGUGACCUCAUUCAAAGCUCGAUAAUCAAUACACAUCCUCUUGGUGCCAUCUUUCUUCUCCACAAAUAGGACAGGGGCGGCCCAAGGCGAGGUGCUUGGCCGGAUGUAACCUUUCUCUGACAGCUCAUCAAUCUACUUCUUAAGUUCAACCAACUCUGGUCCGGAUAUUCUGUAAGCUCUCUUGAAGAUAGGGGCGGUUCCAGGAAGAAGCUCUAUAGCAAACUCAACUUUCCGCUCUGGUGGCAUACCGGUAAGUCCUUUGGAAACACAUCUGGGAACUCGGACACAACCUUGAUACUCUUGAUCGGGUCUGCUUCACUGCUAUCAACAGCUAUCUGAUAACAACUUCCUUUCUUUGGCUCAGGCGGGACUAACUCGGUCACCACUUCCUCUCCUAGUGGGGACACCAACUUGAUGGUCCUUUUAUCACAACGGAUAACUGCCUGAUACUUAUCUAGCCAAUUCAUCCCUAGGAUGACAUCUAUUCCCUGAGUACCCAUUACUAUAAGGUUGGCGGGAAAUGCUAUCCCCCUUAUUUCCACACUUAUAUUCAAACAAAUGCUAUCGGCUCGAAUUCUACCACCGGCUGAGUCAAUUUGAAUGGGGGUUGACAUGGUAGUAAUUGGAAGAUUAUGUGCUUCUACCCAUGAUGCAGUAAUGAAAGAAUGUGUUGCUCCAGUAUCAAAUAACACUUCUGCAAUAUGGGAGUCGACUGGGAACAUACCUACUAUCAUGCCGGGGGUCUCCUGAACUGCUUCAGCCUCCAAGUGGUUCAGCCUUCCAUGAUUAUAGCGCGACUGAGAGCGAUUGCCUGCUCCAGACUGAGGCACAUUCUGCUUUGCGGGGGCAUUGGGGCCUGACUGCUGCUGGGCUGCCUUCUUCGGACAUUGCAUCACCCAGUGGCCUUGCUCUCCACAGUGGAAACAUGCUCUGUUUCCAACCUGAGCUGGUGCUGCCUGAUUGCUUUGCUGGUUUGCUGGGGCAGGAAGACGAGGUGCUUGCUGAUUCUGCCUCUGAAACUGACAUCCUGACUGAUUGCUCUGACGGUUCUGGUACUGGUGCUGAGGAUACUGCCUCUGGAAUUGCUGAUGCUGCUGAGGUGGACGUUGGUUCUGCAUGAACUGCUGAGGUUGAUUGCCUGAGAAACGAGGACGAUUGCUGCUUCCAGGCUGGGGUCCACUAAUCUUGCGCUUACGAUCCUCCAUCUCCUUACGCUUCCUCUCUGUCAUGAUUGCUCUGUCAAUCAGGUGCUGGAAUGUCGGGAAGGUGUGAUUCAUCAGUUGAUACUGAAGAGGGUCAACCAAGCCUCUCAGGAAACGGUACUGUCGCUUGGCGUCGGUGUUGACAUCUUCAGGAGCAUAGCGAGACAAUUGCAGAAACCUGUCCCGGUACUCACUGACAGACAAUGGCCCUUGCUUGAGGGCCAAGAACUCCUCCUUCUUCACUAUCAUCAGACCUGCAGGAACAUGGUACUGACGAAAGCUACCUCUGAACUCUUCCCAGGUGAUGGCGUCAGGGUGGGCAUGGGUGGCGAGGUAAGACUCCCACCAUGACUGGGCUGCUCCUCUCAAUAGACGGGGACCAUACAGGACUUUCUCCCUGUCAUCGCACUGAGCGGUAUGCAACUCCCGCUCCACAUUGUGCAGCCAGUCUUCAGCAUCCAUGGGGUCAGAAGAAUGAGCGAACGUUGGUGGAUGACCUCUCAUGAAUUCAGCACGCUUGUCUCUAGGCAUCUGAGGCAUCUGAGGCUGAGGUGGGGCCUGCUGCUGCUGCUGCUGAAUGGCGGCCAAAGUCUGACCGAUGGCUUGAACUGCCUGAGUCUGCAUCAGAAACAUCUGCUCGAUCGACAUCGGGGGCGGGGGCGGCAGAUGCUGCUGCUGGGGCACCUCCUCCUGUUGAGCGGCUCGCUCCUGCUGAGCACGCCUUCCUCCUCUGCGCCUAUUCUCUGACAUCUGCAGAAUGCAACCACACAUCAGAACUGAUAUGGCAAAUCUUGCAGCAUAAGAAAAGAGUAUAGAAUUCUUCAACAGCACUGAACAGAUGAGCAUCUUCACUGAUCUCCAACAUAGACCACACAGCUUCUCAGAUAAAGAGGAAAGUGGAAUAAAAGGUUUCCCAACUAUAUAACUAACUUUAUUAACAUAAUAGGUAAACCAAAAUGCAGGAGAUACCCACACUGUGGUGACAGUCAUUACAAAGAUCCAAACCAAACAUAGUUCAUCAUAACAAGCAUAAAUGCACAGGAUAUAGGAAACUACCCUGUCUAACUAAGACUAACUAAAAGCGAGACUAACGCUAAGACUGUAGCUUCUACGUAUGUAUAUUUCGUAUUAAUUACAAGAUCCAACUCUAACAAGCUAUGGUUCUAGAGUUAUCUUGGUCUUGCAGUCGAGAUUGCCAUAAGACUGGUGUCCACGCCGAGGUGAGCGGUACGGGUGCUGAGUCCCGACGGGAGCGGGGGAACCAUCUUCCAGGUGACGACGUUCCACGCGCUCAGCCCACAGCAGGGCGAUCUCAGCACGAGCCCUACUCAGCUCGUCUAAUGCAUGGUCCAGCUCCGUGUUUAGCACGGCGGCUAGGUUGACUGUGCUGCUCAACCUAGGACUGCCCUCACCGACAGGUGAGACAAUCACGCCUCCUGUGCUGCCAGAUGGACGGCGGGGGUAAUACUUCAGGUCAAGGCCGUCAGCUACCCCACCGAAAACCGAGCAGUAGUGCGAAAGCGCACGCCGUGCAGCAUCUUGCAUGACUGCCUCAGCUGAGUCCCGCUCAGAGAUAGAAUAGUGCUCUGAGCAGGCCUCCGCACCCUGGAGAGUGUUCUCCGAGCGGCGCACCAAGCAGGUUGCCUCCCAGCGGUCCGGGUAGACCCCGCGACUAUGCUGGUAGACCACACAGCGAUACUCGAUGGACCAAGUAUGCCGGUUAAGUGCCCGACGUAGCAGGGUGUCGAGCGCAUCGUGGAAGUGACACCCGCGAGCAGCGUCGCGAGUGAUGGGUCGAGCAACCCAUCCUUCCGGCUCAGGGUUAGCAGAAAGGUCGGUGUCGUGGCUCGAGCUGUCGUCGCCACCUCUGUCGUCUAGGUCUCCUCCAGCAGCUACUCCAGAAGCUGGGGCGCCCAGUGGUGGUGUAGGGGGCGCCUCCAGAGGAAGCAAAGGGGAGCAGCUCCUCACGGACUCUAUCUCCUGUUGGAGCGAGAAAGAAGAGCCCUGCUGCUCCUGUCGUCGACGUUCCUGCUCCUCAUGCAAGCGGUGGUGCAGUCUCUCCAAGUGGCUGGAUUGUCCGGCCACGGGACGGCGAAGCGGACGCUCAGCAAGGCGGGAGGGUAAGAAGGGGAUGAUGGACUUUCAUGCAGUGUGUCUAAGUCGAGCCAUCUACAAAAGACAUCGCAAGCAAAAGGGUGAGAACAGAAUUAAUAUGACCAGCAAAUAAUGAAUCAUAAGUAAAUGAAGGAUUAGAAUAAAACACAAUUUUCAGCAAGGUAUAUUAUAUAGUAGAACAUAGGUUUGGUCGGUAUGACCAACUUUUGAAGGGAUAUCAAAGUCAAGGCGGGGACAGAGGUCUAUAGUCCUUAGAACGACCAUUCUACUCUAGGUUAGCGGUCCUACAGUCAGCACGGCUUUGAUACCACUUAUGUCACACCCGGUUUUAGAAGGCAAACCGAAUGCGAACCAUGUACGUGCCAGGAUCAGUUAUUCACGUACACAGCAGUUACAUAACAUGGACAUCAUCACACAGUGCUCAAAAUAGUAUUAAGAAGGGAAAUAGUCGAUUACAUCAUACGUCUGAGACGUCCAUAUAGUCUUUACAAUAAAUCAAAGUGCGGAAAAGAAACGUAGAUAAACGCGGCCUUCACAGGCAGCCGACUGGGGGUUGCCGCUAACCCACACCUAGAACUCGUCGUAGUCUUGGAACUCCUGGAAGUCUCCUUCCACGGCUUCAUCUUCUCCUGAGCAGUGGUUGCAAUGCUGACAACCUGGGGAUGGGGGGGGUUUGGUGUGUAGAGCAAGGGUGAGUACACAUCAACAUACUCAGCAAGCACCUGUACCAAAGUAUCUCUGAUCAAGUACCACUAAUCACUGGAGCUCCCUUGGCCGCUCAUAACCGCGAGCACGGCUGAUAUAUCAGUUUUCAAACACUCUGCAGAGGUUGUGCACUUUACCCACAAGCCGUGAUUCCCUUUCUGCCCGGAGAUCAUGACUCUCCAUUGAUCACUACCAAGGUGACCCAGCAGGGCAUCACUACGUAGCCUUUACAAAGAUUCCCCGGGGCUGUAGCCACCCGUUAGGUUUCCUAAAUGCACCGCACUCCUCCCCAAGGGGCGAACCCAAACUUGGCAGAGCGAGCCGCAUACACCGAGCCCCAUUGACGGCACGACGGCUAAGUGAACUACACCCCAGAUCCUCUAAUUAUUCAGCUAAGGGCAUCCCAUUCCACCCUCAUGGUUGCACUGUUUUCCCGGGCGGUCAUCCAUACAACAGGUCCUUACGGAGAGGCACUCGAGAAACCGCUCGAGCCCCCUUGAUGACCACAAGUACAACAUUAUAAUAAGAGAAGGGAGAACAGCGUAUCAUAGAUAAUCUCAUCAUGUUCAUUGAUUAGAGUUUGAGCAAUAGCAUAAAGCUAAACAAUAAUAAUCCAACCCAAAUAGGUAGACAAGGACAUGGAUAACAAAAGCUAGUCAAUCCUUAGGCAUAAAUGUGUAAUGCGGGAGGUGAAUUAAAGAAUGUAUAGGACAGAGAUAGGUCAAGGGACACUUGCCUCCACCAACCGACUGCUGCUCAGGGGCUUCUCCUGCGAGUUCCUCGGGCUCUUCGACCGGAUCGUUCUCUAUGCGAUUGCAAGCAUACAUACAUACAUCCAUUCAAAUUAGGAAACAAACAGUACACCACACAAGGGGACAAAUAAAGUAAAUAUGCAUCAAGUAUGACAUUCGAUGUCGCAUUCGUUAAGGUUAGAAAGAAACGGGGAAAGGUCUCGCAGGGGUUAAAGCUUAUGCACUAACGGAAACCUAGCCCCUUUUUAGUUGAUCGACCUUAAGCGAAAUGAACAAUUGACUAUAUAAAUUGACUAAUGUAACGGAAUUCUAAAUUAAGUUUCAUAUUUCAUUAACAUGAACGAUGAUUAGCUUGCCCAAAACAAAAUAAAAUAAAUAACAAUAAUGAAAGAAAAUAAAAUAGAAUAAAAUAAAAUAAAAAAUAAAAAAGGGGGGCGGUUGAACCGGCCGGGGGCGGUUGAACCGGCCAGGGGCAGGGGCGGGGGCGGCCAAGCCGGCGGCGGGCGGCCGGGCUGGGCGCGCAGGGGCGGCCGGGCAGGGGCGGCCGAACCGGCGGGGGGGCUGGGCCGGCCAAGGCGGCGGCCGAGCCGGCAGCCGAGCCGACGGCCGAGCUGGGCGGGCGGGCGGCCAGACUGGGGCGCGGGGGCGGCCGAGCGGCGGGGCCGAGCCAGGGCAGGCGGGCGGCCGAGCGGCGGGGGCCGAGCCGGGGCAGGGGGAAGGGGAGGGGAGAUGGGGGAGGGAGGAGAGGGGGAGGGGGACCUCACCGGGGACGGGGACGGGCGGCCGAACCGGCGACGAGCAAGGGCGGCGGCUAGGGCAGGGGCGGCGGCUGGGGUGGGGAAGAGAGAGAAUGGGAGGGAGAGAGAGGGAUUUGGGGAAAAAGGGGGGGGCUGGGCCAGCUGGGCCCAAAGGGGGCGCGUGGGGGGGGGGCGGCUGGGCCGGCCAAGGCGGCUGGGUCGGCCGGGGCGGCCCACGGCGCGGGAGAGAGAAAAAGGGAGGAGAGAGAGAAGGAAAAAGAAAAAAAAGAAAAAGAAAAAGAAAAAGAAAGGUUUUCUCCUUUUCGAAAUCCGUUUUUUCCUGGAUGAAUGCACUUACAUUUUUAAGCAAUCGAAAGAAUGCAUGGUUCGGCAUGAUGCAUCAAACAACAUAAAGUAUUUUAAGGUUUUGCUUAACACGGGAAUUCCAAGCCAAACCCCGCUAAAACUUUGGAAAAGGUCAAGGUUUAGCGAGAGAACGAGAAAAGAAAUGAGUAACGCCUGAAUUUGGUGAGAGAAAAGAAGAAAAAAUUCUACCCCCAAAUUCAGGGCGUUACAAUACGCACCCACACGCCCACACUGAAACACACCAUCUCUGCGUCCCCUUAGGAACACACCAUCUCUGCGUCCCCUUAGGAACGAUCGAAGUCUCUUUGCCGUUUAUUUUUCGGCUUCACCGCUUAUUUUUCGGUGUAAGUUCUGCAUCCCCUUAGGAACGUCUUUUGAACUUCUUCGCCUUCUAUUUCGGCGGUAUUUUUCGCGUUGACUUUUCGUGCUUCGCCUUAUAUUUCGGCGGUAUUUUCGCGUUGACUUUUCGCGCUUUGCCUUAUAUUUCGGUGGUAUUUGGCUCUGCAUUCCCUUUGGAACGACUUUUGAGCAGAAAACUUACACUGCGCUCCCUUAGGAACGACUUUUUGUAGCUUCGGCGAAACUUACACUGCGCUCCUUAGGAAUGACUUUUUGUAGCUUCGGCGAAACUUACACUGCGAUUUUUUGCUCUGCAUUCCCUUAGGAACGACUUUUGAGCUUCAACAAUUUUUGAGCUUCGUAAAUAUUUGAAGAAGAUAUAUUUCAUUCUGACCAAAGUGAAACUAUUACAAGAAAUUAAAACUAGUUCUGCAUUGUUUGUUCCUUAUUAAAAAACAAAAUGACAAUGAACAUAAAAAUGUUUCAGAGGUAGGAUAUCUCUCAAUAGAUGUGCUUUGAUUCCGACACAGUACUGUUGACUGUGCAAGCUUCAGAUUCCUCCCUGAAUUCCCAUUGCUGUUGAGAGUGCUGGCGCCCUUGAAAGUCGCCUAGAGGGGGGUGAAUAGGGCGAAUCUAAAAUUUACAAACUUAAUCACAACUACAAGCCGGGUUAGCGUUAGAAAUAUAAAUGAGUUCGAGAGAGAGGGUGCGAAACAAAUCGUGAGCGAAUAAAGAGCGAGACACGAUGAUUUGUUUUACCGAGGUUCGGUUCUUGAAAAACCUACUCCCCGUUGAGGUGGUCACAAAGACCGGGUCUCUUUCAAUCCUUUCCCUCUCUCAAACGGUCCCUCGGACCGAGUGAGCUUCUCUUCUCAAUCAAACGGAACACUAAGUUCCCGCAAGGACCACCACACAAUUGGUGUCUCUUGCCUUGGUUACAAUUAAGUUGAUCUCAAGAAGAAUGAGAAAGAAAAGAAGCAAUCCAAGCGCAAGAGCUCAAAUGAACACAACAAAUCACUCUCUCUAAUCACUAAAGCUUUGUGUGGAGUUGGAAGAGGAUUUGAUCUCUUGGGUGUGUCUUAUAUUGAAUGCUAGAGCUCUUGUAAGUGGUUGGAAGGUGGAAAACUUGGAUGCCAAUGAAUGUGGGGUGGUUGGGGUAUUUAUAGCCCCAACCACCACAAAGUGGCCGUUGGAAGGCUGCAGUCGCAUGGCGCGCCGGACAGUCCGGUGCGCCACUGGACACUGUCCGGUGCGCCAGCCACGUCAGCACACCGUUGGGGUUCGACCGUUGGAGCUCUGUCUUGUGGGCCCGCCUGGCUGUCCGGUGGUGCACCGGACAGGCCCUGUAGGCUGUCCGGUGUGCCACCCGUGCGUGCUCUGCUCCUCUGCGCGCGCAGGCGCGCAUUUAAUGCGUUGCAGUCGACCGUUGCGCGCGAAGUAGUCGUUGCUCCGCUGUCACACCGGACAGUCCGGUGUGCACCGGACACUGUCUGGUGACUCACCGGACAGUCCGGUGAAUUAUAGCGGAGCGGAUUCCCGAAGCUGGCGAGUUCAGAGUUGCUCUCCCUUGGGGCACCGGACACUGUCCGGUGGUGCACCGGACGGUCCGGUGAAUUAUAGCGGAGCUCCUCUGAAAAUUCCCGAAGGUGAAGAGUUGGGCGUCGAGUUCCCUCGGGCACCGGACACUGUCCGGUGGCACACCGGAUAGUCCGGUGCGCCAGACCAGGGGACACUUCGGUAUACUUGGCUCCUUUGUUUUGAACCCUUUUCUUGGUCUUUUUAUUGGCUUAUUGUGAACCUUUUGCACCUGUAGAACUUAUAGACUAGAGCAAACUAGUUAGUCCAAUUAUUUGUGUUGGGCAAUUCAACCACCAAAAUUAAUUGGGAAAUAGGUGUAAGCCUAAUUCCCUUUCAAUCUCCCCCUUUUUGGUGAUUGAUGCCAACACAAACCAAAGCAAGUAUAGAAGUGCAUAAUUGAACUAGUUUGCAUAAUUGUAAGUGCAAAGGUUACUUUGAAUUGAGCCAAUAUAAAUUCUCAUAAGAUACGCAUGGAUUGUUUCUUUAUUUUUAACAUUUUGGACCACGCUUGCACCACAUGUUUUGUUUUUGCAAAUUCUUUUGUAAAUUCUUUUCAAAGUUCUUUUGCAAAUAGUCAAAGGUAAAUGAAUAAGAUUUUGAGAAGCAUUUUCAAGAUUUGAAAUUUUCUCCCCCUGUUUCAAAUGCUUUUCCUUUGACUUAAACAAAACUCCCCCUCAAUAAAUUCCUCCUCUUAGUGUUCAAGAGGGUUUUUAAGAUAUCAAUUUUGAAAAUACUACUUUCUCCCCCUUUUGAACACAUUUGAAAAUCAUAGUUUUUUCUUAAAAUUAGGUGGUGGUGCGUCCUUUUGCUUUGGGCUAAUACUUUCUCCCCCUUUGGCAUGAAUUGCCAAAAACGGAUACUUUGAGUGAAAUAUAAGCCCUUUAACUACUUUCUCCCUCUUUCGUAAAAGACAUAUGAGUGAAGAUUAUACCAAAGUCGGAGAGUUGCUCGGAGCGACAGCGAAGGGUGAGUUAUGGAGUGGAAGCCUUUGUCUUCGCCGAAGACUCCAAUUCCCUUUCAAUACACCUAUGACUUGGUUUGAAAUUCACUUGAAAACAUAUUAGUCAUAGCACAUGAAAGAGACAUGAUCAAAGGUAUACUUAUGAGCUAAGUGUGCAAAACAUAAAAAGAAAUUCCUAGAAUCAAGAAUAUUUAGCUCAUGCCUAAGUUUGUUAAAAGUUUGUUCAUCUAGUGGCUUGGUAAAGAUAUCGGCUAAUUGAUCUUUAGUGUUAAUAUAUGCAAUCUCGAUAUCUCCCUUUUGUUGGUGAUCCCUUAAGAAAUGAUACCGAAUGACAAUGUGUUUAGUGCGGCUAUGCUCAAUGGGAUUAUCCGCCAUGUGGAUUGCACUCUCAUUAUCACAUAGAAGAGGAACUUUGGUUAAUUUGUAACCAUAGUCCGUAAGGGUUUGCCUCAUCCAAAGUAGUUGCGCGCAACAAUGACCUGCGGCAAUAUACUCGGCUUCGGCGGUAGAAAGAGCUACAGAAUUUUGCUUCUUUGAAGCCCAAGACACCAAGGAUCUUCCCAAGAACUGGCAAGUCCCCGAUGUGCUCUUUCUAUUAAUUUUACACCCCGCCCAAUCGGCAUCCGAAUAACCAAUUAAAUCAAGUUGGAUCCCCUAGGAUACCAAAGCCCAAACUUAGGAGUAUAAGCUAAAUAUCUCAAGAUUCGUUUUACGGUCGUAAGGUGAGCUUCCUUAGGGUCGACUUGGAAUCUUGCACACAUGCAUACGGAAAGCAUAAUAUCCGGUCGAGAUGCACAUAAAUAUAGUAAAGAGCCUAUCAUCGACCGGUAUACCUUUUGAUCGACGGAUUUACCUCCCGUGUCGAGGUCGAGAUGCCCAUUGGUUCCCAUGGGAGUCUUGAUGGGCUUGGCAUCCUUCAUCCCAAACUUGUUUAGAAUAUCUUGAAUAUACUUCGUUUGGCUAAUGAAGGUGCCCUCUUGGAGUUGCUUCACUUGAAAUCCCAAGAAGUACUUCAACUCCCCCAUCAUCGACAUCUCGAAUUUCUUUGUCAUGAUCCUACUAAAUUCUUCACAUGUAGAUUCGUUAGUAGACCCAAAUAUAAUAUCAUCAACAUAAAUUUGGCAUACAAACAAAUCAUUGCCAAGAGUUUUAGUAAAUAAAGUAGGAUCGACCUUUCUGACUUUGAAGCCAUUAGUGAUAAGGAAAUCUCUAAGGCAUUCAUACCAUGCUCUUGGGGCUUGCUUGAGCCCAUAAAGCGCCUUAGAGAGUUUAUACACAUAGUUAGGAUACUCACUAUCUUCAAAGCCGGGAGGUUGCUCAACAUAGACCUCUUCCUUGAUUGGUCCAUUGAGGAAGGCACUUUUCACGUCCAUUUGAUAAAGCUUAAAGCCAUGGUAAGUAGCAUAGGCAAGUAAUAUGCGAAUUGACUCAAGCCUAGCUACGGGUGCAUAGGUUUCACCGAAAUCCAAACCUUCGACUUGGGAGUAUCCCUUGGCCACAAGUCGGGCUUUGUUCCUUGUCACCACACCAUGCUCGUCUUGCUUGUUGCAGAAAACCCACUUGAUUCCUACAACAUUUUGAUUAGGACGUGGAACCAAAUGCCAUACCUCAUUCCUAGUGAAGUUGUUGAGCUCCUCUUGCAUCGCCACCACCCAAUCCGAAUCUUGUAGUGCUUCCUCUACCCGGUGUGGCUCAAUAGAGGAAACAAAAGAGUAAUGCUCACAAAAAUGUGCAACACAAGAUCUAGUGGUUACCCCCUUAUGGAUGUCGCCGAGGAUGGUGUCGACGGGGUGAUCUUGUUGGAUUGCUUGGUGGACUCUUGGGUGUGGCGGCCUUGGUUCUUCAUCCUCCUUGUCUUGAUCAUGGGCAUCUCCCCCUUGAUCAUUGUUCUCCUCUUGAGGUGGCUCAACAUCUUGAUUUUCUCCUUUAUCAUUUUGAGCCCCAUCCUCAUCUUGAGUUGGUGGAGAUGCUUGUGUUGAGGAGGAUGGUUGAUCUUGUGCAUUUGGAGGCUCUUUGGAUUCCUUAGCACACACAUCCCCAAUGGACAUGUUCCUUAGCGCGACGCACGAAGCCUCUUCAUUACCUAUCUGAUCAAGAUCAACUUGCUCUACUUGAGAGCCGUUAGUCUCAUCAAACACAACGUCACAAGAAACUUCAACUAGUCCUGAGGACUUGUUAAAGACUCUAUAUGCCCUUGUGUUUGAAUCAUAUCCUAGUAAAAAGCCUUCUACAGUCUUAGGAGCAAAUUUAGAUUUUCUACUUCUUUUAACAAAAAUAAAGCAUUUGCUACCAAAGACUCUAAAAUAUGAAAUAUUGGGCUUUUUACUGGUUAGGAGUUCGUAUGAUGUCUUCUUGAGGAUUCGGUGUAGAUACAAUCGGUUGAUGGCGUAGCAGGCGGUGUUGACCGCCUCGGCCCAAAACCGAUCCGAAGUCUUGUACUCAUCAAGCAUGGUCCUUGCCAUGUCCAAUAGAGUUCUAUUCUUCCUCUCCGCUGCACCAUUUUGUUGUGGCAUGUAGGGAGAAGAGAACUCAUGCUUGAUGCCCUCCUCCUCAAGGAAGCCUUCGAUUUGAGAGUUCUUGAACUCCGUCCCGUUGUCGCUUCUAAUUUUCUUGAUCCUUAAGCCGAACUCAUUUUGAGCCCGUCUCAAGAAUCCCUUUAAGGUCUCUUGGCUAUGAGAUUUUUCCUACAAAAAGAACACCCAAGUGAAGCGAGAAUAAUCAUCCACAAUAACUAGACAGUACUUACUCCCGUUGAUGCUUAUGUAAGCAAUCGGGCCGAAUAGGUCCAUGUGUAGGAGCUCGAGUGGCCUGUCAGUCGUCAUGAUGUUCUUGUGUGGAUGAUGAGCACCAACUUUCUUUCCUGCCUGACAUGCGCUACAAACCCUUCUUCCUUUUGCCGUCCUUUGCCAUGAGGCACUUGUGGCCGACGUUGGGGAAGAGAAGACCCUUGGUGACGGUGAUGUUUGCGGCAUCCUCGUCGGAGGAGGAGUCGGUGGAUCUCUCGUCGGAGUCCCACUCCCGGCAAAUGUGGGCAUCACCGCCCUUCUUCUUGUAGUAUCUUUUCUUCUCCUUUCUUCUCCCCUUCUUGUCGUCGCCCCUGUCACUAUCACUAGAUAAUGGACAUUUAGCAAUGAAAUGACCGGGCUUACCAUAUUUGUAGCACACUUCCUUGGAUCGGGGCUUGUAAUCCUUCCCCCUCCUUUGCUUGAGGAUUUGGCAGAAGCUCUUGAUGAUGAGCGCCAUUUCCUCGUUGUCGAGCUUGGAGGCGUCGAUGGGUGUUCUACUUGAUGUAGACUCCUCCUUCUUUUCCUCCGUCGCUUUGAAUGCGACCGGUUGUGCUUCGGACGUGGAGGGGCCAUCAAUCUCGUUGAUCUUCUUCGAGCCUUUGAUCAUCAAUUCAAAGCUCACAAAAUUCCCUAUUACCUCCUUGGGAGACAUUAGUGUAUAUCUAGGAUUUCAUCAAAUUAAUUGAACUUGCGUAGGGUUAAGAAAAACGAGGGAUCUUAGAAUAACCUUAACCAUCUCAUGGUCAUCCCAUUUCUUACUCUCGAGGUUGCGCACUUGUUUCACCAAGGUCUUGAGCCGGUUGUACGUAUCUUGUGGCUCCUCCCCUUGGCAAAGUCGGAAGCGACCGAGCUCCCCCUCGAUCGUCUCCCGCUUGGUGAUCUUGGUCACCUCGUCUCCUUCGUGCGCGGUCUUUAGCACGUCCCAAAUUUCCUUUGCACUCUUCAACCCUUGCACCUUAUUAUACUCCUCUCAACUUAGAGAGGCGAGGAGUAUAGUGGUGGCUUGGGAGUUGAAGUGCACGAUUUGGGCUACUUUGUCCUCAUCAUAAUCUUCAUCCCCUACGGAUGGUACCUGUACACCAAACUCAACAACAUCCCAUAUACUUUUGUGGAGUGAGGUUAGGUGAUAUCGCAUCAUAUCACUCCACCUAGCAUAAUCUUCACCAUCAAAUGUUUGUGGUUUGCCUAAUGGGACGAAAAGUAAAGGCGUAUGUUUAGGAAUGCGAGGAUAGCGUAGGGGGGUCUUACUAAACUUCUUGCUCUCAUGGCGCUUAGAAGUUACGGACGGCGUGUCGAAGCCGGAGGUGGAUGGCGACGAGGAGUCGGUCUCGUAGUAGACCACCUUCCUCAUCUUCUUCUUCUUAUCACCGCUCCGACGCGAUUUGUGUGAAGGGGAUUCCUUUUCCUUCCCCUUCCCUUUGUUGUAGGACUCUCCCGAUGGAGCCUUCCCGUGGCUUGUAGUGGGCUUCUCGCCGGUCCCCAUCUCUUUCUUGGCGUGAUCUCCCGACAUCACUUCAAGCGGUUAGGCUCUAAUGAAGCACCAUGCUUUGAUACCAAUUGAAAGUUUCCUAGAGGGGGGUGAAUAGGGCGAAUCUGAAAUUUACAAACUUACUCACAACUACAAGCCGGGUUAGCGUUAGAAAUAUAAAUGAGUUCGAGAGAGAGGACGCGAAACAAAUCGUGACCGAAUAAAGAGCGAGACACGAUGAUUUGUUUUACCGAGGUUCGGUUCUUGAAAAACCUACUCCCCGUUGAGGUGGUCACAAAGACCGGGUCUCUUUUAACCCUUUCCCUCUCUCAAACGGUCCCUCGGACCGAGUGAGCUUCUCUUCUCAAUCAAACGGAACACUAAGUUCCCGCAAGGACCACCACACAAUUGGUGUCUCUUGCCUUGGUUACAAUUGAGUUGAUCGCAAGAAGAAUGAGAAAGAAAAGAAGCAAUCCAAGUGCAAGAGCUCAAAUGAACACAACAAAUCACUCUCUCUAAUCACUAAAGCUUUGUGUGGAGUUGGGAGAGGAUUUGAUCUCUUGGGUGUGUCUUAUAUUGAAUGCUAGAGCUCUUGUAAGUGGUUGGAAGGUGGAAAACUUGGAUGCCAAUGAAUGUGGGGUGGUUGGGGUAUUUAUAGCCCCAACCACCACAAAGUGGUCGUUGGAAGCCUGCAGUCGCAUGGCGCACCGGACAGUCCGGUGCGCCACCGGACACUAUCCGGUGCGCCAGCCACGUCAGUAGACCAUUGGGGUUCGACCGUUGGAGCUAUGUCUCGUGGGCCCGCCUGGCUGUCCGGUGUGCCACCCGCGCGUGCUCUGCUCCUCUGCGCGCGCAGGCGCGCAUUUAAUGCGUUGCAGUAGACCGUUGCGCGCGAAGUAGUCGUUGCUCCGCUGUCACACCGGACAGUCCGGUGUGCACCGGACACUGUCCGGUGAAUUAUAGCGGAGCGGAUUCCCGAAGCUGGCGAGUUCAGAGUUGCUCUCCCUUGGGGCACCGGACAGUCCAGUGAAUUAUAGCGGAGCUCCUCUAAAAAUUCCCGAAGGUGAAGAGUUGGGCGUCGAGUUCCCUGGUGCACCGGACACUGUCCGGUGGCACACCGGACAGUCCGGUGCGCCAGACCAGGCGACACUUUGGUAUACUUGGCUCCUUUGUUUUGAACCCUUUUCUUGGUCUUUUUAUUGGCUUAUUGUGAACCUUUGGCACCUGUAGAACUUAUAGACUAGAGCAAACUAGUUAGUCCAAUUAUUUGUGUUGGGCAAUUCAACCACCAAAAUUAAUUGGGAAAUAGGUGUAAGUCUAAUUCCCUUUCAGCCCUUCUAGUUGCUGGCUUCGGGAAUAGGUCGGUUGUAGUGGUGGUGGAGGCGGGAGUUGUGGCCAAGAAGCCUGUGAAUGGCUAGCCGAAGCAACAGAAGCUGCAGGAUGAUUGUUCACAUACUCUGGUAUGUAAGGAGAGUGACACGAUGCAGUGUGCAAGACCUGCUUCGGCUGAUUCUGCCGAGCUUUGGCUUCUGCUAUCUCCUUUUGCUUCUGGAUGGUGACGUGGCACAUUCUUGUAGUAUGGCUCUUGUCCUCACCACAGAAUAAGCAGUAGACUUUUCUAGGCUGAUCCCCAAAUCUUCCUUCGAAGCCCCUGGCGCCUCUGCCCCUUGGAGCUGGUGGCCUGAAAGAUCUUUGUUGUUGCCCCGAAGAUUGUGAGGUAUAUUGUGACCUCUGGGACUGACUUCCUUUGUCGUCACUCUGAGUGGAGUUAUGGAUUGACCUGACGUGCCUCGGAUGGAUUCUUCCUCUGAAGCCCCUGGUCAUUUCGUAGAAUCUGUAAGCUUCCUCCCUUCUUUGGCGAAAAUCAUUGUCAGCUCGGAUGUACUCAUCUAUCUUCUGAAGCAGUUUCUCCAGAGUUUGUGGGGGCUUCCUGGCGAAAUAUUGAGCAAUAGGCCCUGGCCGAAGACCCUUGAUCAUGGCCUCGAUGACAAUCUCAUUAGGCACUGUAGGCGCUUGUGCCCUCAGUCGCAAGAACCUUCGUACAUAUGCCUGAAGGUAUUCUUCGUGGUCUUGCGUGCAUUGAAAUAGAGCCUGAGCUGUGACUGGCUUUGUUUGAAAACCUUGUAAACUAGUAACCAGCAUAUCCUUAAGCUUCUGCCACGACGUGAUAGUCCCUGGCCGAAGAGAAGAAUAACAUGUUUGGGCUACAUUCCGGACUGCCAUGACGAAGGACUUCGCCAUGACUGCAGUAUUGCCCCCAUACGAAGAUAGAGUUGCUUCGUAGCUCAUCAGAAACUGCUUUGGAUCUGAGUGCCCAUCAUACAUGGGAAGCUGAGGUGGCUUGUAUGAUGGGGGCCAUGGGGUAGCGUGCAGUUCUGCUGCCAAGGGAGAAGCAUCAUCAAAAGUAAAGGCAUCAUGAUUAAAAUCAUCAUACCAUCCAUCUUCAUUGAACAAGCCUUCUUGACGAAGCUCCCUGUGUUGGGGUCUUCGAUCCUGUUCAUCUUGAGCAAGAUGACACACUUCCUCAGUGGCUUCGUCGAUCUUCCAUUGAAGAUCAGCCAGCCGCGCCAUCUUCUCCUUCUUCCUUUGUAUUUGCUGAUGGAUUAUUUCCAUGUCCCUGAUUUCUUGGUCCAACUCCUCCUCCUGGAGUGUUGGACUGGUGGGUUUCCUCUUCUGGCUUCGAGCCUCUCGAAGAGAAAGAGUUUCCUGGUUUGGGUCCAGCGGCUACAGUACAGCGGUCUCUGGUGCUGAAGCUUUUUUUCGGCGGCAUGACGAAGGUCAGUGCUUGCCGAAGGUGGUCGAAAAAGGUUCACCGGAGGUGGGCGCCAAUGUUGGGGACUUGUUCUCAAAUGCUAUGAGUUAAGAACAAGGCAACACAAAAUGUUAAAUGUUAAAGUACUUCGUCCUUCGAAACAUUAUUUCCUUUGGGAUAUAAUGAUAUUUAGACGAAGGUUAUGAAGGACAUACCUUCAUCAACGCGGUAUAUGUUAAUAAAAGAAGUAUAUGAAAUAUAGGAAGCAAAAUAAACAAUUACAUAACAUUAUUAAUUCAUUGUAUUGUCAUGGAAAGACAGAAACAAUAUUGAAUUACAAAUGUACCUUCGGAUUGAUAGAAGACAAAAAGUACAAGCGUGACACAAGAGCCAGUACAAGUCAGCGUGAACAGUACGAGGGUACUGUUCAUCUAUUUAUAGUCACAGGGCGCAGCCUGUGCAAAAUUACAUUCAUGCCCUUCAUGUUUACUAUUGACAUUAGGACAAUCUAUCGAGGACUAAAUAGUCUUUUCCUCUUUAAGUCGGUUCCUUUUCUGCUACUGAGCCGAAGCUUUCUUGUGCAUAGCUUCGGAACUGGUUCGACCUUCAUCCCAACCAUGCUUUUCAUAUUGUGGACAGCUCCAUCCCGAUUCUGAAGGUUCCUGUACAUAUAUUACACUCGGAGAAACAUUGUUAAUCAUGUUUUUUAGGACCUUCGGAAGACGAAGGCCCCUAACACCACUCUUUUUUUAUUAAUUAAGACUACUUGUAAGAAACUGACACCUACCAACUAAUUGUUUGACAGGAGCUUGCUCAUAGCCAGCAAUAUUUCUUCUGGAAAAACUACAGGAAUAACAGACUGAAGCACAUCAUACCACGCCCUCCUCCUGAACCUGCACCUUCACAGGCACCUGCUACAUUGCCCCUACCAGCCCGCGAUGACACCCGUAGCUCCACCUGUUCCUGCACCAACAUCGUCUAUGCCACCUGUGGUAGCAGGUGGUGCAUCUGCAAUGUCUCCUAUGCAGUUUGUAGGAACUCCAGGCACUAAUAUGCCGAAGAAUGACAUGAGAAAUGCUAUGGACAAUAGAAAAAGGAAGUAUGCACCACCUCCCUUGCAAUCAUUCAAGUCAUUUUAUGAAGUUAUUUGUCCAUGCAUUGUUUUCUUUCCUUGCUAUUUUUUCUGUGCUAUGAAAUCAUUGGUGAACUAUUAUUUUCGAAGGACAUGAUCCAAUUCAGUUUGAUUUAUGGCCACUCUUCCAAUAUAGAUCAUGAAGAUUCCCCUUUCCUUACAGGAAAGAUGAUUGAGACUCUCAACAUGUUUUUUUUGAGGGAUGCUAUAUCCUCUUCCCCAUUCACUCUGGUUGCUCUUCUUCAUUGAAGACGGUGGAGAAAUACUUCUUUUACUUCUCUGAUCUUUGGCCCAUUAUCCCAGUAAAAUUUAUCUGAAGUUCUGUCAACAAUGCAUAUUGAGUCAAGUGUUAUUCGUCCCAUUGUGCAAAUAAAGACUGGAUAAAGACUCGUCAAUUGAAAUGUGAACGUCAUGCAGCUAUGACUGAAUCUGCAUAUUUCUUCAGAGCUUAUAAAUGUGAUAUGAAUGUUUCAUAAAACUUCAGUUUGGCUGAUGAUAUGUAUACAUCUUCAUCGCAGGAUGGGCUAGUUAAAAUUCUUGCGCAACUUUUCAACGGACACUUCCGGAUUCGAGCACAGUUGCUGCCUCUGGAGCCUUAUUAUUUCCUUUUGUUUUAGUGCUGGUUAUUUGGCCUUGUAGUUUAGAGUUUUUAGAAUGGAAGCUUCUGACUUAGAGUGAAGUUAGAACAAAUACUCCAUGUCGCAUGAACUUGGCAGCAGGAAAUAUGUACUGUUCAUAAACUAUACAUAUGCCCGUUGGCCCCAAUACAAAGUUGAUAUUUUGGCAAUAUUCUGUUUAUACAAAACAACUGUACAUAUUUCUGCAUUUUUUUACACAAAUAACUUAAAAGAAUGUUGACUUCAAACAAAACGAAGCUAUCUAAUGUUACUCGGUUCAACCCGUCUCUGGCGUUCGCCAUUAGACGUUUACAUGUUUACAUGAUGGAAACCACUUGUUGGAAUCAUAAAAACUAGUUUAAGAAAUAUACUGUCGUAAUUAUUUUUUUAAAACUUGACACAAAUCUACUCACAUAUAAAAGUUGGGAUACAAAUUUUCUUUUUGAAAAUUCAUACAAAAUCAGAAAUUUUAGUUGUAUGUGCACUGCGAGACAAAAAAGUAUAGAUUUUUGUCUUCUAGUAUACAUGCACAUAAGUUGUGCUAUUUUCAUAUGAUUUUUUUUUUCAAAAAUGACUUUGCAUCUCAAUUUUUGGGUGUGAGUUCUGUAUGGAUGAACUUAAGUUUUUUUAAAAAAUCAAGUUACAAAAGUGUACUUGCUCAGUUCCAAUUUAUAAUUUAUUUAACAUUAUCGACACCAACUUUACCGGCUCGCCUUAUUAAAAAAUAUAAUUAUUGUUUAUUAUUAUUGUGGUAUUGUUUAGCACUUAAUAUACUUUAAUUAUGGUUUUGGAUUUUCAAAUUUUCAAAAAAAUUACUAAGAUGAGUCAGUCAAAAUUAGUGUCAAAAAGUUAAAUGAAUUAUAAAUUGGAACCGUGGAAUUAUUAUUUUUUAACUAGUUUCCAUACAUCCAUGCAUGUCAGCACAAGACCAUUUUGACUCCUGUAAACCCUAUCAAACGUUGAAAGCUGACCUCUGUUCUUUCUUGGGGAGCUAGGAUGGUGAUUGAUCCUCCGAAUGCUCCUCCGGGCCUCCAAUUACACCCCGACAUCAGGAGCCUAAAAAUGGCCAAUGCGCCACUAUAAAGAGGGGAACCUCGUUGCAACGAAGAAAUCACCGUACCAUUAUGGCUGGUUCGUGGAUGGCUGCGCCACGACCUCUCCUGCUGUCGCUGCUGGUCGCCGUGCUAGCGGUGGCCGCCGAUGUCGCCAACGCCGGCCACGCCAAGCCCCUGACGCCUGGCGGGCGUGUGGUACACGACAACCACGGCAAGUUCACGGCCGGGCCGUGGAAACCCGCCCACGCGACCUUCUACGGCGGGCGGGACGGGUCCGGCACCACGGCGGGCGCGUGCGGGUACAAGGACACGCGCACGCAGGGGUACGGCGUGCAGACGGUGGCCGUGAGCACGGUGCUGUUCGGUGACGGCACGGCCUGCGGCGGGUGCUACGAGGUGCGGUGCGUGGACAGCCCUAGCGGGUGCAAGCCCGACGCGGCGGCACUGGUGGUGACGGUGACCGACCUGUGCCCGCCCAAGGACCAGUGGUGCAAGCCACCGCGGGAGCACUUCGACCUCAGCAUGCCCGCGUUCCUCCAGAUCGCGCAAGAGAAGGCCGGCAUCGUGCCGAUCUCCUACCGCAGGGUGGCGUGCGUGAAGCAGGGCGGCAUCCGGUACACCAUCACCGGGAACAAGUACUUCAACAUGGUGACGAUCACCAAUGUGGGCGGCGCUGGCGACAUCGCGGCGGUGUCGGUGAAGGGGAGCAAGCGCGUCAAGUGGACGGAGAUGAAGCGCAACUGGGGGCAAGUGUGGCAGACCGGGGAGGACCUCACCUGCGAGUCGCUGACGUUCCGGGUGAUGACCAGCGACCACCGCAAGGCCACCUCAUGGCACGUUCUCCCCGCUGACUGGAAGUUCGGCGUCACGUACCAGGCAUCCAAGAACUUCUAAGUAGCCACUUUCCCUCCUCUUCUUCAUCCUGCAUAUGCCCACAAGCAACCAUGCAAAUGAUAACAUGCAUCAUGCAUGCAUAUUCAUUCUUUCGCUCAUGCACUCCAAUAUGGUGCCGGAGUUAAAAAAAUGUAAAUCAAUGUGCAAACUCAAAUGACAUCUUAACCAGUUGUGAUCAAUCUCAACCGCUAAUGCAUUGCACACACCGAAUGAAGCUACCAUCCACUGCUGGAACAGGCUGAUUUAUCGAAUACUUGGCAAAAAGCCAAAUUCUUAGUGAUCUCCACUAUUUAGGCCUUGUGUUGCAUCAAAUGAAGUAACUUUAAGAGUCUCUCUAUAUUCUUUCCAAUUAAUAUAAACAGAUUUUUUUAAAAAAAAACCUCCAACAACUUAUCUAAAUGGCUACCUAAAUAUAACUGUUGGGGGCAUGCUUCUUCACCGAAGGUCCUCCAAGCAAAUACACCUUCGGCAGUAUGAUAUGCGAACUGACACAGCAUGAAGGCACAAGCAAAAGCUACAACCCAGAAAGCUUUGGCAUAAUGACGCGCCUUGAGACGAAGGGCGGCACCGACUUAAAGAGGAAAAGAUCGUUUAGUCCCUAAUAGUUUGUGUCGCAUUUGUAAUUUGUCAUGAAGGACAUAAAUGUAAUUUUGACCGGGCUGCAUCCCGCGCCUAUAAAUAGGUGAACAGUAACCCUGUAUUGUUCACGCUGACUUGUAUUCACUCACACGUCACACCUGGAUUUUUACCUUCUAUCAAGCCGAAGGUACAAAUAUAACUUGAUAUUGUUCAUGCUUAUUCAUGAUAGUAUAAUAAAAAUGUUCUGAUGAUGUCAUAUGACUAUUCAUGUUAUUUUACAUGUUUCAUAUGCUUCUACUUUCAUUAUUAUAUGCUGAAAUGAUGAAGGUACGUCCUUCAUGACCUUCGUCUGAAGAUCAUUAUAUCCUAAAGGAAAUAAUGCUUCGAAAGACGAAGGUCUUUAACCAUUAACAUUUUGUGUUGCCUUGUUCUUAAUUCAUAGCAUUUGAGAACAAGUCCCCAACAUUGGCGCCCACCUCCAGUGAACUCACUUCCACUGUUGAGCUGAUGGCUUCGUUCAACAACCAAGUCGUAGCACCUUCGGCUAUGAAGCUGGUGCUCCCAAUCACGGGCGGUUCAAGCACAGAGCCAGCUAACAAGAAGCAGAAGAAGGAAGCACAGAGAAGAGUGCAGCAUGUUGGGGUGCAAGGACCCUUCAUCAGGUCCAAGUGGUCCCACAUCCCAAUCACCUUCUCCAGGAGGAUCUUGAGCUAAAAGACUAUCCUCACAAUGAUGCUAUGGUCAUAUCUUGUGUCAUCAAGGGUUUUCUGGUCCACAAUGUUCUGGUUGACACAGAUAGUGCAGCAGACAUUAUAUUUGCAAAGGCUUUCAGGCAGAUGCAAGAACUAGAUGACAAGAUUCAUGACGCUACACACCCUCUUUGUGGCUUCGGAGGACGAUAGAUUGUGGCACUUGGCAAAAUCACAAUGACAGUUACCUUCGGCUAUGUCCACAACACAAGAACUGAGCAAGUUGUUUUUGACAUUGUCGACAUGGAAUACCCAUACAAUGCAAUCAUUGGUCGAGGAACACUUAAUGCCUUCGAAGCAAUACUUCAUCCAGCAUACUUUUGCAUGAAGAUACCUUCGGAGCAAGGGCCCAUUGUUGUCCAUGGAAGUCAAGAAGCUGCUAGAAGGGCUGAAGGUAGUUGGACAGAUUCAAAGGCAAUACACAACAUAGAUGGAGCCGAAGCUUGUCAACAAUAUAAACACAAAAGAAAGAAGGCUGCUUCGGCAGAUCAGCCGAAGCCUAUGCUUUUAUGUGAAGAUAUAGCAGAUCAAAAGGUACUGCUGGGGUCUCAGUUAUCUGAUGAGCAGGAAAAAACUUUGAUAAGAUUUUUGUUCAACAACAAAGAUGUCUUCGCUUGGACAACCAAUUAUCUCUGUGGUGUCAACAGAGAUGUCAUUGAGCAUUCACUUAAUGUGGAUCCGUCUUUCAGGCCAAGGAAGCAAAGACUUCGGAAGAUGUCUGAUGAUAAAGCUGAAGGUGCCCGGAACGAAGUAAAGAGGCUUCUCAGUGCAGGAGUUAUCAGAGAAGUAACAUAUCCAGAAUGGCUAGCUAACACUGUUAUGGUGAAGAAAGCUAAUGGCAAAUGGAGAAUGUGUAUUGAUUUCACAGAUCUCAACAAAGCAUGCCCAAAGGACGAAUUCCCAUUACCAAGGAUAGACUCCCUUGUAGAUGCAGCAGCUUCUUUGGAGCUCAUGAGUCUACUAGACUACUAUUCAGGUUAUCAUAAAAUAUGGAUGAAGAGGGAAGAUGAGCCAAAGACUAGCUUCAUAACCCCUAGCGGCACUUAUUGCUACCUUCGGAUGCCUGAGGGGCUCAAGAACACUGGAGGAAGAUUCAGUAGAAUGACAUCCAAGGUCCUUCAUUCUCAAAUAGGCAGGAAUGUGCUGACUUAUGUUGAUGACAUCAUAGUAAAGAGCACGAAGCAAGAGAAUCACAUUGCUGACUUGCAGGAGACAUUUGCCAAUUUCAGGCAAGCGGGUCUGAAAUUAAAUCCAGAAAAGUGUGUUUUUGGAGUAAAGAAGGGCAAGUUCCUUGGCUAUCUGGUAUCAAUGAAGGGAAUCAAAGCUAACCCCAAUAAGAUCGAAGCUAUCCUUCGGAUGGAGCCGCCAAAUACAAAAAAGAGGGCCCAACGGCUGGCAGGAAGACUGGCAUCAUUAAAUAGAUUCAUAUCUAGAUCAGCAGAAAGAAAUCAGCCAUUCUUUGAAAUACUGAAGUCAACCGAAGUUUUUCAAUGGGGUCCGGCUCAGCAAAAGCUUUCGAAGAGUUAAAGCAAUACUUGAUAGACUUGACAACUCUAACCCCACCUUCGCCAGGGGCUCCAUUACUCUUAUAUGUAGCAGCCUCUCACUCUGCAGUCAGUGCAACGCUUGUACAAGAAAAGCAAGAUGGCCAAGUUAAAAAAACAAGCACCAAUAUAUUUUGUCUCCGAAGUUCUAAGUUUGUGAAAGAAAAAUUAUACAGAAUUGGAGAAGGUACUAUAUGCCGUGUUGAUGGCCUCCAAGAAGCUUCGACACUGUUUUCAAGCAUAUCAUAUAAUUGUUCUUUCGUCACAACCUCUAAAGGACAUAAUGAGAAAUAGAGAAGCUACUGGGAGGAUCGGAAAAUGGGCUGCCGAGCUCAAUGAAUUCUUUAUUGAUUAUGUUCAUAGAUCCUCAAUUCAGUCUCAGGUCUUAGCAGACUUCAUUGCUGAUUGGACGCCAGGGGCUCAGGAAGAAGAAGCAACAAAAGACGCCGAAGCCUGGACAGUUUAUAGAGCACAUCAAUAAAAGAUACUAUAGAAGGGACCAGACUUUAGGCUAUAGAGCACAUCAAUAAAUAUGAGGCCGAAACAAUAAAGUGGCGUGAUAGAAAAGUUCGAUUGAAAAACAUCAAGCCAGAGCAUUUGGUGCUUCGGAGAGUGGCCAACCCAGACACAGUGGGCAAGUUGCAACUAAAGUGGGAAGAUCCUUUUCUGGUAGUAUCUUCGUCAAGACCCGGUUCUUACAGAUUGAAGGAUAUUAUACCACCCCACUGGUCACACACAUUGGAUGUUACCAAAACUCCUCCCACUAAACUUAUGCAACACAAGAGAUGUAAUACAGAGAGAAAAUAUUGCAAAAUCUGGCAGCACCUCCUUUGAAACUAGCAUAACAAGGGGGGGACAUGUAGUUCAUAUAGGAUAUAAAGAUAGAUAAUUCACGUAGUAGAAUCUAAAUGCAAAAGUGGUAAAACACAUUCAUGACCCAACAGGAACAAAAAUGAGAUAAGUAACUCAGCCCACCCCAACAAAUAAACCGCUCAACCACCAAGAGAAGCUAGAACAUAGAAAUUCUCUAGACUUGACCCUCCCUGAUUAACAACAUUAUUAAGUAGUGGUUCCUUAAUUAAAAGUGUAGUGGCCGUGCUGCUACAUCCCUCUUUUCCCAAAGCAGAAAUUAGGUGCCUGCAUCAAACAAUGCAAGAGUGAGAUGACACAUCUCAGCAAGUAAACAUGUAACUAAUUACUUAACGCCAAGAAGAAUCACCAUGUAAAAAUCCAGAUUAUCCACAUCCACAUAAUAGAUUCCACACCUCUCCCAUGAAUGCACAUGGCUACAGAUGCAAUAAUGACUUCUCCCUCCAUAUCUCUAAGGAUAUGAAGCUGCAUCAUACCCCUUCUCGGGCAACAUAUGAUGCUCAAUGUACCGGUACGGUCGGACCAUAAGAUCGCGACGAAACUUCAAUGCAAUGGAUGAUGAAUGCAUUAUGCAAGUCAACAACAUGAGUUCUUCCCAAACAGAAUGUGCUAGACAUAUACUUCCACUUAUUCCACAUAAUAAACCACAUGGGUAACAUGAUCAAACCACAUACUCAACAUAUGUAAUCAGUAAAACAUGAAUAUCUUCCAACGAUGGUACUCAAUUAAAAGUAUGAAUACGAACACAACAGCACAACAUAAUCAAGUGUAAGACUCUUCAUUCAACAGAUAGAAUAAUCCUCACUGCUUUACUUGCCUUUACCGGAAGUUUGGGCAAAUCCCUAAGUACGGUCCGUAAGUCCACCACCUGUUUUUGACACCCAACUUAGUGCACCAAUAUCACAUAAUAAACCCAAAAACAACGCCGCACCUACGCGCAAUCUCAAACCCCGCCGCGGGUAACAAUUCUCCUCACACCCACCAAACUGCAGCGACGCUGCUUAACGAUUCCAUAACUUUAAAAUUAAGGCAGCAGUGGUGACAAAUAAAAACUCCAGAGACAACUAUAUAAAAUUCCCCACAAGUUUUGUAUACAAUUUAUGAUUAAAUUCUAACAUCUAAUUACCCCUAAACGGUCCACAAGAUAAACCCAGCAAUCUGUUUUUUCCUCUUUUGGGCAGCGACAUACCCGGAUUCAAACAGCGAUAACUUUUAAAAUAUAAUUCCGAAUCGAGCGCAUAAGUACUAGUUGGAAAGGUAAGACAAAGACCUACAUGAUUCUCAUAAUGAUUAACACUAAUUACUCACGAAACGUCCCCAGAAACUGCUAACACUGCUGCUGUUCGUCCACCUGAAAAAUCUGUUUUUUUGGACAGCCACAUACCCGGAUUCAAAUGGCUAUAUCUUUUAAUUUAUAACUCCGAAUUGAGCGCAUAAAUACUCGUUGGAAAGGUAUGCCAAAGUUCUACAUGAUUCCCAAAUUGAUUCCCAUUAACUCCCCACGAAAAAACCCAAAAACUGCUAGAAUUACUGUUGUUCGUCUGCCACCUAAAAUUCUGGACAGCCCCUCUACCCAAUCGCAUAUGCCACAUCUAAUCAAUUGGAUUGCAGCACAAAUGAACAGGAGAUGAACACAAAAAUCACCUUGGGUUCUCCCCCUUUCCUUCCUCCCUUCUUCCCUCCACCGAAAACAAUCGAAGAUUUGCACCACGCGACGUAGAUCCGAGCGGCAAUGAAAAGCACAUUGGGAGGAGGAGAUGGGGGGGCUAGGGUUUGGUGUGUGGCUGCAAGAGUUUGGAAAGGAGGAGAUGAGAGGGGGGCAGCCAAAGGUGGGGAGAAUGAGGGGGGUUAGGGGAAAAGGGGCGGCUAGGGUUAGGGAAGAUUAGUGGGCCGAAACACGAAUCGCGGCCCAACUCGCCCACGCGACAGCUCCUGACCCCGUCGCAAGCGCCCAACCAAACAAAUUCUACUACCCUACUGGUGAAUGAUUUUCCCCAAAUUCCAAAUUCCCAAAACGCAUCAACCGAAUGAGAAAAAAACAAAAAGAAUAACCUCCAACUUCCCUUCUUUGCAAAACGGGUAUCACACUCUACCCCCCUUAAAAAGAAUUCGACCUCGAAUUCUGACGCUUCUAUCGGAACGACAAAAGGAAAGAUUAAAGAAUCAACAACACUUACCCACAACAAAAAGUUCCGGAUACUUCUGUCGCAUCAGCUCGUCAAGUUCCCACGUAGCCUCGCGCUCAGACUGAUUAGUCCAUAAGACCUUGACAUACUUAAUUGAUCUCUUCCUCAAUGCACGCUCCGAGAAUUCCAAUAUACGCACCGGACGACACUCCAAAGUCAGAUCCUGCUGCACCGCAAUUGGUUCCAUCUCAUUCUGAUGGUCCGGAUCCCGCAAGAACUUUCUCAACAUAGAGACAUGAAAAACCGGGUGUACCCCUGCCAUGGAAUCCGGCAGUAGCAAGCGAUAAGCCAAGCUGCCCACUCGGGCCAAGAUAGUGAAUGGUCCAAUGUAUCUCAGGCUGAGCUUCCCAGAGACACCGAACCGCACAACUCCUUUAGUAGGUGAUACCCUGAGAAGGACUUGGUCACCCACAGCAAAUUCCAGAUCCCGCCUCCUCACAUCAGCAUAACUCUUCUGACGGCUCUGAGCUACCAAAAUAUUCUGACGUAUUUCCCGAACCUUUUCAGAAGUCUGCUGAACCCAAUCAGGACCAACCAGGGAUCUCUCUCCCAAAGUCUCCCAGCACAGAGAGGAGAUACACCGCCUGCCAUACAAAGCCUCAAAUGGUGCCAUCUUGAUGCUAGCCUGGUAGAUGUUGUUAUAAGCAAACUCUGCCAGUGCAAGAUGAUCCUCCCAGCUACCCUUCCAUGACAGAACACAAGCGCGCAACAUAUCUUCCAAGGUUUGGAUUGUUCGCUCUGACUGACCAUCAGUCUGAGGGUGAAAAGCGACACUAAGUGAAAGCUUGGUGCCCAAUGCACUAUGAAGACUCUCCCAGAAUUUGGAUACAAAUUUGGAGUCUCGAUCAGAAACAAUAGACUUAGGUACCCCGUGAAGCCUGACUACUUCCUUCAUAUACAAGGGAACCAAAUCUGAAGCUGAAUUUGUGGUCUUCAUGGGAAUAAAAUGCGCAGACUUAGUCAAGCGAUCCACUACCACCCAUAUGGCAUCCCUGCCACGGGGGGAACGAGGUAGACCCACCACAAAAUCCAUGGUGAUAUGCUCCCAUUUCUACUCUGGAAUUUCUAAUGGCUUCAGGAAACCAGCAGGACGCUUAUGCUCGGCCUUCACGCGCUGACAUACUUCACAGGCGGCCACAUACUUAGAAACGUCAACCUUCAUCCGCUUCCACCAGAAGUUUUGCUUCAAAUCUCGGUACAUUUUGGUUUCGCCAGGAUGGACGGUGUAAGGUGUUUUAUGAGCUUCUCUCAAGAUAUCCAUCUUCACCUCUGAUUUCUAAGGCACACAAAGACGGCCCCUGAAACGAACCAAAUCAUUCUCAUCAAUGGUGAACUCCCGUGGUUUACCAUCACCAACCCUCUUUCGAGCUUCCUGCAAUAGACGAUCCUGCUGCUGAGCCGCACGCACUCUCUCCAUGAGAGAGGAUUGAAUAAGCAUCCGAGUCUCCUCGCUAGCGGUACCGACAUAACACAAAGCGACUCCCAAACGGUCUAGAUCAGCGAUCAACGGCAAGGCCACCUUUGGAACCUCGGACCUGCUAAGGGCAUCAGCCACUACAUUAGCCUUCCCCGGGUGAUAAUGAAUGGACAAAUCAUAAUCUUUAAUCAAUUCCAGCCACCGACGCUGCCUCAAAUUCAGCUCCUUCUGAGUAAAAAUAUACUUGAGACUUUUAUGAUCGGUGUAAAUGUCACAAGCCUUGCCAUAAAGGUAAUGCCUCCACGACUUUAGAGCAAAAACCACCGCGGCCAAUUCAAGAUCAUGAGUUGGGUAAUUCCCCUCAUGCUUCCUCAACUGUCUUGAGCCAUAAGCGAUCACGCUGCCUUCCUGCAUCAACACACAACCAAGACCAAUACGCGAAGCAUCCGUAUAAACUGUGAAACGCUUACCGCUCUCAGGCAAAGCUAGGAUAGGGGCGUCCACCAACUUGCUCUUCAAUGUCUGAUAACUGACCUCACAAUCGCCAGACCAGACGAAGGGAACACCCUUCUCCAAGAGUCUAGUCAAAGGCUUAGCAAUGCUGGAGAAAUUUGGUAUGAAGCGCCGAUAAUAUCCAGCGAGCCCCAAGAAACUUCAGAUUUCAGAGACACUAGAGGGUCUCUUCCACUUCACCACAGCCGCAACAUUGUUGGGAUCAACCGCAAUGCCCUGUUGAUUAAUCACAUGCCCCAGGAAAGCCACUUCGGACAGCCAAAAGGCACACUUCUUCAACUUGCCAUAGAACUGAUUCAUCCUUAGAGCACCCAGAAUGAGACGGAGAUGCUGCUCAUGCUCGGCCUCGGUCUUUGAAUAAAUCAGAAUAUCAUCCAGGAACAUGACCACAAAGUCAUCCAGGAAUUCAUGCAACAUCCUAUUCAUUGCUUCCAUAAAGGCAGCAGGGGCAUUAGUUAAGCCAAAAGACAUGAGUAUGAACUCAUAAUGCCCAUACCUGGUGCAAAAGGCGGUUUUCUCAAUAUCCUCCUCACGAAUCCUCAAUUGAUGAUAACCAGAGUUCAAAUCAAUUUUGGAGAACACUUGAGCACCCCUCAACUGUUCAAAGAGGACCUCAAUACGGGGAAGCGGAUAUUUAUUCUUGAUUGUCACUUGAUUCAAAGCGCGAUAAUCCACACACAGCCGCUUGCUUUUAUCCUUCUUCUCAACAAACAAUACUAGGGAAGCCCAUGGAGACCUGCUAGGCCUAAUGAAACCCUUAGCUAGCAGAUCAUCCAAUUGCCGCUUCAAUUCAAUUUGCUCCUUUGGGGCCAUUCGAUACGGGGCCUUAUGAAUAGGCUGUGUACCCGGAAUCAGCUUAAUCUCAAAAGCUGCAUCGCGCUCUGGAGGAAUGCCCGGAAGCUCUGCCGAAAACACGUCAGCAAAGUCACGCACCACCCAGAUGUCCUGCACCCGCAAGGCAGCCUCACCCUCCACCACCAUGGAGAAAAAGAUCCCCGACUUCCUUGACCGGCGAUCAGGAAGCAAUUGCGCCAACAAGGAUAACGUGAACUUCGGGGAACUUCCCAAGAAUACCACCUCCUUACCCGACGGCGCCUGCAAUAACACUAUCUUCCAAAAACAGGAUAUAACCGCGCGAUACUGGGAUAACCAAUCCAUACCCAAGAUAACAUCGAAUGCCCUCAAGGAAAUCACCACCAGAUUGGCCGAGAAGACCUCAUCAGCAAGAAUGACAGAACACCCCUGACAAACUGAACAGCUACUAAUGGAGCCAUUAGCAGAUCUAACCAGAAUUGGGUGACCCAACCUCUACACUGAAAGACCAGCCCGCGACACAAAAUCCUCCGAAACAAAUGAAUAGCUAGCGCCAGAGUUAAAAAGAGCAUGGGCUGCAAACGAAUCAACUGAAAUCGUACCUGUCACCACGUCUCCUUGCUCCCUGCCAUCCGCAGCGGGUAGCACAUAAGCUCCAGAAAUACCCGCAGAAGAGGAAGCUCCCGGAGUGAAAUUAACAGAAGAAACCCACUGAGCCGCCGGGUGAGGCAGACGCGGAGCUCCAAACUGAGACGGCAUAGGAGUAGACGGUGUAGGAGUAGGCGUGGCCUGAUACUGAGGAAAACCCUGCAUCAGCACAAACUGAGAAGUCCCAGGCACAAAAAGCUGCUGCGGAGGAAGAGGAACUGAAAACUGCUGCUCAGCACUUGACAUCAUGUUGAUAGUGCCCUGAGAAGAGGAGGAAGUCACCGGCUCCCAUCUGAGCUUCCCAUUAGGAUUCCUCCUACACACCACAUCCUUGUGGUCCUGACUGCAGAUAGAACACCUGCCACUCCACUGGCACUCUGCACGGCGAUGCGCAUCACCACAGCGGAAACACACCAGCCCCAGCCCGGGCUUAGGAACAGCCCGAAACCUCUGAGUACUUCCUCCCGAAGUACCCGCAUCGGAAGAUCUGCCACGGUAAGGAUGGUGGCGCUGAUGCUGAGACUUGCCCCUCUUGUGGGCUGGACCUCCCGUGUUGCCCCUCCUCGCGUCCUGGCCACGAGGCUGAUCAACACCCGAAGACUUCUGCGACUCCAUGGUAUACUGGUGUUGCAUCUCCACACCCAGUGUUUGCUCCACCGUGGUACGGAAGUCCACCAACGGAAAGGCUCCAAGAGCAUGCCUGAUAGAAGGCUUCAGACCCUGACGGAACAGGCUCGCCUUCUCCAUCUCAUUAUAAGCCACAUGAGGGACAAAGCGGACCAUCUUGUUGAAGCCCACCUCAUACUCUGUGACAGACUUCUUCUACUUGAAGGACUGCAAGUCAAUCUUCAUCUUCUCCAGGAAGGUGACCGGGUAGAAUCUCCUUUCAAACUGCCUGAUGAAAACAUCCCAAGACAGGACUCCUGGUGAGGAGGAGUGCGCUGCCUGCACGCCUCUCCACCAAAUUUGAGCCUCUCCCUUCAGCAGUUGUGUGCCAAAGCGAUCCCGAUCUCCAUACGCAAUCACGAAGACAUUCAUCUUAUCCUCCAUGUAAGUCAACCAAUCUGCUGCCUCGACCGGAGUACCACUGCCAUCAAAAGAAUCCAACUUCAUGCCCAUCCACUGCAUCAGAGAAAGACCACUGACUGGAAGAGGCACCUCGGCCCCGCCACCUGGAACAGCACCCGCAGGGACAGCGCCCCCGGGCACUUCUACACCACCAGCACCCUGAGCAGCACCCGCAGGGGCAACAAGAAUGACUUGCCUCAGAAGGGCCAACUCCUGCUGCAUGGCCUGCAUCGCGCCUAACAUUGUCGCCGGACUCGUCGAGUCCCCACUAGGAGCUUGCGGACUACCCCAAGCCCUACGAGGCGGCAUAGCUGCAGCCACAGGGAUGAGAAUAAUAAGUAAAUAAGAUUGGCAUAGCAUCUCUUCAGAUAAUGCCAAACUAGCACAGACAAUAACAUAACAUAUCAAUAGCAAGACAGAAAUCCCAUCCUACAUGUGCAGUGUGUCAAUUUAUUAUUACUCCACUUGCUAGGACCUACAGCCUAUUCCUCUGAUACCAACUGUAACACCCCACUGGUCACACACAUUGGAUGUUACCAAAACUCCUCCCACUAAACUUAUGCAACACAAGAGAUGUAAUACAGAGAGAAAAUAUUGCAAAAUCCGGCAGCACCUCCUUUGAAACUAGCAUAACAAGGGGGGGGAAACAUAUAGUUCAUAUAGGAUAUAAAGACAGAUAAUUCACGUAGUAGAAUCUAAAUGCAAAAGUGGUAAAACACAUUCAUCACCCAACAGGAACAAAAAUGAGAUAAGUAACUCAGCCCACCCCAACAAAUAAACCGCUCAACCACCAAGAGAAGCUAGAACAUAGAAAUUCUCUAGACUUGACCCUCCCUGAUUAACAACAUUAUUAAGUAGUGGUUCCUUAAUUAAAAGUGUAGUGGUCGUGCUGCUAUAUCCCUCUUUUCCCAAAGCAGAAAUUAGGUGCCUGCAUCAAACAAUGCAAGAGUGAGAUGACACAUCUCAGCAAGUAAACAUGUAACUAAUUACUUAACGCCAAGAAGAAUCACCAUGUAAAAAUCCAAAUCAUCCACAUCCACAUAAUAGAUUCCACACCUCUCCCAUGAAUGCACAUGGCUACAGAUGCAAUAAUGACUUCUGCCUCCAUAUCUCUAAGGAUAUGAAGCUGCAUCAUACCCCUUCUCGGGCAACAUAUGAUGGUCAAUGUACCGGUACGGUCAGACCAUAAGAUCGCGACGAAACUUCAAUGCAAUGGAUGAUGAAUGCAUUAUGCAAGUCAACAACAUGAGUUCUUCCCAAACAGAAUGUGCUAGACAUAUACUUCCACUUAUUCCACAUAAUAAACCACAUGGGUAACAUGAUCAAACCACAUACUCAACAUAUGUAAUCAGUAAAACAUGAAUAUCUUCCAACGAUGGUACUCAAUUAAAAGUAUGAAUACGAACACAACAGCACAACAUAAUCAAGUGUAAGACUCUUCAUUCGACAGAUAGAAUAAUCCUCACUGUUUUACUUGCCUUUACCGGAAGUUUGGGCAAAUCUCUAAGUACGGUCCGGAAGUCCACCACCUGUUUUUGACACCCAACUUAGUGCACCAAUAUCACAUAAUAAGCCCAAAAACAAUGCCGCACCUACGCGUAAUCUCAAACCCCGCCGCGGGUAACGAUUCUCCCCACACCCACCAAACUGCAGCGGCGCUGCUUAACGAUUUCAUAACUUUAAAAUUAAGUCAGCAGUGGUGAUAAACAAAAACACCAGAGACAACUACAUAAAAUUCCCCACAGGUUUUGUAUACAAUUUGUGAUUAAAUUCUAACAUCUAAUUACCCCUAAACGGUCCACAAGAUAAACCCAGCAAUCUGUUUUUUUCCUCUUUUGGGCAGCGACAUACCCGGAUUCAAACAGCGAUAACUUUUAAAAUAUAAUUCCGAAUCGAGCGCAUAAGUACUUGUUGGAAAGGUAAGACAAAGCCCUACAUGAUUCUCAUAAUGAUUAACACUAAUUACUCACGAAACAUCCCCAGAAACUGCUAACACUGCUGCUGUUCGUCCACCUGAAAAAUCUGUUUUUUUGGACAGCCACAUACCCGGAUUCAAAUGGCGAUAUCUUUUAAUUUAUAACUCCGAAUUGAGCGCAUAAAUACUCGUUGGAAAGGUAUGUCAAAGUUCUACAUGAUUCCCAAACUGAUUUCCAUUAACUCCCCACGAAAAAAACCAAAAACUGCUAGAAUUACUGCUGUUCGUCCGCCACCUAAAAUUCUGGACAGCCCCUCUACCCAAUCGCAUACGCCACAUCUAAUCAAUUGGAUUGCAGCACAAAUGAACAAGAGAUGAACACAAAAAUCACCUUGGGUUCUCCCCCUUUCCUUCCUCCCUUCUUCCCUCCACCGAAAACAAUCGAAGAUUUGCACCACGCGAUGUAGAUCCGAGCGGCAACGAAAAGCACCUUGGGAGGAGAAGAUGGGGGGGUGGGGGCGGCUAGGGUUUGGUGUGUGGCUGCAAGAGUUUGGAAAGGAGGAGAUGAGAGGGGGGGCGGCGGCCAAAGGUUGGGAGAAUGAGGGGGGGCUGCACAAGGGGGGGGGGGUUAGGGGAAAAGGGGCGGCUAGGGUUAGGGAAGGUUAGUGGGCCGAAGCACGAAUCGUGGCCCAACUCGCCCACGCGAUAGCUCCCGACCCUGUCGCAUAAGCCCAACCAAACAAAUUCUACUGCCCUACUGGUGAAUGAUUUUCCCCAAAUUCCAAAUGCCCAAAACGCAUCAACUGAAUGAGAAAAAAACAAAAGAAUAACCUCCAACUUCCCUUCUUUGCAAACCGGGUAUCACAGAUAUGGACGGCAACGACAUACCCAGAUCUUGGAAUGCGGAUGAGCUUCGAUGAUAUUAUGUGUAAUUUGAUGUAAUCUUUCUUUUUCAUUUUUUCUAUGGCACCCUUUUCCUUUCAGGAGGGGAGAAAGGUUUUUAAUGGGGCCAUAUUUUUUAAUUUUUCAUUCUUAUUUAGCCCCAUUAGGGCCAAAUCCCCCAAAGAUGUAAUAUGUAAAAUCUGAGCCUGCACCAACGAGUGCAAAAAGAGAACAGGGAGAAGCUCAAAAGAUGUCCCUAAGGGGAUGCGGAGCAUGAUGAAGCUACAAAAAGUCGUUCCUAAGGGAGCGCAGCGUAAGUUUUCUGCUCAAAAGUCGUUCCUAAGGGAAUGCAGAGCCAAAAUUGACGAAGCUACAAAAAGUUGUUCCAAAGGGAGCGCAGUGUAAGUUUUCUGCUCAAAAGUUGUUCCUAAGGGAAUGCAGAGCCAAAUACUGCCGAAAUAUAAGGCGAAGAAGUUCAAAAGUCGUUCCUAAGGGGAUGCAGAACUUAUACCACCGAAAUAGAAGGUGAAGAAGCUCAAAAGUCGUUCCUAAGGGGAUGCAGAGCUUAAGACUCAAAAGAUGUUCCUAAGGGGAUGCAGAGUCUGGGUGUGGUUUCAUGUGCGUGGUCGGGACAUUCAUUUGCACGUUACAUUACAUCAUUCAUUGCAUUCAUACACAUUCAUGUAGACAUUCGUAGGAUCAUCAUCAUCGUAAAGCACAAACAGAUACUUCGGCUUUGAUAACAAUGCUUCGAUGAGCAUGAAGAAGCAAGAUAUGCUUCGUUGUGUACGAAAAGAAGGGAAGGUGUUUUUCGCCUUCGGCUCAAAAGAUAUAAGUUUUCGUCCACAGCAAAGCAAUUUACACAUAGAAGGAAAGGUAAAAAUAUAUUACAAGGUAUGGAUAAAUAUACAGAGUAAUGUUCAAUUCUCGGUUACAAUGUCUCUUACAGAGAUAAUACAAAUGCCUCUAAAAGAUCUAUGCAGGCAAGUCUAAAGAUCAGCUUCAGUGGCCUUCGAAAUCUGCUUCGGAUUAUUAAUCUUCGGCAUCAUCGUCCUACACACAACAAAAUUUUAUAAGGUAAAAGGUAAUCACAAGAAAAGGUAAGCAACAGGUAUAACUUUCAUACCGACUUAAGUAAGCUUCGGGCCUCAUCACCAGCCAAAUCCCGACCACCCUUCGCCCAAAUUUGUGUUAUAAAUCUGCUUCCUAUGCUUCGGGCUUCGCCGGGAAUAUCAACUAAAUUUGUCGAAGAUAGGCUGAAGGUAGGCCUAUUGAAAGGGAAAUGUGCCCUUGGGCCAUUUCUAUAAUGUUUUGGUGAUUAAAUGCCCAACACAAGUGACUAAGUUCUUAUGGGCUAAACAAAGUGAGAGAUACAAAUCAUAUUACAAGGUAUGUUUCUAGACUUAGUACAUUGUUUUGUAUACUAAUGUGUUUGUCUAAGUGCUAGAAAUAGUGACAAAAGACGGAGAAAAGAAAAGGGAAAGAGUUGACUGUGUGCAGCAAACUCCAGCUCGGCCUGGCACACCGGACUAUCCGGUGGUGCACUCGGGAAUCGACGGAGUUGUACGGCUAUAAAUCACCGAACUGUCCGGUGGUGCACCAGACUGUCCGGUGAGUCAUUCGCGACGAACUCGUCGGUAUCGGGAAAUGGAAAGGUGACAUGGCUUAAAUUCACCGGACUGUCCGGUGGUGCACCGAACUGUCCGGUGAGCCAAUAGCGGUCAUAGCCAACGGUCGGCUGGGCAAUCUGCAGGUGACGCGUGUCUCGCUCCAACGGUCGGUUGGGCACACCAGAAAGUGUCCGGUGCGUCAACGGGCCCGGAGGAGCAAUGGUCGGCUACGCCCGAUAUGGAAGGAGAUCGCGCACCGGACAUGAACAGUGGCUGUCCGGUGGUCCGGUGCACCACUCGACAGAAGGCAAGAAAUGCCUUCCAAAUUGAUCUCCAACGGCUCCUAGAUGACUUGGGGCUAUAAAAGGGACCCCUAGGCACAUGGAGGAGACUACCAAGAAUUCUCUAAGCAUACUAAGACAUUCAGACUCCGCUCCCAUGCAUUUGAUUCGCUGUGUUGGUGAUUUGGGCUCCAUUCGAGUUGUGAACUCCCCGUGUUGUCCUUUGAACUCAAGUCUUCACUUGUGUGCGUGGUUGUGCUGCGUAUUUGAGUCUUGUGUGUGUUGCUCUCCUCCCUUACUUCUGUCUUUCUCUUGUGAUCAUCAUUAUAAGGGCAAGAGGCUCCAAAUUGUGGAGAUUUCUCGCAAACGGGAGAAAGACUAUAAGCAAGAAAGUUUUGGUAUUCAAGUGGAUCAUUGGAUCGCUUGAAAGGGGUUGAGUGCAACCCUCGUCCAUUGGGACACCACAACGUGGAAGUAGGCAAGUGUUACUUGGCCGAACCACGGGAUGAAAAUCAUGUGUCUCGUGUGUUGCUUCUUGUGAUUGUUUUGUUCGCACGAGCGUGUUCCAUAGCCACUUGAUUUAAAUAACACUUUAAUAAUCAAGUUUGUGGCUAUUUAGUGUUUGAUUUUACAGGAUCACCUAUUCAGCCCCCUCUAGGUGCUCUCAAUUGGUAUCAGAGCCGUACUCUUCAUCUAAGGGACUAACCGCCCGAAGAGAUGGAUCCUAAGGGAAAGGGGAUGGUGGUCAACGACAAGGAAAAGGAGUCCAUCUUCAAUGAGCCAAGAGACAACAAGCCCACUGACUCAGGCUCGAGUCACAAGAAGAGGGACGGGAAGAAGAAGAGACGCAUCAAGAAAAUCAUCUACUACGACAGUGAUCCCUCUUCCUCUUCACCAAGGGACGACAACGAUGACUCCUCGUCCAAGAAAAAGACGGUCAAUCAAAAUUAUUCUUUUGAUUACUCUCGCAUGCCCUAUAAUUCAAAUGCGCAUUUACUAUCAAUUCCCCUUGGAAAGCCUCCACACUUUGAUGGAGAGGACUAUUCGUUUUGGAGUCAUAAAAUGCGUAGUCAUUUAUUCUCUCUCCAUCCUAGCAUAUGGGAAAUCGUAGAAAAUGGGAUGCACUUUGAUAGUACCGAUAAUCCUGUGAUUAUUAAUGAGAAAAUCCAUAAAAAUGCCCAAGCUACUACUGUUUUGUUAGCAUCUCUUUGCAGGGACGAAUAUAAUAAAGUGAGUGGCUUGGACAAUGCCAAACAAAUCUGGGAUACCCUCAAGAUAUCACAUGAGGGAAAUGAUGCCACUAUGUUUACAAAGAUGGAACUAGUGGAAGGCGAGCUAGGAAGGUUCGCGAUGAUCAGGGGAGAGGAGCCAACUCAGACCUACAACACGCUCAAGACCCUGGUCAACAAGAUCCGAAGCUAUGGAAGCACAAGAUGGACGGAUCAUGAUGUCGUCCGACUCAUGCUAUGGUCAUUUAUUGUAAUUGACCCCCAUCUUGUCAAUCUUAUUCGUGAAAACCCCAGGUACACCAAGAUGACGCCCGAGGAGAUCCUUGGAAAAUUUGUGAGCGGGCGCAUGAUGGUGAAGGAGGCGCGAUACGUGGAUGAUGCGCUAAAUGGUCCACUACCCAUCUACGAGCCGCAGCCCGUUGCCCUCAAAGAAACGAGCAGCAGGGAGAUACUACCGAGCAAGGUAGCACAAGUGGAGGCUACCAGGCUCAACGAGGACGAAAUGGCGCUCAUCAUCAAGCGCUUCAAAACCGCCUUGAAAGGACGCAAGGAAUACUCCAACAAGAACAAAACAAGGGGAAAGUGCUCCUGCUUCAAAUGCGGUAAGACUGGUCAUUUCAUAGCAUAGUGCCCCGAUAAUGAUAAUGACUAGGGACAAGAAAAGUAUGGGAAGAAUGAGAAGAAGAAAAACUACAAGAAGGCGAAGGGCGAGGCACACCUUGGAAAGGAAUGGGAUUCUGACUGCUCUUCAUCCGACUCCGACGAUGAAGGAUUGGUUGCCUCGGCCUUUGACAAGUCUUCGCUCUUCCCCAACGAACACCAUACUUGCCUCAUGGCUAAGGAGAAGAAGGUACGUAUUCGAGAUUCCUCAAGGUACUCUUCUUCUAGUGAUGAGGAUUCUUCCGAUGAUGAAGUAGAAUACACUGACUUGUUUAAAGGACUAGAUAGAGCAAAGGUAGACAAAAUUAAUGAAUUAAUUGAUGCUCUAAAUGAAAAGGAUAGAUUGCUAGAAAAGGAAGAGGACAUAUUGUAUGAGGAACAUGACAAGUUUGUAAAUGUUCAAAAAUCUCUUGCUUUAGAAAUUAAAAGAAAUGAAGUGAUAUCCUCUCAGUUGUCUGCUGUAAUGCCCAAAUUUUGUAUCAGGAAAAUAAUAAUAACAAUGAUAUAAAAAAAUUAAUUAUGUAGUGUUUUGGGAUUAUGGAACCCUCGAAGAUUAUUGGUGUUCUUUUCUCUGUGCAUACUCAAUUAUGGAAAUUAAAGUAGUCAAAUAGCAAAUAAAUAAAUAUGGAAUUAUGCAUAGCAUGCUGAAGUUUUGGACUGUGCAUUCAAAACUUAGUUGAAAUCCAAACUAGAUUAAAACGAGAUUGUAAAUUUGAAUUUGAAACUUACAAAUGAAAUUAAAAAUCAGAAAUUCAAAAAAUAGAAGAAGAUAGAAUUGAAAACAAAAGAAAAAAAGCUUACGUUGCUUGGUGCUUGGCCUGUCCGUGGCCCAUUGCCACCAUCGCAUGGAGCCCCACCUCUUCCCCAUUUUUGUUUUUUUAUAUAUUUCCAGCUGUAGCUAAACAUCAGCCUGACAUUAGCUCACAUAAUUGUGUCUCUGCACAUGGGACCGAGCUGUCAGCUUGGGUCGGCAUCUACCUCAUGACGGAGUCAAAUUGGGGCACUGCGAUUACCAGCCACCAGGAAUCCUUCUCCUCGCUGUUUCCUUCGACUAUUCGCGGUCGUUGUUGACCCGCAUGGUCAGCUCUUCCUCGUGGAACAGAUCACGUAACAGCCGGUCCGUUUUCCACGCCGCGCCAUGUGCGCCACCAGCUGAUUCCGAGUCCUAGCCUCUGACUAAAUUGCCGUUCCCACCGAAGCGGGGUUUAAGAACCGAAGUAUCGUGGCCUUUCCUCUGCAUCCCAUCCAAGCGCCGCCCCAUAGCUCACUUUUCCUUGCCCCGCCGUGCCAGCAUCGUUAAGGGCGGAUAUUGCCGCCGCCAUAGAAUCUCGGGCCGUGACUAGCCAAAGCUUUAGGCGGGAGUUCAAUUGGAUUCGCUUGGUCGCGGUGAAGGUUGCCAGCGACGUUUCUGGGGCGAAUCGGGGCCCAGCACCUUGGAUUUCUCGCCGUUGAGUUGCAGUCCACCGCGUACCGCACUGCUCUGGAGCCAGGGCACGACUCGACAUAAACCUAGGUAUAAACGCUUAUCCCAUGCUCGCGUUGUCCUUCUGCUCUCGUUGCGCGCUUCGGCAGGGUGGUUGGGGGAUUGUUAUCGGGUUGGGUUUGCUCACCGGCGUGGUCUCCGCCGUGAACGGAGGUGAGCGCCGCCGUGCCCAAUGUCAGAUUAGGGGAAGGAAUGUGCACCGUUAGAUCUCAAUGGACAGCCCAGAUUAGAUGUCUGCGUACCCUUUCACGCUGUUGUAUGCAGGUCGUGGAUCUGUGAUCGUGCGGUUAGGCUGCUGGGGCUAGUCAUAAUAGAUCUGGACCGUCGGAUCCGUAUCCGACGACUGUGAUUAUGUUCUGGUUCGCGCGGAGAUAAGAUUUAAUCGUGGCCGUUCGCUCAAUCCGAUGGCCCAAAUCGUGCGAUACCCCUUCGGCUAGCGCAAUUGCAAAAGAGACCCUAACCUCUCUGGAAAUCAACCCGCCGUCCCCCGCCGGAUACGCCUGAGUCUGGGAAAUAUUUCGAGUUAGCCCCUGCGUUACUUUGUUUUUGAUGCCCAGCCCAGAGAACAAUGGAAAUAGAAAAUUAAUUAUAGAAAAUGAUUUUUAAUACAAAAAUAAUUCAGAAACUUGUUUAAUUAGUAGAAAAUUCAUAUUAAGUCCAAAUUGAUCCAUUCCAGUUUCAAUAAAUUUGUAUUAAUAUUGUAUAUCAAUUAAAAACAUUUUUUGCCAUGAAACUUGAAUUAAAAUUAUUCACUCAAAUUAAUCUGUUCUAAGUACUCAAUAACUCCAGAAAUUCAUAACUUAAUAAUCGUAGCUCCGAAUAUAGUGGUUCUUGUUUCUACGAUCUCGUAACAUCGCGUAGAUUAUUAUUACGUGGUUUAUUCUUAUGUUUGGUGUGAUGUUAAUUUUGUAUGUACCAUGUUUGUCUGUAUUGCUACGUUUAGCAGUGAGGACACGUAUCACUUGAAGAGCAAGUUGGUACCUGGAAUCUCAAGUGCCAGGCAAGUUGUGCCCUUGACCACUUUUUACCCAAUAAUGUUCUUUAAUAUCAUUUAUUCUUGCAUAGGUUAAUUUUGAUGGGACCCAAUAGGUUACCCUAGAUUGUUUAUCUCAUUACCUUGUUUACCCCUGAAUCACUUGGGUAGUUUGCUAUUGCGUUACAUGGAUUUGGGAUAAUUAUUUAUCAUAUCUAUGUUCCAGUUAUUUUGUUAUUCUAUUUAUGUUCAUGUCAAGAUCAUUAAUGUUAAUUGGAACAUAGAGCUUAACUUGAGAAACACGUGCCACCACAAGGGUUUAUGGACGCCCUUGGCUGAUUAAUUAGGAAAGCUAGUGGAGGACUACCUUACCCGAAAAGGGGCAAGGGCAGUAGGGGAGUGGUCAGUGUAGGGAGGUCCUUGGUUGAUUUUGCUGCGAUGGCGGUCAGGCAAGAACCCUGCAUUGGAGCUUCCUAUAAACUGUAGCGGGUUUUCUGAAGCUAGUGGAACUUUGUAAAGGCCUCGUAGUGUUACCCUGCCUCACCUCCUCGGUAGAGGUGUAUGGGAAGUCGCGAUCCCUUGGCAGAUAGGUAACAUGACUUGUGGGUAAAGGGUACCACCUCUGCAGAGUGUAAAACUGGUAUACUAGCCGAGUUCACGGUCAUGAGCAGCUCAGGACUCUCUGAUGAUUAAAUUAUGGAACUAAAUUCAAUUUGUCAUAUGCAUUGCAUCGCAGGUGAUGUUGUUACUUUUGUUCUACUACUUAAUUGGGUUGGUAUUUACUUAUACUUAGUAAUUGCUAAUAAAAUUUUGACCAACUUUAAAAGCAAUGCUCAGCUCUAAUCAUCAUCUUUGGUAAGCCUUACACUACACGUGAGCUCCCACCUUUGGCGAGUUCAUGCACAUUAUUCCCCACAACUUGUUGAGCGAUUAACGUAUGUGAGCUCACUCUUGCUGUCUCACACCCCCCCACAGGUCAAGAACAGGUACCACAGGAUAAGGCGCAUGGAGGAUGCUGUGAUGAGUUCGUGAGAGGUCUAGGCCGUCGUCUCCCAGUCAACUUUGGGUUGCUGGACCGUUGUCUCCUUAUAAUGUAAUUAUUUAUUUAUUUUGUAUAGAACUCCUAUUAUUGUAGUAAAGAUGUGACAUUCGAUCAUGUGCCAUGAUUCAUCAUACGUGUGAGACUUGGUCCCAGCACACCUGGUGAUUAUGUUCGCGCCCGGGCUUUGGACCCCUAAAACCCGGGUGUGACAUCUGCUUGCCAUGAAUCUGUCUCUAAUUUAAAGAAUUUAAAUGAUGAAUUAAAUGCUAAACUAGAGGAAGUUAAUAAAGCUAGUUCAUGUGUAGAGCAUGUUGUUAUAAUGAGGUGGCAAGUCUUAAUGCUCAACUUAAGACUUGCAAGGUUGAUUUUGAUAAAUUGAAAUUUGCUAGGGAUGCCUACACUGUUGGUAGACACCCUUCAAUUAAGGAUGGACUUGGUUUUUGAAAGGAAACCAAGAACUUAACAAUCCAAAGGACUCUCGUUCUCAACAAGGAGAAAGGGAAGGCCCCUAUGGCGAGUAGCCCUCAAGGGAACCAUGCUUUUAUUUAUGACAGGAAAAUUGCUAGCGGUCCUCAUUAUAAUAAGAGUUAUGUUCAUGCUGCUUAUAAUGAUUCACAUGCUAUGUUUGCCUCUAGCUCUACUUUUGUUCAUGGUAGAAGUAGGCCUAGGAGAAAUCAUGUUGUGUCUCAUGCUCCUAGGAGAAUGUGCAAUGGACCUUCUACUAUUUAUCAUGCUUGCAAUACUUCCUUCGCACUUUCAUAUAAGAAUGCAAAAGUAGUUGCUAGGAAGUUCAGAACCAAAUGCAAGGGAGACAAGACUUGUAUUUGGGUUCCAAAAGUUAUUGUGACUAACCUUGCAGGACCCAACAAGUGUUGGGUACCUAAAACCCAAGCUUAAAUUACCUUGCAUGUUUAUGCAUCCGGGGGCUCUAGCUGGAUUAUCGACAGCGGAUGCACAAACCACAUGACGGGGGAGAAGAAGAUGUUCACCUCCUACGUCAAGAACAAGGAUUCCCAGGAUACGAUCAUCUUUGGAGAUGGGAACCAAGGCAAGGUCAAAGGCUUGGGCAAGAUAGCUAUCACUAACGAGCACUUAAUAUCGAAUGUAUUUCUAGUAGAGUCGCUUGGGUACAACCUUCUGUCUGUAAGUCAAUUAUGUCACAUGGGUUACAAUUGUCUGUUUACAAAUGUUGAUGUAUCUGUCUUUAGAAGGAGUGAUGGAUCAUUAGCUUUUAAGGAUGUAUUAGAUGGCAAACUCUACUUAGUUGACUUUUUGAAAGGGAAUGCCGGUCUAGAUGCAUGCUUAAUAGCUAAGACUAAUAUGGGCUGGUUGUGGCAUCGCCGUCUAGCACAUGUUGGGAUGAAGAACCUUCUUAAGCUUCUAAAGGGAGAUCAUGUGUUAGGACUAAUCUAUGUCUGUUUUGAGAAAGACAGAUCCUGUGCAGCAUGUCAGGCAGGAAAACAGGUGGGAAGCACACAUCACGGCAAGAAUGUGAUGACAACAUCAAGACCACUGGAGCUCCUUCACAUGGAUCUUUUCGGACCCAUUGCCUAUCUAAGCAUCGAGGGAAGUAAGUAUGGUCUUGUAAUUGUUGAUGAUUUUUCUCGCUUCACUUGGGUGCUCUUUCUACAGGAUAAGUCAGAAACCCAAGUGACCCUAAAGCGCUUCUUAAAGAGAGCUCAAAAUGAGUUUGAGCUUAAAGUGAAAAAUAUAAGGAGCGACAAUGGGUCUGAGUUCAAGAAUCUACAAGUUGAAGAGUUUCUUGAGGAGGAAGGCAUCAAGCACGAGUUCUCCACUCCCUACACACCACAACAAAACGGUGUGGUAGAGAGGAAGAACAGGACGCUUAUUGACAUGGCGAGAAUGAUGCUUGGAGAGUUCAAGACACUCAAACGGUUUUGGUCGUGAAAGUCGCCUAGAGGGGGGUGAAUAGGGCGAAUCUGAAAUUUAUAAACUUAAGCACAAUUACAAGCCGGGUUAGCGUUAGAAUUAUGAACGAGUCUGAGAGAGAGGGUGAAAAACAAAUCAGAAGCAAAUAAAGCAUGAGACACAAGGAUUUGUUUUACCGAGGUUCGGUUCUUACAAACCUACUCCCCGUUGAGGUGGUCACAGAGACCGGGUCUCUUUCAACCCUUUCCCUCUCUCAAAUGGUCACUUAGACCGAGUGAGCUUCUCUUCUCAAUCAAACGGGACACAAAGUCCCCGCAAGGUCCACCACACAAUUGGUGUCUCUUGCCUCGGUUACAAUUGAGUUGAUCACAAGAAAGAAUGAGAAAAAGAAGCAAUCCAAGCGCAAGAGCUCAAAUGAACACAAGUCACUCUCUCACUAGACACUAUUUGAUUUGGAAUGAACUAUGGACUUGGGAGAGGAUUUGAUCUCUUUGGUGUGUCUUGUAUUGAAUGCUAUAGCUCUUGUAAGGUGUAGGAAGUUGGAAAACUUGGAUGCAAUGAAUGGUGGGGUGGUUGGGGUAUUUAUAGCCCCAACCACCAAAAGUGGCCGUUGGGAGGCUGUCUGUCGCAUGGCGCACCGGAUAGUCCGGUGCGCCAGCCACGUCAGCCGGCCGUUGGGUUCUGACCGUUGGAGCUCUGACAGGUGGGGCUUCUGGGCUGUCCGGUGGUGCACCGGACAGGUCCUGUAGACUGUCUGGUGCGCCUUCUGCGCGUGCUCUGUCCUCUGCGCGCGCAGGCGCGCAUUAAAUGCGUUGCAGUCGACCGUUGCGUGCGAAGUAGCCGUUGCUCUACUGGCACACCGGACAGUCUGGUGAAUUAUAGCGGAGUGGCCUCCCAUUUUCCCGAAGGUGAGGAGUUUAGCGUCGAGUUCCCUGGUGCACCGGACACUGUCCGGUGGUGCACCGAACACUGUCCGGUGCGCCAGACUAGGGUGCCUUUGGGUUGUCUUUUGCUCUCUUUGUUUGAACCCUUUCUUGGUCUUUUUUAUUGGCUUAUUGUGAACCUUUGGCAUCUGUAAAACUUAUAGACUAGAGCAAACUAGUUAGUCCAAUUAUUUGUGUUGGGCAAUUCAACCACCAAAAUCAAUUUAGGAAAAGGUGUAAGCCUAUUUCCCUUUCAGGUCGGAAGCUAUGAACACAGCCUGUCAUGCCAUAAAUCGGCUCUAUCUGCAUCACCUUCUCAAGAAGACCUCCUACGAACUCCUUACCGGUAACAAACCCAAUGUCUCUUACUUUCGUGUAUUUGGGAGCAAAUGCUACAUUCUGGUGAAGAAAGGUAGACAUUCUAAAUUUGCUCCAAAGGCAGUAGAAGGGUUUUUACUAUGGUAUGACUCAAAUACAAAGGCAUAUAGGGUCUUCAACAAAUCAUCAGGAUUAAUUGAAGUCUCUAGUGACAUUGUAUUUGAUGAGACUAAUGGCUCUCCAAGAGAGCAAGUUAAGCUUGAUGAAAUAGAUGAAGAUGAAGUUCCGACGGCCGCAAUGCGCACGAUGGCGAUAGGUGAUGUGCGUCCACAGAAACUACAGGAACAAGAUCAACCUUUUUCCUUGACACUAGUGCAUCCCCCAACUCAAGAUGAUGGACAUGUACCUCAAGAAGAGGAGCAUGAUCAAGGGGGAGCACAGGAAGAACAGGCUAUGGAGGAAGAAGCACCACGGGCCCCUCCAACUCAAGUCCGAGCAACAAUCCAUAGACAUCACCCUGUCGAUCAGAUUCUGGGUGACAUCAGUAAGGGAGUAACUACUCGCUCACGACUAGCUAACUUUUGUGAGCAUUACUCGUUUGUCUCUUCUAUUGAGCCUUUCAGGGUAAAAGAGGCCUUGUAGGAUCCAGAUUGGGUGUUGGCCAUGCAGGAAGAGCUCAUCAACUUCAAAAGGAAUGAAGUCUGGAGCCUGGUGCCACGUCCAAAGCAAAAUGUUGUGGGAACCAAGUGGGUGAUCCGCAACAAGCAAGACGAGCAUGGGGUGGUGACAAGAAAUAAGGCUCGACUUGUGGCAAAAGGUUAUGCCCAAGUCGCAGGUUUGGAUUUCGAGGAGACUUUUGCUCCUGUGGCUAGGCUAGAUUCAAUUCGAAUUUUGCUAGCCUAUGCCGCUCACCACUCUUUUAGGGUGUUUCAAAUGGACGUGAAGAGCGCUUUUCUCAAUGGGCCAAUCAAGGAGGAGGUAUACGUAGAACAACCCCCUGGCUUUGAGGAUGACAGGUAUCCCGACCACGUGUAUAAGCUCUCUAAGGCGCUCUAUGGACUUAAGCAAGCCCCAAGAGCAUGGUAUGAAUGCCUUAGAGAUUUCUUAAUUGCUAAUGCUUUCAAGGUUGGGAAAGCUGAUCCAACUCUUUUUACCAAGACUUGUGAUGGUGAUCUCUUUGUGUGCCAAAUUUAUGUCGAUGACAUAAUAUUUGGUUCUACUAACCAAAAGUCUUGUGAGGAGUUUAGUAGGGUGAUGAUGCAAAAAUUCGAAAUGUCGAUGAUGGGCGAGUUGACAUACUUCCUUGGAUUCCAAGUGAAGCAACUCAAGGACGACACUUUCAUCUCCCAAACGAAGUACACUCAAGAUCUUCUCAAGAGGUUUGGGAUGAAGGACGCCAAGCCCGCGAAGACACCGAUGGGCACUGACGGGCAUGUUGACCUCAACAAAGGAGGUAAGUCCGUUGAUCAAAAGGCAUACUGGUCAAUGAUAGGUUCAUUACUUUAUCUUUGUGCUAGUAGACCGAACAUUAUGCUUAGUGUAUGCAUGUGUGCUAGAUAUCAAUCCGACCCUAAGGAAUGUCACCUUGUGGCCGUUAAGCGAAUUCUUCGAUAUUUAGUUGCUACGCCGUGCUUCGGGAUCUGGUAUCCAAAGGGGUCUACGUUUGACUUAAUUGGAUACGCAGACUCCGAUUAUGCUGGGUGCAAGGUUGAUAGGAAGAGUACAUCAGGGACAUGCCAAUUUCUAGGAAGGUCCCUGGUGUCCUGGAGUUCCAAGAAACAGACAUCUGUUGCCCUAUCCACCGCUGAGGCCGAGUAUGUUGCCGCAGGAUAGUGUUGCGUGCAACUACUUUGGAUGAGGCAAACCCUCUGGGACUUUGGCUACAAUCUGAGCAAAGUCCCACUCCUAUGUGACAAUGAGAGUGCAAUCCGCUUGGCGGAUAAUCCUAUUGAACACAACCGCACUAAGCACAUAGACAUCCGGCAUCACUUCCUGAGGGACCACCAGCAAAAGGGAGAUAUCGAUAUUUAUCAUAUUAGCACCGAGAACCAGCUAGCCGAUAUCUUCACCAAGCCGUUGGAUGAGAAAACUUUUUGCAGGUUGCGAAGUGAGCUAAAUGUCUUAGAUUCGCGUAACUUGGAUCGAUCUAUAACAUACAUGUGUUCUAUGCCUUUGAUCAUGUUACUUUGAGCAUUUACAUUAUUCGUUGUAUAUUUAUGGUGCUCAAGUUGUACAAAUCCUCCCCGGACCUCACAAGUCCAUAUGCAAAUGGUGCACAUAUUUAGGGGGAGAUGUGCUACAACUUGACCAUUUGAGACUAACAUGUUUGUUUAAGUACACCUGAUGUAGUCUCAAAGGUACAUUAAAAGGGAAACUGAACUUGGACGAUGCAAAGACUUCCACUGCACUCCGGUAUUAGUGUAUUCAAUUCCAAGUUCAUACUUAUGCUCUCACUACCUUUUUGCUCUUAAUUGACAUUUUUGGUGAGGCAAUGGGGUUAAAGGGCCAAGAAUGAUCCCGUUUUGGUGCUUAAUGCCAAAGGGGGAGAAGUUAAGGCCAAAGCAAAAUGGAUCAGCCAACCACUUGUGAAUUUUUUGAAAAUAAUAGAGUAAGAAUUUGUGAUUUGCUCAAAAUACCCUUAUUGCAAAAUUUGGUCUCUUGUGGGGGAGAAUUUUGAUUAUGGGAAAAGGGGGAGUUUUUGGCACUUGAUUAAUUUUACUCUUGGAAUAUCUCUCUAUAUGCCCAAACAACCAUGUUUAACUUAGAGAAAGGAAAAUGAAUUUGAUUUGCAAAAACAAACCAAGUUGUGGCGAAGAAUGAUCCAAAUAUGCCAAAAUCCUAUUAAAGUGUUGGGGACUCGUUCUCAAGUGCUAUGAGUUAAGAACAAGGCAACAUAGAAAAUGUUAAUCGUUAAAGUCCUUCGUCCUUCGAAGCAUUAUUUCCCUUAGGAUAUAAUGGUUUUCGGACGAAGGUUAUGAAGGGCGUACCUUCAUAAGUUCGUUAUACAGUGACGAAGGAUGAAGUGUAAGGAAUAUAAAAGAUAAUAUAAACAAUUAUAUAUGUAUUAUUAUGUAUAAACAGAAAUAUCGCUGAAUUACAAAUGUACCUUCAACUUGAAGGAGAUGAUAGUACAAACGUGACGCAAAAAGCAAAUGCCCAGUCAGCGUGACCAGUACGGGGGUACUGUUCACCUAUUUAUAGGCACGGGACACAACCCAUACAAAAUUACAUUCAUGCCCUUUACACUUGAUAAUAAUUCUAUAGUAAUCUGUCGAGGUCUAAAUAGCCUUUUCAUCUUUAAGUCGGUUUCACUUUUUGCUGCCACGCCGAAGCUUUCCUGCUCACACCUUCGGCGCUGUACCAACCUUCGUAUUAUUCUGGUCUACUGUGAUGCCGACUUGGGUCCGAAGAUACCUGUUCACACAUUAUACUCCAGAAAUACUGUUAAAUCCUGUUUUUGAGGACCUUCGGAAGCCGAAGGUCCCCAACAGUAGCCCCUCGCAAUAUUAAUUUGUUUAAAAUAAUAAAUUUAGAUUGCGAUAUGGACGAAGGCUUUUCGCCGAAGGUCCGAAAAAACACCUUCCCUUUGCUAGAAUAGCAACAUUCACUGACAAGCGGGGUCUUUCAAUUUUCAACGCUCUUGGCGUAUAAAUACGGUCAUACCGCAAACUCAUUUGACACGCUCUCUGGCCAACUGCUCCCGCUCACUCAAUUUUUAGCUCUUGUGCACUACGAUUUGCUAAGCUUUUAGUUUUGAAGCUUCGGCUUUGAAAAUAGUUUUUUAGUGUCUCCGAAGAUGUCCGAAGAUAAGAAGACUGCUGCUGAGAUGAAGCUGAGCCUCGACGAAGAGAAAAAUUUGGGGUUUCUUAUAGCGAUGUCAAAGACCAAUACAGAAAAAAUCACCAAGGAGAUUUUGGAAGGUUUGUCUGAAGAUACUGGUGACAGUGACAACUAUGAUGUGGACAGUGGUGGUGAAGACUCCGAAGAUCGUCCCUGGCGACCAAGCCAUUCAGUUUAUGGUAAAUCAACUAUCAAAGAGAAUCAUCUUGUCAACAUGAGAGGAAGGUAUUUCCGGGAUUUGUCCAUUGUGAGGGCCGACGAAGGGGAAAAAACUUGCCCACACCCUGAAGAGAAUGAAGUCGUAGUGUACCGAAGCUUUUUGAAAGCUGGACUGCGAUUUCCCUUGAGCAGCUUCGUUGUAGAGGUGCUGAAAAUAUUCGAAGUCUAUCUCCAUCAACUUACCCCCGAGGCAAUUAUAAGGCUGAAUAUCUUCGUGUGGGCCGUGAGAAGCCAAGGUCUGAAGCCUGAUGCAAAAAGCUUCUGCAAUAUUCACGAAUUAUCAUACGAAACAAAACCUUGGGGUAAGGAACAGUAUCACAAUAAUUUUGGCUGCUACAGUUUCGUUUCUCGGUCCGGGUCAAGCUGCCCCGUGCCAACCUUUCGGAAGAGAUGGCCUGGCGACUGGAUGACAGAAUGGUUUUAUGUGAAGAAUGAUCUGACAGUACGAGAAGAUAUCAAAGGUAUAAUUAUGCACCCUAUUUGGCAAAGCUUCGGCCUUCGGAGGCCGAAGGUUGAAAUGAAUGAAGCCGCAGAAGAAUGCCAGAGGGCCUUCGGCGUUAUCUGUUCUUUUAUUGGAACGAGAGACUUAGUACAAGAGCAUAUUGCCUUCAGGGUAUGGCCGCUCGCGGAGAAAUGGGAAAUGCCACAAGAAACCAUAAAAGAGACCGACGAAGGUGGACUUAUCAGGUUGAAGUACACUUUUAAAUUUGGAGAUAAAUUUGUUGAGCCAGAUGAUGACUGGUUAAAAAGCAUUGAAAAUUUAAGUGAUGAACUGCUUGGGGCUUAUUCGAAGGCCGAAGAUACUGCAAUGUCAGCAGCCUUCGGAGGCCGAAAAAAGAAGAGGCUGAAUCGGGUAUUUGAUGCAAUCGGGUUUGUCUACCCUGACUAUUGCUAUCCCAUUCGAAGGCAGAAGAGAAAAAAUACAACCUCUGCAAAAGAAGAAGCUGCAACUGCUCCUAGCGAGCCAGAACCGAAAAGAAAAAAGAUAAAGGUCCUCACACAUCGGCCGCGCUAUAUUGAACCAGCUUCGGUGCCUGAGUUUACCGGAGAAACCUCUUCGGCCACCGAAGCUGAAAAACCAACCGAGCCAACCUUGCUGCCAGAAGUCGCAGAAACGGCCGAAGUGCCAACAAAGAUAGAAUUGGAACAAUCAAAGAUUUUGUUACCAGAAACGAAAGAGAAGGCCGAAGCGCCGUCCAUAGAAAAAAUGGAAGAAGUAAAAGAAGCAACUGAGGGAUCAAAAACAUCAGAAGUUUUGAGUCCUGCAGCAAAUAUUGAGACAGUAAAAAACCAAAAGGUGCCAGCAGUGACUCCGAAAAGGAAGAGAAUGGUCAAUGUUCUAGAUGUUCUAGAGACAAUUAAAUCUUCAAGCACACCUCCGAAGGAGACUGUUGUCAUCCCCGAAGAAAAAACUGAAGUCUCUGAUACUAAAGCUCCAGAGCAAGAAACUGAAGCCGAAGCUGGGUCCUCAGAACCCACGAAAAUAAAAUCCCUGGAAUUUGAGGAAGAAAAAAUUACAAAGCCAACUUUUGUUGAAGAAAUCAGUGCUGCUGCCCCCGAAGCAUCCCCCAAAGUCCUUGAUUAUAUUAUUCACCAUGCUUCGGGGAAACAACUAUCAGAAAAAGAAAAACAAGAGGCCCAACUUUACGCCCAAAAACUGAAGUAUCCAAAGGGGGCAUUAAUAUUCAAUGGCAGUGGAGAAGAAGACUUUUUGUAUUGUCUCCCUGACAGCAAAGAGAUUUCUGUCUGUCGGGAGAUGAGCAAGAGCUUCGGAUUCCCAACACUGGAAGAUGGGCUCUCAGUGCUAUCGAAAAAUGAUUUGGCCGACAGCCUGGCAUAUAAUAGCUUGAAGGUGCAACAAAUGAGAUCUUUGCAUUUUUUGUUGAGACCAAAAUUUUUCGUUUGUUUAAACCUAUUGACACAAACAUAUUUUUCUUUGCAGGGCCUGAUACUUAGCAAUGCCCUCAGGGCACAGAAAGAUGCUGAAGACGAAGGGUGUACUAUAGCCCUGAGCAACCUUCGUUCCGAAGUAAUUGAACUGAGGAACGAAGGUCUCGAGAAAGAUAAAAUAUUACACUCAUUGAUAAAUAAAAUAAAGGAAGACGAAGCUGCUUUCAAAGGUCAGGCUGAAGCUCAUAAACGCGAACUUGAAGAUCUUCGGAAACAACUGGCCAGAGCCAAGGAAGAACGUAUACUUGAAGAAACAAAGCGAGAACUCAGCGACCAAUGGGCAGAUCACUUAGAAGGAACUGUUGAAGAGCUUCGGUCGUCCAAGAAGAGAUGCUAUAACAAAUCUAUAGAAUGUGUUAAGAAGUUAAAGGCUAGCUUCGCCAGGGUCGGCGCAUUCUCAAGUGAGGAAAACUUUACGAGAUGCAAUCCCGAAGGUCCCAUCGAAUGGAUCGACCACGAAGCUGAAGCCUUCGAAGAAAUUUUAAAUAGCCGUGGAGAUAUAUGUGCCUUCUCGGGUGCCCGAGGGAUUGCCACUAUUUUAGAGAAAAAAGGCUGCGAACAUGUAAGGAUUCUGGCGCAAUCCGAAGGUGCUUUGUCCUUCGAAGAUGCAAGGGAUCCAUCGGCCGAAGCUAGCAUGGUUGGUGGAAAAUUUUUCACCGAUAUCUGGGAUAAUGGUGGCCAAGAAAUGGCCCGAGAGAUUAUUCAAAGAAGCGGAAAGGGCAUUCACGAUGCUAGAGAAGUAGCUGAGGCUGCUGAGAAGAGCGCAGAACCCGAAGGUCAAUUAGGUAUUAUCUAAUAGUUUUUAUUGUGUUGUAAUUUUAGGUUUUAAGAUUCGUUUGCAAUUUGUCAUAGCAAUGUAGCCGUAUCCUGUUCUACUUCAGAUUCUGCUAAAGCCCCUUCGGACCCCCAGCCGAAAGGAGACGACGAAAUAAAAAAGAUGGCUGAAGCUAUUAUGGACGAAGUCGUCAAUCGGCUCCUAAACGAGGCUGCAGAAGUUGUUUUGAGAGAGGAUUAAGUAUUAUUGUAAAAACUUCUGAAAUGUAAUAUAUUGUAACAUUUUGUAACCCUGAAUGUAAUAUACCUGUUUUUCUUGCUUAAUUCUUUACGAUGCAUGAAACUUUACACGUACCGUUUUUGAGUCUUUGACGAAAAAACACCUUCCCUUCUUUUCAUGCUUCGUGAAGAAGAAUUUUUCAACAAUAUCCAGUGUUCUGAUGAAUAAUAUCCAGGCUUCGUGAAAAUAUUUUCCGAAGCUACACCUCCGAAGAUCAAUAAUGUAUCUCCUUGUGAUAUUAUGAUUUUUCCCUUUUUUCAAAACGUUCUUCUGUAGAUUAAUAUUGUGUCCAACUCUUGUGCCAUAUGCAACAUGAUGUAUGAUGCUUAUGCUAUGCGAAAUGAUGCGAUGAUGUUAUGUUAUGUGAGGCGAUGCUUAUUCCGAAGAUGCACACGCAUCCCUGCAAUAAAACAUAUAAUCUUUUACAAGCCUCCCUUAGGAGCUUCUUCGCCUUUUACUUCAGCGGAAUCAGCGUUUAUUUUUCGCUGUAAGCCUCCCUUAGGAGCUUCUUCGCCUUUUACUUUCAGCGGUAUUCGCGUUGACUUUUCGCGCUUCGCCUUUUACUUAGGCGGUAUCAGCGUUGACUUUUCGCUGUAUGCUCUGCAUUCCCUUUGGAACGACUUUGGAGCAGAAAACUUACACUGCGCCCCCUCUGGAGCGGCUUUUUGUGACUUCGGCAAACUUACUCUGCGUUCCUUAGAACGACUUUUUGUUACUUCGAAGAAUUUUCGAUGUUCGAAUGUCCUCUUUGUUGUCACAAGUCUUUCAACAAUUUAAUCCUGUGAAGAAAAUAUAUUUUCCUUGUGGGAAUCAACGAAACUAUUUACAUGAAACCUGAACAAUGUCCUUUAUUACAGAAAAUAAAACUGAAUGAAAAAGAUUGCUAUUAAGGUAGGAUAUUUGUCAAUAGAUGUGCUUUGACUCUGGCACAGUGCUGUUGACUGUGCGAGCUUCGGACUGCUCUCUGAAUUCCCUUUGGUGUGGAGCAUAUUGGCUCCCUUCUGGCUGCUGGCCUUAUUGCAGCGGUGGUGGAGGCGGAGGUUGUUGCCAGGAAGCCUGAGGUUGACUCGCCGAAGCAACAGAAACUGCAGGGUGAUUGCCUACAUACUCUGGGAUGUAAGGCGAAUGAUACAAAGCAGUGUGCAUGACCUGCUUCGGCUGAGCCUGUUGUGCUGCCGCUUCGGCUAUUUCUUUUUGCUUUUGGAUGGUAACAUGGCACAUCCUGGUGGUAUGACCUUUGUUCUCACCACAAAAUAAGCAAAAGAUUCUUCUCGGUUGAUCGCCAAAUCUUCCUCCGAAGCCCCUGGCGCCUCUGCCUCUUGGAACUGGUGGUCGGAAGGAGCCCUGCUGUUGCCCCGAAGCCUGUGAGGAACAUUGUGGCCUUUGCUGUUGGCUCCCUCUAUCAUCAUUUUGUGUAGAGUUAUGAAUUGAUCUAACGUGCCUCGGGUAGAACCUCCCUCCGAAGCCCCUAGUCAUUUCAGAAAACCUGAAAGCCUCCUCCCUUCUUUGGCGAAAAUCAUUAUCGGCCUGAAUGUACUCGUCCAUCUUCUGGAGCAGCUUCUCCAAAGUUUGAGGGGGUUUCCUAGCGAAGUACUGAGCUGACGGUCCUGGCCGAAGCCCCUUGAUCAUGGCCUCAAUGACAAUUUCAUUGGGCACCGUUGGUGCCUGUGCCCUCAAACGCAAGAACCUUCGGACAUACGCCUGAAGGUAUUCUUCGUGAUCCUGGGUGCACUGGAACAGAGCUUGAGCAGUGACCGGCUUUGUCUGAAACCCUUGGAAGCUAGUUAACAACAAGUCCUUCAGCUUCUGCCAUGAAGUGAUCGUUCCUGGUCGAAGGGAGGAAUACCAGGUUUGAGCAACACUCCUGACAGCCAUAACGAAAGAUUUGGCCAUGACUGCAGCAUUGCCACCAUACGAAGAUACUGUUGCUUCGUAGCUCAUCAAAAACUGCUUCGGGUCUGAGUGACCAUCGAAUACGGGAAGCUGAGGCGGCUUGUAGGAUGGAGGCCAAGGUGUAGCGUGCAGCUCAGCGGACAGAGGAGAAGCAUCAUCAAAAACAAAAUUCCCGUGAUGGAAAUUGUCAUACCAGUCAUCUUCGUUGGGAAAACCCUCCUGAUGAAGGUCUUGGUGCUGAGGCCUUCGGUGUUGCUCAUCCUGGGCAAGAUGGCGAACUUCUUCAGAGGCUUCGUCUAUCUGCCUCUGCAGUUCAGCUAGCCUGGCCAUCUUUUCUUUCUUCCUCUGCACUUGUUGAUGAAGCAUCUCCAUAUCUCUGAUUUCUUGAUCUAUCUCGUCCUCUGGUGGUGUCGGGCUGACAGCCUUCCUUUUCUGGCUUUGGGCCUCCCGAAGGGAGAUUGUCUCCUGAUUGUGGUCCAGCGGUUGCAGAGCUGCAGCCCCAGUUGCUGAAGCUUUCUUCGGCGCCAUAACGAAGGUUUAUGAUCGCCGAAGGUGUUCAAAAAACUCAAAGAGUGGAAGUGAGUUCACCGGAGGUGGGCGCCAAUGUUGGGGACUCGUUCUCAAGUGCUAUGAGUUAAGAACAAGGCAACAUAGAAAAUGUUAAUCGUUAAAGUCCUUCGUCCUUCGAAGCAUUAUUUCCCUUAGGAUAUAAUGGUUUUCGGACGAAGGUUAUGAAGGGCGUACCUUCAUAAGUUCAUUAUACAGUGACGAAGGAUGAAGUGUAAGGAAUAUAAAAGAUAAUAUAAACAAUUAUAUAUGUAUUAUUAUGUAUAAACAGAAAUAUCGCUGAAUUACAAAUGUACCUUCAACUUGAAGGAGAUGAUAGUACAAACGUGACGCAAAAAGCAAAUGCCCAGUCAGCGUGACCAGUACGGGGGUACUGUUCACCUAUUUAUAGGCACGGGACACAACCCAUACAAAAUUACAUUCAUGCCCUUUACACUUGAUAAUAAUUCUAUAGUAAUCUGUCGAGGUCUAAAUAGCCUUUUCAUCUUUAAGUCGGUUUCACUUUUUGCUGCCACGCCGAAGCUUUCCUGCUCACACCUUCGACGCUGUACCAACCUUCGUAUUAUUCUGGUCUACUGUGAUGCCGACUUGGGUCCGAAGAUACCUGUUCACACAUUAUACUCCAGAAAUACUGUUAAAUCCUGUUUUUGAGGACCUUCGGAAGCCGAAGGUCCCCAACAUAAAGAGAAUUUGGUCUUCAUUUGCAUUGAUGUUGCUCUUCUUUUGUUGCUUUUUGAUGUGUUGGAAUGAAUCACCAAAAAGGGGGAGAUAGAAAGGGAAAUGUGCCCUUGGGCCAUUUCUAUAAUGUUUUGGUGAUUAAAUGCCCAACACAAGUGACUAAGUUCUUAUGGGCUAAACAAAGUGAGAGAUACAAAUCAUAUGACAAGGUAUGUUUCUAGACUUAGUGCAUUGUUUUGAAUACUAAUGUGUUUGUCUAAGUGCUAGAAAUAGUGACAAAAGAAGGAGAAAAGAAAAGGGAAAGAGUUGGUUGUGUGCAGCAAACUCCAGCUCGGCCUGGCACAUCGGACUGUCCGGUGGUGCACCGGCAGUGUCCGGUGCCCGAGGCUAGCCGACGGUGAACCAGCUGCUCUCGGAAAUCGACGUAGUUGUAUGGAUAUAAAUCACUAGACUGUUCGGUGGUGCACCGGACUGUCCGGUGAGUCAUCCGCGACGAACUCGUAGGUCUCGGGAAAUGGAAAAGGCGACGUGGCUAAAAUUCACCGGACGGUCCGGUGAGCCAACGGCGCUGGUAGCCAACGGUCGGCUGCGCAAUCUGCGGGUGACGCGUGUCUCGCUCCAACGGUCGGUUGGGCACACCGGACUGUCUGGUGUGCACCGGACAGUGUCCGGUGCGCCAACGGGCCCGGAGGAGGAACGGUCAGCUACGUCCGAUAUGGAAGGAGAUCGCGCACCGGACAUGAACAGUGGAUGUCCGGUGGUGCACCGAACUGUCCGAUGCACCACUCGACAGAAGGCCAGAAAUGCCUUCCAAAUUGAUCUCCAACGGCUCCUAGCUGACUUGGGGCUAUAAAAGGGACCCCAAGGCACAUGGAGGAGACUACCAAGAAUUCUCUAAGCAUACUAAGACAUUCAGACUCCGCUCCCACACAUUUGAUUCGCUGUGUUGGUGAUUUGAGCUCCAUUCGAGUUGUGAACUCCCCGUGUUGUCCUUUGAGCUCAAGUCUUCACUUGUGUGCGUGGUUGUGCUGCGUAUUUGAGUCUUGUGUGUGUUGCUCUCCUCCCUUACUUCUGUGUUUCUCUUGUGAUCAUCAUUGUAAGGGCGAGAGGCUCCAAAUUGUGGAGAUUCCUCGCAAACGGGAGAAAGACUAUAAGGAAGAAAGCCAUGGUAUUCAAGUGGAUCAUUGGAUCGCUUGAAAGGGGUUGAGUGCAACCCUCGUCCAUUGGGACGCCACAACGUGGAAGUAGGCAAGUGUAACUUGGCCGAACCACGGGAUAAAAAUCACGUGUCUCAUGUGUUGCUUCUUGUGAUUGUUUUGUUCGCACGAGCGUGUUCCAUAGCCACUUGAUUUAACUAACACUUUAAUAAUCAAGUCUGUGGCUAUUUAGUGUUUGAUUUUACAGGAUCACCUAUUCACCCCCCUCUCUUGGUGCUCUCACCUAUUCACUAUCUUCGCAUGCGUACAGCUAGCUUUCAAAAAUGAUGCAGUCGUGCCGCGAGAAGCUAGCAGGGCGCAGAAGUCACCAUGCCCCGCUAUUACUUCGUCAAGCGCCUCAACUUCGCCUUCAAUAUGUUCGAAGGUGCAUGAUAUGUUGUCGGCCGAAGGAGUACACUUUUCAGCACUGGCUCCAACUGAGUUGAAAACCUUUUUUAACCGUUGUACGCAGCGGCUGCCGAAAUUCAGACAUAUGUCAUGAAGCUCCUUCAAAGAUUGCUUUAGCUUCGUAUUCUCGGUAGCUUCGGCUUCAUACUUCGUCUGCAAGUUUUUUCUCUCUCGUUCUAAGCUCUCUGAUUUUUGCAGGAGUUCCCUGUUUAAUCUAAUAUUCUCGGCUUGCGCUUCUGCAAGGGAACCUUCCACUGCUUGGAGUAGGAAAUCUUUCUUUUAUAGAGAAGCUUUGUAUUCUUUGAUUUUUCUCUCUAGACCCUCGAUUAUAAUUUCGUUCUUUUUAUCCUCGAGGUCCUGUUGCAUUUGCAGCGCUUUGCUCAGCAGCAUACUCUGUACAAAAUAGACCUUCAUCAGCAAAUUUCGUCGUAAAAAUGAAACAGAUGAUGAAAUUUUGCUUUGUUAUAAGAAUUUUACCUUAAAGUUGGAAUAAAACAAACUACCGACGAUAUGUUGUCGUUGGUAGCUGCUAAUAUCGGCUUCAAGCUUCGGAAAACCGACACUCUUCGAUAGAGUGCCGAUUACCAAUCCUUUCAAUGGCAUCUUUUCAAUGGCUUGCAUCACGCUACCAAUCCUUUGCUUCUUCAGCCCAUCUGCCUUCUUUGUAGCCGAAGGUUCUCCUUUCUUCUGAAAAAGCUUCGUCAGUUCCGGUCCCAGAGGACUUAGCAGCUUGAUAGGUAAAGAUUCAGUCAUUACCUUUAAUAUCUCUUCUACUUCGGUAGCAGGAGGUGUUGAAGGAGUUUCCUCUUCCACCUCAGUCACCUUCGGCUCUAGAGUUGUAGCCUUUCUCUUCUUCAAAGCCACCGCUUUCGGCUUGGGACUAGAUUUUCUCUUCUUUAAAGUUUUUUCAUCUUCCUUCACCAUUCUAGCAUCCUGCCUGCUCAGAACGCUGACAACCCUUUUCCUUUUUGCCCCUUCGGCACCUUUGUUGAGUCGCUCAUAAUCAGGGUAUUCAAAAUUUAGAGCAUCCAUUACCCGGUUCAACCUUCGUUUUGGUCGGGUGCCGAAGGCUGCAGUCAUUAAUUGAUCUUCUUUUUUGGUAUAGUUUCCCAAAAUUUCAUUGCACAUUGUCUCAAUCAUUUCCAGCCACUUUUGGCAAGGCUCCUUGAACUGUUUCUCAAAUUUAAAACGAUAAGGCAAUCGAACAAGCUCAAGUUUUUUCUUUGUUCCCUUUAGCUUCGGCAUGCUCCAUUCACUUGACAUUGGAGAUGUUCUAUUAGCCAAGUAUUCUUGAACCAGAUCUUUAGUGCUGAUUUGUUCAGCCACCACCCUGAAUUCUUAUACAGACAGUUGGCAUGCUAACCCUGGCUGCAUGUUGCACAAAGGUCUGGUCAUUCCAAAGCUUAAAGCCAAUGGGCACAUGGCCAUCGUCAUCAGUUUCCCCUUCUCUUUUCAUCGGCUUUAAUAUAAAACCAUUCACUCUUCCAGACGGUUGGCCACUUGGUGCGAUAGUUGAGGAUCCGAGCCUUCAUAUCUUUGCGAUACGCGAAACUAUAACAACCAAAAUUCUCAUGUAAACCAUCUGCUCUGGCCUUCGUUUGGUAGUGCAGCUCGUGCACUCGGCAGAAUGCUUCGGCAUCUGGGUCCAUCCCUUGGCUUCGGAGGGCCCAGAUGAAGAUACUGAGCCUAACGAUAGCGUUAGGGGUCAGCUGAUGAAGAUAAAUUUCAAUUUUUUUUAAAACUCCUCCUAUCAUCUCGUUUAGAGGAAACCGUAAUCCUGCUCUGAAGAAACUUUUGAAAACCACUACUUCAUCAUCCUUCGGUGUUGGAGUGGUUUCUUCUCCGGCAAAACGAACAAGCUUCCUCUCAGCUUCUCCAAAGUAGCCUAGUUUCAUCAUCAUGGGCACGUCGGCUUCAGACACAGUAGAUUUCUCAAAAUCUAGGUGGCUGGGUUUUGAUGGGAUCAAAAUGCUAUAAUCUUCCUCUUCUUCAUCAGCAUUUUCUUCCUCAAUAUCAACCUGUUCAGCUUCGGCAGCAGGUGUAUCUUCGUCAAUGGUUCCCUCUGUCACAACUAAACCCGACUGUCUAAUGACUUCGAAAAUCGGAGCUGUCUCGGUGGCCUCGGUCUCCUCUCCUUCACGAGUCACCCUUGCAGUCAAGCGUACUCUAGCCAACAGAUGGAUUUUUUUGCGGUUUUUACGAAGUUGAUGUCUUUCGCAGUUUUGACGAAGUUCUAUUUUUUAACGAAGCUAACUCAAAAUGAUGGUCCGCUCGAGAGUGCAGCGAAAAAGCUUCGGCUAUGGUUAAUUUUUUUAACAGCACAAUAGUGCAAUGACAAUGAAUGUCGUGGUAACUCCACACCUACCCGUCUGUUUAUAUAGUGCUGCAGGUGGGAAGGUGAACCGCCAAGUCGCCCACACCCGCUGAAUGGUGGGCCACUCGGUGUCUGGAAGGUGAAUCGACAGAUCGCUCGUACCCACUGAGCGCUAGGCUAUCUGACGCUUGGAAUAUUUUAAUCGUUUCUCGACAACGAGCUCAGGGAAGGUGUUUUUCGGACCUUCGGCAUUCCGAAGCCUUUGAGAUUUUUUCACGGGUCAUGCUCAUUACGAAAAACGAUCUAGCACCGUGAAGGGGCUACUAUUAGGGACAUGCUUUUUCACCGAAGGUCCUCCAAGCAAAAACACCUUCGGCAGUAUGAUAUGCGAACUGACACAGCAUGAAGGCACAAGCCGAAGCUACAACCCAUAAAGCUUCGGCAUAAUGACGCGCCUUGAGACGAAGGGCGGCACCGACUUAAAGAGGAAAAGACCGUUUAGUCCCUAAUAGUUUGUGUCGCAUUUGUAAUUUGUCAUCAAGGACAUAAAUGUAAUUUCGACCGGGCUGCGUCCCGCGCCUAUAAAUUGGUGAACAGUAACCCUGUACUGUUCACGCUGACUUGUAUUCACUCGCACGUCACACCUUGAUUUUUACCUUCUAUCAAGCCGAAGGUACAAAUAUAACUGGAUAUUGUUCAUGCUUAUUCAUGAUAGUAUAAUAAAAAUGUUCUGAUGAUGUCAUAUGACUAUUCAUGUUAUUUUACAUGUUUCAUAUGAUUCUACUUUCAUUAUUAUAUGCCGAAAUGAUGAAUGUAUGUCCUUCAUGACCUUCGUAUGAAGAUCAUUAUAUCCUAAAGGAAAUAAUGCUUCGAAAGACGAAGGUCUUUAACCAUUAACAUUUUGUGUUGCCUUGUUCUUAAUUCAUAGCAUUUGAGAACAAGUCCCCAACAAUAACCAUCUUCUAUUCCGGGUUUCUCGCUAGCCAAAUAUAGAAAACGUGAAUGACUCUCUAGAGCGCAAACAAGAUAUAGAAAAUGCGAGUUAUUACUCGGUACUCAGGGACGGAUCUAGCGUUGGGGCUGGUGGGGCUCAAAUCCCACUACCGCUCCUGAGCAUAUGGAGCUCCACCAAAAACCCUCCUAAAAUUUAAAAUAUAUAUAAGGGGUGUUUGAAUGUACUAGAGAUAAUAGUUAGUGGCUAAAAUUAGCUGGAGACAUCCAAACUCCCUAGCUAAUAUUUCAACUAUUAGCUAUUUUUAGUAAAUUAGUUAAUAAUUAGCUAGAUAUUUGUUAGCUAGCUAAUUUCACUAGCAAAUUUUUAGUCAACUAACUAUUAGCUCUAGUACAUUUAAACACCCCCAUAGUAUAAUCUUAUUACGUAUUUUAUGGUUUUAUCAUGUAUCGAUGUUUUAAUAUAAUGCUACUUCAAACCAUUACAUAUGUCUAUUAUAAGUGCUUUAUCAAUAAGAUUAUAUCAGUUUAGUUUAGUCCCUCCUAAAAAAUUUUCCUAUUGUACCGAUCAUUGGCAUGGUGAACCAGAUGCUUGGUACCCACCGAUCGAGAUGGUCAUAGCGCCAGUCAGCUCUACCGCUUAGUUGGCUGGCUGUCAACUGGCCAAUCGAAGCAUACCACCUACGUUGGAGCCUGCGCAGUCGGUACGUGUUAGGGUCGCGACUAAAACCGACCGGACAUGGUCGAUACUGUCCACAUGUUUGCACAUGUGUAAGCAUAUGAUUGGCCAUUCAAUUUCAAACGUUUGAAUUUGAAACAAAAUUCCAAAAAAAUAAAAACAAAUCAAAGCAGCCCUUUUCCCUCCUCUCCAACCCGUAUGCCCGCAAGCAGCCAUGCAAAUGGUAACAUCAUGCAUACACAUAUUCAAUUCUUCCGCUCAUGCCCUCCGCCACGGUGCCCUAAGUUAAAAAAAUUGUUGAAAAACCAUUAUGCAAAUUCAAAUGACAAAAUAACCAUCUUAACAUGUUGUGAUCAAUCUGAACUGCUAAUGCAAGCGCACACCUAGGGGUGAAAACGGAAACAAUAAUUUUCGGAUACUGGGAAUCGUUUUUGAAUUUUUACCUAAAUUUAGGUCUAAACAGAAACGAAAACGGUUACCGGAAAUACAAAAACAGAAUUGAUAGAAAAAAUCGGAAUCGAAAACAGAAAUGGUUUGGGUCUCUUCCGACCAUUUCCGAAAAUUACCGUUUUUAUUCGGUAUUUUACCGUCGGAAAUAAAUUCGGCAUUUUUCAGAAAAAAUAUUAAAUUUGAACUGAUCUUUGUAAAUUCGUAAUAAAUUUAUCUUAGCUUAGAAAAAUAUGAAACUAAUUUUAUUAUUUUUCUAAAAUUAAGAUCUAUCUAAUGGUAUAUAGUUUAGAAUCAUUUGAAACUUUUAUAAAUCUUAUUUAUGUUUUCUUACCUGUUAUUACUAUUAAUACAUAUAUUUAUAAUUUACACGAGAACUUAAGAAGGACUAAGAGGAUACUAAUUAUAUUGACUAUGCCAAGUAGUAAAAGUACAAAUAUAAUGUAAGUGCCAUAUCAUUAUACACAUCUUAAUUCUACUUUAUUUAAAUACAAAAUAAUAAUUUUAUUAUUGUAUGACUUCUUACUUUAUAUAUUUAUUGUGACCUCCUACCUUAUAUACUAUUACUAAUUUUAUAUGAAUGUAUGACUUGCGUGAUCGAAUUUUAGAUACAUGUUAAUUGAGGAUACAUGUUACAGUUUUUACUGAUCUAAUUUUAGAUUCCGAUCGUAACCGGUGUAAUUUUCGUACCGAACUUUCGUUUUCGAUGUUUCCGAAUUAUCGAUGUCGUUUUCGUUUUCGGAGUAUCCGAGGAAAAAUAUGAAACAAAAAUGGUUUUAGUGUUUACCGAUCGUUUCUGACCGUUUUCACACCUACACAUACCGAAUUAGACAUGUGAAAUAGACAAGCAAUGGUCUAUUUGUAAAUGGGAGAAAUAUGUAUUGGAAACCACUUGCUGGUCGAAAACAUGAAAACUAGUUUUAAAAAGAACACUUUUGUAACUUGAAAUCUUCUGGAACUUGAUACAUAUGCAGUUCAUCCAUACAUAAACUCACAUAAAAAGUUGAGAUGCAAAGUCAUCUGAAAAUAACAAAAUUUGUGUGCAUAUAUAAUAGAAGACAAAAAUACAGAAAUUGUCUUGUAGUGCACAUACAAGUGAAGUUUAUGAUUUUUAUAUGAAUCUUUUAAUAUUGAGUUUAUAUUCUAACAUUUGUAUGUAAGUACAUAUGUAGAUGACACAUAUGUGUCAAUUUUCAAAAAAAAAAGUUAAGUUACAAUAGUAUAUUUUAAACUAGUUUCCAUAUUUUCACAUAAGAGGUGGUUUUCAAUGUAUAUUUUAAAGUCUAUUUGACCCUUCAAACUAUUGUUAAUUGUUUACCUCACCCUUACACAUGUAAAACAAGGUAUUGUCUCCCUUAAACUAUUGAAAAUCAUCUACAUAAUCCUCUAAGGAGGUUUAGAAACUGGUUUUAUUGAUGUGACAUGUUAAAAUGUCUAAUUCCCUCAACUAUAACCCCUAGUCUUAUAGAUCCGUUUAGUUACCAUAUUCGGCCAAACUAGACUAAGAUUCCAUGCUUGCAUCCAAUACAAGCCUAUCAACCGCCUCACUCUCUCUACUCUUUUUGAGUUUCCACCACUGCCAAAUGAGCACCACCCUAUUUCCUUCUCCGCUCAUGGAAAUCCUCGACAACAUUGAACUCAUGCAUUGCACUUGUGCCCUUGUCAUUUGGUCCCUUCUUGUCUGCUCUUGUUUUCUUCUCACAUUGCUACGUAAAAAUUUGAAGGAUGAUCAGGUAAAAGAUAUGGGAGGGGUUGGAUGACAAGGGUACAAGCAUGCAUGGUGCUUGAGCUCAAUGUCAUCAAGUGUUGGGUGAUGGUCUAGGAGAUGAGAAGUUGCAUCCUGUUUAUUGGGUGGUGGAUUAGCAUAGAAAGACUAAAGAGGUGCAUGCUACAAAUGGGCCUAUAAGAAAAUAUGUGUACUUAGGCUAGCCUAGUAUGACACAAUGUCUAAACACCCUAGAAGACCAUGCAGGAGAUCACAUUAUUAGAUACUCUAAAAACUGUAAUAUUAGAUUUUAUAGUUGAUGGGGUUAUUGUCGUUGCGGAAACCUUCUAGGGACCGCCUUUGCAGACAAGGAGUCGGGAGGUGCGCUGCUGCUGCCUUUGUCCCUACAGAACGUGACUCUGUGUACAUGGCUGCUCUACAGACGCACAACAAUCAGUUAAACAUUAAAGCCAGAUCGUGUGGAUCAUCCUGUGCUGGUUGCACCGAUCGGCUCCUUGAGCCAAUUUUUGUUUCUUUUAUGGGUCGACUAUUAUCAUAAUAAUAAAUGUGAUCAUGCAUUGGAAGUGGUCGACAAAGAAUAUAAAUCUAUCUAAAGCAUGCAUGAGCCGAUUGUUUACUCUAGAGCAAUGUAAGUGCAUGUCCAAGAAGAGUGGCAUGCCAAAGGGCAACCAUUAUUAACUACAUUGUUAACCAAAUCUAGGGCCAUAUGAACAGUAAACCAUCUAUAGAAACAUUAGCUACUGAGAACUGUUGACCACACAUGUGAACAUGGAUCAUGACCUUGAAGGAAGUCCAACCAAAGUAAACAAUGAGGCUAAGCAUGUAAAAUAGGAUGGCAGAUAUGUAUUGGACUUUCAAGUUGCUGCGUUCACAUGUGCAACUUGUAAGUCGUAGAAUGUGGCAACUGGUCAAUGAAUACUCAUGCGGCAAUGUAAAAUCAAUCUAAUAGCAUGAAUCAUAAAGACAAAUAUAGAUUGAAACUACAAAUGUAACUAGCGGAUAUUUCUAACAACAACGCUUAGUACAAUAUCUAUCAGGGUAAGGUGGUGACACCAUGCCACCUUGACACGAUCAAGACCACAUCAGGGCAACAUGGCGUUACCUUGUAAAACUCUUGGGAAGGGGUGGCGAUGCACCGAGAGGAUGAGAGUCACUUGCUGCUUGGUGAAUGAAUGACUUUCUAUUUAUUCAUGUUUGUAUCAGUUUUAAUAUAUAGCCUUGUGGGCCUGAAGUGAUAAACACUUCCUAACUUACAUUACCAUCUAAUCUGUUACUUAUUUUUGAUAUAAUGGUAUAUUUCUAUAUCACACACUUAUUUUUUCUUGUGAUCAGAUACUUCUUUUGUGGAGCCAUUCGGUCAGAACAAUAUCCUAGACCCAGCUAGGAUUAGGUGCCAACACAUGCCCCCUAUUUUUGGUAGAAUCUUUUAUGUCGAAACUAAAUCUUCGCCUUGUGGAAGAUUAACACCUCUGUUAGCAGUCAAGUCAUGUCAACUGACUCUUCAUCACACAAAUCUACCUCAGGUUUUGGUCCGACACUUCCACUUCAAGUUGUUUGCCUCCUUAUACUAGUAUUAGUAUGCACAUGAACUCCUCUCCAAAUAGCAUGAACCUAUCGUAAGCAAUGACACCGCUUCUCCCACCUAGAACAACGACUCUUCCUACUUCUCUUGGCCAUCUGAUCCUCCCAUCACCCCUAUGAGUCUCCUCUUCCUUCUCCACCCUCGCUUUAUUUAGUCGAGGAGGAUUGUGACUUCCACUAAGACAUUGAUCCCUUCUCGAUUGAUUAUGCCUCAAUGAUCGUCGAUGAGUCCGAUGCAUAUUCGUUGUUUGUUGUGUGAGUUGCUCGCCUCCUGCAUGCCUCUUUGUACCCUCCACCUUGGAAGAUGAUUGGGACUAUGAUGAGGCAUACAUCGACUCCACUGAGGAGGAAGUCUUCGUUGAGGAGAUCGGAGGAGUUGGUAGAGAUGUGGCUGCGCAAUAGCAGCUCCACCAAUGAGGAGCCUAAGGAGGACCUCAACUAAGAUUUCAGCGACGAUCCUAGUGUGGAGAGCUUCACUGACGCUGUUGCCACCAAUGAAAGUGGUGACAAGGAGGAACUAGAGCGUAAGCGUAAGAGGUUGAUUAGAUACCUCUGCCUUUUAUAGAUAAGAUUUCUUUGAUAGGGUCCCCUUGUAGUCCUGCUCCUUCUCGAUGAAAUAAAUAAAACUUUCUGUCAACCUGAUCUAUUUGUGCUUCCCUUUGCUUGAUAUAUUUUGGCCAAUCUAUCUGUGAUGUUCAUGUUACCUUUUCUUGAUGCAUUUGAAUGACCUCCUCCUCAUUCCCAUUAUUAUUAGAAUGUUUCGGUAGCGUCCUAUUAGCCCAUAAAACCCCCAUCUUCGUCAUCUCUUCCUAUGGCGACGGUACUCUUAGCUGACUGUCAUUGGGGCUCACGAACGACAUCAACAAGUUUUCCUUGAACGACGUGUUGACUUAUGAUACCCUCCGAGCAGCUAAUGACACUUCAAUGUGUCUAUAGUCUUCUAGUCGUUCAUCGACUUUACCAUUUUUAUCAUUAUUUUUUAUCUAAAGGCGAUGGCAAUGCAUUGACUAUCCGACCUUUUACUUUUUUAGAUGAUAACAACAUAUCAACUUUUGGCUAUCAACAACAUUUCUUCAAAUAUUUGCCAUUGAUAUUCCUGCUAAACUAGAUGCCUUCUAAUGUUUCCAUCCGAUAUGAGUUACUUGGGACAGUUUCUUUGAUACGAUGUGGACACUUUCCAUAAAUCGGAUCCUUAGUCCCAACUAGCAAAAUCAAUUCCUAAAUGAGGUCGCUAGUGUGAAAUUAUUUGGGCCUAACCUUUUUCUUGUAUGCCCAAGCCGCUUUAGCUUUAUUUUCCUUGUUUUUUCUAAUGACCACAGUCUCAAUUCUAUUAGGUCCUCAGUAUUGAUAUUCAUCAUUAUUGCAUACUCACCAACCUAUAAAUCAUUCCAAAAUGUUACCAUUCUUGAUCCGUGCUGAUUUCCCAUGGAAUUAUGGCCUCUGAACCAUAAACUAGCUGGUAGGUCAAGUUCUUGGUUGCCUCAUGACAAGACAUCAUGUAAGCCCAUAAUGCUUCUACCAACUUGUCAUGCCAUUAUUUCAGGUAGUCAUUGAUCUUACGCUUGAUCAACUUGGUUAAGUUUUUAUUUGAUGCCUCGGUCUUUCCAUUGGCCUGAGCAUAAUAUGGUGAUGACUAACCAAGAUGACUCCAAAUUAUUUAGCAAACUUUCCAAAUUCUUCUGAUAUGAACACUAUCUGUUGAGGCCACAGACCCAUGUGCCUAAUUGGUAGAACAAGCGGUAUGCCCCAUACCUGUGGUGUGUUGGGUUUCUAAACCUAGCCUAAGUAGUGACCUCUGGGUUACUUGACCUUGACCUAGCACUACACACCACUGGCAUGGACCAAAGGUAGCCGAAGACCCACUCGUUUCACCUUACUUAUGCUGAGAUAAUGAUCACAAUAUAUGAUGUUGCCUAUAACACCCCUGGUGUUAUUAUCACUAAAACUUGAGCAUAACAUCAUGAAAAUUAGCAUAUCAUGUGUUUGUCACACCUAGAGUGCAUUCAUUAGGUAAAAAGUUCAAAAUUGUUGGACUGAUAUGACUUGAUGUGUGGUGAAACCCUAGGGUAGGGUACUUAACCCUAAACUAGGCUUAUGAGGGACAAUGAAGCACAAACAAGUUAAAAUCUCAAAACUUAUUAGAAAUGAACAUAAGAUGUCACAUUUAAUGAACUUUGAUAGCACCAAAACCCUAAAUAGGUCAAAACCCUAAAAAGACCCCUAGAAAACCCUAAAUUGAAGCCCUAGGGGGCUAAGUGUAAAAUUUGUACCUUUUGGACUCAAGUGCAAAAACCAAGGUAAUAGGGCACCUCAAAUCAUAUAGUUCACACCCUUGUGGAUUUUCAAAUCAAAUUGUGGAAAUUGGACCUAUUUGCAAAAAGGUACCCUAGGAAUCAUAUGUGGCUAAGUCUGAAAACCAGUGCAUAGAGCCAACUUUGGAAACCUGUAUCUGUCAGUUUAUGAGGAAUUUGCCCUAAAUCAACACAUCAAAAGUCUAGAGCUACUAUAGGAGCACAACUUUGCUUAAGUGAUUAAGCAUUAUUGACAUACAAAAAUUGGAGAUAACUAGCCCUGAAGUCUGGCUGUCAGACCACCCUAAGACUGAAUACUGACUGGCAGUUAGUUCUGAGGAACUUUGGGCUCGAUUCUUGCUCAAGGGGAUAAUCAAAGGAGCAUAGAUUGUAGUUGGUAUAUAGAGCUACAAGUUUGUUACAGAUGGAUUAGCAAGUUCUCAUACAAAAAUCCAAGAUCUGGGCACUGCAAUUCUGGUUAUCACGCGUUCUGAAUAAGGAAUCCGAUGGUACAGUGCUAUACAAAUAUCCCAGGUUCAGAGAACCUCACCGCUGGUGAGCCAUGCGUCCGGAUUCACGCCAGCCGCUGUGAUUCGUGCCCAUCGCAAGUGGAUAACAGAGAGGAGUAAAAAUCUUGACGCUCGAAUUAGCUCGGGCUUGCUCACCGUUGUGCCUGCCGUACCCACUUGGACCACGGCUGGCCGGGAUCGUCCUCGCUGGCAUUAGCCACUUAACGAUCGUGCGCCACACGUCUUGGAAGUCUAGCACGUCACAAUGAAUCGGUGUUACAAGCCUAUCCAUCGCCUGAGAACUGGCCACGGUGAAAGCCACAAAUUCAUUGCGCCAGUAACCUCCCCUCUCCCCGGUCGCCAACGCUUCACCUCCAAAUUAAGUGCCACCGCCAUUGAGUGAUAUAAACUGAAGCCUCAGGGAGCUCCGCUAGGAAAUUACGCGUCCAACGCACCAGCACUUGCCUCCAAUUGUCCACCAGAGCCGCCCAAUUGCCCAUUUCCCCCAAAUUGGUCUAAAUACCACCGCGUGAGCACCUCGCCGUGGCCAGCGUGCUACAGGUCCAUUCAUGUCCUCUGCUCUCUUGUUGCAGUACCCUUAUGUGCCCCUGAUGCUUCUCGACCCGACCGACUAAGCUAGAACCCAUUAGAUUACCAAGAACACUUUGAAUUGUCCCCGGAUUGCGCGGUCACCGUGAGCAGAGAAGUUGGGAGCUCGAACCGUGCAAUUGAUCGAGGGGAAAUGAUUGUUAGAUGUUGAAUUAGGUAUCAACCAAGUUAGAGAACCGGCCAUUGCGUGACUUGGCCAGUACAGGCUCGCCAGAGCUCGGUUUGCCGUCGUUCUGCAUCGUGGACUUGGCGCAGUGAAGAAAUAGAAAUAUAGGGGGGUUUUGUGAGUUGUCAGUGACUCAGUGAUUAGUACGUUAGACUCUUUUCAAGUUGUUUAAAAUUCCAGGGGCCUUUGCGCAAAGUUAUCAGCACGGGCGCGCGCGGGGCAUUUUGCCUAUCAUGGGCUGUCUUGGGCCAGAAUGAGCCCAAUACUGUUGACCCUUCAUCUUUUUCUUUUUCUGCCAGGAUUAGAGAAUUCUUAGAAAAUUGUAGAAAAAUGCUAAAAAUACAAUACCAAUUUUGUUAGACUCCUAAAUUUCUAUAUUAUUUAAUAAAAAUGGUUUCAGGAUUUUUAGUCCAAACCAGGAAUUAUGAAGUAUAAAAAUAGCUAAAACCUAUACUCCUAGAAUUUUAGAAAUUACUUAGUAGCUCCGAAAAUCACCAAACUUUUUGGAUAAGCCUAAAAUGGUAUUUAGAAACCUUGGGUGAAGUUUGACUUGAUUUGGACAAUGUUUGAUACCUAAACCCCAAAACCCUAACCUUCUAAGUAGUGCCUGCCCUAUGGAAUAAAAUGCUGACUCCAAAACCCUAGUUUCCUAGAGUACCGUGAAGGAAAAUUGUAUUCAAGGCCUAAUAUGAUGUACCUUUAUUAUCUUUGCAUUUCCAUAAGCAUUACAUGAGCAUUCAUGGUUAUAUAUAUAUAGAACGAAGAAGUAGUGGUUGAAGAAGGAGUUGCACCACCACCACCUGAAGACCCACAUGCUGGGAACUGCUUUUACUUCGAUAUUUACGGAGCAGAGCCCGACUCUCCUAUAACACAAGGCAAGCCCCGGUGCAUUUGCCACCUCCUUGCUAUUUUAAAAUCUUUCUCACUUGCUUGAUGCAUUAAGUGAUAGGAGUUGUGUGCUAAACAAAUUGAUGCAUUUCCUUCCUUGGAAGUUUGAUUACCUUUCCUUGAUCACCUGUUUUAUGAAAGGAUUUUUCUUAUGCUUAGUAUUGCUCUAGAAAAACAAAAUGUUUUGUUUUAACAUAAUAUGAUGCUUCAAGUGGGAUGGGAUAUUUUCAAAAAUAAAACUUGAUGGUGGAUCCAUCAUGGCCAUGAUGGGUUCAACGUUGUCACACCCGGUUUUGGAAGGUAAACCGAAUGCGAACCAUGUACGUGCCAGGAUCAGAAAUUCACGUACACAGCGAUUACAUAAAUGACUCAUCAUAGCACAAUGCUUCGAAUAACAAUAAAAAGUAAUUAAUAAUAUUAAAGACCAGAGUCAUUUACAUAAUAUAAAUCAAAGUGCACAUAAUAGAAACGUAGCCAAUGUAAAUUAACCCACCACAGGCAGCUGACUGGGGGAGGUCGCUAGCCUAAUCCUCGAACUCGUCAUAGUCCUGGAACUCCUGGAGAUCCGCCUCGACGCCUUCUUCUUUACCUGAGCAUAGAUUGCACCAAAGGCAACCUGGUGUUUUGUGAAAGCAAGGGUGAGUACACAUCAACGUACUCAGCAAAUGUCCCGUUUGGCUGAAGUGGACUAGCUUUUAUGUGGGGUUAGGCUCAAGAAGUUGCUUUUAGUUGGUCAGAUAUUUAUUGUUAGUAGAAGCCAGAUUUUAUCAUAAAACCCAAGUUAUAAUCCCAAAAAGUACCUCCUCAGAGAGGAAAUACUAGAAUACAUAAUUAAAGUCACCAUCAUUAACCAUCAUCAUUAAAGUCAUCAUCUGAGGUGUAUCCGGAGUAUCUCUAAUCAAAGAGGAUCCCAAGGCCGCUCUUAACCGUGAGCACGACUGAUAUAUCAGUUUCGAUACCCUCUGCAGAGGUCGCACACUUUACCCAUGAGCCAUGAUUCCCGUUUUGCCCGGGGAUCAUGACUCCCCAUUGAUCACUUCCUAGGUGGUCCGGCAGGGUAUCACUACGUAGCCUUUACAAAGAUUCCCUAGAGGUCAUAGCCGCCCGUUAGGUUUCUCCAGUUUGAUAAACACAGUACCUCUUCCCGCAGGAGGGUGACUAACAAAAGCAAAACGAAAGAACCUCGGCACCCAACCUCGGCAGAGCAAGCACUGUGCCUGGACCCCAUUGACGGCACGACGGCGAAGCAACUACACCUCUAGUUCCUCUAAUUAAUUAGCUAAGGGCGUCCCAUUUCGCCCUCAUGGUUGCACUGUUAUCCCGGGUGGUCUCUCAACGAACAGGUCCUUACGAAGAGGUACUCGGGAAACAGCCCGAGCCCCCUAAAGUAUCACAAGAACAUCAUCGGGAUAACAUCAUAGUAUCAUAAGUAUUCACAUCAUGUUCAUUGAUUAAAGUAAAGCAAUAGCGUAAUGCUAACCAUGAUAACCAAAAAGAUAAACAAGGAUAAGGUAAAUAGAAAGCUAGUCAAUCCUUAGGUCUCAAUUAAGUAAUGCGGGACAGUGCAUUAAAAGUGAAUGGGAAAUAAUGGGUCAGAGGACACUUGCCUUCACCAAACAGAUGCUCAGGGUAUUCAAUCUCGUAGAACUCGAAGAGUUUUGAUCUCUUGGUCACCAACGCUUGAUCAUCGAUUCCUGGAAGCUUGGAGAUGGAUCGCAUUCUAAUCGCAACGCGAAGCGAAGACGAACAGACACAAGCAAGCAAACACAUACAUAUGCAUAAGAACAUUACACCAUACAAGAUAAAACAUCAUAAAAACGAGUAAUAUAAAGUAGAGAACGCUUCUCCGGUUACGUGACAAAAAGAAACGCGACGGUCGAGGCUACAGUCGAGGAGUUAUCGUGUUUACGUUAAACAAAUGUUAAAAAUAACAUUUAAUUCGACAUUAACAAACAUAAAUGUUAUAUAUCAGUUAGUUCGAUUAAUCUGCUACACUAACAAAUGUCAGUUAAUUAAAUAAUUUAAUUAAAACAAGAGAUCCUAAGUGAGAUGGAUUUAUGACGCGUGAAACAACACGAUAGCAUGCAAACGACGCGCGGACACGCGCGACAUAGCACACUAACGACACACGAAAAUAGCGUGCGCGACGAGCGCGAAUGCGCACGAACCCGCACGCGACCACGAGCGCAUCACACACGAACAACGCGCAGACAGCAUGUGAACGACGCGCGAAGCAGCACACAAUCGUGUGCUGAACAGCACGCACGAUAUACGAGGAAAGCUAAAUCGGUGACGGGUUUAUACUAAACAAGUGUUAGUUAAAUAAAAAAUGAGUUAAGCUAAUAUUACCCCGGUUAAUGUUUAUUAUAAAAGCGCGAGAUAAACACUACACAUUUAAUCUAAUUGAAAUGUUAGUCUAAUAAAUAUCAGUUGAGCGAACCUUAAGUUAAUUUCUAAGAUGUAUGACUUAACGAAUUAAUGUCACUAACAUGAAUAUUCAUAAGUGGCAAACUAUUUAUUAUCACACGCAGACGUCGUGCGACACACACAAAACAACACGCACGAGCCAACGCGACUACGCGCGUGAACGGCUUGCUGACGCGCAAACGAUGCCGCGCGCGAACAACAACAACAAAUAAUUAAAUAAAAUUAUUUAGGUUGGUAUUAAUCAAGUUAAUUAACAAUUAUAUUGAUAAAGGCACGAAUUAAAGCUAAAGUCUCAUUCUAAUUAAAUCGUUAUUUUAGAUAACCGGCAACUAAACCAGAAUUGACUAAAUAACGCGAGCAAUCAUAAUGGAAACAAUUAAAUAAUGCGCGGAUAGCGCGCGAGACACACGUGAGCAGCAAGAGACGACACACGCGGCAGAGGAACCGAUGCGAUCGACGCAAUGGUCGAGAGAUAUCGCAUGCAUGCUACACAGAUAUGAAUUACAAUAUUUUAACUCAACCUAGUCAUACUAACAGACAACUAUCACAUGCAAAGAUAAAAUCGACGCUUAGCUUUGAUGGGUUUGCUACUCGGUUACUCGCUGUUUAAUUACGUAAAUUAAUUAACGUGAGUGAUUCUAGGCGAAACAGUUUAUUGUCGUACGACACGGCGCAUGACCCACUAAACAAGGCCGCGGAACGGCGCACGCAACAACGCGCAUCGACACGUGUGAACGACACGCACGGUGCGCGCGAACGGCACGCGAUAAUCGCUAACAAAUAACGUGUUUAUAAUAAACAAGUAUUAAAUAAAAAGUGUUUAAGUUGAUAUUAAUGUCAUUAAUGUAUAUUUACAAAAGUGCAACCUAAACUAUAAAUUAAAUUGCUAUUUUAAUAAUCAUCAGACAAACCAUUAAUUAAUUAAUUAACUAAACCUGCGACCAAAUUAAUUAACUGAACCAUUAAUUAAUUAAUUAAUUAAGUGAAGCAUGCAAUGGCCUUUGUUGGCUUUGGUUCUGCAUGCCGUGCAUGCGGUGGGGGCGAGACCGGUUUCCAAUUGACUGAUUCCAAUCGCAAGGGAAAACGUGUGGGGGAAUGGGUAGAUCGGCAUGCAACCAUGCGGGUGAGGUCGACCUAGAGCUCUCUUUUUCUCUCUCUAUCUUCUCCAUACUGGAACAGUAAGGACGGUUAUUGCUCACCUUCUCCUCCAAAAUUCAUGGCGGCAGCAAAGCAAUAGGGAGCAGCCGACCGGACGUGGGAUGGAGGUGCGACCUGCAGAGGCCUAUGCGCGCAGGGAGCCGAGCGGGGCACAUCGGGGUGGCUCGGUGGCUCACUGAGGCGGCUGGCCAGGCCAGCCUCGGCGACAGGCGGGCAGCAACGGCACGGUGAUGCACCUGCGGGAGGCUGCAAGGUCCAGUCGCGGCCGAGCAGGGACGUGGGAGCUCGGCCCGCCGGCUGGCCGGUCUGCCGUGGCGAGCCGUGCGACCGCGCAGGGGAGGGCCUCGGACUGGGCGCUGGCUGCGGCUGGCUGGCCGCCGCGCAGGCUGGGAUGGGCGCCGCGCCGCUGCUGGCCUAGGGGCUGGCCGGCUAUGGCUGCUAGAGCGUAGUGGAGGUACAUUUAUGGGGCUGGGCAAACGAGGAAGAAGAGCCCAGGAAAGAAAGGGACGAGCGUACGACGAUGCUCCUCCUCUCCUCCGGUUGCUGCAGCGUCCGCGAAAAUUCUUCGUCUGGGAACUGACAUUUGCGAAGGAGAGAGGUAAAGAUAGGACAAUUGUGUAACUGCUCGGGAAUAUGCGGAGGGAGAGAUUAUGUAUGGGUGGAGAGGUUACGGUGGAUUUCUUCUCGUAGGAUCAUGGUAAUCUAUUUUAAAGAUUAAAUAAUCAUAUUAGAUACCAAAAUUACUUUAAUGGAUAAAAAUAUUUUAAAGAGUCCAAAAAUUUAGAAAAACUCCUAGACAUGUUUUGGAACCUAAUGAACUUAAAUAAAAUAUUUGGAGGUUAUAAAAUAUUUUUAAGCGUCUCAAAUAACUAGAUUUUGAUUUUCGGAAAAUAGGAAAACACUCAGAAAAUAUGAAAAAAAAUCCAAAAGCUUCUACAAGAUAUAUUAACAUGUUUCAAACAACUUUUGCAUACAGAAACACUAUGCAACGACAUGAAUGCGACAGUCAAAGCUUCUCUAGAGUUUCACUUCACUAAGCUUACACCUAUAUAUAACAAAAUAACUCUCCAUUAUUUAUGAAGUAGAGAAGAAAAGCAAGGAAAUGAGAGGGUAACACCUGAAUUUGGUAGAUAUUAGAAAAGAAAUUUUAUACCCCCAAAUUCAGUGUGUUACAAACGUCGGAAAAGAUGUACCUCUGUCAGGUACCAAACUUUGGGUUGAAAUGAUAAAGUUGAGACCGGGUGGGUGACUUGCACAAGAAGAGAGUCUCGGUGUAGUGUCUCCGUCUGUGUCGAUUAAGGACCGUGUCGAUGUUGGCUUGAUGAUUGAGGACCUUUUAACUGGUCACAUGCCUCAUCAUGGGUAAGCUUUGCCUCGGGCAGACUAAUACCAGAAUAAGAUAACACGCAAUGGGAGUGGAGAGAUGGCGAGAGUAGCGUGUAGCCUCCGUGGCAAGAGGCUAGACGGUGGUGUAUCUGUGCUCUUGGUUGGCGUGAACCUGAUCUAGUCUUAAGAACCCCGGUGGCGAGUUGACAUAUGCAAGAGUUAAGUGCUACAUAUGUCGUGUGAUUGGAGAUCCCCAGCUGGGUAUUAAUCGAUUCGGAUCGCCGUUACUUCUCGAACAUGAAGACUUGGUCACUGACCUACACGUAGCAUUCCAGUGAACAAGAAGGGUUAAUAAGAAGAUGGCUAGUAUAGGCCAAGUGCUUGAACUAGGGUACAAAGAACUCUAGAUUCAGGUAAUGACUUAACUUGCUAAUAAAACUGGAUUUUUAAGGAUCCACUAUUAGUAAGCAUUUUUGCAAACAGAGUCUUGAUUCUUGAUUAAGCCUUACCUUGACUCUCUCAAGCCAGCAUAUCCUUGAGAAUCUUUUAUUUUGACGGGUAAGACUUGCGAAAGUACACUUCGUACUGAGGGUUUUCGAACCCAUGUUGUUGUAGGUGAGGAAGCAGUAAACUUUUGUUGCUUUUGCUCUAAGGUGGUGCCAAAGGAAGAAUCUCAAGAAUGAAGCCUCGGGAGGAUGUUGUCCUCCUUAAAAACUUUAUACUUUUAUGCGGGAGGGGUUUUUGCCUCCCGAGUUUGUAAUAAUAAUACUUCUGCACCCAUAUAUAUUACUGGUCUGUAAUAAUAACACUCUUCUAUAUUUUAAUGUAAAUUAAGUUACUGUAAUUGCUUCCGUUAUCCGUUCCUCCGAUGUGUUGUAAUAUCUGCGUGACGGGUGAAACGCUCUUGGGAAAGGCAAAGAAUGCAGAUACCGAACUUGUCAAGCGAUCAGGUGCAUCUGCAGGAUUGUCCGAGGUCCGAUGGACAAGGACAACUGUAGGUGGGCCUAAUGACUAGGGAGGUUCCGUCACAGCUGGUACCGGAGCGAAGCCCAUCUCUUCAGAUUUUAUGAGACAUUUCAAAAAGAAUUUUCAAACACUUAUCUAAGAAAACAUCUUUCAUGCUUAUCUUACUACUUUCUGAAGUACUCAUCUUAUAAGACCAGGUAGCAGAGUGCAAUGUAUAGGAGGUUGUGAAUCAACGAAAGUUGAUUAUGUAAUUAUGCAUGCAUCAUGUUUAAAAACUAUACUAAUAAAGUUUUCCCCAUUAUGGAGAUAUGCCGCUGCGUACGAGGAAAACUGCGCGUAAGUCCACUGGACCUAUUGGCAUACCUCGGCAUCAGCUAGCUCCAUGUAACGCCCUGAAUUCGGGGGUAGAUAUUUUUCUUCUUUUUACUCACCAAAUUCAGGCGUUACUCUCUUUUCUCUUCCUGUUUCGCUCCUUCUUCACAAUUUCAAAGCAGUAUAGCGACUGGUGUCCGUAUGGCGUGUGAACAAAAACCAAAGUUGUCAUGGGUAUUGCAUCAUGCCAAGGCAUAUUUCUUGUCUGAUGUCGUGUUUAAUCGCGUGUUUUGCUUGGUCACGUUUCGCGAAUCGGAUUCCGAUCGGUGGUUGUGCGUGUCGUGGGUCUUUGCCCCGCGACGUGACCCAGCCCGACCCAACCCGGCCCAGCCAGCCCGCUCUAGCCCACGCGCCCUCGGUGCCCUGCCCCUCCCCAUGCGCCCCCCUCCCUUUCUCUCAUUUGAUUUUCCCGCGCAGCAACCUCCUCUCCUCCACCUCUCUCUCUCCCCGUGGUGCCCUAGGUUUUGGAGACGAUGAUCGCCGGAUUUGGACCCCGAGGUGAGCUCCCCUCUCCCUCUCUCUCUUCUCCUCCCCCCUCCCCUUCUUAUUCCUCCCGCGCGGCCCCCUGGCGCGUCCCGCACGGCCCCCUGACAGCCCCCAGCGCGCUCCCUGGCGGCCCUCGACGCGCUCCCGCAUGGCCCACUGGCACGCGUCCUGCGCAGCCCCCGGCGCACUCCCCUCGCGACCCCAGCGUUCGUCCCGCGCGGCCCCCGACGCACUCCCGUGCGCCCCCCAGGCGAGCUUCUGCGCGGCCCCCUGGCGCGCUCCCCGCGCAGCCCCCCGACGCGCUCCCCCCCCCCCCGCGUCCCAGCAUGCCCCUGCGUGGCCCCCCGACGGUGCUCCCUCGUGGCCUUGGCAGCGCCCCUCGCGGCCCCCUGCCCCGCCCUCCCCGCGCGCCCCCUGGCGGCGCCCCUGCGUGACCCCCUCGUGGCCCCCUGGCGGCGCUCCCACGCGUGCCCUGGCGGCCCCUCGCACACGCCCCCGAGCGGCCCCUGCUCGGCCCCUCCCCGGUGGCGCCCGCCCUGUCCCCGACACGGCUGCGCGCCCCCGGCGUGACUCACGUGUCCCCGGCGCGGCCUCGCGCAGCCCCAGUGCGUGGGGCGAUCGAUUUUAAGUUUAAUUAGUUUUGAAUUUAGUUUAAUGAAUGUGCUGCGUUGCGCGCUUCGUCGCGCGAUCAUUCGUUUUAAAUUCAUCUUUAUUAAUGAGUUGUGUCGCGCGCUUCGUCGCGCGACGAUUCGUCUUAAUUUUAGAUUUAUUUAAUGUGUGGCGUCGUGCAUCCAGUCGCGCGACGUUUCGUUUUAAAUUCAGUUUAGAUGACAUAUGCCGUCGUGCGUUUCGUCGCGCGACGCUUAAUGUGUCUUUAUAAUUAAUGCAAGUGUCUCGUUGCAUGCUCCGUCACGCGACGAGUCGUUUAUUUCUUAAUUCAAUUUAAGUGUUGUGUCGUGCACUUCGCCGCACGACAAUUCUUUUAAUUUACCUUUAUCUGUUCAUAAUAAUUAAACAUGGAACAUGACUUUACCCUAUGCUAAACACGAUGGCUAAAUUAAUACUAUUCUGUUUAAACGAGUAUUUGAUUUAUAAUCGUGUGACAUAAUCGCUCUUCGACCGUAACCUCGACCGUUACUCUCUCUUUCUCGCUUAGUCGUAGGUGUGAGCCCUGCGCCGAGUGUCUGUUUAUUUAUAACAUUCUAUUGUAUGGUGUACUAUUCUUUUUGUAUUAAAUAUGUGGAAUGUAUGUUUGAACUCGUAUAGAUAACGGUCAGUUGGUGGGGCCCGAAGGAAUUGCAGGUGAAGACCCUGAGCAGCAGCUGGUUGGUGAAGGCAAGUGUCCCUUGACCCAUCUAUGUCCUACUCAUUCUUAUAAUUCACUCCCCGCAUUUAUACAGUUUAUACCUAAGGAUUGACUAGCUUUUGUUUAUCUUGUCCUUGUUUACCUAUUUCAUUUGGGUUAUUUUGGUUUAGCUUUAUGCUAGCUAUUCACAUUAAUCAAUGAACAUGAUGAGAUUAUCUAUGAUACGCUGUUUUCCCUUUUGAUUAUGAUGAUGGUUCUAUGACAUUUAAGGGGACUCGAGCUGUUUCUCGAGUGCCUCUCCAUAAGGACUGGUUCAUUGGAUGACCGCCCGGGAAAACAGCGCAACCAUGAGGGUGGAAUGGGAUGCCCUUAGCUGAAUAAUUAGAAGAACUGGGGUGUAGUUCGCUUCGCCGUCGUGCCGUUAAUGGGGCUCGAUGUAUGCGGCUCGCUCUGCCAAGGUUGGUUCGCCCCCUUGGGGAGGAGUGUGGUGCAUUUAGGAAACCUAAUGGGUGGCUACAGCCCUAGGAAAUAUUUGUAAAGGCUACAUAGUGAAACCCUGCCUAUUCACCUUGGUAGUGUUUAAGGGUUUGAUCGGCCCGAGGCAAGAGGAAAUCACGGCUUGUGGGUAAAGUGUGCAACGUCUGCAGAGUGUUAUAAACCUGAUAUAUCAGCCAUGCUCAUGGUUAUGAGCGGCCAAGGGAGCUCCAUUGAUUAGAGAUACUUGAUCAGAGAUGGUUGGUUUAUAGGUGGUGAUGAGGAUGAUGGUUUUGGUUACGACUAUGGUAAUGGUAAGUGGUAUUCUUUCCGUUUGGAAAGGGUACUUUGGGUUAAUAACUUGGGUUAAUGCUAAAACCUGGCUUUCUGCUAGUAAUAAUAACCUGACCAACUAAAAGCAACUGCUUGACUUAACUCCACAUAAAGCUAGUCCACUACAGCCAAACGGGACAUAUUGCUGAGUAUGUUGAUGUGUACUCACCCUUGCUUUACACACCAACCCCCCAGGUUGUCUGCGUUACAACCAUUGCUCAGGUGAAGAUGAAGUCGUGGAGGAGGACUUCCAGGAGUUCCAAGAGUACGAUGAGUUCUAGGCGUGGGUUAGCGGCAACCCCCAGUCGGCUGCCUGUAUAGGCCAUGUGUAUCUACGUUUCUUUUCCGCACUUUGAUAAUUGUUAAAGACUAUGUGGAUCUCCCGGACAUCAUGAUGUAAUCAACUAUUACACCUUCUUUAUGUUAUUAUUUGAGCACUGUGUGAUGAUGUCCAGUUAUGUAAAUGUUGUGUACGUGAAUUGCUGAUCCUGGCACGUACAUGGUUCACAUUUGGUUUGCCUUCUAAAAACCGGGUGUGACACUCCAAGACAUGAAGAGAGCAGCAGCGGCAGUAACGACCCCAUCAGAGACCUAGAAGCCCAAGUGGAGCAGCUUCGGAUGGAGCUACAUCACCGAAAUAGGGUGUGGGUAGAAUAUGGUCAGCGUAUAAAUGAGUUAAGAGCUGAUGUCAGACAUCUGCAAGAUGAGCUUGCUGAACGGGAUUUGGCAAUCGAUUGGGCUGUCAACUCACGUUCAAUUGCUUGGGACCGGGAAGCCAAAGCUCGAGCCCGUGUGGAUGAGCUCAGCACGGCCCUUGACAGCUUGCAGGUGUAUUGCAAUACUUUAUAUGAGGAAGUCCAUGUACUGUAUUCGCGACUGCACCUAGACGUACCUACUGACCCUGUUGGAAUGGGAGUCGGACCCUCAGGAACAGCAGGUGAAGCACUUGGUGGCAAGCCCCUUCCUUCUAUGAACCUGGCUGACGAACGGUCCCCUACAACAGAUAGUGAAGCAACCAAAGACGAUAAAUACUAGAGUAGUAUAGUUUAGAUAUAAUACUAAUGUAAAAUAGGUAAGGAAGUCAUGUUGUACAUUUGAGUCUGUAUGAUUACAUCUUGGUAAUGUAAAAUGAUGGUAUCAGUAUGUUAUAUUUCCCAAAUGUUUCUUUGCCUCAUAUGCCAUCCAGGACUCGUGCACAUGACAGUGUUGGUACUUCCUGUGGUCGGGAAGACACGCCCAAUCCACCACCUGUACCGCCAACGUUGGCCGAGGCUAUCGCUGUCUUGGUCAAUGCGACCGCCGACAACACCCGCUUUUUGCGUGAAAUGGCGGGAAAUCAAUUUCAGCAGCAUGGCGGAAGGGUUUAUCCGCAGGGACCCCGUGAAACUUCAUACCUAGAUUUCUUGGAAACCCGUCCCCCACUCUUCGUUAAAGCCAAAGACCCUCUGGAAGCCGACGAAUGGGUACGGGUUAUUGAGUAGAAAUUUGGACUCAUCCGCUGCACUGAAACCUAGAAGUCGUUGUUCGCGGCUCAAUAGCUAAGAGGCCCUGCCAGUACAUGGUGGGGAAAUUUUGUGGCCAUUCAACCUGCCGGACAUUAGGUCACAUGAGAUGAAUUUAAAUUAGUGUUUCGUGAGCACUAUAUUCCAGAAGGAGUGCUGCACAUGAAAUAGGAGGAAUUCAUGCGACUCAAGCAAGAAGGAGAUACUGUCAUGCAGUAUCUCAACAAAUUCAAUCAUUUGUCCCAGUAUGCAAUUGAUCAGGUAAAUACUGACCUGAAAAAGAAGAAUUGCUUCAUGAGAGGCCUCAACGACCGGCUUCAAAGAAAAUGGCCACCUGCCUAGAUCUCUCCUACAACAGGGCUGUCAGCAUAGCGCUGGCAGUAGAAGCAAAGCAUAGAGGCCCAGGAAAAUCAAAGGGAUUCGGAGGUGACAGGUCCAACCAGGGGCCUAAAAAGCGACCAAGGUUGGUAAUUCGACCUUUCAAUCAAAACCGUUCUUCACCUCGUCCACCCUCCUACCCAUUUAAACAGCCUGUCUUCAUUCGCCCUGCCACUGCCCCCACUUCAACAAGUCAGCCGAGUGCCCCUGGUGCUCGUUUCCACGCCCUCCCUAGUUCCUCAACUGGCUGCUUCAAUUGUGGGAAGUCUGGACAUUUUAUCAAAGACUGCCCAUAUCUGAGGCAGAACAAAUCCAACAAUCAGCGGAACCCAGGGAGCUCAAAUCAAGGCAAGGGAAACACGACGAAUAAUUUAGCGGGCAAGAAUAUAAAGAAGAUUGGGCGAAUAUACUACACACAAGUGGCCACUACACCGGAAGGAGAGCCGGUUAUGAUGGGUACGUUUCUUGUGGCCAAUCACCCUGCAAUCAUUCUCUUUGAUUCUAGUGCUUCACAUACAUUCAUAAGCAAGAAAUUUGUGGAGAAAUAUUGCAUUCCUUGCACUAAAUCAAGGGAAGGGUUUAUUAUUUAUUCGCCUGGGGGACAAAUAUUCACUAAAGAAGUGGCUUUCCAUGUGCCUGUAACAUUGGAUGAACGGGACUUUCCCACCAACAUGAUUGUUCUGAAAGGCCAAGAUAUAGAUGUAAUUCUGGGCAUGAAUUGCUUAGCCCAGCACAAAGCUAUUCUCAACACUGAUUUGAGAACCAUCAGGUUGAGCUAUGGCCAUGAAGAGGUUCUCUUGUCCAUCCCUGUAGCUAUUCCAGCUAAACCAUGUGGCAGAGUCUAUGAAGCUAUCAUCCGCAAAUCCAAGAUAUUCCGGUAGUAUGUGAGUUUCCGGACGUCUUUCCUGAAGAUCUGCCUGGAUUACCUCCAGAAAGAGAUAUAGAGUUUGUGAUUGAACUAAAGCCUGGUACGGCUCCUAUUUCUAGAAGGUCGUACCGAAUGCCUCCAAAUGAGUUGGCAGAGCUCAAGACUCAAUUACAAGAUCUACUAGAGAAGGGAUUCAUCCGGCCUAGUUCGUCACCUUGGGGAUGUCCCACAAUCUUUGUCAAGAAGAAGGAUCAAACACUUCGGAUGUGCGUGGACUACAGACCCUUAAUGAGGUCACAAUCAAGAAUAAGUACCCUCUUCCCCAGAUUGAUAUUUUAUUUGAUCAGCUUACCGGAGCCCGGGUAUUUUCCAAAAUUGACCUCAGGUCGGGCUAUCAUCAGAUCCGUAUCCGACCCGAAGAUAUACCCAAGACUGCAUUUACUACGCGGUACGGAUUAUUCGAAUAUUUGGUUAUGUCUUUCGGAUUAACCAAUGUUCCUGCCCACUUCACAUAUCUAAUGAACUCGGUAUUUAUGCCUGAGUUGGACAAAUUUGUGGUGGUCUUCAUUGAUGAUAUCUUGAUAUAUUCCAAGAAUGAAGAUGAGCAUGCUCAACAUCUACGGAUCGUAUUAACGCGCUUAAGGGAACAUCAACUAUAUGCUAAAUUCAGCAAGUGCGCGUUUUGGCUGGAGGAAAUCCAAUUUCUGGGACAUGUAUUGUCUGGCAAGGGGAUUGUGGUUGAUCCCAGCAAGGUCAAGGAUAUUUUAGAGUGGAAACCACCAACCACUAUACAUCAAGUUUGAAUUUUCCUUGGACUGGCUAGCUAUUACCGCCGAUUUAUCCUGGAUUUCUCUAAACUUGUGAAGCCAAUCACAAGUCUAUUGAAGAACGAUACAAAAUUUAACUGGUCCUCAAGAUGCAACGAAGCCUUCGAGCAGCUGAAGGUGUUAUUGACCACUGCUCCGGUAUUAGCUCAACCGAACAUUGAAAAGCCUUUUGAUGUAUAUUGUGACACAUCGGGCAGUGGCCUCGGAUGUGUCUUAAUGCAAGAGGGCCGAGUUAUAGCAUAUGCUUCAAGACAGUUGCGUCGGCAUGAGGAACAUUAUCCAAAUCAUGACUUAGAGUUAGCUGUUGUGGUUCAUGCUGUGGGGGACAGAUAUCCCCCGGGUCCACUAGAAGGCAAGAAGGCCUCACAAAAGGCCUCAGGCCCAUUAUUUCGCAAGGCCAUCCCUUCAUGGGCCAGGGGAGGAAUGUCUGGUAGAAUGGAUCAACGUGAGAUCGGAUCGGCUCGAGCCAGUGCGACUCACUGAAUUCAAACGUUAUCCACAGCAGUGAUCCGAUUCUCCCGCGCAACGCCCUCAGACGACGGAACUGAAUGAUGAUAAGUCGGCAGGAUUAUAGGAAGAUAAGCUCAAUCGGUUCACUAUUACUUAGGCGCACGUUGUUAUCAUAUCCGCAUGUAACGCCCCACGGUCGAGUAUAUAAGGCCUAGGGGGCACCCCAUCAAACAACAACUGACUCAUUAGUCGUCUACUCAGUUCUCUAUUAUCCCUCAUACUAGAGAACUCCCCUGUAACCCACCACAUAAAAGAUCCACACCAGGAAGUAGGGUGUUACGCCUCUCUAAGCGGCCCGAACCAGUAUAAAAUUGUCCACUGUCUCUCAUGCAUCUAGCACGAACCAUCGAGCUAGAGUCGGUAACACUGUCCUACUCCAAAAAGCACCUCGAGGGGCAACCUCCAGGUGCGCGGUCGGACCCAAAACACCCACAGCUGGUGCGCCAGGUAGGGGGUGUCACUGAUCCAAGCUAGCUCAAUGGCCAUCACUUUCUAGCACAAGAUCGCUCUCCGCCCUAGAUCCGUGUUCUGCUUCGGAACCAUCUCAUUCGUGGCACACGAAGAAGGAACUCUACAUCGCAUAGCGGAUCCGCCGGAGAGAAAACCUUCCUCGAUAAUCUCCGGGAAAGUCGGAACGAAGCAAGAAAUAGCGCAACCUCCAGUGCUCCGAGCAAAGACUACCUCCUGCAAGCCAGGAGCGGAAAAUUCAUUCACCCGAAGAACCCCGUUGUCCACCUCAUCCACAGAAGAGUGGACACGGAUUACGAGGAAAAAAGAAACGAAGACCCGUCAAGCUGCCCUUCUAGUACCUCCGCCCUCAAAGGAGAACAAAAAGAAGCUUGUCAUCACAACAACUCCGUUCUACCCCGACAUCCUCUUUAUCGGGGGGAGAGUGGAAUCGUCCCCCAUCUCCAACGACGAACCAACUGUGCCUAGGGAGGAACCACCUCAGCGGGAAGCUCGUCGAUGAAGGAACCGACGCCGUAACGCCCGGCGACAUCAUGAAGCCGGAGAACGAGAUCCAGCACAGCCUGUGUCGCGAGAUGAGAUCUCAGAGGUGGGAGAAACUCCAGAUGAACGAGUCUUCAGGGAAAGGAGGAAUUCACGUCGACGUGAUCGUCGGCAAGCUCAAGAGCAGGCCGAGCAGGAGGCGAGACAACAUUGAGAGAACCCUCUCCUCGGACGAAACUUGAACCCCGACUUCGCCCGAGCCAUGAACACCCCGAGCGAGGUCGGUGGAGUGUUGGCUCGGAUAGCCGAUGGCCUCCCCCGGACUCCAGACGCUGAGGGAUAUCGGCGGCUGCUCACUCGGGCAGCUAACCAUCUUCUGCCUCUCGCUCAUCCUCCGAGUUAUCUACGACACACCAUCAAUAGUCGAUGGGACACACGGAGCUCCAUCAAUGCUUCGUGCGAACGAUGACAUGAGAACGAGAUUCGGCGCCGAGAAGAGUAUGAUCGGGAUCACGACAUCUCUACACGAAGUCAGGCCACUAGGGUUGAGUCGGCAACAGCUUCAACUGGCGGCACAACCCGGGGACGGUCGAGGUAGCACAUCGACAACUCCCCUCCCUAGGACUGACACCACAACCAUCGACAGGAAGACACGUGUGGAGUAUCGGCGCUUACUCCACGUAUCAGGGCCAUUCAGUGGCCCCCUAACUUCAAGGUCUCCAACGUUGACAAGUACGAGCCUAAGCAGGACCCAGGAGGCUGGUUGGCCGUCUAUACCACUGCUGCCCGGGCCGUUGGGACAACUAAAGAUGUGAUGACUGCGCAUUUGCCCAUCGUCCUUGGGCAAGAUGCGCUGCAAUGGCUACGACACCUGCCCCGACACUGCAUCGACGAUUGGAGCGACUUUAGUCGACGUUUUAUCGCCAACUUCUAAUCCCUCUCUGACAUGUCGGCGCAGCCAUGGGACCUCAAACCCAUCAGGCGCCGAGGGGAUGAGACUCUCCGGUCAUACCUCAAAAGAUUUCAGACCAUGAGAAAUCGAAUCCCCGAGGUUGUGGAAGCAGCGGUCAUCGAGGACUUCUACCGGGGAUCUAAUGACUCGGCCUUCGUCCGAGCCAUACUGCAAAAGGCGUCGACUACCUCCGAGCAGCUAUUCAGGGAAGCAGACCUCUACAUCACUACCGACGAACGAGAUCAGGACCUCAUCGGAGGAACGAAGCCUACACCGCCGGCACCACGACGCGACGAGAACCAACAACCCGACAAGCGUUGGGAGAAGAGGCCUCGCGAAGAGGUCCACGCCACCGGACCACCCGUCUCUCAUGCCCGAGGGACACCCCGCGGAGGCGAACGGACAUUGGACGACAUCCUCGACGCCCAAUGUCCGUACCACAAGGACAUGCGCCACACCCUCCGGAACUGCAGAGAUUUAAAGUACUCCAUCGGGAACAGCUGACCCUUCCAACCUCUGCCACCUCCCCCACCACGAGGAGGACCCGGAGAACCUCAGCAACCCUAGCAGAAGGAAGGGGGAGGAGGCGGGGCAUUCCCGCACGUCGACAGAGAAGUCAACGUCAUCUUCGGCGGACACGGGUAGCAAGAGAGCAAAAGGCAGCAGAAGCUCAACGACCGUCAGAUACUAGUGGCAGCCACCAGUCCUCCUGCCCCGUAUCGAUGGUCCGAACACCCGAUCACCUUCAGUCGGGCGGAUCAGUGGCUCAACUUCGAUCAUCCGGGGAAAUACCCACUCCUCAUCGAUCCGGUGAUCCGAGAGAGCAGGGUAAAGAAGGUGUUAGUGGACGGGGGAAGCAGCAUCAACGUCACCUUCCCCCGGACACUCCUAGGCUUGGGAGUCGCACUCAAAGAGAUCCACGAGUCAGACACUCCUUUCUUCGGCAUUGUGCCGACUGAAGGAUAAUAUCCACUUGGACAUAUCUACAUGUCGGUUACCUUCAGAACUCCGGAAAACUACAGAACCGAGUUCUUGAGGUUCGAGGUAGCAAGCUUCGACUGUGGAUACAACACCAUCAUCGGCAGGCCGGGAUUGGCGAAGUUCAUGGCCAUUCCACACUAUACAUACAUGAUAUUGAAGAUGUCGGGACCACAAGGAAUCAUCACCGUGCGUGCUGACCUCCAAGGCGCCGCAGAAUGCUUCCGAGUUGCCAUUCAGGCGGCCCUCACCACCAAAUCAUCAACGACUUCUUCCGCGCAGGCGAACUCAAAGCCUGAGGAGGACCUCACGGUACCUGCAAAUGAAGCUCAAGCCGUGACCUCUAUGCGGCCGACUGAGGAAACAAAAAGAAUCAACCUCGGGUUCGCUGAUGAAUGCAAGACCACCAUCAUCAGCUCCAGCUUGGAUGACAAAUAGGAAGGCGCGCUCAUCCAGUUUCUACAAGAUAACCGAGACAUAUUCGCAUGGCAACCUGUGGAUAUGCCGGGAGUCCCGAGAGAACUGGCCGAGCACAAACUGAAGGUCUAUCCCCAGGCGAGGCCGAUCCGACAAAAGUUGCGUCGUUUCAUGCCCGACAAGAGAGAAGCUAUUCGUGCUGAGCUAGCUCGCUUAGUCGCAGCAGGGUUCAUUAGAGAAGUACAGCAUCCUGAGUGGUUAGCAAAUCCUGUUCUUGUACUCAAAAAGAAUAAAGUGGAUUGGCGCAUGUGUGUUGACUAUACAGAUCUCAACAAACACUAUCCGAAGGAUUCCUUCGGACUUCCUAGAAUAGAUCAGGUGGUAGAUUCAACCGCCGGAUGCUCUAUACUGUCAUUCUUGGAUUGCUACUCGGGAUACCAUCAAAUUAGCUUGGCAAAAGAAGACGAGGAAAAAACAGCAUUCAUUACCCCAUUUGGAGCUUUCUGCUAUACCUCCAUGUCGUUCAGCCUCAAGAACGCUGGGGCGACUUACGAGAGAGCCAUUCAAACAUGCUUAGCCGAUCACUGGGGCAAGCGGGUAGAAGCUUAUGUUGAUGAUGUAGUAAUUAAGACAAAAAAACUCAGAAAACUUCAUUGAAGAUUUGCAGCUGGUCUUCAACAGCCUGAGGCGAUAUAGGUGGAAGCUCAAUACAGAAAAAUGUGUCUUUGUAGUGCCAGCAGGGAAAUUGCUCGGAUUCAUUGUCAGCCACCAAGGAAUUGAAGCUAACCCAGAAAAGAUCGAAGCUAUCAUGAGAAUGGAAGCACCACGGUCACAGAAGAAAGUGCAAAGGCUCACUGGAUGCAUGGCAGCUUUAAGCAGGUUCAUAUCAAGGUUAGGAGAAAAAGGCCUACCAUUCUACAAAUUGCUCAAGAAGGUGGAUAAGUUCCAAUGGACCUCAGAAGCUCAGGAAGCUCUUGAUGCACUAAAGAAGUUCCUGACCACACCACCAGUGCUAAAGCCGCCACACUGAGCCACGCCAAACCAGCCGGCAGAAGAUCUGCUGUUGUACAUCUCUUGCACGACUCACGUGGUGAGCACCGCGUUGGUAGUCGAGCGAGCAGAGGAAGGACACGCAUAUCCAGUAUAGCAUCCUGUCUACUUCAUCAGCGAAGUUCUGGGGCCAUCUAAGAAGAAGUAUCCUCAAGUUCAAAAACUGUUGUACGCAGUACUUCUAACUGCACGCAAGCUCUGUCACUACUUCGAUGACCACAAAGUCAUAGUAGUCACUGGGUUUCCAAUAUGGGAUAUUCUCCACAACAAAGAAGCCAUUGGAAGAAUAGCCAAGUGGGCCUGCGAGCUGGGAGCUCACGACAUUGAGUUUCAGCCUCGUACUGCAAUAAAGACUCAAGCACUAGUUGACUUCGUAUCAGAGUGCACCGAGCAACAAGUACCAAAUAACCCAGAGACUGCAGAAGUAUAGCGGAUGUAUUUCGAUGGCUCGCUGAAGCUGCAGGGGGCAGGCGCAGGGAUCCUCUUCAUUGCACCUGGAGGUGAACAACUCAAAUACGCUCUUCAGUUGUUAUUCUCAACAUCCAAUAAUGCAGCAGAAUAUGAAGCUUUAAUCUACGGAUUGAACAUUGCCGUAUCACUGGGCAUUAAGAGGUUGAUGGUAUACAGAGAUUCACUGGUGGUCAUAAGUCAGAUAAAUAAAGAAUGGGAUUACUCGAAUGACUCUAUGGGCAAGUACUGCACAGCCGUCCGAAAGCUGGAAGACAAAUUUGAAGGGUUGGAAUUUCAUCAUGUAGAAAGAGAUCGCAACGUGACAGCAAAUGCGUUGUCGAAACUAGGAUCCAGUCGGUCCCAGGUUCCACCUGGAGUUUUCGUCCAAGAGGUGCCACGCCAUAGCAUUUCCUCAGAUCAAGUAGAAGAGUGCAAUGUUUUAAGCCAGCCAGAGUCAGACUCUAAUGACUGGAGGGAGCCCAUCAUCAUAUAUAUAAAGAAUGAAGAGGAACCAGAUGACAAAGCCGCAGCAGAAUGCAUCGCAAGGCAGUCAGCCCACUACACCCUCAUUGGGGAUGCACUGUACAGAAGGGGCGCAACAGGAGUCCUCAUGAAGUGCAUUCCUUCGGCUACUGGGAAGCAACUGUUAGAUGAGAUCCACGCCGGACAGUGCGGGAUACACGCAGCAUCCAGGACUCUGGUUGGGAAGAUCUUUAGGUCUUGUUUCUACUGGCCGACAGCAAAGAGUGAUGCAGCCGAGUUAGUCCAGAGGUGUGAAGCUUGCCAAUUCUUAUCAAAGCAGCAGCAUUUGCCAGGACAGCAACUGCAGACCAUACCCAUAACAUGGCCAUUUGCGUGCUGGAGACUGGACAUGAUUGGACCCUUCAAGAAAGCUCAGGGAGGAUACACUCACGUGUUGGUCACCAUUAACAAAUUCACCAAAUGGUAGAAUACAAACCCAUUGCUUCUCUGACUUCAGCCAAGGCAGUGAAGUUCAUACAAGAUAUAAUAUUCAGGUUUGGGAUACCGAAUAGCAUCAUAACCGACCUGGGAUCCAAUUUCACUAGCUCUGAAUUUUUUGAUUUCUACGAACAACGAAGCAUCCAGAUCAAAUAUGCAUAAGUAGCACAUCCAAGGGCCAACGGUCAGGUAGAAAGGGCUAUUGGAAUGAUACUGGAAGCACUCAGGAAGAAUGUCUUCGACAAGAAUGAAAAGUUCGCGGGAAAAUGGAUCAGAGAGUUGUUGUAUGUAGUUUGGAGCUUAAGAACUCAACCUAGUCGAGCUCUGCAUGGAAAUACUCCUUUCUUCAUGGUCUAUGGUUCGGAGGCAGUGCUACCUGCCGACCUCAGGUUUGGGGCACCAAGGCUGGUCUUCGAAAACAUAACUAAGGCAGAGGCUACCAGAUUAGAGGAUAUUGACGUAUUGGAGGAAGAGCGAUUGAAUACAGUAAUUCAGUCAGCUAGAUACCAGCAAACCCUGAGGCGCUAUCAUGAUAAGGCUAUACGACAUCGAUCCUUUGAAGUGGGAGACUUGGUCCUUCGCCGAAUUCUAACGGGGGAAGGACGACACAAAUUGUCACCACUAUGGUAAGGGCCAUUUGUAGUAGCGGAGGUCACUCGGCCAGGAUCAUAUAGGCUCACUCAAAUGGAUGGCACGGAAAUAGGGAAUUCAUGGAAUAUAGAGCAUCUCAGGAACUUUUACCCUUAGCAAAAUUUCAAAAAGCUAUCGGGGCAGCAUUGUAUUCUAUAAUUGGAAAAUACAUCAUCAAUAAAAAGAUUUCAUUCUCAAGGACACUCGAACUGUUUAUUAUCAAUCAGCAUGCUUACUCGGUAUAGGGUGACCACUAUACCCUACUAACAGAGCAAUCGGCUUAAGUCGGCAAUGACUUAAGACGGUGCAACAUGCUCGCGCUCACUCAGCAUAGGGUGACCACUAUACCCUACUAAUAGAGCAAUCGACUUAAGUCGGCAAUGACUUAAGACGAUGCAACAUGCUCGCGCUCACUCAGCAUAGGGUGACCACUAUACCCUACUAACAAAGCAAUCGGCUUAAGUCGGCAAUGACUUAAGACGGUGCAACAUGCUCGCGCUUACUCGGCAUAGGGUGACCACUAUACCCUACUAACAGAGCAAUCGGCUUAAGUCGGCAAUGACUUAAGACGGUGCAACAUGCUCGCGCUUACUCAGCUUAGGGUGACCACUAUACCCUACUAACGGAGCAAUCGGCUUAAGUCGGCAGUGACUUAAAACAGUGCAACAUGCUCACGCUUACUCGACUUAGGGUGACCACUAUACCCUACUAACGGAGCAAUCGGCUUAAGUCAGCAAUGACUUAAGACGGUGCAACAUGCUUACGCUUACUCGACUUAGGGUGACCACUAUACCCUACUAACGGAGCAAUCGGCUUAAGUCGGCAAUAACUUAAGACGGUGCAACAUGUUCAAGCUUACUCAACUUAGUGUAACAUGCUCGCAAGGCGAUCUCUAUGCCUUACCAGCCGAUCAACUAGCGUAAAUUAGAAAAAGAUUCCAAAACCAGCGCACUACACUUACUUCUACAAUCAUUCAUGACAACUGUUGAAUUCUAACGACAGAAACAAAACGUUAUAGUUUUUGGCGCCAAGAACACAUUCUAACAUCCUACCGAAUAUUCAAGCGCGCUGGUCACACAUACAUAUAGUUCACAAAUGCAUUCAAUGUCUUCUAAACACAGCAAAACAUCUCUACUUGGCAAUGUCUUUCGCAGGAGCAAUCAAGGAUGAAGAGCGACUCGAAGCAUCAGGUGUAGCCUUGACGUCCGCAACAAUGUCAUCAGGAACAACUACACCAGGCCUUCUCAUCAAGAUUCGCCCCGCGCGGAUGGCUUUGUCCAUAGCCUUGUCACGCUGGGUCUUCAAAACAGCGCAGUUGUCUUCUGCAACCUUGGUAGCCAGUCGAGCGGCCUCUAGCUCCUGGGCGACUGAUCUCUUGGAGGCACGUAGAUCUUUGAUUACAGAGUCCUUGCUUGACACCAGCUACCUGAGCCGCAGGAUCUCAUCCUGGGAUACUUGUAGUUCAUGGCGAUGAUGAUCCAGAUCUGUCAUGGUGAAGCGGUGGCUCCUCUCCAAGAUGGUUAGAGAAUUGUUGGCGUCAUGAUAUAACUUAUCCAGAUUGUCGCGAGAAGCUGCAAGUGCUCGUUUCUCCUCCUACAGACAAGAUUCAGCUCUCAAAUAUCCAGAAAUCAGUAAAAGCACAGUAGAUCCAAUUAAGUAAGCUUACCUCAUUAGCCACCCUUUCAGAGUCAAGCCGAGCAUUAAGAGAGGAAUUCGAAGAAUUUGCGUCGUCUAAAGAAGCAGAAACCCAGGCCAGGUCGAUCUGACCUUGGGAAUACUUCUCCUCAAGCUCAGAAUACCACUGGGUUGAGUCGGUUUGAUACUGAAGAUGUUUCUCCUCGAGCUUAGAGUACCUCCGGGUCAUAUCUGACAAAAAACAACCGAAUAAAGAUACACGGUCAAAAAACAAAAUAAUCAAUCAGCCAAGAAAGAAGCAAAGGUACCAACCAGCAUUUGUCACUUUCAAAUCAGCUAUCUGUUUCUGAAGCAGCAAUGGAUUCCACUGCGUCAAAGACAGAGCUCCUUCUGGGAUAGCAGCGCCAUGUGAUCUCAAUUGAGCAGACAUCCCAUCAACCAAAGCCUGUUAUUAAAAACAAGUGAGUACGAAGAAAGUAAUUUACCAGGAGGAAUGACAUAAUGAAAAAAGCUAGUUUACCUGAAGAUUAGAAAAGAAUGAAGGCAAUCCCAAGUCAUGAGAAGUUGUGUUAUAACUCAACGAAGGAAGAUCAACUCGAACAAUCUAAAAAGCAUCGUCGGGGGUUGAUUCAGCUCCACCAGCAGAUAUCUGAAUCCUAUCUUCCGGUGCGCCGACCUCUAAGGCGACUCCCUCACUUGAAGCUAAAGAAGUAUGCAUCGCUAUCACUCCAUCAGAAUGUGGUGGAGAUGACCCGACGUGGACAUCCAUGGAGGUAUGGGAAGGAGAGCUCGCUCGGACACCCUCGGGGGCUGGGUUGCAGCACGCACUGCCCAUCGGAGCCGGAUCACUACCGGCAACACCCUCGUGGGAUGGGUUACAGCUUGCGAUACCCACCCGAGCUGGAUCAUUACUGGCAACACCCCCGGGGGCUGGGUAAUCACCAGCAUCACCCUUGGGGCUGGGUUUUCUACAACAGCCACCUCUACGGCUGAAGGAUCCUCAGUCACCUCCACGGGAGUCGGGCAAUAUGGACCAACCUCUUGACAUUGAAGACCGCCUCCCAAGGUCAACGAUGCGCGAGAUGCUGCCCGAGAUGCCUCUAAUCCCACAUCUGGAAUGUCAGAGCAAACAUCCAUCAUAUCACCAUCAGUCGACUCUGACAGCAUAUCCUCAGGAAAUGACAUCCUCAAGGGCCUGACCAAAAUCUGUUAUGGAUAAUUCUUGCAGGCUAACAAGAGCAGACAGAGCUGGAGAAGGAAUAUCACUAUCCCCUCUACUACCUCUGUAACGCCGGCUAUUCUUGCGAAUUAGUGGGACUUUUUCUUCUUCUUCGUCCCCAUCAAAAAUGCGGACAAAGGAUGGUGCAGGAUCACACCCAUUGGGCUCAGCUGCAACAGGAUCACACCCAUUGGGCUCAGCUGCAAUAGGAUUACACCCAUUGGGGUCAGCUUCAGCAGGGUCACACCCAUUGGGGUCAGUUGGUGCACGGUCACACCCAUUGAGGUCAACUUCAGUAGUUACACCACCAGUGGGAUCAACUCCAGUAAAGACCUCUGCUGGUACUUCUUCACAAGCAGGAGCAGAAGGUCCAGCAUCCUGGUCCAAACAUGACAACCGCCGGAGCCGUCUCUUUUUCUUCCUCUUCCCUUCAGCAGGUGCAGUUGGGCGGCUGACAUGGCGAAGACGAUUUGGGCGAGUACCAUCAGGCUUUCGGGUGUCCACUAUUCUGUCAAGCUCUGGUAUAACUGCAACAGCCAUUGUUUCAGCAGGAGCCGAGUCAGAAGAUUCUCCAGCCAACAUAUCGAGCACAACAUUCAUCUCUGCAUCAUCCGGACUCGCUGGCAUCUCAAAAUGAACUUGCCUCUCAUCAUUGGGAAGAUCACAAAGAGAAGUAACCUAGGCCUCAAUAUCUUCGGGAGAGGGUCGCACUCUAAGACCCAGACCACUAUCACCAGUAGGAGGAUUAGACACAAAAUUGAAAAAGGACUUAGGAGGUGGUAGAUUCCAAGCAGAGUAGGAAACAAGAGCACCAACAUUUGAUACUUUGCCUCUCAAGAUCAUGUCUAGCCGGCUCACCAAAUCCUUAGCAGGAAUUCUCCUAUUAGUAACCCGAGUGGAGUCAAUAACACCAUUGUACAAGUAAGUCGGGUAUGCUCUGUCUUUCAGGGGCUGGAUGUUCUUAAAAACAAAAUCAACAACCACAGCUUCGGCGGUCAGACCUCUUUCCUUCAGCAGACAGACUUCAGCAAGCAUAACCUUAGCCUCUGUUACUUCCAAGGCAGUAGGAGACUCAAUCCAACUUGGAGUGCGCACAUCUGGUUGUCUUCUCGACCGAGGGGGGAGGGACUUGCCGUGGUUUUCCACAAUAAACCACUCAAGACGCCACCCCUUAAUGUUGUCCUUAAGCGGAAUAUCAAGAUAUUCCGUUUUCCUUCCGCGCCUCAUUUCCAGACUCGCACCACCCAUGAGUUGGUGCUGACCCCCAGCAAUCCUAGGUCGAUAGUGGUACAGAUACUUCCAUAAACCAAAGUGGGGAAGAACUCCGAGGUAGGCUUCACACAGAUGAACAAAUAUAGAGAUUUGCAUAAUGGAAUUGGGAUUCAGAUGAGUUAGGUUCAGAUUGUAAAAGUCAAGGAGACCGCGGAAGAAGGGAGAAAUGGGAAGAGCAAGGCCGCGGAUAAGAAAAGGAACAUAAACAACGGACUCGUGGAUAUCCUCUGUUGGGACAGUAACCCACGAUAAAUCCGCCAAGAACAAAGCUCUUUCAGAGGAAGAAUUCCAACAUCGACAAGGUGAAGGAGAUCCGAUUCCGAGACAACAGACAUGUGGUUACCUGCGAAAGGCAACUGGCUGUUGGGGUCGAUGGGAGGAAUGACCACCGCAGCAGAACUUUGGUUCUUCCGCUUGGGCGCCAUCACAAUCUCGUCAACGGAUUGAAAGGAAGCGAAAUCAGAGGGAAAGAAGAGUAAUGUUUGGAGGAAGGUGAAGUUAGGGCUCAGAAUGCAGAGGCGUGCGACGACGUGAUAUAAAUGGGGUUUUCCUGGGUCAGACACUGUUUCUAAAAAGUGCUAAGUCAUCACUCGGAAAAAGCAAGACGCUCUGGCAUAACUCGGCAGCUACUUCUAAAGCACCGACGUGGCCCAACAUGACUCGGCAGCUACCUCUAAAGCAUCGAUGUGGCCCAGCAUGGCUCGGUAGCUACCUCUAAAGCAUCAACGUGGCCCAGCAUAACUCGACAGCUACCUCUAAAGCGCCGACGUGGCCCAGCAUAACUCGGCGGUUACCUCUAAAGCGCCGAUGUGGCCCAACAUAACUCGGCUGUUACUUCUAAAACGCCGACAUGGUCCAGAGAAGCUCAGCGGUUAUUUCUAAAAAAACACAGGCAAUGCAUAAUUCAGCCGUUUUCUCCAUGUAAACGCCAGCAGAACCAAAUACGACUCAACAAUUACCAGUCAUUACUCGGGCGUUAUCUCUAAGAACAACGGCAACGCUGGGAAUGAAUACAAGCUAUCGAUUGACUAUAAAAGAACGAUGGAAAAGCAAAAAGGAGAGACUCAGAACAAGCCGAAAUUUUCUUCAAUAUAUUGAUAAGGGAAGUUCUUCCACAAACUCAAAGGCCAACUCAUUAUGAGCCGGCCUUCCUUCCCUUUUUUGCUACAUUAUACUACUACACCACCACCCUACUUACACUACUCUAUACUACUAACUACUACUACAUUAUUUCACUAUUACUAAUACUACUUCUACUGCUACUUAUCUAUACUAAUAUUUAAGCCGGUGGUGCUUUGCCACUGGCCCUGCCGCUGCCGCCGUCGCCCUUGUUGUCGCUGUCGCCCUCAUCGUCGUCGUCAUCACCGCUCCCCUCCUCGGAGGAGUCGAAGGAGUCCUCCUCGUCCGAGGAGAUCUCCGACUCAUCCGAGCCCUCGAGCCCAGAGUGCUCGACGGCCCAGAUAUACGUCCACACCUUGGCGGCGAUCCCUUGGGAAUCGUCCAAGUCAUCGGAUGACACCGGGGGCGAGGCGUAGGCUGGCGACCCCUCGGACUCGGAGGAGAACUCCUCCUCCGAGUACUCGGAGUCACUAAAGUCCUCGGAGGGGGGACUCAACUCGCGCUUCCUCUUGUCGCCGGAGUGGUGCGACAAACUUCCGCCUUUCUUGCUCUUUCCCAUGGUUGAUUUGAAGAGAAGAGAAAAGAGGAGAAUAAGCAACAUGCGGCCGAGAGAUAUGUGAAGACACCAGUGAAGCAAGCGCUCUAUUUAUAGGGGCGGGAGGCAACUGCUCAUCUCAUACCAUGGUCACUGAACAGUCGCAAAUAUUCAAUAUGCAAUUCAAAUCGUCUGGAAACAAGUCAGGCGGCAGACACCGUUUCACGUAACACGACACCCAUUGGGACUGAAGUCAACUGCUUGGACGAUAUGAUUACAUCCGUGGUCACGUCAAGUUACUACUCAGGGGAAGUUUGCUAAACGCUCAGCACACCAAGCCGUCCCUUGGCUACAUCCAUUGGGGAGGGGGAUGUCCAGGAAUUUUCAAUAGAUUUUCCCAAGCAGUCACAUCCAUACAGUAUACGCAAUGAAUGUAUCAAGACAGAAGGAAGAUAUCGAUAGAGAUUGGAGGAAAGCCAAAAAUAGCUGGUGAAGUACAAGUCUAAUCAACAUAAGCAUUGAAGCACGAAGCGAAAUGAAGACUAAUCUGUCGGACGUCUACCGAACGUCCAAUCUGUCACAGAUCAAAUUAAAUUCAAACCUAACAGGACAUGGGUAGACCGCGUUGUUGAUCUCAAAGGCAAAACUGUAUGCUGAUCUCUAAAGCAUAAAGUUGAUGGUAUAAUGCUGAAUUCUAAGGCAUUCGACGAAGAUAAAAGGAUGAUUUCUAAAAGCACGGGAUGAAGACCUUUGAGUGGAUUAUUUUCAGUAAUCCACUCAAAGCUCGGGGGCUACACCCAUUGGGUGCACCUCUGGUGCACCCAAUGAAUCAUUAACCACAAAAGACAGAAUGCUGAUCUCUAAAGCAUGAACUAACGAUAAAAUGUUGAUUUCCAAAGCAUGAGAUGAAGAUAAAACAAUGUUGAUUUCUAAAGCAUGAGAUGAAGAUAAAACAAUGAUUUCUAAAAAAGCGUGAGAUGAAGACCUUUGAGUGGAUUAUUUUCAGUAAUCCACUCAAAGCUCGGGGGCUACACCCAUUGGGUGCACCUCCGGUGCACCCAAUGAAUCCUGAACCCCAGAGAACAGAAUGCUGACCUCCAAAGCAUAAGCCAGAGACAGAGGACCGAAUCUGAAGAAUAAAGCGAAGACCGAUGAAUAAUGGCAGGAGAGGAUAACAGAAGAUCGUUUUUACCGAGUUACUCAGAGUUUAGAAGCAAUAACUCGACAGGCCUAUUUUCAGAGCAUUCCUUACCAAAAUCAAAAACUGCAAGUUGGACCUAGAAUCUUUGGGCCGAUUAUUUCAAAAUCAACUCAAAGACUGGGGGCUUGUGGGGGACAGAUAUCCCCUAGGUCCACUAGAAGGCAAGAAGGCCUCGCGAAAGGCCUCAGGCCCAUUAUUUCGCAAGGCCAUCCCUUCGUGGGCAAGGGGAGGAAUGUCUAGAAGAAUGGAUCAACAUGAGAUCGGAUCGGCUCGAGCCCGUGCAGCUCACUGAAUUCAAACGUUAUCCACAACAGUGAUCCGAUUCUCCCGCGCAGCGCCCUCAGACGACGGAACUGAAUGAUGAUAAGUCGGCAGGAUUAUAGGAAGAUAAGCUCAGUCGGUUCACUAUUACUUAGGCGCACGUUGUUAUCAUAUCCACAUGUAACGCCCCACGUUCGAGUAUAUAAGGCCUAGGGGGCACCCCAUCAAACAACAACUCACUCAUUAGCCGUCUACUCAGCUGUCUAGUAUCCCUCAUACUAGAGAACUCCCCUAUAACCCACCACAUAAAAGAUCCACACCAGGAAGUAGGGUGUUACGCCUCUCUAAGCGGCCCGAACCUGUAUAAAAUUGUCCACUGUCUUUCGUGCAUCUAGCACGAACCAUCGAGCUACAGUCGGUAACACCGUCCUACUCCAAAAAGCACCUCGAGGGGCAACCCCCAGGUGCGCGGUCGGACCCAAAACACCGACACAUGCCCUUAAAAUAUGGUGUCAUUAUCUACUGGGAAAUAUCUGCCAUAUAUAUACAGAUCAUAAAAGUUUGAAGUAUAUUUUUACCUAGUUAGAACUAAAUAUGAGGCAAAGGAGAUGGCUUGAGCUGAUUAAGGAUUAUGAAUUAGAAAUUCACUAUCACCCAGGCAAGGCCAACAUGGUGGCAGAUGCACUAAGUCGCAAGGCUUCUUGCCAUUGUCUUACAGUAAAGACUUCUAACAUCACAUUAUGUCAAGAAAUGGAGAAAUUAAACCUAGGAUUGAUUCAACAUGGAACCUUAAACCAAUUAAAGCUUGAGUCGGUUCUUCUGCAAAAGGUUAUUGAUGCACAAAGAAGUGAUAAGGGUAUGAAACACAUUCAUGAGAGAAUAAAGGCUGGUAAAGCAAACUGUUUCAGAAAAGAUGAUCAAGGCAUUGUAUGGUUUAAUAACCGCACAGUUGUGCCUAAAGAUGAUGAUGUCCGCCAUCAAAUUUUAGAUGAAGCACAUCUUAGCCGAUAUUCUAUUCAUCCCGGAAGCACUAAGAUGUAUCAUGAUUUAAAGCAACAUUAUUGGUGGAUAAAGAUGAAGAUCGAAAUUGCAGGCUAUGUGGCAAAGCGUGACACCUGUAGACGUGUCAAAGCCAUACACAUGAAAACUUCUGGUCCAUUGCAAUCCUUGCCCAUCCCGACUUGGAAAUGGGAGGACAUUAGCAAGGACUUCAUUGUGGGAUUACCCAGGACAGCAAAGGGUUUUGACUCCAUUUGGGUUAUAAUUGAUCGGCUUACGAAAAUAGCUCAUUUUCUGCGAGUCAAGACGUACUACCCGGUCAUCACUUAUGCCCAGAUAUAUAUUGCUCGUAUUCUCAGUCUGCACGGGAUUCCAAAAACUAUAGUGUUGGACCGCGGACCACAAUUUGUAUCCAAAUUCUGGGAAGAACUCCACAAAUUUCUGGGUACUAAGUUGCUUCACAGUUCGGCCUAUCAUCCUCAAACCAGUGGGCAGACAGAGAGAGUGAACCAAAUACUUGAAUACAUGUUACGGGCAUGCGUUCUGGAAUACCCACAGAAAUGGGAUGAAUGUUUACCGUUGGCAGAAUUCUCAUACAACAAUAAUUAUCAAGAAAGUAUCAAGAUGGCACCUUUUGAAGCUUUAAAUGGACGACGGUGCCGUACUCUAUUGAAUUGGUCUGAACCAGGAGAAAGAUGGUUUUUCAGGCCUGGUAUGGUUAAUGAAAUGGAAGAAAAAGUUCAACGAAUACAAAAUUUGAAGGAAGAACAAUCUCGACAAAAGAGAUAUGCAGACAAACGACGACAACCCCUAUACUUUCAAGUUGAAGAUUAUGUUUACCUGAAAGUAUCGCCAAUGAAGGGUGUAUCUCAUUUCGGUGUAAAGGGAAAGCUUGCACCCCGGUACAUUGGUCCGUUCCCCAUUCUUGAACAAUGUGGACCAGUAGCAUACCGACCCCAACUACCCAAAACAUUGUCUGCAGUGCACAAUGUGUUCCACGUGUUCCAAUUGAAGAAGUGUCUUCGGGUUCCAGAUCGAACCAUUUAAGUGACAGAUGUUACCUUGGAACCAGACUUAACAUAUUCAGAACAUCCUAUUUGAGUCCUGGAUCAAAAGGACAGGGUUACCCGAAGAAGAACUCUCAAAUUUUAUAAGAUACAAUGGAACCAAUACACGGAAGAUGAAGCUACAUGGGAAACCCAAGACUUUUUAGAAAAGAAUUUCCUAGGCUUUUUAGCUUCAUGUAAAUUGUGAGAUAUGUACAAUUGCUGUAAUAGAGGAGUAAACCCCAUACCACCCCUUGCCUUGUACAACAAAUAAGGAAAUAAAAAUAUGACGCGUUUCCUUUUCCACUACUUGCCCUAGGACUUUGGCCCUGUUUGGCACAACUUAUUUUCAGCUUCUUCACAAAUUUAAGCAGAAGUUCUGCCAAACAGACAGCUUCUGCAUCAGCUUAUCAUUUCAGCUGCUUCUCAAAAUGAACUAAAUGCAGCCAACAAGCAGAAGCUGCUUUUUACCAGCUUAUCAGAUAAGCUGCUUUUUCAACAAGCAGUAGUUGUGCCAAACAGGGCCUUUAAAUCUCGGGACGAGAUUCUUUUAUGGGGGGAAGGAUGUAACACCCCUGGUGUUACUAUCACUAAAACUUGAGCAUAACAUCAUGAGCAUUAGCAUAUCAUGUGUUUGUCACACCUAGAGUGCAUUCAUUAGGUAAAAAGUUCAAAAAUGUUGGACUAAUAUUACUUGAUGUGUGGUGAAACCCUAGGGUAGGGUACUUAACCCUAAACUAGGCUUAUGAGGGACAAUGAAGCCCAAACAAGUUAAAAUCUCAAAACUUAUUAGAAAUGAACAUAAGAUGUCACAUUUAAUGAACUUUGAUAGCACCAAAACCCUAAAUAGGUCAAAACCCUAAAAAUACCCCUCGAAAACCCUAAAUUGAAACCCUAGGGGGCUAAGUGUAAAAUUUGUACCUUUUGGACUCAAGUGCAAAAACCAAGGUAUUAGGGCACCUCAAAUCAUAUGGUUCACACCCUUGUGGAUUUGCAAAUCAAAUUGUGGAAAUUGGACCUAUUUGCAAAAAGGUUCCCUAGGAAUCAUAUGUGGCUAAGUAUGAAAACCAAUGCAUAGAGCCAACUUUGGAAACCUGUAUCUGUCAGUUUAUGAGGAAUUUGCCCUAAAUCAACACAUGAAAAGUCUAGAGCUACUAUAGGAGCACAACUUUGCUUAAGUGAUUAAGCAUUGUUGAUAUACAAAAACUGGGGAUAACUAGCCCUAAAGUCUGGCUGUCAGACCACCCUGAGACUGAAUACUGACUGGCAGUUAGUUCUGACGAACUUUGGGCUCGAUUCUUGCUCAAGGGGUUAAGAAAAGGAGCAAGAUCACUAUAGCAGAAUUGUAGCUGGUAUAUAGAGCUACAAGUUUGUUACAGAUGGAUUAGCAAGUUCUCAUACAAAAAUCCGAGAUCUAGGCACUGCAAUUCUGGCUGUUAGGUGUUCUGAAUAAGCAAUCCGAUGGUACGGUGCUAUACAAAUAUCCUAGGUUCAGAGAACCUCGCCGCCGGUGAGCCGUGCGCCCGGAUUCGUGCCAGCCGCUAUGAUUCGUGCCCAGCGCAAGUGGAUAACGGUAAGUAGUAAAAAUCUUGGCGCUCGGAUUAGCUCGGGCUCGCUCAUCGUUGUGCCCGCCGUACCCACUUGGACCACGGCUGGCCGGGAUCGUCCUCGCCGGCGUUAGUCGCUUAAUGAUCGUGCUCCACGCGUCUUGUAAGUCUAUCACGUCGCAAUGAAUCGGUGUUACAAGCCUAUCCAUCGCCUGAGAACUGGCCACGGUGAAAGCCACGAAUUCAUUGCGCCAGUAACCUCCCCUCUCCCCGGUCGCCAGCGCUUCUCCUCCAAAUUAAGCACCACCACCGUUGAGUGCUAUAAACUGAAGCCUCAGGGAGCUCCGCUAGGUAAUUAUGCGUCCAACGCACUAGCACUUGCCUCCAAUUGUCUACCAGAGCCGCCUAAUUGCCCAUUUCCCCCAAAUCGGUAAAAAUACCACCGUGUGAGGACCUUGCCGUGGCCAGUGUGCUACAGGUCCGUUCAUGUCCUCUGCUCUCUUUGUUUCAGUACCCUUAUGUGCCCCUGAUGCUUCUCGACCCGACUAAUUAAGCUAGAACCCAUUAGAUCACCGGGAACACUUUGAAUUGUCCCCGAAUUGCGUGGUCACCGUGAGCAGAGAAGUUGGGAGCUCGAACCGUGCAAUUGAUCGAGGGGAAACGAUUGUUAGAUGUUGAAUUAGGUAUCAACCAAGUUAGAGCACCGGCCAUUGCGUGACUUGGCCAGUACAGGCUCGCCGGAGCUCGGUCUGCCGCCGUUCUGCAUCGUGGACUUGGCGCGGUGAAGAAAUAGAAAUAUAGGGGGGGUUUUGUGAGUUGUCAGUGACUCAGGGAAUAGUACUUUAGACUCUUUUCAAGUUGUUUAAAAUGCUAGGGGCCUUUGUGUAAAGUUAUCAGCACGGGCGCGCGUGGGGCAUUUUGCCUAUCAUGGGCUAUCUUGGGCCAGAAUGAGCCCAAUACUGUUGACCCUUUCUCGUUUUCUUUUUCUCUCAGAAUUAGAGAAUUCUUAGAAAAUUGUAGAAAAAUGCUAAAAAUACAAGACCAAUUUUGUUACUCCUAAAUUUCUAUAUUAUUUAAUAAAAAUGGUUUCAGGAUUUUUAGUCCAAACUAGGAAUUAUGAAGUAUUUAAAAUAGCUAAAACCUAUACUCCUAGAAUUUUAGAAAUUACUUAGUAACUCCAAAAAUCACCAAAAACAUAUUGGAUAAGCCUAAAAUGGUAUUUAGAAACCUUGGGUGAAGUUUGACUUGAUUUUGACAAUGUUUGAUACCUAAACCCCAAAACCCUAAUCUUCUAAGUAGUGCCUGCCCUAUGGAAUAAAACACUGACUCCAAAAACCCUAGUUUCCUAGAGUACCAUGAAGGAAAAUUGUAUUCAAGACCUAAUAUGAUGUACCUUUAUUAUCUUUGCAUUUCCAUAAGCAUUACAUGAGCAUUCAUGGUUAUAUAUAUAUAGAACCAAGAAGAAGUAGUGGUUGAAGAAGGAGUUGCACCACCACCACAUGCCGGGAACUGCUUUUACUUUGAUAUUUGUGGAGCAGAGCCCGACUCUCCUAUAACACAAGGCAAGCCCCGGUGCAUUUGCCACCUCCUUGCUAUUUUAAAAUCUUUCUCACUUGCUUGAUGCAUUAAGUGAUAGGAGUUGUGUGCUAAACAAAUUGAUGCAUUUCCUUCCUUGGAAGUUUGAUUACCUUUCCUGGAUCACCUGUUUUAUGAAAGGAUUUUUCUUAUGCUUAGUCUUGCUCUAGAAAAACAAAAUGUUUUGUUUUAACAAAAUAUGAUGCUUCAAGUGGGAUGGGAUAUUUUCAAAAAUAAAACUUGAUGGUGGAUCCAUCAUGGCCAUGAUGGGUUCAAUGUCGGAAAAGAUGUACCUCUGUUCGGUACCAAACUUUGGGAUGAAAUGAUAAAGUUGAGAUCGGGCGGGUGACUUGCACGAGAAGAGAGUCUCAGUGUAGUGUCUCCGUCUGUGUUGAUUAAGGACCUUGUAAAUGUAGGCUUGAUGAUUGAGGACCUUUUAACUGGUCACAUGCCUCAUCAUGGGUAAGCUUUGCCUCGGGCAGACUAAUACCAGAAUAAGAUAACGCGCAAUGGGAGUGGAGAGAUGGCGAGAGUAGCGUGUACCCUCCGUGGCAAGAGGCUGGACGGUGGUGUAUCUGUGCUCUCGGUUGGCGUGAACCUAAUCUAGUCUUAAGAACCCCAGUGGCGAGUUGACAUAUGCAAGGGUUAAGUGCUACAUAUGUCGUGUGAUUGGAGAUCCCCAGCUGGGUAUUAAUCGAUUCGGAUCGCCGUUACUUCUCGGACAUGAAGACUUGGUCACUGACCUACACGUAGAAUUCUAGUGAACAAGAAGGGUUAAUAAGAACAUGGCUAGUAUAUGCCAAGUGCUUGAACUAGGGUAGAAAGAACUCUAGAUUCAGGUAAUGACUUAACUUGCUAAUAAAACUGGAUUUUUAAGGAUCCACUAUUAGUAAGCAUUUGUGCAAACAGAGUCUUGAUUCUUGAUUAAGCCUUACAUUGACUCCCUCAAGCCAGCAUAUCCUUGAGAGUCUUUUAUUUUAACGGGUUAGACUUGCGAAAGUACACUUCGUACUCAGGGUUUUCAAACCCAUGUUGUUGUAGGUGAGGAAGCAGCAAACUUUUGUUGCUUUUGCUCUAAGGUGGUGCCAAAGGAAGAAUCUCAAGAAUGAAGCCUCGGGAGGAUGUUGUCCUCCUUAAAAACUUUAUACUUUUAUGCGGGAGGGGUUUUUGCCUCUCGAGUUUGUAAUAAUAAUACUUCUGCACUCAUAUAUAUUACUGGUAUGUAAUAAUAACACUCUUCUAUAUUUUAAUGUAAAUUAAGUUAUUGUAAUUGCUUCUGUUAUUCGUUCCUCUGAUGUGUUGUAAUAUCUGCGUGACGGGUGAAACAUUCUUGGGAAAGGCAAAGAAUGCAGAUACCGAACUUGUCAAGCAAUCAGGUGCAUCUGCAGGAUUGUCUAAGGUCCGAUGGACAAGGACAACUGUAGGUGGGCCUAAUGACUUGGGAGGUUCCAUCACAUUGCCCUAAUCUUUUGGAUGUCUUUACAUAGACUCCAUGUCAUUGGGGUUGUGAACCUGAGAACUAGAUGGACCUAAUGGGGGAGUACUAUAGGAUUAGGCCACCUGAGGAUGCUGAGGCUGAUAGGUCCAAGUAAGUACAACAUAAAUCAAGUAUGUUCCAUUAUUAUAAAACAUUAUUUGUUCUCAUGUUGUUUUUGUUCUUUCACAGGAGAACAUUAGGGGUUCCCUCUAGUCAGAUCUGUUGCCACUUAGGUAUCUAUUCACUAGGUGCUACAAAGUUGAGGUCAAGAGGCACAUUAUAGUGUGGCUCUGGCACUUUGUAGCUACUUUCCUAUUCCCCAACGCUUCUGGCAACAAUAUCAAUUGGGCGAUGCUACAGAUCCUUAAUAAGGAGAGGGAGAACAUAAGUCAGUUUAGCUAGGGCACCAUAGAUCUAUCUUGGAUGUAGCAACAUCUCGUAUAGCCUACCAUCGUGAUGUCUCAAACAUGAGCUUAUGUGGUUGUUCUUACCUGGUUUAGUUUUCAUGUUUGGAUCAUUGGCCCAUUAGGAGACCUAACCUUUGUGGUUUUUCUAUAAGUCAUUUGCAAUGUCACUAUGUUUCAAUCACUUACAUCAUUUGGUUAUACAAACUAACACGUGUGUGUUACUUGCAGACCUAUAAUCACCAAGAUGGGACUUGUUCGAUUUGCCUGUACCAUGAAAAGAGGUAAAAAAUAUGAAAGACAACCUACAAAGAUGUUUAUGUAGUAUAUGGACCUCCUCGAUGUCCUAGCACAAUGCAAGGUUAGCAACUUGUGUUAUCAUCACCGUUGGCAUGUUUGUUUUCUCGAGAAUCUAACAGUUAUAUGUCACUGGUAGGUUACUUGGAUGCCUUGGGCAUAGUAGGAUCUAGACUCUUAUAGUCUAAUCAUGAUAGUGGCAUAUGGAGCAUAUAUGUGCCAUUUAUCUUCUUCCACGUGGUGGAGGUCUACUACCUUUGCAUGGUGUGUAGGUAGUUAAGAAGGUUUCAAUCGAACCCACCGAUGGACUACUACAUGAGCUAGACGUGGCACAAGUUAGUUAAAUAGUUCUUAAUUUGUUACAACUUGUGAAUGAAAUGUAUGGACAAUUCAAAUUAUUAAUAUAGAAAUUCUAGAUUUGAUUAGAGAAACAGGUACAAGAUGAAGGAUUGGCAUGUCGCACACCAUGAUGUUGUAGAUGUGGAACCAUAGGGAGCAUAGGGACCCAUGAGCGAUCCACCACAUGACUAACACAGGUGGUUUGGAAGAGUAAGAAGAAGAUGACGUGGAGGUGGAAGGUGGUGUUAUGGGAAUGAGAACAUCAGAUGUGGAUGUAGAAGAUGAUGGUUCAGAUGCUGGAAUGGAAGGAAGAUACAGGAAAGAAGUAGAUUCUGUGGGAUAAUAUGAGGAGUGAGUAGACUAGUUGUGAAAGAAGGGGCGAUUUUCAUUGAAACUCACAUCUCUAGAAAUUCGAAUACGACGAGUAGAAGGAUCAUAAAAACGAUAGCCUUUGUGUUCAGGACUGUAUCCAAGGAAUACACACUCUACAGAUUGAGCAGUCAAUUUGGUCCGCUCACGUGGUGGUAACAAGACAUAACAUAUACAUCCAAACACACGAAGAUGAUCAUGUCGUGGAGGAGUCCCAAAAAGAACUUCACUCGGGGAUUUGCCCAAAAGUUUAGAUGAUGGAUGUCUAUUAAUGAGAUACACAACAGUGGAAACAGCUUCACUCCAAAAGCAUGAAGGAACAAAAGAAGAUAUCAAAAUAGUACGAGCACUCUCAAUAAUAUGACGGUGUUUGCGUUCAGCAACACCAUUUUGGGCAUGAGCACCAAGACAAGAAAGUUGAGCUAGAGUACCCUCUAAGGUCAAUAUCUGGCAGAAAUUGUCAGAUAAAAAUUCACGACCAGAAUCUGAACGAAAUAUUUUAAUAGUAGCAGAAAACUGGGUGCGAACCAUGCGAGUAAAGGACUUGUAAAUAGAAGGCAAUUCCGAGUGGCGUUUCAUGAAGUAAAUCCAAGUAUAACGAGAAUGAUAAUAAAUAAAAAUGACAUAAUAUUUAUGACCACCUUUGGAAACAAACGGAGCUGGACCCCAAACAUCAGAGUGAAUUAGAUCAAAAGUUUAGCAGAAUGGGAAUCACUAGUAAAAUAUGGAAGUUGUAUUUGUUUUCCAAGAUGACAACCUUUACAAUGAAAACUAGACUCAACAUGUGUAGGGCCUAAACAUCCUGACUUUAUUAGAGUGGAUAGACGAGAUCCACAUAAGUGACCUAGACGAUGAUGCCACUGGGCAAACGACAUCGACCGAAGCAGCAAGCACAUGAGGUGUAGAGGCAUGGUAUGAAGGAAGACGCAAGGUGUCCAAGAUGUAGAGGCGAGGCAAAGAUUGACGGCAACGGCCAGUCCCAAUCACAUCCCAUGUGUGUUGAUCCUGUAUAAAACAAGAUGAGUCAUCAAAUCCAACAAAGCAAUUGUGAUCGGUAAUUUGGCCAACUGAUAGCAGAUCCAUGGAUAAUUCAGGUACAAAGAAAAUAUUUGGGACAAUAAAAUUAGAAUUGGAAAGAGAACCCUUGUGGGUGACAUGACAUAAUGUACCUUCAGCAGUCUGAACAGAAGUACCCUCAGUGACAGGUGUAGUAGAUGCCAGCCGUGACUGAUCAGAUGUCACAUGAAAUGAAACUCCAGAGUCAAGAACCCAAGAGGAUGACAAAGCACCAACAAAUGAAGUAGCAGCAACGACAACUGAGUCUCUAGGAGAUGGUCCUGUAUCACAACCUCGAAUAGCACGACAGACACGAAAAUCAGCUAGCUUCUCUGGAAACUUAGCAAAGCAGUUCUCAGACCGAUGAGUGGUCAUUUUACAAUGCUCACAAGGCUGAAAAGAGGUGUUCCUGGACUUCUAAGUAAUGGCCAAUACACUGUGAGAACUCACACCAGUAAUAGAAGACAUCGACUUCAGACGAGUCUCUUCAGCAAGUAAAUCAGACAACGCCUGAGCCAUGGUGAGAGUAUCAGAACUGUGAAGUAACCUUGCAUGAAGAGAAUCAAAUUCAGGUCGAACGCCCAUAACAAAUCUGUAGGUAAAGAACUUCUCAAUGAACUUAUGGGUUGGGCAAGGCACAGUUGUACAAUCAGGCAACAUGGAGGUCAAUGCACUCAUAAGAUGAUCAAAGGCUAAAUAGUAUUCAUCAAUGGAGAUAUCAUGUUGCUCAAUGACAUGAGUCUACUGCAUAAGGGUAUGUAAAAGAGCACCACUAUCCUGAACAAACCGAUCCUUCAGAUGUGACCAGAUAGCCUUAGUAGUGGUGAAUUUGGAUAGACUCAUAAUCAUAGUUGGUUUAGUGCUAUUGACCAUUGCAUCCAUUACCUUGCCAUCAUUGAUCUACCAAGUCUUGAUUGCAGCAGCAUUGCUUCUAUCAGCUGCUAAAACUAGAGAAUCUUCAGUCAAAUGAAAUAGUAAACCGUGACCUCUUAAUGCAGUCAGAACACAAAAGGCCCAUUAUGGGUAAUUCUGCCCAUCAAGCACAAUAUUGACAACAAUAGCGUUGAUCGACAUAUUGAAGAGCAACAAAAUGCUAAAGAAUAAUAGAUCUGAAAAAUACUGGCUUGAUGGUACCAAAAACCCUAGCGGGUGUAGUGGAUGAACAGUGGAUACGCCAGCUACAGUCUUUUUCAGAUGGCAGGGCACGACACCGGGCAGGGACGGAGCACUGGCGCGCACGCAAAAGAAUCGCACGGACGAUGAAGAUGGCAGGACGGAGCACCGGCUGUUGACACCUUUACGGGCGCCAAUCACUAUAACAAGAACCGGCGGCGGUGUUCUUAGCACAGGCGCGGACGGUUCACGGCCAGGGGCCGGACGGUCCACGACUUGGCGCAGGGCUAGGGUUCCCUGCCUGACGUGCCGGACGAUCCGCGCCCUGGGGCCAGACGGUCCGCACGUGCAUAGGGGCGGCGAAGGUCACCGACGGCGCCUGGAUCUCGCUCCCGGGUGGGACCCCGUCAGGGAGGAUAGAUCCUAGGUGUUGUCUAGGCUUGGCAGGCCGACCUAGACUCCUCUGAUCAACGUAGAGUCGAGGAGAAGCGGAGGAUUUGGGGAUUGGGAGACUAAAAUAUAACUAGACUAGAACUACGCCUAAAUGUACAAGAAAUAAAUGUGAGAUAAAUUGAUUAUUGAUUCGAUUGAUGAUGCUUAAUCGGUCGUAUUCCUCUUUAUUUAUAGAGGAGGCGGGCUGGACCCAUUACAAACAAAUCUCCUGAGUUAAUUCCGUGAAUCUAGCCAACAACAAUAGCGAGAAACUCGAAACCCUAAUUGGCUCUGCGCACGCGUGGACCAUCCGGAGCACUAGUGCGGACCGUCCAGCCAUCUCUUUUGGGGCUCAACAUAUGCCCCUGCCUUUUAGCGGAGCUGAGCGAACCAAAAGAAACUAACACAAUGUGAUCACAUCGGUUUCCUUAGGCAUCUUGCCACAUACUAGGAUGAUACUGCUUGAGGAAACGCCCGUUUAAAGCCUUGGGCCAGUCUUUGCCUUGUAAUGUUUGCAACAAGUAGGUGUUACUAGACAUCACCUAUGUGACUUUGUAAGGGCCUUCCUAGCUUGGCGACCACUUCCCAAACUUCUGGUCUUUGCUCCUCAGAGGCAAGACAACCUUCCACACCAGAUCCCCUACAUGGAAUGAUUUAGCCUUGACCUUUUGUUGUAAGCUUUGGCGACCAUGAUCUUGUCCUUCUCUAUUUCUCCUAAGGCUGUCAUCCUUUUGUCGGUCACUUCAUCAAUAUUGUCCAUCAUUGAAUUAUAAUAAUCACCGAUAGUCAGAUCAUUUUGCUUGGCGAACCUGACAGCACUCUACAGGUAACACUGCUUCUUGCCCAUAGACAAACUCAAACGGAGAUACUUUAGUAGCACGGUGUUUAGAUAUUCUAUGAGCCCAUAAAGCUUCAGACAAAAUCUUAUGCCAAUGCUUAGGAUGAUCAGACAUCUUCUUUUUUAUCAAGCUAAUCAAUGUCCUAUUACUAGACUCGGGCUGUCCAUUGGCCUGAGCAUAAUACGGAGAUGAAUUGAGUAACUUAAUUCUAUAUAAUUCAGCAAACUCACGUACCUCCUUUGACAUAAAAGAAGCCCCUUGGUCUGUAGUCAAAGUCUGGGGAAUGCCGAAUCUAUGAAUAAUAUGCUCAGUUAUGAACACAAUUACCUCCUUGUGUGUCAUGUUCUUCAGAGCAACGACUUGAGUCCAUUUAGUAAAGUAGUCAGUGGCAACUAACACGAACUGAUGCCCUUUUAACGAUGAAGGAUGAAUUUCUCCAUCCUCUGAAAGGCCAAGGCUUGAUGAUAGGAUAUAAUUCAGCUGCAGGGACCAACUAUAAGUCGCCAAAUUUUUGACAUACUUGGCAACCUUUGUAGUACUUGAAACAAUCAGCUAUCAUGUUAGGCAAAUAGAAGCCAGACCUUUGCAACAACCACUUCAUCUUUGGAGCCGAUUGAUGGGUACCACAAAUCCCUUCAUGUACUUCGGCCAUGGCUAAUAUAGCAUCACCUAGGCCCAAGCAUAGUAGGAUGUCGUUGCCUGUUCGGCGAUAGAGCUCAUCACUCAUUAAAACAUACUUGAAAGUUGUACGCCGAACGUUCCUAUCCAUCCUAACACUAGGAUUUCGUAUAUAAUUAAUUAUGGGUGUCCUCCAAUCGCUUGCUUCAUCUUCAUUACCAGCUGAAUCAAUCAGGAGAACUUUCCUCACAACCCCAAACGGUCCAAAACCCUCAACCGGACGGCCCGUGACCUGGGGAAUUGGCCCUGUAUCGGUUAUCAGAUUUUCGGUGUUGUGAAAUUUCCCUCGUUUUAUCCGAUAACCUGAUGCAUCUUGUGCCAAAUUGUUAGCUCUGUGAUUCUCAACUCUAGAGAUGUACCUGUAGGGGACUUGUUCUCAAAUACUAUGAGUUGAGAACAAGGCAACACAAAAUGUUAAUGGUUAAAGACCUUCGUCCUUCGGAGCAUUAUCUCCCUUAGGAUAUAAUGGUCUUCGGACGAAGGUUAUGAAGGAUGUACCUUCAUCAUCUUAGUAUAUAAUAAAGCAAGUAGAAGCAUAUGAAACAUGGAAAAUAACAUGAAUAACUAUAUGAUAUUAUCAGAACAUUUUUAUUAUCUUAUCAUGAAUAAACAUGAACAGUAUAGAAUUACAUUUAUACCUUCGGCUUGACAGAAGGUAAAAAUCCAAGCAUGACGUGCGAGUGAAUACAGGUCAGCGUGAACAGUACGGUGUCACUGUUCAUCUAUUUAUAGGCACAGGACGCAACUUGUGUAGAAUUACAUUCAUGCCCUUGACAUUUACUAUUGACUUGGGGAUAAUCUAUCGAGGACUAGACAACCUUUUCUCCUUUAAGUCGGUUUCAUUUUCCAUCGCUAAGUCGAAGCUUUUUCACGGGUAGCUUCGGCACUGGUUCAUCCUUCUCCUGAACCGCGCUCUUCAUAUCAUGUACAACUUCAUCCCAUGUCCGAAGGUUCCUGUACAUAUAGUAUACUUGGAAAACAUGUUAGUCGUGUUUUUGAGGACCUUCUGAAGACGAAGGCCCCCAACAGUAGCCCCUCGCAGUAUUAAUUUGUUAUAACAACGGAUAUUUAGACUGCGACAUUAAUGAAGGCCUUAAGCCGAAGGUCCGAAAAACACCUUCCCUUCGCUAGAAAAGCGACAGUCAAUGACAGACGGGGGCCGCCAAGUUGCAAAGCACUAGGCGUAUAAAUAUGAACCCACAACGGCAGCAUUUGGUUUGCUAUUUCUGCUAUUCGCGUUAUUUUCUCAAAUUUCUAGCUCUUGCUCAAUAGUUCUUGCCUGAUUUUCGAGCUUUUAGAGCUUCGGUUUAAAGGCGUGCUUGGUCCAAAUUUGAGGAGAAGAAGAUGAGUGGAGAGAAGAAGAUGACAGAAGAGAAGAAAAUAACCGAGGAGAAGAAGUUAUAUGAAGAGAAGAAAGUUGUGGAUCCUUUCAUCGCUGGGUUUUAUGAGUCCAUGGCAAAAACGAAUACAGAGAAAAUUACUAAGGAGAUCAUGGAGGGUUUGUUCGAAGAUUCUGAUGACAUUGAUAGUUAUGACGUGGAGAGUGGGGAUGAAGAUUCUGAGGAUCGGCCCUGGCGGCCAAGUCAUACUAUCUUCGGAAAGUCGACUAUCAAGUAGAGUCAUAUUGACGCCAUGAGGGGGGAUAUUUUCGCGACAUGUCUAUUGUCAGAGUUGGAGGAGACAACACUGCCCUCGCUCUUGAGGAAAAUAAAGUUGUUAUUUAUCGAAGCUUCCUGAAAGCAGGUCUCCGGUUCCCACUGAGCAAAUUUGUGGUUGAGGUAUUAAAGAUUUUUCAGAUUUUUCUUCAUCAGAUUACCCCCGAAGCUAUAAUUAGGAUGGGGAUGUUUGUCUGGGCUGUAAGAAGCCAGGGGCUAGAGCCGAGAGCGAAGUGCUUCUGCAAUAUGCAUGAGCUUUUAUAUGAGACGAAGGCUAUUGGCAAAGAACAAUACCACAACAACUUCGGCUGCUACGGGUUCAUUGCCCGCUCUAAUGCAAGUUACCCGGUGCCAACAUAUCGGAAAAGAUGGCCCGGGGCCUGGAUGGAGGAGUGGUUUUAUGUUAAAAAUGAUCUGAUUAAAAGAGAAGAUAUCAAGGAAACUAUCCAGCGCCCCAUCUGGUCUCGCUUCGGCCUCCGAAGGCCGAAGGUGGAAAUUGAUGGCGAUGUUGAAGCAUGCCAGAAGACUUUUAGUACUGUUUGCGCCUUCAUUGGCACGAGGGAUUUAAUUCAAGAGCACAUAUCCUUCAGGGUGUGGCCACUUGUGGAGAGCUGGGAUAUGCUGAAGGAAACUACUGCCGACUCCAGUGAAGGUGGCCUGGUUCGAUUGGGAUAUACCUUCAGGUUUAGAGAGAAGUUUGACGAGCCAAAUGAUGACUGGUUGAAAUGUAUUGAAGCUACUAGUAACGAGUUGCUUGGGACAUAUUCCAAAGCCGAAGAUGAUGCCUUGUCCGCAGCCUUCGGGGGUCGGGGCAAGAAAAGAUUGAAUAGGGUAUUUGAUGCGAUUGGCUUCGCAUACCCUGAUUAUCGCUACCCGCUACGAGGUCAAGGAAAAAAGAGAGAAAGAUUGCCACUUCGGCCACCACAGCUAUGCCGAAGGGUAAAAAAGUGAAGGUUCUGACCCACCGGCCACGGUAUAUUGAACCGGUUGUAGUGCCUGAAUUUGGCGAAGGGGCCUCUUCAACUGCCGAAGCAAGACAAGCUGCUCCGAUUGUGCAGAGCGUUGAAGAGCUAAAUGUAGUGCCGAAGGUGCCUACAGUCGGGCCAGCCGAAGCUAAGGAUGAUAAGGCCGAUGUCACACCCGGUUUUGGAAGGUAAACCGAAUGCGAACCAUGUACGUGCCAGGAUCAGAAAUUCAUGUACAUGGCGAUUACAUAAAUGACUCAUCAUAGCACAAUGCUUCGAAUAACAAUAAAGAUAAGUAAUAAUAUGAAAGACUAGAGUCAUUUACAUAAUAUAAUCAAAGUACACAGAACAAAAACGUAGCCAACGUAAAUAAACCCACCACAGGCAGCUGACUGGGGGAGGUCGCUAGCCUAAUCCUUGAACUCGUUGAAGUCCUGGAACUCCUGGAGAUUCGCCUCGAUGCCUUCUUCUUUACCUGAGCAUAGAUUGCACCAAAGGCAACCUGGUGUUUUGUGAAAGCAAGGGUGAGUACACAUCAACGUACUCAGCAAAUGUCCCGUUUGGCUGUAGUGGACUAGCUUUAUUUGGGGUUAAGGUCAAGCAGUUGCUUUUAGUUGGUCAGGUUAUUAUUACUCAUUGAGAGCCAGGUUUUAACAUUAACCCAAGUUAUUAACCCAAAGUACCCUUUCCAAACGAAAAGAACACCACUUACCAUUACCAUAGUCAUAACCAUCAUCCUUGUCACCACCAGUAAACCAACCAUCUCUGAUCAAGUAUCUCUAAUCAAAGAGGAUCCCAAGGCCGCUCAUAACCGUGAGCACGGCUGAUAUAUCAGUUUCUAACCCUCUGCAGAGGUCGCACACUUUACCCACGAGUCAUGAUUCCCUUUCUGCCCGGGGAGAGCUAAUCCCCAUUGACCACUACCUAGGUGGCCUGGCAGGGUAUCACUACGUAGCCUUUACAAAGAUUUCCCAGAGGUCAUAGCCGCCCGUUAGGUUUCUCCAGUUUGAUAAACACAGUACAUCUCCCCAAAGGAAGGGUGACUAACAAAACCAAAUCAAGAACCUCUGCAACCAGCCUCGGCAGAGCAAGUACUGUGCCCGGACCCCAUUGACGGCCCUACGGCGAAGCCAACUACUCCUCUGGUUCCUCUAAUUAAUCAGCUAAGGGCGUCCCAUUCCACCCUCAUGGUUGCACUGUUAUCCCGGGUUGUCACUCUCCAAACAGGUCCUUACGGAGAGGCACUCAGGAAACAGCCUGAGCCCCCUAAAGUAUCAUAGGAACAUCAUCGGGAUAACAUCAUAGUAUCAUAAGUAUUCACAUCAUGUUCAUUGAUUCAAGUAAAGCAAUAGCAUAAUGCUAACCAUGAUAACCCAAAAGGUAAAGAAGGAUAAGGUAAAUGGAAAGCUAGUCAAUCCUUAGGUUUCAAUUAAGUAAUGCGGGACAGUGCAUUAAAAGUGAAUGGGACAUAAUGGGUCAGAGGACACUUGCCUUCACCAAAUAGAUGCUCAGGGUCUUCCACUUUGUAGAAUUCGAAGAACUUGAUCCCACGAUCGUCGAAGCUUGACCAGCGAGCAGAGGUUGAAGACACGACGACGGCGAUUGCGUGGCGAGUGGGCGCGGCCACGGUGCUGCUCGGGCGGAGAGGCGCUGCAUAAUGGCGUAGACGACCAUGAGCACGGCGAGGCUGCUGUCGUGGCACGGCGGAGGCGGUGGUUGCUGCAGCGACUGCGAGGGAGAGGAGAGCAGAGCAGGGCCGAGCAGACGUGGGCGCUGGGUGGUUCCAUUUUUAGCGUUGUGGAUGUGUGCGUCUCGAAGAACAGGGAAGGAAUAUGGUUACAUGGGAGAGCUGACUGACAUGUGGGGCCCACAUACACUGCACAGCCUGGACAGCUGACAGGUGGGGCCCUAGCCAUGCACGGCGCGUGCCUGGUCUUGCCCCCGCUCCUGUGCGUGCGUGCAGGAUGGGAGUUUUUAGUGGGGGCGAGAGGGUUGGAUGGGAUUCUCUUUUUUUGUUUUGUUUUUUUUUACUUUUUUUAAUUAUUUUCUUCCUCCCUUUUUAUAUAUAGGUAUAGAUAUAUAUAUUUAUAUAUAUAUAUGAUUAUUUUUAUUUACAUUAAAUCGUGCCCAUAUAAUUUGGAUUCAAUAGUUUUUCCUUCUUCUGAACGUAAAUACCACGAAAAUCAUUUUUUUGCAGACAUAAAUUAUGCUUCGGCAUGAGAUGCAACAAUCAAACUCCUCCAGGGCUCACUCCACUAGGUUCACGCUGAUAUAUAACAAAUAACUCACCUUUAUUUAGAAAAAAAAGAGACGAAAAGAAAAAAAAAGAAGAGGGUAACACCUGAAUUUGGUGGAUAUUAGAAGAAAAUUUUAUACCCCAAAUUAAGGGUGUUACAAAUCUAACCCCUUAACAGGAAUCUCGCCCCCGAGAUUCAAGAAGAGGCUAGCAAGAACGACUAGGUUGGUUCAUAGGUUGAUCACGACUUCUUCUGACUCAACUCUGACUCUGGCAACUUUAACUUGCGGACUGGUUCCUUUGACCUUUAGAUGCUUGAGACCGAUCGAUGCAAUUUUUGAGGAUCUCUUGGACUUGUGAGUCAGGACCCACACACGCUUUCGUUGCGCCAGUCUGAUCUUGUUGGUUGAUGUUGAUCGCAUUGUCUUCAUUGGGGUUAGCGGCUAACCCCCUUAACAGGAGCAUUGAUAAGCACUUGGUGAAGAUGCUGUCGAUUCUGAUCUUGAUUGAUUAAGAGGAGCUAGAGGUUGCCAACUGCAUAGGUGCAAGAGGAAAGAAUAUAGGUAGAAAAGGUAAGCAUAGAUGGAUUAAAGAGAGAAACGGGAGAGCACCCAACAACCUAAAUUUAUGGCACUCAGCUAGUAAACUGAUGUCAUUGCGGACCAAGGGCCACAUCACAUCAACACUCAUCACAUGGAAGCAAAUCAGUCAUCACACAAGGACAAACAACACAAGCAUACAACAACAAACAUCUCGUUGCUAUACGUUGAUGUUAACUAGAUGGUGGUCUUUCCUGAAAAGGGAAUAACUACUCUCUAAGGUUGUUGAAGGACAAGGAGAAGGACAAGACGUACAGGAUAGGGGCACGAGCACCAUAAAUGAUGGAGUUAAAGUAAGCAUUGUAAGCGACCAGGAUAAGGAUACGGCCAAGGCAUAAUGGGAAGAACACUACUCUCGAGUUGAGAUAGAAAAGGGGGGAUUCCAAAAAGCGGAUCUAAGAUAAGCAUCAAGGCAAGAUCUAGUGAUUACAAAGGUAAGGGUGAUAUCAAACAAAAGCUAAGACCUGCAAUGCGGUAGAGGAAAAGGAAACGACUACGAGCGAGAUGGGUAAGACAACACUCUUGAACUGAAAUGGGAGAGGAGGCUUUAAAUUGCAUGUACAAGAUAAACAUCAAAGUAAACAUCAAGGGAUGACAAGGGUUCAGGUGAUAACGAACAAACACACAACAAAGGAUGUAUUUUAGACAAAACGUGUGAGGUAUCAAAGAAUGGGAAGCAGUCAAUGGUGAAGUAGGUGAGGCAUUAUCCUCAAACAUCGAUGAAAAAGAGGUGGCUUUAAAGGGUAGGUUCAAAGUAAGCAUGAGGGCAAGGGCAUAGAUAUCACGAGGGUUUAAAGGUGAUAACAGACAAGGAUGUAGGAGAGGAGGUAAACGCGCAUAAUAACCAAGGAUAUAAGUACCACAAAGGAUAGAGUUAAGACAAGACCUGCAGAUGAAAAAGAAGGAGGUAUGUCCAAGGGCCAGAUAGGUAAACAGCCACUCUCCAAUUGAGGUGGAAGAGAGGAGAUUUUAAAGAGCCAGAAUAAAGAUGAGUAUCAAGGCAAGAUCGACGAAUGACAAGGAGGUCGUGAUAGCAAAUAAAACACAUAGCAAAGGAUGGAAUUGAAACAAAACUUGUAAGGCGACAAGAAGUGAAAAGAAAUCAAGGGAGAGGUAGGUAACUCGCAACUCUCAAAGUGGGUUGAAAGAAAGGGGAGGAUUUAAAGGAUAAGUUUAAGGUAAGCAUUUAGGUAGAAGACAUAAAUAUCGCAAGGGCCAAAGGCGAUAACGGACAAGGGUACAAGAGAAAAGAUGAAGGCAUAGAAGAGCCAGUGGUAUGAGUACGACAAAGAAUGAAGUUAAGAUAAGACUCACACCUAGCAAAGACGAGGUUCCGACCAAGGGCGGGAUAAGUAAAACACUUCCCUCGAAUUGAGAUGAGAGAGGGAAUUUUAAAUAACGGACAUAAGAUAGUCAUCAAGGUAAGAUGGAGAGACGGUGAAGGUAAAGGUAGUAACAGAUAACGAAGGGUGGAGUUAAAAACUCGCAAGCGACAAGGAAUAGGAUGCAACUAAGGGAAAAUAGGUAACCUUCAACUUUUAAAAUUGAGACGAAAGAGAGAAGGUUUUGGAGCACAGGUAUAAUAUAGGCAUCAAGGUAAGAUAUAGAGGUGUCAAAGUCGAAGGUGAUAAUAAUGAAAGGCAUAACAAAGGAUAGAGUUAAGGCAAGACUCGCGAAAUGCCGAAGUGGAGAAAACAAUCAAGGUAAGAUAGGUGAUGUUUCAAUAGAAUGGUUGAAGUAAGAAUUCAUUACUGAGGCAAGUUAUAAGGAAGCAACGAGAUUACCACGGGUGUGCAAAAUAAAAUGACCGCUCAUGGAUCUUUAGGAAAUAAGGAUGGUCAAAGGCAUGUUAACUGAAAUGUCUUGAAUAGUCAUUGGGGUAUGAAGGUAAGCAUACUUGAAAAUAUGAGAGUACGCAAGACACCAAGGAUAUGAGCAUACCAAGACAAGGGAAUAGAAAAAAAAACAAAUGAUAACGACUUAACAACGAAAUAGGGAGGGAUCUCAGAAGACAAGAAGGUCAUGGACAUAAAAACUGGAAUGUUUAAAGAGGAAACCGAGUUUUCAGAGGUAACUAUUUGAAACAAGAGUAUUAAAGAAUCUAGGGGUACAAGCAUGUCAAUACGAAGAGGACAAAGAUAGUCAAAGGGUAGCAAUUUAGUGAUGGAAGAGGGAAAAAUCCCAACAGACAAAAAGUUAUGGUCAGGGGGCAUCUUCAAAGAUGUCGCAAGCAUAAGAGUGAGAACAGAACUAAUAUGACCAGCAAAUAAACCAUAAAUAAAUGAAGGAUUAGAAUAAAACACAAUUUUCAGCAAGGUAUAAUAUGUAGUAAAACAUAGGUUUGGUCGAUAUGACCAACUUUUGAAGGGAUAGCAAAGUCAAGGCAGGGACAGAGGUCUAUAAUCCUUAGAACGACCAUUCUACUCUAGGUUAGCGGUCCUACAGUCAGCACGGCUUUGAUACCACUUAUGUCACACCCGGUUUUGGAAGGUAAACCGAAUGCGAACCAUGUACGUGCCAGGAUCAGAAAUUCACGUACACGGCGAUUACAUAAAUGACUCAUCAUAGCACAAUGCUUCGAAUAACAAUAAAGAUAAGUAAUAAUAUGAAAGACUAGAGUCAUUUACAUAAUAUAAUCAAAGUACACAGAACAAAAACGUAGCCAACGUAAAUAAACCCACCACAGGCAGCUGACUGGGGGAGGUCGCUAGCCUAAUCCUUGAACUCGUUGAAGUCCUGGAACUCCUGGAGAUUCGCCUCGAUGCCUUCUUCUUUACCUGAGCAUAGAUUGCACCAAAGGCAACCUGGUGUUUUGUGAAAGCAAGGGUGAGUACACAUCAACGUACUCAGCAAAUGUCCCGUUUGGCUGUAGUGGACUAGCUUUAUUUGGGGUUAAGGUCAAGCAGUUGCUUUUAGUUGGUCAGGUUAUUAUUACUCAUUGAGAGCCAGGUUUUAACAUUAACCCAAGUUAUUAACCCAAAGUACCCUUUCCAAACGGAAAGAACACCACUUACCAUUACCAUAGUCAUAACCAUCAUCCUUGUCACCACCAGUAAACCAACCAUCUCUGAUCAAGUAUCUCUAAUCAAAGAGGAUCCCAAGGCCGCUCAUAACCGUGAGCACGGCUGAUAUAUCAGUUUCUAACCCUCUGCAGAGGUUGCACACUUUACCCACGAGUCAUGAUUCCCUUUCUGCCCGGGGAGAGCUAAUCCCCAUUGACCACUACCUAGGUGGCCUGGCAGGGUAUCACUACGUAGCCUUUACAAAGAUUUCCCAGAGGUCAUAGCCGCCCGUUAGGUUUCUUCAGUUUGAUAAACACAGUACAUCUCCCCAAAGGAAGGGUGACUAACAAAACCAAAUCAAGAACCUCUGCAACCAGCCUCGGCAGAGCAAGUACUGUGCCCGGACCCCAUUGACGGCCCUACGGCGAAGCCAACUACUCCUCUGGUUCCUCUAAUUAAUCAGCUAAGGGCGUCCCAUUCCACCCUCAUGGUUGCACUGUUAUCCCGGGUUGUCACUCCCCAAACAGGUCCUUACGGAGAGGCACUCAGGAAACAGCCUGAGCCCCCUAAAGUAUCACAGGAACAUCAUCGGGAUAACAUCAUAGUAUCAUAAGUAUUCACAUCAUGUUCAUUGAUUCAAGUAAAGCAAUAGCAUAAUGCUAACCAUGAUAACCCAAAAGGUAAAGAAGGAUAAGGUAAAUGGAAAGCUAGUCAAUCCUUAGGUUUCAAUUAAGUAAUGCGGGACAGUGCAUUAAAAGUGAAUGGGACAUAAUGGGUCAGAGGACACUUGCCUUCACCAAAUAGAUGCUCAGGGUCUUCCACUUUGUAGAAUUCGAAGAACUUGAUCCCACGAUCGUCGAAGCUUGACCAGCGAGCAGAGGUUGAAGACACGACGACGGCGAUUGCGUGGCGAGUAGGCGCGGCCGCGGUGCUGCUCGGCGCGGAGAGGCGCUGCAUAAUGGCGUAGACGACCGUGAGCACGGCGAGGCUGCUGUCGUGGCACGGCGGAGGCGGUGGUUGCUGCAGCGACUGCGAGGGAGAGGAGAGCAGAGCAGGGCCGAGCAGACGUGGGCGCUGGGUGGUUCCAUUUUUAGCGUUGUGGAUGUGUGCGUCUCGAAGAACAGGGAAGGAAUAUGGUUACAUGGGAGAGCUGACUGACAUGUGGGGCCCACAUACACUGCACAGCCUGGACAGCUGACAGGUGGGGCCCUAGCCAUGCACGGCGCGUGCCUGGUCUUGCCCCCGCUCCUGUGCGUGCGUGCAGGAUGGGAGUUUUUAGUGGGGGCGAGAGGGUUGGAUGGGAUUCUCUUUUUUUGUUUUGUUUUUUUUACUUUUUUUAAUUAUUUUCUUUCUCCCUUUUUAUAUAUAGGUAUAGAUAUAUAUAUUUAUAUAUAUGAUUAUUUUUAUUUACAUUAAAUCGUGCCCAUAUAAUUUGGAUUCAAUAGUUUUUCCUUCUUCUGAACGUAAAUACCACGAAAAUCAUUUUUUUGCAGACAUAAAUUAUGCUUCGGCAUGAGAUGCAACAAUCAAACUCCUCCAGGGCUCACUCCACUAGGUUCACGCUGAUAUAUAACAAAUAACUCACCUUUAUUUAGAAAAAAAAGAGACGAAAAGAAAAAAAAGAAGAGGGUAACACCUGAAUUUGGUGGAUAUUAGAAGAGAAAUUUUAUACCCCAAAUUCAGGGUGUUACAGCCGAAGAGCCUGAGGUGGAAAAAUAGUGAAAAUGCCAGAAAUUCUGAGCCCACCAGCUGAGGCAAAAUUGCCGAAGGUGCAAAGGGCUCUUGCCACAACUCCCAAAAGGAGGAGGAUGGCCAGCAUACUGGACGCUGUUCUGGAGACCACAAAGGCCUUGAGCCCUGCUCCUGCUAAGAAAAGUGCUGAAGCUGCCAAAGUCCAAGCCAGAGCCGAAGCUGGGCCUUUAGCUCCCAUUGAGACGAAGGCUGUUGCGCUUGAAGAUAAAGGUGGUCAACAGACUCUAGAUACCGGCAUGGCAGCAGGGCAAGACAUGUCAAGAAAAGCAAAAUCCCCUGCCCCUGAAGCUUCAAUUGAAGAUGUUAAUUACAUUUUUUGACAUGCUUCGGGGAAAAAUUAUCCGAAGAAGAAAUCCAGUAAGCCAGGCAUUAUGCCCAAAAACUAAAAUAUCCAAAGGGGGGUUUAGUGUUCAAUGGCACUAACGAAGAUGAUUUCCUAUACUAUCUCCCGGACAACAAAGAAAUAUCCGUUUGCCGGGAGAUAGCUAAAAGUAUGGGAUUUUCGAAGCUUGAGGAAGGCCUUUCGGUUAUGUCAAAGGAUGAUCUUGCUGAUAGCCUUGCGUACAACAGUAUAAAGGUAUAGAAGUUAAUUUUGAAGUUAGAAAAUGAAGUAUUUUAUUGCCAUGCUCAAUUCUUUCUCCUUCUUUGCAGGGCUUAAUUCUUAGUAAUGCCUUGAGGGCACAAAAGAGCGUCGAAGACGAAGGCUGUACAAUGGCUCUUAACAACCUUCGCUCAGAGGUGAUUGAACUGAGGAAUGAAGGUCUAGAGAAAGACAAAAUUUUGAUUUCAUUGGUGAUUAAAAUAAAAGAAGACGAAGCUAAGUACAAUGCUCAGGCCGAAGCCCAAAACGCUGAGGUUGAAGACCUUCGGAGACAACUGGCCGAAGCUAAGGAGAACUGAGCGCUCGCACAGGCUAACCAAGAGAUUAGUGAAUAUUGGAAGAAUAAACUAGAGAAAAAUGUUGAAGAACUUCGCGAAUCCAAGGAAAAGUGUUUUGAAAAAUCCUUGGAUUGCAUGAAGAAAUUAAAAACUAGCUUCUCCAAAGUGUGUGCCUAUUCUUCUGAAGAAAAUUUUAUCCGAGGUGACCCCAAAGGUGUUAUUGAAUGGAUAAGUGGAGAAGUCAAAGCCUUCGAGGAAAUCUUGAAUGAUCGCGGGGAUAUUUGUGCGUUUUCCGGCGCUCACGGGAUCUCAACUAUUCUGGAGAAGGCCGAAUGUGAUCACGUCAAGGCUAUAGCCCAGGCCGAAGCUGCCUUCUCCUUCGACGAUACGAAGGAUCCUUCAGCCGAAGCAACUUUAGUGGGCAGGAAAUUUUAUUCUGAUGUCUGGGUGAACGGUGGCCGAGAGCUGGCCAGCGAAAUUAUAAAAAGAAUGAAAAAGACACCCACGACGCCCGGGAAGAAGCAAAGCGAGCUGAAGAGGCUGCUGAACGCGAAAGGCGCAUAGGUAUAGUUUUUGAUUUUUUGGCUUCAGUACUUUCUAUGUAGCUUCAAAACUAAUAGUUUACUUACUACAGCUGAACUAUCCCCGCCACCGGAGCCGUACAAUCCCCUAGCUGAUCCAGAGAUGAAGGAAGUACUGGAUAUUAUAAGCAUGGCGAACUCCAUUAUCGACGAAGCCGUCGAUAAACUUUUGAACGAAGUCGCAGAAAAAGUCCUUAGAGAAGAAUAGAUUUUGUUGUAAUAAUGUUUUGAAAUGCUUGAUUGUAAGGGACAAUUGAAUGAAGAUUAGGCUUCUGUUGUAACAAAACUAUGUAACAUUUGAUGUAUGUAAUAUUGAACCGAAUGUGUAAGCUGUUGUAAUUUAUUUCUUUGCGAUGCAUGAAACAUACACACAUACCGCUUUUUGAGCCUUCGGUGAAAAAACACCUUCCCUUCUUUUCAUGCUUCAUAAAGAAGGAAACCACUUCUAGGGCAGAUCUGAUAGAAUUGUCACCCGAAGUUUGCUUCGUGCCUUAGCACAUUUUCAUUUAAUCGAAGUAUUUCCAAAGAUUUGCUUCGUAUUCAGUCUUUCUGUUGAUGCGAUAUGAUGUAUGAUGUGAUGCUAUGCUAAAUGAUGUGAUGAUAUGAUGCAAUAUGAUGAUGCUUUAACACCCACACAUACGCCCAAACUGGUACACGGAAGACUCUGCAUCCCCUUAGGAACGUCUUUUGAGUUUAAGCUCUGCAUCCCAUUAGGAACGACUUUUGAGCUUCUUCACCUUCUAUUUCGGUGGUAUAAGUUCUGCAUCCCCUUAGGAACGACUUUUGAACUUCUUCGCCUUAUAUUUCGGCGGUAUUUGGCUUUGCAUUCCCUUUGAAACGACUUUUGAGCAGAAAACUUACACUGUGCUCCCUUAGGAACGACUUUUUGUAGCUUCGUCAAUUUUGGCUCUGCAUUCCCUUAGAAACGACUUUUGAGCAGAAAACUUACAUUGUGCUCCCUUCGGAACGACUUUUUGUAGCUUCGUCAAUUUUUGCUCUGUAUUCCCUUAGGAACGACUUUUGAGCUUCGAAAUUUACUUCGUUCCUUUAAGAGUCGUCUUUCGAGCUUCGUAAAUUUAUGAAGAAGACAUAUUUCAUUCUGGUGUAGGCAAAAUUAUUACAAGAAAUUGAAACUGAGUUUUUCAUUACUUGUUUCUCACACAGAAAGUAAAAUGGCAUAAAAUAUAAAAGUACUUCAGAAGUAGGAUAUUCCUCAGUAUAUGUGCUUCGAUUCUGGUACAGUGUUGUUGACUGUACGAGCUUCGGACUCCUCCCUGAAGUCACAUUGCUGUUGGGGGUGCUGGCGCCCUUCUGGCUGCUGGCUUUGGGUAUGAGUAGGUGGCAAUGGUGGUGGCGGUGGAAGCUGAGGCCAGGAAGCUUGUGAAUGGCUUGCCGAAGCAACAGAAGCUGCAGGUUGAUUGCCCACAUAUUCUGGUAUGUAGGGAGAGUAGCAUGAAGCAGUAUGUAAAACCUGCUUCGGCUGGUUCUGCCGGGCUUCUGCUUCAGCAAUCUCUUUUUGCUUUUGAAUGGUAAUCUGGCAUGUUUUUGUAGUGUGGCCCUUGUCUUCACCAUAGAAUAAGCAAUAGAUUUUCCUGGGCUGAUCCUCAUAUCUUCCUCCGAAGCUCCUGUCGCCUCUACCCCUUGGCGCUGGUGGCCUGAAGGAGCUUUGCUGCUGCCCUGAAGACUGUGAGCUAUGUUGUGGCCUCUGAAACUGGUUUCCAUUGUCAUCACUCUGACUGGAGCUGUGGAUUGAUCUGACAUGGCUAGGGUGGAUUCUUUCUUCGAAGCCCCUAGUCAUCUCAGAAAACCUAUAAGCUUCUUCCCUUCUCUGGCGAAAAUCAUUAUUGGCUCGAAUGUACUCAUCCAUCUUCUGAAGCAGCUUCUCCAGGGUCUGAGGGGGUUUCCUGGCGAAGUAUUGAGCCGUAGGCCCUGGUCGAAGACCCUUGAUCAUGGCCUCAAUGACGAUUUCAUUGGGCACUGUUGGCGCUUGUGCUCUCAGAUGCAAGAACCUUUGGACGUACGCCUGAAGGUACUCCUCAUGAUCUUGUGUGCACUGGAACAAGGCCUGAGCAGUAACUGGCUUCGUCUGAAACCCUUGAAAACUGGUGACCAACAUGUCCUUAAGCUUCUGCCAUGAUGUGAUUGUCCCUGGCCAGAAAGAGGAGAACCAUGUCUGGGCCACACUUCGGACUACCAUGACGAAGGACUUCGCCAUGACAGCGACGUUGCCUCCAUAUGAGGAUAUUGUUGCCUCAUAGCUCAUCAAGAAUUGCUUUGGGUCCGAGUGCCCAUCAUACAUGGGAAGCUAGGGUGGCUUGUAUGAUGAAGGCCAUGGUGUAGCCUGCAGUUCUGCUAACAGAGGAGAAGCAACAUCAAAAGCAAAAUUUCCAUGGUGGAAAUCGUCAUACCAAAUGUCAUCAUCAUAGGAAUUGUCCUGGCGAAGCUCUGUGCGUUGAGUUCGCCGGUCCUGGUCAUCUUGGGUGAGAUGACGCAUUUCCUCAGCGGCUCUGUCGAUCUUCCUCUAAAGAUCAGCAAGAUGAAUCAUCUUCUCCUUCUUUAUUUGGACUUGCUGAUGAAUGGCUUCGAGGUCCUUGAUCUCCUGGUCUAACUCUUCCUCCUGAGGCGUUGGACUUGUAGCCUUCCUUUUUUGGCUUCGGGCUUCGUGCAAUGUGUCUUGGUUGACGUCUAGUGGCUGCAGUGCAGCCCCUAGCCCUGAAGCUUUCUUCGGUGGCAUGACGAAGGUCACAGCUUGCCGAAGGUGGUCGAAUGAGUUCACCGGAGGUGGGCGCCAAUGUUGGGGACUUGUUCUCAAAUACUAUGAGUUGAGAACAAGGCAACACAAAAUGUUAAUGGUUAAAGACCUUCGUCCUUCGGAGCAUUAUCUCCCUUAGGAUAUAAUGGUCUUCGGACGAAGGUUAUGAAGGAUGUACCUUCAUCAUCUCAGUAUAUAAUAAAGCAAGUAGAAGCAUAUGAAACAUGGAAAAUAACAUGAAUAACUAUAUGAUAUUAUCAGAACAUUUUUAUUAUCUUAUCAUGAAUAAACAUGAACAGUAUCGAAUUACAUUUAUACCUUCGGCUUGACAGAAGGUAAAAAUCCAAGCGUGACGUGCGAGUGAAUACAUGUCAGCAUGAACAGUACAGUGUCACUGUUCAUUUAUUUAUAGGCACAGGAUGCAGCCUGUGUAGAAUUACAUUCAUGCCCUUGACAUUUACUAUUGACUUGGGGAUAAUCUAUCGAGGACUAGACAGCCUUUUCCCCUUUAAGUCGGUUUCAUUUUCCAUCGCUAAGACGAAGCUUUUUCACUGGUAGCUUCGGCACUGGUUCAUCCUUCUCCCGAACUGCGCUCUUCAUAUCAUGUACAACUUCAUCCCAUGUCCGAAGGUUCCUGUACAUAUAUUAUACUUGGAAAACAUGUUAGUCGUGUUUUUGAGGACCUUCGGAAGACGAAGGCCCCCAAUAGUACCGAAUGCUGAAUUUGUCAAAAGAAUGAAUUAUGCCCCAACAUUUUUCAAGGUAACUGUUUAGAGUACCAUCAAAACAUUGAUAUUCUUCUACUACUUGUUGGACAACCAGCUGAGAAUCACCAAAUGCCCUGACAUGUUUUACUCCCAUACAACUUAACAUCUCCAAGCCGAACAAAAGGGCAUCAUAUUUGGCUUGAUUGUUAGUGCAAUAAGUUUUUAAUCAGCUAGAGAAGUUGAAAGAGACAUUACUUGGUGAAACAAGCACGAUGCCAAUUUCUUGUCCUUCAUUGCAAACCGAUCCAUCAAAAUAUAAAAUCCAGGGAGUAACAGUGAGAUAUGAUAUGUCUAGUUUAUGAGUGUCAUCAAUCUGAUGUUCUACAAAAAAAGUCUGCUACGACAUGGCCUUUCAUAGAUUUCAAUGGUUCAUAAGCCAAGUCAUAUUCUAUGAGUGCAUAAGCCCAUUUACUAAUUCUACCACUCAUAAUCGGGUUUUGCAACAUGUAUUUGAUCACAUCGGUUUGACCGGAAACGGUGCAAUGAUUAGACAACAAAUAACAUCUACACUUGGUGCAUGCAUAAAACAGGCAUAAGCAUAACUUCUCGAUGAAAGUGUACCUUAUUUCAGAAUCCACCAGCCUCUGACUUAGAUAGGUCACCACAUGCUGCUUUCCUCUGGUCUCUUGCGUCAGAACAGCCCUAAUAACCUUAUCUUCAGCUGCAAUCUACAAUCUGAACGGUACUCCUACUUGCGUUGCUUUUAACACCGGAGCCGAAGACAAAUAUUUUCUGAUGAGAUCAAACGCUUCCUGUUGUUCUGCCCCCAGGUGAAUUCGGCAUCAUUUUUAAGCUGAAGGAUAGGGGUGAAGGCAUCAAUCUUCCCAGCUAGGUUAGAAAUAAACCUUCGUAAAUAAUUUAUCUUGCUAAGGAACUUCUGCACUUCGACCUUACAGGUCGGAGGUCCCACAUUCCGAAUGGAUUUAAUUCGGUCAGGUUCUACCUCUAUACCAUGUUCAUGAAUGAUGAACCCUAAGAACUUACCAGCUGACACUCCAAAAGCACAUUUACGUGUGUUCAUUUUCAGAUCAUACCGACGAAUUUUAUCAAAGGCUUUGCGCAAAUCAUCUAUAUGAGAACUAAACUCAGCCGAUUUGACUACAAUAUCAUCAAUGUAGACUUCCACAGUGUUUCCCAAUAGCUCGUGAAAGAUCAAAUUCAUAGCCCUCUGAUAAGUAGCACCAGCAUUUUUCAGACCAAAUGUCAUGACAACCCACUCAAAUAAACCAAUGAAGCCUAGACAUAUAAAGGUCGUUUUAGACAAAUCUUCUUCGGCCAUGAAAAUCUGAUUAUAUCUGGCAUUACCAUCAAGAAAGCUAAUAAUUCUAUUCCCUGGCGCAUUAUUGAUUAAUGUCGGCUAUGGGCAUGGGAUAUUCAUCUUUAGGAGUUGCUCUAUUUAAAUUGCGAAAAUCAAUGCAUACUCUAAGCUUACCUGAUUCUUUCUUUUCCAUUGGCACAAUAUUGGAGACCCACUCUAUGUAUCUGCAAGGUCUAAUAAAAUUAGCUUCUAGCAGCCAGUGAAUUUCGUCCUUUAUUCAUGGGAGAAGGUCUAGAUGAAAUGUUCUAGCUUUCUGUUUGAAAGGUCUAAAACUGGACUUAAUGGGCAGUCGAUGAUCUACUAUCUCACGUCUUAAUCCCGGCAUCUCAGUCUAAUUCCAAGCAAAGCAAUCAGAAUAUUCUUUCAAUAGACUGAUCAUUUCAUCUAUAGGAUCGGUCUCUAGGGUCUUAUUCACAAAAGUCGCCUUGGAGUAUUACCAUCUCCUAUAUCAAUCUCCUUCAAAGGAUCAGCCGAUGUAAACCCCUGUCCUAAUUUGUUAAGAUCUCUGAAUUCCUCUAUUAUGUCUCCCACAGAGGAAUUAGAUGAUCUUUGUGUGACGGCGGACCCUCUGGUCUCGGGGGCCGGAUCAUCCGCGACACUGGUUUUAUGCUAUGGUGAAUGUUCGGUCUUAAAAGCUGAACUGUCUUGUAAAAGACCGGACCGUCCGACCUCAGAAGUUGGACUGUCCGCGACCAGAGACUCAUUCAUUCUGUGUACUCAUCAUUUAAACUUUAUUUAGGAUUUAGCUGAUUGUCUAUCGGGUCUAGCAUUACAGGAAUGAAACCCUUUUUAUCUAUAUUUAUGAACUGAUAAUCAGAAAAAUCUACUCCUGUGAGACACGUAGUAGUCUCAUAGGUCCAAAGUACAGGGGCAUCGGCCACAGCGAUACAGGCCGAUGCAUCAACAUGUACUUGCUCUACAUCGUCGCCUUCCCAUUGUAGUAACAUUUGAUGUAACGUAGAAGGUACACAUUGGAUAGCAUGAAUCCAAUCCCUACCUAGGAUUAGACUGUAAUUUCCUUCUACAUCAGCAACGAAUAAUGCAGCAGCAAGGGUCUUAGUCACGAUGGUUAACUCAACGGACAUGACUCUCUUGGCUUUGAUCGAACUAUCAGUUCCAACGCCGCUGAGGGUCAUGUUGGUCUUGACAAGUUCAUCAUCUUGUUUACCUAGUUUUCUGUAUAAUGAAUAAGGCAUUAGAUUUACAGCCCCCCCCAUCUACCAACAUUUUAGCACGGUAUCCCAUUAAUGUGACCGCGCACGAAGAGCGACUUCAAAUGAUUUACCGAUUCCUUUGGUUUAGUGAAGGCGACUUCUUUAGGACCAAAGUCAAACUGAGCAACGACAAGUUCAUCAUCGCCGACAAUAGUACAAUCGGCGGAAAUGUAAUCAAAUUUAUGUUCAUACCUGUGUGCUCUGAAGAAGCCUCGUAGUCGACCAGGUCCUCUCCUAGUAGGUCGUCCUCCUCCAUGGGCGUCGGCACGUCGUUGGAGGUGUCCUGGUGUAGUGUGGGCGGUCCGGACUCGAGAGUCGGACGGUCCGUGUCAUCUGCGGAUGGUCCGACCUUUAUAGCCGGACUGUAUGCCGUACCUGCAGAGAGCUGUGGAGUUGCUGUCUCAUUCUCUAUCUUCGUGGCCGUUUGAUUUAUCUCAACGGCCUUUGGCCUCCACCUCUUUUGCGGUGGGGGGUACUAUGGAUGUGUGUCAUUAAAUAUUUUUCCGCUUCCUUUUCUUGGUUCUCCUUCGCUCUUAGGCACUGUAGUUUUCGCUUUUGGGACCGUGUCAAUCCCGAUGGGCACCAUCGAGGCAUAGAGUAUUUUGGAUCGGCUAUUUUGAUGGCAGUUGUAUCUUUUUUUGUUUGUGUUGGCCGAUUCACCAAAAAUCAUCGGUCCUUCAUUAUUUUCCUGUAUGACAACAUCUGUUGUACCUAUUUUGAUGAUGUCCUUUUUUGUCGUUCUCUCAGUUGCUGUAGGUAUAUGCCCCCCUGUUGGAUUGGUCGGCCUUUGCGGCCGAUUAGUCCGGUAAUCUUGCUGGGCUUGUGCCUGGUGAACGGAUUGAGUGGCGCUCAAUUGGUCUUGUACUAGUGGUGCCAACCUGAUGAAUACAGAUACUUGGGGUGCCCCCCAAGCAGGAUACUGUGGCAUCCCAAAUGGAUAUGGUGGCAUACCCCACAUUUGAUUUGGUGCGUAUGGCAGUGGUACAUAUGCAUAUUGAUAUGGCAUAGGUAGAUAUGGGAGUGGAUGUGUCCAUGCAGUUAUGCUAGGCCUCAACUGGACAGUAUGACCUUCCAUUUUUUCCGAUUGGUGAGGUGGUCCAAUCGGUCUUACCUGCUGUUGCUCCUGUAUGGGCGAGCGAGGUCGCUUCGCUGGCUGGUCACUUGGAACGGCCUUCUUUUUUACAUAUGUCGGGGACCAUAAUUAGGGGUACCCUCAAGGCUCCUAAUUCUCAGCUGGUAACCCCCAUCAGCAUAAAGCUGCAAAGGCCUGAUGGGUGCGAUUAAGUCAGGGAUCAGUCCAUUCGAGGGACUCGAUCAUGCCUCGCCUGAGCCCAGCCUCGGACAAGGGCAGCCGACCCCAAAGGAUUUCCGUCUCGCACGAGGCCCCCCUCCAGCGGCGAAUAUAUUUCCGGCUCGCCCGAGGCCCUAUCUUCGCCAAGAAGCAACCAUGACCAAAUCACCGCACCGACCGACCAAAUCGCAGGAGCAUUUAAUGCAAAGGUGGCCUGACACCUUUAUCCUGACUUGCGCCCCCCAGCCGGCAGAGCCGAAGCGACCGCCGUCACUUCGCCGCUCCACUGACCGGCCUGACAGAAGGACAGCGCCGCCUGCGCCACUCCGACUGCGGUGCCACUUGACAGGGUGAGAAUGACAGGCAGUCAGGCCCGGCCGAAGGCACCAUAGGAAACUCCGCUCCGCCCGACCCAGGGCUCGGACUCGGGCUAAGUCCUGGAAGACGGCGAACUCCGCUCCGCCCGACCCAGGGCUCGGACUCGGGCUAAGUCCCGGAAGACGGCGAACUCCGCUCCGCCCGACCUAGGGCUCGGACUCGGGCUAAGUCCCGGAAGACGGCGAACUCCGCUCCGCCCGACCCAGGGCUCGGACUUGGGCUCAGCCCUAGAAGACGACGAACUCCGCUCCGCCCGACCCCAGGGCUCGGGCUCCGCCCUGGCCUCAGCUGACGGCCUCCGCCUCGCCCGACCCAGGGGCUCGGACUCGACCUCGGCCACGGAAGGCAGAUUCGACCUCGGCCACGGAAGACAGACUCGACCUCGGCCACGGAAGACAGACUCGACCUCGGCUUCGGAGGAGCUUCCACAUCGCCCAACCUAGGGCGCAGACCCACCACGUCAACAGGAGGCACCAUCAUCACCCUACCCCGAGCUGACUCGGGCCGCAGGGAACAAGACCGGCGUCCCAUCUGGCUCGCUCCGCCAGAUGGGCGAUGAUGGCGCCUCGCAUACUCUGUGACGACGGCGGCUCUCAGCCCCCUUACGGAAGCAAGAGGACGUCAGCAAGGACUCGACAGCCCUGACAGCUGUCCCUCCGCAAGGAUCCAGCACUCCUCCGACGGCCACGACAUCACACCAGCUGGGUGCCAAAAUCUCUCCGGCUGCCACGACGGCAUGUACUUAGGGCGCUAGCUCUCCUCCGCUAGACACGUAGCACUCUGCUACACCCCCAUUGUACACUUGGAUCCUCUCCUUACGCCUAUAAAAGGAAGGACCAGGGCCCUCUUAGAGAGGGUUGGCCGCGCGGGGACGAGGACGAGACAGGCGCUCGCUCGGAGCCGCUCGCUCCCUCACCCGCGUUGACGCUUGUAACCCCCUACUGCAAGCGCACCCGACCUGGGCGCGGGACAAACACGAAGGCCGCGGGAUUCCCACCUCUCUCACGCCGGUCUCCGGCCGCCUCGCUUUUCCCCCUUCGCGCUCGCCCUCGCGCUCGACCCAUCUGGGCUGGGGCACGCGGCGACAUUCACUUGUCGGCUUAGGGACCCCCCAGUCUCGAAACGCCGACAACAUAUUGAGACAAUAACUGGUUAAAGGUUGGGCCGGAUCUUACCAGUCGGCCAGCUGCCUUUACUGUGUUAGUUUUCCACGUACCUAUUUCUGGUCGUCGUGGUUUGAAGGUACGUGGUCGUUGUGGUUCCUGGGUGUUGCCGAACCGUCCACAAGAAUGGUCUGGACUUUCUGGCGGUGUCCCAGACCAUCCGCGUCUAUGCGUCGGACCGUCCGCGAUGCACAAAAUAGGUGUACGCGCCUGGUCCCUUGCUUGCAUCCGCCCCCCAGCGUUGGAGGUGGUGAUGGUAACUUUCAAAGUCUCCCCUCCUUUAGGAGUCUUUUCCGCCACCACUUUCCUGUAAGAGAUUUUAUUAUUCUCAUUGGCCUUCCGCGCGUCGCCAAUGAUGACUUCUUUGCCUUUGCCCUUAUCGGCUGUGCUGGGCUAAAUUAGGACCUUUUUGCCCUCGAAGUCGAUCACAUUCAUUGGGAAGGGUUCCGUAUCCACCUGCAUUUCCUGAAAUUUCAAUCGUCCCUCGUUAAUGGCUGAUUGAAUUUGUCGUCGGAACACAUUACAAUCAUUAGUGGCAUGAGAAAAUGAGUUAUGCCACUUGUAGUAUGCACGGCGUUUUAGUUCGCGGCAGAUGGAACAGUAUGAUUUAUUUUAAUGUUGCCAUUUUUGAGUAAUUCAUCAAAUAUUUUGUCACAUUUGCCAACAUUAAAUGUAAACUUAACCUCCUCUUGUCGUUUCUUUUGAACCGGCUGUAAGGAGGAACAAGCCGAAGAUUUGGCCUGCUUUGGCCAAACCAUUUCAGCCGCGUAUACUUCUGUUGAUUCGUCAUCCGAGCUGCUUUGGUCUCGCUCUACUAUAUGCACGUUGUGAUGAACUGUUUUAGCAGUUUCUUUGCUUCGGCUUUCACAAGCCAAAGCUCUUUGAUGUAAUUGUGCUAGCGUAAAAAACUGGAAACCUUCUAAUCUUUCCUUUAAAUAAUAUCGUAGUCCAUUAAAGGCUAAUCCUGCUAGUUGUUUGAGUUAUGUGGUGCAUUACUAUUUGCCCUAUAUGGUUCAUAGGAUUGACCGUUCCUUUCCGGCCUUCUAAGCGGGGCCGGAAAGUACUCGCCCUCGUGGGCUUGGGAUUUUGUAUUAAGGUACAGGGGUGCCGUAGGAUAUGAUGGGAAGUUUUGCUGGGACGAAUUGGGAUCCAAGUAACAAUCCCCCUCAAAAAAUUAUGCGCCGGACUGUCUGGUUGGAUACGCGGAUCGUCCUGUGGUAUGCGCGGACUGUUCGGUCACGUGGCCGGACCGUCCGUUGUUGUAUGCGGACCGUCCGUCGCUAUAUGCGGACGGUCCGACUGGGUAGUUUAGGGUUUGUGCAGUACGUGGUUGCUCGGGCGCAUGUCUCGGUAACUCAGUAAAAAUGGGACCGGCCGUUGCUGGCCCGGACGGUCCGCGCUCACGUGUGGACGGUCCGGAUAUGUGCAAAUCAGCUAAUAUAUUGCUGAUGUAAAUAGGAGGUUGUGGUUGCUCGGGGUAUGUGUCUAUCAGUAUCCCAUAAAAGGGUUGUGAUUGGUCGUGACAACUUGUAGCCGAUGAAUUACACGUGUUUUCCCCCAAUUCAACCUCGUGCGAAGGAAAAUUUGCGACGGUAGAUUUAUCGAACACACGUACUAGCCUCCUAUAAUCCUUUUGCAUACCCCCUAUGAUAUUUUGCAUUUGGUCUCGCUUCUCAUCUAUAUAAAUUUUAAGAGAUUGGAGCUCGUUUGUGUUGCUUACCUCGGGGGUAGUCGUGGUAGGUCGAAGCGAAGCCAGAUCUGUCACCCAUUGCCGAACGACUUUGUUGUUCCUGUCCACCUUGAAGUUCACCAGGAACUUCGCCUUUGCUUCUUGGAUCAGCUGCUCUUUGUGCUCCUCAAACUGCAGAUGUUCAUCAGCCGACAAGGUUUCCCAAGUUGGCUCUAUGGUGUUGCUGGGGGAGACUUCAGAGUUAUCCCUUGAACCGGCCAUUGAGGGCCGAUCUGACAGGUCUAUAUGUGAUGUCCCCAGCAGAGUCGCCAAAAAGUAUGUUGACACCUUUUCGGGCACCAAUCACUAUAACAAGAACCGGCGGCGGUGCUCUCUACACAGGCGCGAACGGUCCACGGCUAGGGGCCGGACGGUCCAAGACCUGGCUGUCACACCCGGUUUUGGAAGGCAAACCGAAUGUGAACCAUGUACGUGCCAGGAUCAGAACUCACGUACACAGCGAUUACAUAAUUGGACAUCAUCACACAAUUGAAGCGUCCCCAAUCCUCUGGGACUCAAAUGUGAUACAAUUACUAGUCCCAGGAGGCUAGUAAACACAUUUAUACAUCAGAUGAUUCCAGAUAUGCUUAAAUGAGACAAACCUAUAAAUGUGACGAUCAACUUUAAGAGUUGGUCCACAACUCGGGACAUAUCAUCAGAGUAAGGCUGAAGCAGCCCGAUAUACGCAGCGAAGCAAAUCAGCGGUGCAACAGCCACAUGCAAGGUUGGGAACAGUCGUAACUCUUACCCGAUCUCCUUUUUCUGAAAAACAACAAAUAAGCAAGGGUGAGUACAAACGUACUCAGCAGCCCACCUUCACCCGUGGAAUGGGGAAAUCAGAUAUAAUGCAUGGAAUAUGUGGAGCUCAGGAUAUUUUGCAGAAAUAGCAAUAUUUUAUGCAGGGUUAUUUUGAAAAACAUUUUGUAUUUUUGCAAAGCGCAUCCUCUCCAAAAGAAGUAGGAAGUUUUUCAAUAUUAGAACAAAAUCCCCUGGACUAAACCAUCCAGGUAUCUCAGCAGUUUCCCACUGGUUUUCCUUUUCAAAAACAGCUACUGGACUUCCCGUCCACCAUAGCUCACGGCUCAACCGUCGAACCUUUUAAAACCAUUUUUCUCAAACGCACCCUUUUUUGAAAACAAAACAUUAAUUGCCAUACCAUACCAGACUCGUCCAUUCCUGUGGACACGGACUAUUCGAAUAGGUUUUCAAACUCUGCGCAGAGGUGUACACUUUACCCACUAGUCCGGCUCUGCGAUCUCAUAGCUAGCGAGACCCGAAUCCGAAUCUCUUUCUUUCCCCACACGUCCUAACCUUAACGGUUAUCCGGAAGGAGUCAGGCCGCCACCAUGUUCAAACCGGACAAAACUUUCCCCCUCCUUAUCCUCCCGGUGCUCCCCAGCCUUCAUAACCCUGGGGUCGGACCGCACGAGUUCAGAUUGAGUGACUGCCCACACAGUCUCGAGUGGUUGUACUAUUAAAGAGUACAGGUAGUGAAGAUGACAAAUCGGUCCUUAUAUGAGGGGACAAUCCUUCUGCUCACGCCUAAACCAGCUGAGCCAACACCUUAGGCCCUUCCCUAAACCAGGGAGUCCCUGAUUAUCCCACUCACAAGGUGAUAAGGGUGAAAACCCUUCAUCAUACACAUUUUGAAAAGCAUUUUCUUUUGAAAACUCACACCUUUUCUCAAAUCAUUUGGAACAUAUAUAUCAGGGAUUGAUUGUGGCAAGCGGCUUGGGUGGCCAUAAUAACUUGUCUCAAAAUCAUAUCAUGCAUAAAAUAACAGGCUGAGGGUUGUGGUUGAAAAAUCAUAGGUAAUUUAUGCAUCAAAGGGAUCCAGUGAGCUUGCCGUGCUUAUCCAGCGAAGGGGGAAGGAGAGCUCGCGGAACUGGCUUCUAGCUCCACCGCCUGGCGUAGACUUGCAGAUCUGGCCUCCACGAGACGGCACGAAUGCUUCGAUAACUAUGCAACAUGAAUAAGCAAACAUACAAACAAGCAUGUAUACCAACAAAUAUUUAGCAUAGUGGUCAGAAUAGUGAUAUAUGGAUGGGUAGAGUCUUGAGUAGAAUCUGUGUCAUGUGGUGUUGUGAUAUUACUGGUGGUGGAGCGGAGGUGCUUACGAGGAGGGUGGACUGGAGGCGAAGCGACACUAUGCGUGUAGCCGGCAGAGCAGAGUAACUGAGUGGGUGGGGUGUUUGCCUUGGCUGAGGGUGUUGAGUGUGUGUGGAGAGGGAGAGGGUAGCUGGGUGUAUGUGGUGUAGCACAGUGAAGUUCACUGUUGGUGAGAAUAGUGACGAAUGAAUCGUCUGACUUAGUAUGAACAGGAGAGUUAUAGGCAGAAUAUGGGACAAGAGUAUUUUGGGAGUUUUCUGGAAUAUGAACCAUGCUUAAGGGAUGGCAUGGUUGGAUAGGGAAUAGUUUGAUAAGAAUUUAGAAACGAGAAUUAUUGGAAUCUGAGUUUGGAAGCCUGGUUCGAAGGAAUCUCAAGUUAAGCGUGCUCAACUUGGAGAAACCUAGGAUGGGUGACCAGAUGGGAAGUUCCCACUGGAAGGAAAAUCACAGUUACUGGAGUUUGUAUAACUGGAAUAUGGGUCUGGCUGGUCUUAGGUGGACUGGACAACAUGAUGGAUGAGUAGUUGAAAUUUGGGGUGAUCGGAUGAUCGAUGAAUAGUAACGGUAAAAAGUAACGGUAAAUAGUGAGAGUAAAUAGUGACGGUAAAUAGUAACAGUAAAUAGUGACGGUAAAUAGUAACGGUGAAUAGUAACGAUGAAUAGUAACGGUGAAUAGUAACGGUAAUUAGUGAUGGUGAUUAGUUCGUAUGAACGAACGAUGAACGGUGAAUAGUGACGAUGAACGAACGAUGAACGAUCGAAUGAUCGAACGAACGAACGAUCGGAAUUUCGGCAGCAUAACGGCAGGAAAAAGAUUAUUUGGACGAACGAACGGACGAACGAUCGAACGAUCGGACGAAUGGAUGAACGAACCAUGAACGAUCGGACGAACGAUCAAACGAUCGGACGCACGAACGAUCGGAAUUUCGGCAGCAUAACGGCAGGAAAAAGAUUAUUUGGACGAACGAACGGACGAACGAUCGAACGAUCGGACGAACGAACCAUGAACGAUCGGACAAACGAUCGAACGAUCGGACGAAUGAACGAACAAACUAAGAACAGGGGGACGAACGAUCGAAGAACGACCGAACGAUCCUUGUGCUAGUGUGUGCAUGUGUGGGAAGUGGAGUGGGAGUGGGAGUGGGCGUGUGGGUGUGGGGGGAGAGAGUUGCCAUGAAAUGGCUUGGGGUGGGAUGAGAGGAGGCCCUUGCCCCUCUAUUUAUAGCCAUGGUGGGGUAUUAGGGGGAGGGAUGAGAGGAUUAGUGGGAGGAUGAGAGGAUUAGUGGGAGAUUAGCAUGGAUUUGUCUUAUAUGAGUGUAAUUAGCUUGUAGAGCUUACCGUAUGACACCGGAGGCAUACGUAUACGUAUGAGCAUGAAGAAAGUUAUGAAGAAAAUAUUUGUGGGGGCUUGAAAAAUGAUUCUGAAGGUAUUUCUUAGGAAGAAAAUACUUGGAGAUAUAUCGGUGGAAUAUUUGGGUAGUAUUUCUGAAAGAGUUUGAGGGUGAUCACUGGGGAAAUAUUUGUAGGAUAUUUUGAGGAGGAUUUUAGAGAGAAUAUAGACCACUAUACUUUAUUUGUUGAUAUCAACUCGCAAACAAACAUUUUGAAAUGAAAUUUGAAACUCAUUUUGAAUUUAGAGCGAGUUUGAGAAAAUUUCAGGAUUUGAAUUUUUGGGAUGCUACAACAAUGCUCAAAGUAAAUAGCGGAAAGAUACUUUAUUUACAUCAAGAUGUCCAAGACAUCCAUAGAGUCUAAUACAUAGCCAUAGUCUUCAACAUUAAUAUCAAAGUGCGGAAAUAUGAAACGUAGAGGGUAAGCCUACAUAGGCAGCUGACUGGGGGUUUGCCACUAAGAUAAACUAGAACUCAUCGUAGUCCUGGAACUCCUCAAAGUCCUCCAUGUUUCCAUCAUCUCCUCCUGAGCACUGAGUACAGUGGGGACAACCUGGGGUGAGGUGGUUUGUAAAGCAAGGGUGAGUACACAUCAAGGUACUCAACAAAUGUCCUGUUUGGCUAAAGUGGACUAGUUGUAUGUAGAGUUAAGGUUAAGAAGUUGCUUUUAGUUGGUCAAGUUUUUAUUACUAUAAGUAGAGCCAGAUUUUAGUAAUAAACCCAGUUAUUACCCAGAAGCACUCCCUCCAAGAGGAAAUACCAGAGAUCAAAAUUAUAACCAUCAUUGCCAACCAUCAUCAUAAAAGUAACCAAAGUUCUUCUAAUCAAAGAGGAUCCCAAGGCCACUCUUAACCGUGAGCAUGGCUGAUAUACCAGUUUCUAACACUGUGCAGAGGUCGCACACUUUACCCACAAGUCGUGAUUCUCAUUCUGCUCGGGGUUCUAGCCUCCCCAUUGAUCACUACCAAGGUGACCUAGCAGGGUCUCACUAUGUAGCCUUUACAAAGAUUUCCCAGAGGUCAUAGUCGCCCGUUAGGUUUCUCUAGUUUGAUAAAUACAGUACAUCUCCCCAAAGGAAGGGUGACUAACAAAACCAAAUCAAGAACCUCUGCAACCAGCCUCGGCAGAGAAAGAACUGUGCCCAGACCCCCAAUGAUGGCCCUACGGCGAAGCCAAAUACUUCUCUGGUUCCUCUAAUUAAUUAGCUAAGGGCGUCCAAUUCCACCCUCAUGGUUGCACUGUUAUCCCGGGUUGUCACUCCCCAAACAGGUCCUUACGGAGAGGUACUCAGGAAACAGCCUGAGUCCCCUAAAGUAUCACAAGAACAUCAUCGGGAUAACAUCAUCGUAUCAUAAUAUUCACAUCAUGUUCAUUGAUUAAAGUAAAGCAAUAGCAUAAAGCUAAUAAUGAUAACCCAAAAGGUAAACAAGGGUAAGGUAAAUACAGACUAGUCAAUCCUUAGGUUUCAAUAAUGUAAUGUAGGACGGUGAAUUAUAAGUAUGUAGGACAUAAUAGGUCAGAGGACACUUGCCUUCACCAGGUUGUUGCACAGAAAGAUCUUCAGCAACACACUAAGGAACCACGGACUACUCGUUGUCUAAAUAAAGCGAUCAUGUAUUCAAUACAUUUGGUAAAUGACAAAUAAACAACACAUCAAUCAUGUACAAACAUGGGAACACAUCUCAAAAGAAAAGCAUAAACCCAAAAGGGAAAUCAAAUUAUAGGUGAACUAAUUCUCAUUUAGUAGUUAAUUAUUCCCUAAGUACUGUCAAUGAUUACAUAAUCUAAUUUAAUUACUUUCAAUGAGACAUAAAAAUUAAACCAAAGAUAAAUUCAUGUACUACACACUAUUAAUCCUACAAGAUUAAGUAUACUUUAAUCUCUAGGGUUUCCCUUUUAUUUAUUUUAUUAAAUGAAUAAAUCUACACAUAUACUAGUUCAUAGUUAACCAUAAAAAUUAGAGUGUGCAAGUAGUAAAUGUAACUAAUUUAUUUAAACAGAGAAUAUUCCUAUGAAUAUUUUGCAAUUUGAAUCACUAAAUUUGGAGUUCAUAUGCAAAAGAUAUGAAAUAAACAAGUUUGGAAAUUUAGAAUAUGAAAAUAGGUCUAAUUCUGUAAUUAUUUAAAAGCCAAGGGUUCAAUCUGCAGGAUUGCAGGGGCCUGCGUGCGAAAACCAGGGACGGCGGGUUGAUUCCCAACAAACCGAGGGUUUCUUACGCAAAAUAAUCACGCGAAGGGGUACGGGAUCUACUCAAUCGUCAGAUCUAAAACUAACGGCUAAGACUAGAUCAGCGGGCGAGGGCGCGCGCGGGCGAGCGAGCGCUGACAGGUGGGCCAGCGGUGUCAGCGAUCGAGAAGAGGGCGGACUGACCGAUUGGGCCCAGUGCCAGGGGGCACAGGGCUGACAGGCAGGUCCGGACGUGGGGCGCGCGUGCACAAAGCGGUAUCCCGUGAUCUAGGUCGUGCGAUAGAGAUCAGACAGGGAGAUCAAAGCCGGGGAGGGGUUAACGACUGCGGCGGCGCCGCUCCUUCUCGCGGCGGUGAGGUCGCCGGAGUUGAGGCGGGUGCGAGCUAUGGCGGCUCCGAGGUCGCCGGAGCCAGCCAAAAACGAAGGGGAAGGCACGACGAACUCACUGGUAGGGUUGUGACCGUGAGACCGGGGUCAGAGAGGGGAGAAUGGCUGAAGGAGGACUCCGGGCGGGUCGGGGUAACUCCGGUGAGGGAUUCCGGCCACGGGGAGGGGGUCUGAGGCGCGCUAAGGCCUGGACUAACUUCAGCAGGGUGAGGGGAACACCAGGCGACUGGACGACUGGCGUGGCAGGUGCGGGUCUCUAGUGAGGUCGAAUGGCGUGGGCAGAUCGCAAGAGAGGGCAAGGCUAUGCGAAAUGGGACGGGGGAGCGAGUGCGGGUGCGGGCGGUGCUCAAAAAGGAGAUGGGGUGCGUGGGUGGGCGACAUGGCCGGGGAUCUCGGCAUGCGUGCGCGAGUGCGCGCGUGUUGGUCCACGGCGGGCGCGGUGAAGGCGGAGCUGACAUGGCGGUCCCACGGCGCAGCGAGAGAGAGCGGGCGCGCGGGGGUAACGGUUCGGCACACUGACGAGACGGGCCAGCGAGGCAGAGGGGAGAGGGGCGCAUGGGUGAAGGCAACUAGCGCCGAUAGCCCGACCCCAUUGGGCAGAGAGAGGGAGAGAGAGAGCGUGUGGGGAAGGGAACCGCCGCUGACAGGUGGAGCCCACCUGUCAGGCGGCACGGGCGCACGGCCUGGCUGGGCCGAGCUGGGCCGGCUGGGCUGCUUUGGCCUUUUCAUUUUUCCUGGAAUUUCUAUUUGCUUUUCCAUUUCUUUUUUUCUAGGGUUUUCAAUUCAAAUUCGAAUCAAGUUUCAAAUUCAAACUAAUACAAACAUGUGCAACAAUUCAAAGAAUAUUUAAGGUCAGCAUGAUGCAACAUGUCAUGACUCACAAUGUUUUGGCAAAAACAAAUAAUUAAUCUCUCCUAAUUAAGCUAACUCUACUCAAAAGGGAAAAGGAGAGAGAGAAUCUAGAGAUAGAUAGAAACUAGAGAGAGAGAAGAGUAACACCUGAAUUUGGGUGAUAAUUAGAAAGAAAUUUUAUACCCCCAAAUUCAGGGUGUUACACUGGCGCAGGGCUAGGGUUCCUUAUCUGACGUGCCGGACGGUCCGCGCCCUAGGGCCAGACGGUCAGAGCGUGCGCAGGGGCGCCGAAGGUCACCGGCGGCGCCUGGAUCUCGCUCCCAGAAGGGACCCCAUCGGGGAGGAGAGACCGAGAGAUCAUAGGUGUUGUCUAGGCUCAGCAGGCCGACCUAGACUCCUCUGAUCGACAUAGAGUCAAGGAGAAGCAGAGGAUUUGGGGAUUGGGAGACUAAACUAGAACUAGACUAGAACUACUCAUAAAUGUACAAGAAAUAAAUGUGAGAUAAAUUGAUUAUUGAUUCGAUUGAUGAUGUUUAAUCGGUCGUAUUCCUCUGUAUUUAUAGAAUAGGGGGGCUGGACCCGUUACGAACAAAUCUCCCGAGUUAUUUCAGUGAAUCUAGCCAACAACAAUAGUGAGAAACUCGAAACCCUAAUUGACUCUGCGCACGCGUGGACUAUCCGGACCACCAGUGCGGACCGUCUGGACCGCGGACCAUCCGGCCGUCUCUUUUGGGGCUCAACAUAGCGCGCGCAGAAGAAUCGCGCAGGAGAUUAGGGCCACGACGGUGGCUGGGUGGGGGGAGGUCCACGACGGCAGCCGACCAGGGAUGAGUGACGGCGGCUGGGGUGGGGGAGGGUCGCGACGGCGGCUAGAAAAUUAGUGGAACCCUAAUCAUAACCUCCUUUGUUACCAUGUUACUAACCUUGGGAUUGACAAUAGAUGAUUAGUCCCUAAGGACUAUAUGUUAUAUAUAUAGGCAGUAGGCUAGGGUCUAAUGGGCCUUAACAAUGAGUACCUCAUCUGAAGGUACUGUGAUCAUACUGAUCAAGCAUUGGUUUUAGUUUAGAAUUGUUAGAUCAAGAAUUGGUUUCAGUUUGGUACUUUGGUUUCAGUUUAGAGUACCUCAUUUGAAGCUACUGCUGUUUGAGAAUUGAGACUUUGAGUCUACUAAUUGAUGCUUUGAUUACCUACUGUUGUAGUGUUGUAGUUCUAGGACCCUGUUUGAAGUAUAGUGCAUAUAACUAUAUAUAAUUAUAUAUGUCCUGAUUAGUACAGGGCGUUUAGGACGAUCAGUCACCGAUUAAUCGUCCUGGUCAACGUCCUAAUCGUGAUUAGUCGCCUAAUCGGUCACCAUCAACGACCUGGUGACUAGGCGACUUGAAAUCCAUGCACUUCAUCUUCUUCCUCCCUCUCAUAUUGACCAUCAAAUCCCACAUUUCAUACAUUAAGUGAAUACAUGGUGUGUUGGUGCCCACCAUACCUAUCAUUUCAUAUAUAGUAGUAAUCCUAAGAAUGUAGUUCACCUCAUCCCACCGUACAUCACUAAGUAUCCUGUCCUUCACAAGUUGGGCAGUUGGAGCAUCAUCUCUGUAGACUGUAGAUGCUGAUUGUUGGAGGGUUGUUUUUACUUCAACAAACUGUUUCAACAUACAUACAAUUGAGGCAAAUCUUGUUUCAUGAAUCGAAAGUAACUUCAAAAGGCUAAACUCAUUGAACAUUAAAAGCUGCAUGCCAAUUAUUUAUCAUAGCAGCCUCAGUUUUAAAAUAGCAAGAUCGAGGGUAUGCACAACAUGUGGUGUCCAAAAUAUGUUAUCAUAUUCAUCUUCUAUUACGACCCCAGCACCUUUGCAGUUUGCGGUGUUGUCUGUAAUGAUUUGUACCGCAUUGUUGACCUACUUCAAUAACACCCCCAACUUAUCAGCAAUGUAUUCUUUUGAUUUGUAUUUACUCACCUUGACAAUUAUCAGCCCUCAAGAACAAUGAUGCCUUCUCAGAAACAGCAAUAAAAUUAAUGAUUGGUCACCUCUGUGGAUCCAACCAACCAUCAGUGCAGAUUGUGACUCCCUUCUCUGCCCAUAUCCUGUAGCUCCACCUGUUCCUGCACCAACAUCGUCUAUGCCACAUGUGGUAGCAGGUGGUGCAUCUACAAUGUCUCCUAUGCAGUUUGUAGGAACUCCAGGCACUAAUAUGCCAAAGAAUGACAUGAGAAAUGUUAUGGACAAUAGAAAAAGGAAGUAUGCACCACCCCCGUUGCAAUCAUUCAACAGUCAUUUUAUGAAGUUAUUUGUACAUGCAUUGUUUUCUUUCCUUGCUAUUUUGUCUGUGCUAUGAAAUCAUUGGUGAACUAUUAUUUUUGAAGGACAUGAUCCAAUUCAGUUUGAUUUAUGGCCACUCUUCCAAUAUAGAUCAUGAAGAUUCUCCUUUCCUUACAGGAAAGAUGAUUGAGACUCUCAACAUGUUUUUUAGGGAAGCUAUAUCCACUUCCCCAUUCACUCUGGUUGCUCUUCUUCAUUGAUGAUGGUGGAGAAAUACUUCUACUUUACUACUCUAAUCUUUGGCCCAUUAUCCCAGUAAAAUUUAUCUGAAGUUCUGUCAACAAUGCAUAUUGAGUCAAGUGUUAUUCGUCCCAUUGUGCAAAUAAAGACUGGAUAAAGACUAGUCAAUUGAAAUGUGAACGUCAUGUAGCUGUGACUGAAUCUGCAUAUUUCUUUAGAGCUUAUAAAUGUGAUAUGAAUGUUUCAUAAAACUAUUGUUUGGCUGAUGAUAUGUAUACAUCUUCGUCGCAGGAUGGGCUAAUUGAAAUUCUUGCAACUUUUCAACGGACACUGCCGAAUUCGAGCACAGUUGCUGCCUCUGGAGCCUUAUUAUUUCAUUUUGUUUUAGUGCUGGUUAUUUGGCCAAGUAGUUGAGGGUUCGCGAGUUUUUAGAAUGGAAGCUUCUGUGUGAACAUAAGGUUGACUUAUUCCUUGUGGUUCGGGUUGAUGAUAAGUGAUUGUCAAUGGGUAGCACUCUGGGAUAGUCAGUGGACUGAUCAGAGUGUGAGAUUAUGCUUGUGCAACCAUGUCGGUCGACUUGUGGUGUGCAGGUGUGGAGCACAGUAACGGUGGUCGAUGGCUGAGGUGAAGGUCAUGCGAGCUCGUGCUGAUGGACCGGGAGCGGUGAAGGGCGAGUGUUGGGUCUUGACUGACGGAUCAGAGCAACCAGGUGACCAACCAUGGUGGCUGACACCUAGGACACGCACUUGUGUGAGGACGUGGUGGAGUGGACCGUGUUGCCGGCGUGGUCGAGGACUGGCGGGACACGCGUCUAAUCGUGGAGGACGUGCACGAGGUGCGGUGCUCAUGGCAGGUUUAUUGGUUUGGGCCUCAAAACCACCCAGCGCUACGGAUGGCUGAUUUUGCUGAGUUUGGGCCUCAAAACUCGGCGGUGGCGGUUUCAGAGGGAACUAGUGGCGGCACGCGGUAUGAUCGCGGAGGGUGCGUCAAGGCGAAGCAACUCCGUGUGAAGGACGUGGCCGUCGGAUCGAAAACUUAGGAGUUGGUCCAUUUUGCCCCCCGGUGGAGUGGAUAAGCUAUAUAUAAAACAAUUAUAAGUGAUAAAAUACCUCAAGCAAUGCAAUUUCUUUUGCCAUCUGAAAGUAAUUGAAAGUCGCCUAGAGGGGGUUAAUAGGCAAAUCUGAAAUUUAUAAACUUUAAGCACAACUACAAGCCGGGGUUAGCGUUAGAAAUAAAGUCGAGUCCGAAAGAGAGGGCGAAAACAAAUCACAAGCAAAUGAAGAGUGUGACACGGUGAUUUGUUUUACCGAGGUUCGGUUCUUGCAAACCUACUCCCCGUUGAGGUGGUCACAAAGACUGGGUCUCUUUCAACCCUUUCCCUCUCUCAAAUGGUCACCUAGACCGAGUGAGCUUUUCUCCUCAAUCAAUUGGGACACUUAGUCCCCACAAGGACCACCACACAAUUGGUGUCUCUUGCUUUGAUUACAAAUGUCUUGGAAAAAAGAAUGGGGAAGAAGAAAAGCGAUCCAAGCGACAAGAACUCAAAUGAACACAAAUAUCUCUCUCUCACUAGUCACUAUUUGUUUGGAGUGAUUCCGGACUUGGGAGAGGAUUUGAUCUUUGCUUUUGUGUCUUGGAGUGAAGUCUAGAGCUCUUGUAUUGAAUGUGUUGGCUGAAAAACUUGGAUGCCUUGAAGUGUGGUGGUUGGGGGGUAUUUAUAGCCCCAACCACCAAGGUGGCCGUUGGGAGGGGCUGCUGUCGAUGGGCGCACCGGACAGUCCGGUGCGCCACCGGACACUGUCCGGUGCGCCAGCCACGUCACCCAACCGUUAGGAUUCGACCGUUGGAGCUCUAACAUGUGGGGCCACCGAACAGUCCGGUGGUGCACCGGACAGGUAUUGUUCACUGUCCGAUGCACCUUCUGGCGCCUGCUCUGACUCUGCGCGAACUGUCCGCACACUGUAGCAUUGUCAGCCGACCGUUGAACUCGACCGUUGCGCUGGCGACCGUUGCUCCGCUGGCACACCGGAUAGUCCGGUGCUACACCGGACAGUCCGGUGAAUUAUAGCGGAGUGGCUCCCUAAAACCCCGAAGCUGAGCAGUUCAGAGUGGAUCUCCCUGGUGCACCGGACAGUCCGGUGCGCCAGACCAGGGUAGCCUUUGGUUGGUUUUGCUCCUUUCUAUUUGAACCCUUUCUUAGACUUUUUAUUGGUUUGUGUUGAACCUUUGCCACCUGUAGAACUUAUAAUCUAGAGCAAACUAGUUAGUCCAAUUAUUUGUGUUGGGAAAUUGAACCACCAAAAUCAUUUAGGAAAAGUUUGACACUAUUUCCCUUUCAGUAAUCAAAUAAGCCAUUAUUUAUAUUUCUGCAGAACUGGGAACUAAUUCUGGUGUUGUAGAUGAGGUAAUACUUGAUCCUUGAACUCCAAGCCCAAGAUUCACUUGGGAAGAUAUAUAGGAAUUCUGUGAAUUAAACUACAUAAAUAAAUUGAUCAGUGUGCAAAAGAAAAAGAAGUAGAACCACAAAAAGGCAUUAGGUGAAAACAAGCGAGUAUUUUUUUACAGAACUAUUCUACAAUGGAAAAAAAUACGGGCAACACAUUUGGAAACUUAUUUCACAGAAAUACAAUGUUUGUUUGCUCUUCUGUAUCACAACUAUAUUUUGAAUAAUGUAAACUACGUCCAUUGUCAUUUUAAAUCAGAAAAUAGACCUCUUAAAGAAUUUGUAUCGAAACCUAAACUUAUAUCAUCAUCCCAUUUCACAAACCUACACAUUUCAAAGUGCAGCUUGAGACAUAGAAUGAUGAAAAAAGCAUAGUUCGUUAUACAAAUUGCCAGGAGAAUAGUUCUGUAAUAUGAGAGCACAAUGGGAUUGUUAUGAAAUUAAUAGUAGCUUUGAGAUGAAAAGGUACAAGAAAUUUUAGUGCUACAAAACAACUUUGUAAAAAUGCAGUUUUGCAAUUGGUGCUUACCAUGUGUCGAGGUUAGCCUAGUUUUGUGAUUGCUAGGAGAAUCUUACUAAUCAUGGGCAGUCCCCAUUAAACCACGAUCACAUAUAAUCUUUAGCUUCCUUAUUUUGUAAAAGGGAAUAUAUUCAUAGCCCAACCAUCCUUUUUCUUCAAAGAUGCUGCAAAUCUGCCAAGGUUAGCACUCAUAUCCAUAAUGUUUCGAAAGGAAUCCUUUUGUAUCUCAGACUCCAUAAGCUUCCAGUACUGAAUUACUCUUGAAUGCCAAAUCUCAUGCAUGCGUGAAGUCAUCUAGGAACAGCUUGCUCUACAAGUUGUCGAACAUGUGCCUCAAUAGGUUCCUACAAAUAAAAAGAUUCAACGUCACCACAGAAUGAAGUAGCGCUUCAGCUCAAUGAAUCCAUAGAAUUCUUGGACUAGAUUUCCCCCUCCUUAGGAUUUUUGGUUCUUAGGUUGGGGCAACAUGAUGGGGGAAAAGAUGGAUUUUUUAGAGCCGUGAGCUUACUUGAACAUUAUGAUGGCGCUAAUGAAGGUUGGCUAGAGGGCGGCGCCCUAGAAAGUGGCAAAGGAGAGGACGUGAGCCAGCUUGGUGGAUGUGACGGAGCCUACGCCGAAGGGGGGAAUCAAGAGCAUCAGAGACGAAGAGUUGGCACGCAGCAAAGAAGAACACCGCCGCUAGGAACCAUGUCACCCACCCCAUCGCUCGAAUCUAUGGAAUUUUUGGACCAGAUUUUCACCUUAGGUUUUUUGCUUCUUAGAUUGGGAUAAGAGGACGGGGGGAGAAAGAUGGGGGUUUUAGAGCCGGGAGCUUACUUGAACAUCAUGAUGGCCCAUCGCUGAGCCUGGAAGGCUUGGAGCAGGGAACGCCAGCGGCGACAGCAAGCCGCGAGGGGGAAGCAGUGGCGUGGGAGGGAGAAAGGUACAGGAAGGAGAGGAGAUAAGGAUGGCAUGGGGAGAGAGUGUUCGAUGGUAGACGGACGCGACUAGCCGCUCAGAGCUAAAAUUUAGGGAAAUUUCGGGUCCAAGCGACUAUCACAUGUCGCCUGAUGGAUGGCGGGGAAGCCGCCGAAUGCGGUCGGCGCAGCAAAACGGGUGAGAUUUUAAUAUCUCCGAUGUUUCAGCGUAUUGGCAGCAGGAAAUAUGUAAUGUUCAUAAACUAUACAUAUGCCCGUUGGCCCCAAUACAAAGUUGACAUUUUGGCAAUAUUCUGUUCAUACAAAACAACUUACAUGUUUCUGCAUUUUUACACAAAUAACUUAAAAGAAUGUUGACUUCAAACAAAACGAAGCUAUCCAAUGUUACUCGGUUCAACCUGUCUCUCGCGUUCGCCAAUACACGUUUACAAGGGAAAAUAUAUGGUGGAAACCACUUGUUGGAAUCAUAAAAACUAGUUCAAGAAAUAUACUUCAUAACUAUUUUUUAAAACUUGACACAAAUCUACUCACAUAUAAAAGCUGGGAUAAAAAAUUAUUUUUGAAAAUUCAUACUAAAUCAGAAAUUUUAGUUGUAUGUGCACUGCGAGACAAAAAAAUCUAGAUUUUUGUCUUCUAGUAUACAUGCACAGAAGUUGUGUUAUUUUCAUAUGAUUUUUUUUUCAAAAAUGACUUUGCAUCUCAAUUUUUGGGUGAGUUCUGUAUGGAUGAACUACAUAUGUGUUAAGUUUUAAAAAAAUCAAGUUACAAAAGUGUACUUGUUAGGUUCCAAUUUAUAAUUUAUUUAACUUUAUCGACACCAACUUUAUCGGCUCGUCUUAUUCAAAAAAAAUAUAAUUAUUGUGGUAUUGUUUAGCACAUAAUAUACUUUAAUUAUGGUUUUGGAUUUUCAAAAUUUCAAAAAAAAAAUGACUAAGAUGAGUCAGUCAAAAUUAGUGUCAAAAAGUCAAAUGAAUUAUAAAUUAGAAUGGAGGAAGUAAUUUUUUAAACUAGUUUCCAUACAUCCAUGCAUGUCAACCCUAUCAAUCGUUGAAAGCUGACCUCUCUUCUUUCUUGGGCAGCUGGGAUGGUGAUUGAUCCUCCGAAUGCUCCUCCGGGCCUCCAAUUACAUCCCGACAUCAGGAGCCUAAAAAUGGCCAAAUGCGCCACUAUAAAGAGGGGAACCUCGUUGCACCGAAGAAAUCACCGUACCAUUAUGGCUAGUUCGUGGAUGGCGGCGCCACGACCUCUCCUAUUGCCGCUGCUGGUCGCCAUGCUAGCGGUGGUCGCCGAUGUCGCCAACGCCGGCCACGCCAAGCCCCUGACGCCUGGCGGGCGCGUGGUACACGACAACCACGGCAAGUUCACGGCCGGGCCGUGGAAACCUGCCCACGCGACCUUCUACGGCGGGCGGGACGGGUCCGGCACCACGGCGGGCGCGUGCGGGUACAAGGACACGCGCGAGCAGGGGUACGGCGUGCAGACGGUGGCUGUGAGCACGGUGUUGUUUGGCGAUGGCGCGGCCUGCGGCGGGUGCUACGAGGUGCGGUGCGUGGACAGCCCCAGCGGGUGCAAGCCCGACGUGGCGGCGCUGGUGGUGACGGCGACCGACCUGUGCCCGCCCAAGGACAAGUGGUGCAAGCCGCCGCAGGAGCACUUCGACCUCAGCAUGCCCGCGUUCCUCCAGAUCGCGCAGGAGAAGGCCGGCAUCGUGCCCAUCUCCUAUCGCAGGGUGGCGUGCGCGAAGCAGGGCGGCAUCCGGUACACCAUCACCGGGAACAAGUACUUCAACAUGGUGACGAUCACCAACGUGGGCGGCGCCGGCGACAUCGCGGCGGUGUCGGUGAAGGGGAGCAAGCGCGUCAAGUGGACGGAGAUGAAGCGCAACUGGGGGCAAGUGUGGCAGACCGGGGAGGACCUCACCUGCGAGUCGCUGACGUUCCGGGUGAUGACUAGCGACCACCGCAAGGCCACCUCAUGGCACGUUCUCCCCGCUGACUGGAAGUUCGGCGUCACGUACCAGGCGUCCAAGAACUUCUAAGUAGCCACUUUCCCUCCUCUUCUUCAACCUGCAUGCCCGCAAGCAGCCAUGCAGAUUAUAACAUGCAUCAUGCAUGCAUAUUCAUUCUUUCGCUCAUGCACUCCGAUACGGUGCCAGAGUUAAAAAAUGUAAAUCAAUAUGCAAAUUCAAAUUACAUCUUAACCAGUUGUGAUCAAUCUUUAUAAAUUCGUAAUAAAUUCAUCUUAGCUUAGAAAAAUAUGAAAC